CAUGGUAGACGUCCCAGAAGCACUCUGCGACUUUGGCUCUAGCGUCAACAUUAUACCCAGGGUACUCUAUGAAAAAUUCUUUACAUAUCCUUUAUUAGAAACAACCAUGUGUUUGCAGUUUGCAGAUCAAGCAUUAAGUUUCCCCAAGGGAAUAUUGAAGAACCUUUGUGUCCGAGUUGGUACCUUAUAUGCCCUAGCAGACUUCGUGGUGAUAGAGACCGGUAAUGAUGAGAGAGCACCCAUCAUCUUAGAGAGGCCAUUCUUAAACACCGCGGGAGCUUUCAUCUAUGCUAGUGCUGCCAAGAUCAGUUUCUACAUCAAAGGGAGGAAGGAGACAUUUUUCUUCAAGAACAAGACUACACAAAUCCCAGAUCAAUCCAGACGUCAAUCAAGGAAGAGGACCAACAGGAGGAACAGGAACAAGCAAGUGUGGACCGAAUCAGCUAAGAUGGUUACUGCAGUUCAUGGAGGUCAAGAUCAUCAACUUAAGUCACCGUUUCUGACCAAGAAGGACAACCCAGGAAUGCCAAGCAUCUAUUGCUCCAUAAAUGGAUACAACUUCUAUAAGACGACUUGCGACACCGGAUCGGGCGUCAACAUAAUGGCCGCAGUCACCUAUCGGCUCUUGUUCGGAACCAUGCCCUUAAAACCAACAUACAUUCAACUCCAGAUGGCAGAUCAGACGUUUCAAGAAGUUAAAGGAAUAGUAAUUGAUGUCCCAGUCAAAAUAGACGAUCAUUUUGUCUACACAGACUUUCAUGUUAUUGACAUGGGAGAAGACGAGUACGAUCCACCCAUCAUCCUUGGAAGACCGUUCCUCAGCACCGUUAAAGCAAUCAUCUACAUUGGAACAGGAGAAGUCCAUAUGCACUUCCCCUCAGAGAAGGUACGCCGCUAUUUUACUGACUCUAACUACAUCUUUGAAGAAUCUAAGCAGGUCAGAAAGCGACGCAACCGCAACCAGAGGAUUCAAAUCAUUAAGGACGGAUGGGCAGACUAUGAAGGAGAAGUAGUAAGGUCAGAAGACAUACAGUUUAAACAGAAUUAUCCUGAGGAGACUGAAGCACCAAGUCAGGUGUGGAGAGAGAAGAUAACCAUACAUAAAGAGGAGGCGCCGCCGGAAGUACCGACUCCGCCACCCAACGAAUCCCAGGACAAUUAAGAAAGAGGAGAGUCCCGUUCGGAGGACUUAAAAAUACCGAACGUCUUGCCAAGAGGUAAACUUAGUAGUUAUCCUUUCCCUUUCAAUUAUUUAAAAUAGUUUACUUAGUUAAUUAUGUUCACACUAUCCUAAAAAGAAAAUAAAAAUGUUAAAAAUAGUAAGCCCCAUGUGAGUAUACGAGUGGCAUGAAAACCAUAAGUACAUUCACUGUGGUGGCAUAAAAAUAAAAUAAAUAUUUCUUUUCUGCUUUAUAAAAUGAAAAUAUAAAAACAGGGAGUAACAUUUAUUUAGGAGUCUCAACAUGAUAAAGGCUAGAUAUUUAUGCUAACACUUAAUCAGUUCCAGAAAGCUUUGUUGUCUAUUUGAGCUCCACAGAAUUUAAGAAUCAAGAAGACUAGCAGACGGAGGACAUUCUAAUCGCUGUCAGAAUGCUGCUGACUUUCAAAUACAGCUCUGCCACUUGCUAGCUACAUCAUGAGAAAUUACGUCAAAAUUCAGCUUGGGGUAGAGCACCCCCAUUUAUCCCAAUAAGUAUUUCUGUCUAUCUUUAUACUUAUAUUAGAAUAUAAAUAUACAUAAACUAGGAAAAACCAAAUAAAUAUUUUGUGCCUAUAUAAAUAUAUAUGUCUUUUUGCUUAGUGUGUUUAAUAAAUAAAUAAAGUGGCUAUGCUAAUCUAUAUCUAAAUAAAACUCUAGCAUGGAUAUGAUGAAUAGUUGCUCUGCCUAAUUUGCAAAUUUGAAGUUCUCUCAAGUUUAGACAUAACUGUUAUAAUUUAAAGCUUGCUCUAAACCUAAACUUGUGGGAUGAAAACUUGAUCUGAAGUCUAAGUUGUUAACGGAUACGAUAUGGGAAGGUUGAGCUGCUGUUUAUCUGUUCCUAGAGAUGCUAGAAUUCUGGAGAAUUUUAACUUUUAAAAAUCUUUAAAAUAUUGCAUGAUGAGUUCCUGCAUGAUGAGAGUUUAAAUUCCUACCACAGCCAUAUAUAUACAUGCUUGCUAGAUUUUGAGCCACACAUUUACUUUUUACUGCUUAUGAGCAUUGAGUGUGGUCAAGCUGUGUAGACCCUUAGGAGCUUGUCAUGUGGUUAAAUCAAGAUUCACUUGCACGUUCACUCAUAUAUGCUGCUUCUACUCCGGAAGUACCAUCCACAUAUAUCCACUCAUUCCUAUCUCCAGAACCACCCAAAAAAAAUAUUCUACUCCUAAUCCGGGAGAGAAUAACCAAAAAUAUUUCUAUUUUUUCCCUUGUGAAAUAAAUGCUCAAGUUAUCUUGGUUACUACCACUUGCUAUAUUAUCUCAUGAGAUGAGUGCUCUAAAAAAGAGAAAAAAAAGAUACGAGGAAAUAAAAAGGGGCAAGUGCCUGGAACCUCGAAAGAAAAGAAAGAGUGAGACGAGAGGUAAAAAUGGACAAGUGUCCGACACUAGAAUUAGGGGUACAAGAUACCCACCUGAGAGGAAAGAAAAAGAAAAAAAAAGAAGAAGAGCAUCUCAUUCUCCUCACAACAUUUCAAAAAGCAAGGAAGGUAUGUAUCCCCUCAAAGAGCAAAAGUAGAAUUAGACUUUCACCAUUGUUAUCACCAUCAUCACCAUACACCAUUCAUUCGCCACACAUGCACAUCUUGAUUUGACUUAUUGAUUUGUUUGUUUGGAUCCAUGGUUUGACUAUACAAUAAAUGUCUUGUAAGUAUGUAUAUUUUAUCUCCCACCUAUGAGCUCAAGAUAUUAAAGCCUUAUUAGAGUAGGGUGAGAGAGAAGGCAAUGUCACUAUGCCAUAUACCACAAAUACUGCAUAUCUUGAGAGAAGGCAUAUACCAUCACUGCCUUGGUAAGGAUCUAGAAAUACCACAAAAGAGAGAUCAGAGAGAGUCAUACAAGGAAUCUCUGAGUUUUAUUUGAAAAUCUGCAAAAACUCGAGAGCUAUAGGUAAUCGAAGAACAAGAGACAUGGCGCUUGAAUAGACCGUUCUAUCUUUUAACUGCUCAAGACAUAGGUGACGGUUACAAGUCCCAUGGUGAAAGGUAAAAUGAAUAAGUUUUAAGUCUUGACAGUUUACUCUAACUUAAAGAUGAGAUUUUAUUUAAAAGCAUGUGUACCAUCAAUUUUUAAAAGUAUUGCAACAACUUCUAAUCUAUCGUUGCUCAGGGACGAGCAAGAGGUAAGCUUGGGGGAGUUUGUUGACGGUCCUUAAGUAUCAAAUUUAAUUAUCAAAUAAACAAAGAAAAGGAUCCAAAUGAAAUCAAUAUCUAGACUUAGGGUUUUAUCUGACAGAAUUCCACGUGUUUUGGAGUUUGUCUAUUUAUGCAGGGGGUUAUCAGGAAAUAAGAAAGAAAGGCCCACACGUCGGGAUUACAUAGACAUAUCAACAUGCCGCGCAAUUAUCUUACAUCUAGAAGACUCCAGAAGCCACGGGAAGGAAGCGGAGGCCGAACGGGGCCAGCACUGGGCGCCCGCCCAGUUGCCCUGGGCGCCCGCCCCCUGUUGGAGUCCAAACAGGACUCUCUUUCGGGAUCAAUCUCCACCGACCUAAAGGAUCAAUCUAAACCAUACAAUCAAUGUCGGUUUGAUCCAAUGGCCCAUAUUCACUUGAAGGGACUAUAAAACCAGACCCCCUGGCCCCUGGAGGAGAGAGCCUCUCAACCCUAAUUCAUUAUUCCUCAAGGGAGAAGAAGCCCCUGAUCAAGAUUAGAGCCACCACAUCAAUUAGAUAUCUAGAUUAGCAUAGCUACAUAGGAUUAGAACUAGAAGGAGUCAAUCUUCGAUUGGUUUCCGGAUCUGUCAAGAGGAUUCUUGGUAAUUCUCUAAUUGUGCUUCUAAUUGUUCUUCUAAUUAUCUUUGUUCUACAAUAUUAUGAAUAUGACUUUGUUCUACUUCAAUAUAUUGUUUAUGACUUUGCUCUACUUGCUUAUAUUCAAGAUUAUAUUGUUCUUAGUUUAUCAUAGUUAUGUACUUGGCUUAGUUAGAUUGGAUCUAUAUACUGUUGACGGUCCUUAAGUAUCAAAUUUAAUUAUCAAAUAAACAAAGAAAAGGAUCCAAAUGAAAUCAACAUCUAGACUUAGGGUUUUAUCUGUUAAAAUUCCACGAGUUUUGGUGUUUGUCUAUUUCUGUAGGGGGUUAUCAAGAAAUAAGGAAGAAAGGCCCACAUGUCGGGUUUACAUAGAGAUAUUAACGUGCCGCGCAAUUUUCUAUCAUCUAGAAGAGUCCAGAAACCACGGGAACGAACGGGAGGCCGAACGGGCCCGGGGGCAGGGCGCCCGCCCGCUCCCCUUGGGCGCCCGCCCAGGUGUUUCCACCAAUCACAGAAUGGAGUACACCAUUACAAAGAUCUCGUCGAGCUGAUCGAAAUGCAUAUAUUAUUUGCUAUAUUUGGAGUUCGGAAUCAAGAGAUAUUAAUAAAAGAAGGACUCCACAUAAAAGAGCUGCGGGAUUAAUUGGGCCCAAAUCAGAUUUUGGUACAUGAAGGCCUAUGUGUAUUUUAAUGAGAUAUGGUGGAAAGUUUAGUACCACAUCGCCUGCUGAACCAAAAAUACAUAGAGGAGGAGGACUAUAUAAGGAGACCUCCCUGGCCCCUAGAGGAGACAAGAAAUUAUCAUAGAGAUUGAGGGGUGCCCUCGAAGGAAAACCUCUUCUCUAAAUAAUAUUUCUUUUUAGGCUUAGCAACCAAUGUAAGGUAGAAAUAGAUCUUCUAGUUUCUACUAGAUUGAGAGAGAUAGAGUGGAGGUGUGGAUCGGAGGAAGGCCGGCCUGUCGGUGUCUACUCCGAGUUGUACCUGCGGGAUCAAGUCUCCUAACCCGAGGCUUGCUUCUAAGAUUCUUCAGUAAUUCGACUUCUAAUACUAGUAAGUUCUUGUUUUAUUGUUCUUUGGUUUAUGAGUUUACUUUAAUCCUCUUCCGGUUGAGUAUUAGAGUAAUCACUUGUUAGCGCAAACGUGGUGUUUAGGCUAGGGUACUCAUAGAUAUCCCCUGACUAGCUGGACCGUGGUAGUAGCGAGGAACGUGACAUUUCCGAGUUACCUUUGCAGGUCACAUCUCGUUAGCAGGACGGGUAGGUUUAUAGGUGUGGGUCGAACAUCCUUUGUGUUGUCUAGAUUCCGUGAGCCUCCCCAAUAGAACAGUAGAUCAUCCUUACCAAGGUUAGAACGAGACUACGGUUACAGUCUUCUCUAUAUAUCGCUCACAUCGAGAGACAUUCUUUGUAGCCUAAAGGGAUAGUAGCAAUAGAUUUGGUUAGUCAGAUGCACCCUUUCUCCCAGUGGUAAAAAUAUAAAUACGAUAACUCUGGAUAACCUCCCGGGUGAAAUGCUCACCGAUAUCCGUGCGCUUGCGGAUCAUUUUCUAAUUGCGUUACCAAAUAUCAACAAGCAUUUCUGGCGCCGUUGCCGGGGAGAAAGACGGUUUGCUGAGAUAACUUUGAGUCUUGCUAUUAUCUUGUAUUAUACUUUUAUACUUUUAUUCUUUUAUCUUUUUAUCUUUAUGGAUAACUCAAAUUCCAUACCUAUUAUUGAAUUUGUUGCACCUCCGGAGACUAGCCAUAGACCAUGGGAGUCAACACGUCCUGCCCCUAAUUAUGAUCUGUGUCCGGAGUUGAUUGCAAUAGGUCAAAACCAACCCUUUUAUAUAGCCGAGGUCCUAUCUUUUAAUCAAAAAGAUAAUGCACUUUUAGCUACACCUAGGGAAUGUGUUAAUCUUUCUAUAAAUUCUGGUUUAGACCUAGCCCUACAAGACCAUGUUUUUCCUAGAUAUUUUCACAUUGGUCUUAAUCAUAUAAUUUUUGGUAGAGUCUUUCUUUCUUUAUCUAUUAGUAAAGGAAGGUAUGUCUUCAUUUGUGGACAUCCUUCUUGUACUAGUCUUCAUAGAAAAAUCUUAGAAAUAGAGAAGGAAUCAUCUCCUAGACGAGGAAAGGAAGUUUCAGUAGCCGAUUUCCAAACAUUUCAAUCCCAUGAUUCGGCUAUCCAUCCCAUCCUUGAGCUUAAUAAAUUCUACUAUGCUCUUUCUCUUAAACCUUCCGAUAAUCCUAUGAAUUUCUCUAGACAUCCCAUGCAUAAGAAGGAGGAUCGAGAAGAGCAACAUCAAUGGCUAAAGGGCAUUAAAAAUCCAUGUGCUAUCACCAUUAAAUGGAUAGAUAAAACAAACUUGAGAGACAAUCCUAGAGGAAUUUUAAGCAUUCAUGAAGAAUCAUCCUUGGAGUUUGAGAGAAACAACAGAGAGCAUGGAAGUUAUUUCAUAAAUACCUCACCAAGUCCAUGCUCAUAUGCAACAUCUCCCCAAUCAAUUGGUCUCUCCAUCAUCACCACAUUUGAGAUAUCCAACCCCCUCUUCCUUUUUAUUUAUAAAAACUUUAAAAGGGCUGUUGUCGAUGCAUAUGUCUAUAAUAAAUAUUGCAGAUCUCGUUGAGUUGAUCUUGAUAUAGGUCAGCGUUGGAGGGGAAGCCACUUCGCCGACAUAAAUGAAUGGUUUCCCAAGGACAAGCUUAGCGUCCUUAAACAAGCACUUAUCAGAUCGUAACAUGAACUUCUAAUUAUUUGCAACAUUGCCUUGUGUAUUGAGCAUAUUGAGAUAAUUAUAGAAAUAUUCCUUCGGGUAUUCUUGCCACUAACCUUUCUAGGAUUGGAGCAAGAAGAUCGGAUGAAUGACAAGCGCAAGGUAUGCCCAACCAAUCAUCAUGCAACAUUAAAUUAAAUUAAAUUCAUCCAAUCUUGAAUUUUGCAAAAUUCAAGCUUGGGGGAGUACUUUACAUAAAACAUCCUUUGCCAUGAUGCUAUGUUGGUUGUCCUUACCUUUGAGACAUGCUCAAUUUGUUAAAUACACUACUUCAUCUCCACUUGAGUAGAUCUCUAUAAAAGCCAUCAUGCUACCUUUGUUUAUCCUAGUAAGUGUUAGCUUGGAAGUACUGGACAGACUUCCAAUGGCAUUUAAAUUAAGCGUGGUGCUUAGGUUAAAUAGCCUUCCUUAAUCUGAUUAGACAUGGAGUCUAGUUUGGUUACUGAACUAAAAACUGCUUGAGUAGAUAUUGGUAUAUUUUGUGGGACUAACCCCUGCAGGAGAACUUUCAAUAUCAACCUUGGAAGUCCUGAGAUAAACUCACAUUGGAGAUGAAGAAAGUGACACUUGAAGUUUAACAAUUUGCACAAGAAAGACGUAGCUCAUAAGAGAUGAUUCAUGGAGGGUGCCACAAACACGAUGCACAACCCCUAAGAAAGGAAAGCUUCCACAAGGUGAUACUAUACCAUCACUCUUCAAUAACAUCUUAAAGUACUUGAUUAUCACUUUUAUAAGUUCUCCUUGGUUCUGGCAUACACAUGAAUAAAAGAGACAAACAUGUAUGAUUUAUAACUCCAAAUUAACCAACUCAAUGAAUUCAGCAUGUUUAGUCCUUUAAUCUUUGUUCUUAGUACUACCUUCGUGAUCCCACACUCCUAAUCAUAUAAGCUAAAGUAUUGCACAUUCAAUCUUUGGAAGAUAUAAAUAAAACAUAAAUAUAGAUAGAUUAUCUUUCCAUUAGGUUGAGCCAUCUGAUCUAACAAAUGUUUUAAAUGCUACACUCAUGAUCCAUCAACUUUGUCUUGCUCACUAUUUUUAAGGUUAGAGAAGAACAAAUACACUUUUGGUUCUGUUGGUGUUUUCCACCAACAGGGCCCAUGCACUUGAUCUCUGCCUUGUCUCUAUGAAUAGGUACACUUCAAACAAAACAUGGAGGAGUUUUACAACUCCCAGAUUCCAUCAAGUGAAGAACCGGAAUCUACGAGCACAAACACAAUGGAGAUCAGACACUUAGUUUCCCAAAGGAAAUAUUGAAGAAACUCUGUGUCCGAGUUGGUACCUUGUACGCUACAGCAAACUUCGUGGUGAUAGAGACAGGUAGUGAGGAGAGGGCACCCAUCAUCUUAGGGAGGCCAUUCCUAAACACCAGAGCAGUCAUCUACGCUAAUGCUGCCAAGAUCAGUCUCUACAUCAAGGGGAAGAAGGAGACUUUCCUUCAAGAACAAGACUACACAAGCUUCAGAGCAAUCCCGACAUGAACCAAGGAAGAGGACCAACAGGAGGAACAAGAACAAGCAAAUGUGGACCGAGUCAGCUGAGAUGGUCACUGCAGCUCAAGGAGGUCAAGAUCGUCGACUCAAGUCACCUUUCUUGAUCAAGAAGGACGACCCUGGUGUUCCAACAAUUGAGUGCACAAUCAAUGGAUACUCUUUUUAGAAGACACUCUACGACACCGGAUCUGACGACAACAUAAUGGCCGCAGUCACUUAUCAGCUCCUGCAUGGAACCAUGCUCCUACAACCAACAUACAUUCGGCUCCACAUAAUUUUCAGGUCAUUAACAUGGGAGAAGACGAGUAUGAUGCACCCACCAUCCUUGGAAGACCGUUCCUCAACACUAUCAAAGCAAUCAUCUACAUUGGAACCGGAGAUGUCCACAUGCACUUCUCCUCUGAGAAGGUACGCCACUACUUUAAUGAUUCUAACUAUAUAGUUGAAGAUUUUAAGCACGUCAGGACAAGAAGAAGACAACGCAACCGUAACCAGAGGAGGCAAAUCCUCAAGGACGGAUGGGUAGACUACGAAGGAGAAGUGAUAAGGUCUGAAGACAUAUAGCUUGAACCGAACUGUCCUGAGGAGACCGUUAACGCCGAGUCAGGUGUGGAGAGAGAAGAUAGUUAUACACGAAGAGGAGGCGCCGCCGGAAUCACCGACUAUGCCACCUAGCGAAUCCCAGGACGACUGAGAAAACGGAGAGUCCCGUUCGGAGGACUUAAAAACACCGAACGCCUUGCCAAGAGGUAAACUUGGUAGUUAUCCUUUUCCUUUCAAUUAUUCAAUUAUAGUUUGCUUAGUUAAUCAGGUUCAUGCUAUCUUGAAAAGAAAAUAAAAAUGUUAAAAAAAAUAGUAAGCCCCAUGUGAGUAUGCUCAUGGCAUAAAACCCAUAAGUACAUUCACUAUGGUGGCAUAAAAAUAAAAUAAAUAAGUUUUCAUCUUACAACAAAAAUAUAAAAAUAAUAAGUGCAUGAUCCUGCUAAAUAAGUAACAUUUAUUGAGGAGGCUCAACAUGAUAAAGGCUAGAUAUUUAUGCUAACACUUAACCAGUUCCACAAAGCUUUGUUGUCUAUUUGAGCUCCACAUAAUUCAAGGAUCAAAGAAGACUAGCAGACGGAGGACAUUCUAAUAGUUGUCAGAAUGCUGCUGACUUUCAAAUACACCUCCGCCACCUGCUAGCUACAUCAGAAGAAAUUACGUCAAAAUUUAGCUUGGGGGAGAGCACCCCCAUUUAUCCAGCUAAGUGUUUCUACUCGCGUUUAUACUUUACUCAAAUAAUAAAGAGAUGCAUAAUCAUAAAAACCCAAAUAAAGAUUUUGUGCUUUUAUAUAUAUCUUUGCUUAGUUUGCUAAAUAAAUAAAAAAAUAAAGUUUGCUAUAAACCCUCAUGAUAAGCUAUCACAUGGAAAUGAUGAAUAGUUGCUCUGCCAUGACUAGUUCUUAAAAUUGAAAUCUCUCUCAAGUUUAGGCAUGACUGUUAUGAUUUGCUCUAAACCUGAACUUGUGGAAAGAGUACUUGAUCUAAAGUCUAAGUUGUUAACGGAUAUGAUAUGGGAAGGUUGAGCUGCUGUUUAUCUGUUCCUAGAGAUGCUAGAAUUCUGGAGAAUUUUAUCUUUGAAAAAUCUUUAAAAUAACACAUGAUGAGUUCCUAUAUGAUGAGAGUUUAAAUUCCUACCACAGCCAUAUAUACAUGCUUGCUAGACUUUGAGCCACAUAUUUACUUUUUACUGCUUAUGAGCAUUGAGUGUGGUCAAGCUGUGUAGAACCUUAGGAGCUUGUCAUGUGGUUAAAAUCAAGAUUCACUUGCACGUUCACUCAUACAUGCUACUUCUACUCCGGAAGUACCAUCCACAUAUAUCCACUCAUUUCCAUCUCCAGUUUCACCCGAAAUUAUUCUACUCCUAAUCCGGGAGAGAAUAGCCAAAAACAUUUUCCUAUCCCUAUUAUUCCCUGUGAAAUAAAUGCUCCAGUUGUUUUGGUUACUACCACUUGCUACAUUAUUUCAGAAGAUGAGUGCUCUAAAAAAAAGAAAAAAAAGAAAAAAAGAGAGAGAAAGAAUACGAGGAAAUAAAAAGGGGCAAGUGCCCGGAACCUCGAAGAAAAGAAAAAAAGGUGAGACGAGAGGUAAAAAUGGACAAGUGUCCGACAGUAGAAUUAGGGGUACAAGAUACCCGCCUGAGAGGAAAUAAAAUAUAGAGCAUCUCAUUCUCCCCAAAAAGCUUCAAAGUGCAAGAAAUGUAUGUUUCCCCUUAAAAGAGCAAAAGUAGAAUUAGACUUUUACCAUUGUUAUCUCCAUCAUCACCAUACACCAUUCACUCGCCACACAUGCACAUCUUGAUUUGACUUAUUGACUUGUUUAUCUGGAUCCAUGGUUUGACUAUGCAAUAAAUGUCUUGUAAGUAUGUAUUAGCUGUCUCCCACCUAUGAGCUCCAGAUAUCAGAACCUUAUUAGAGUAGGGUGUGAGAGAAGGCAUAUCCCAUUACUGCCUUGGUAAGGAUCCAGAAAUACCACAAAAGAGAGACUAGAGAGAAUUAUACAAGGAAUCUCUGAGUUUUAUUUGAAAAUCUGCAAAAACUCCAGAGCUAUAGCUGAUCAAGAAUAAGAAACAUGGCGCUUGACUUGACCGUUCUAUCUUUUAAUUGCUCAAGACACAAGUGACGGUUACAAGCCCCAUGGUGAAAGGUAAAAUGAGUAAGUUUUAAGUCUUAACAGUUUAUUCUAACUCAGAGAUGAGAUCUUGCUUGAAUGCGUGUGUACUUUUUUAAGGCACGAAACCACUGCAGAAACUCUUGAGUUCAUCCUUGCUCAGAGACGAGCAAGAGGUAAGCUUGGGGGAGUUGUUGACGGUCCUUAAGUAUCAAAUUUAAUUAUCAAAUAAACAAAGAAAAGGAUCCAAAUGAAAUCAACAUCUAGACUUAGGGUUUUAUCUGACAAAAUUCCACGAGUUUUGGUGUUUGUCUAUUUCUGCAGGGUUUUAUCAAGAAAUAAGGAAGAAAGGCCCACAUGUCGGGUUUACAUAGAGAUAUUAACGUGCCGCGCAAUUUUCUAUCAUCUAUAAGAGUCCAGAAACCACGGGAACGAACGGGAGGCCGAACGGGCCCGGGGGCAGGGCGCCCGCCCUCUCCCCUUGGGCGCCCGCCCAGGUGUUUCCACCAAUCACAGAAUGGAGUACACCAUUACAAAGAUCUCGUCGAGCUGAUCGAAAUGCAUAUAUUAUUUACUAUAUUUGGAGUUCGGAAUCAAGAGAUAUUAAUAAAAGAAGGACUCCACAUAAAAGAGCUGCGGGAUUAAUUGGGCCCAAAUCAGAUUUUGGUACAUGAAGGCCUAUGUGUAUUUUAAUGAGAUAUGGUGGAAAGUUUAGUACCACAUCGCCUGCUGAACCAAAAAUGCAUAGAGGAGGAGGACUAUAUAAGGAGACCUCCCUGGCCCCUGGAGGAGACAAGAAAUUAUCAUAGAGAUUGAGGGGUGCCCUCGAAGGAAAACCUCUUCUCUAAAUAAUAUUUCUUUUUAGGCUUAGCAACCAAUGUAAGGUAGAAAUUGAUCUUCUAGUUUCUACUAGAUUGAGAGAGAUAGAGUGGAGGUGUGGAUCGGAGGAAGGCCGGCCUGUCGGUGUCUACUCCGAGUUGUACCUGCGGGAUCAAGUCUCCUAACUCGAGGCUUGCUUCUAAGAUUCUUCAGUAAUUCGACUUCUAAUACUAGUAAGUUCUUGUUUUAUUGUUCUUUGGUUUAUGAGUUUACUUUAAUCCUCUUCCGGUUGAGUAUUAGAGUAAUCACUUGUUAGCGUAAACGUGGUGUUUAGGCUAGGGUACUCAUAGAUAUCCCCUGACUAGCUUGACCGUGGUAGUAGCGAGGAACGUGACAUUUCCGAGUUACCUUUGCAGAUCACAUCUCGUUAGCAGGACGGGUAGGUUUAUAGGUGCGGGUCGAACAUCCUUUGUGUUGUCUAGAUUCCGUGAGCCUCCCCAAUAGAACAGUAGAUCAUCCUUACCAAGGUUAGAACGAGACUACGGUUGCAGUCUUCUCUAUAUAUCGCUCACAUCGAGAGACAUUCUUUGUAGCCUAAAGGGAUAGUAGCAAUAGAUUUGGUUAGUCAGAUGCACCCUUUCUCCCAAUACGAUAACUCUGGAUAACCUCCCGGGUGAAAUGCUCACCGAUAUCCGUACGCUUGCGGAUCAUUUUCUAAUUGCGUUACCAAAUAUCAACAUAUACAUGUUUAGGAUCGUAUAGCGUUUAUCCAUCGGAUCCAUGCGUAAAUGAUAGAUAUUGUGUAGGCGUGGUGCUUAUACCGUAUUUAUCUGCGAUUGUACCCAAUGUAACACCCUAAAUUUUGCUUCUUUGAAAAUAAAGCUAAAAUACUUUAUUUUUUAUUUCUGUGCUCAUGAAAAUAUAGUAAAAUAAAAUUUUCCUUAAAUUAAAAUUCAUCAUAGGGUUUAGCAACGUUGUUGUGCAUACAUGCUGGUAAAUAUGUUUUAUGUGAUGUUUGUUUGUUGCUCCUUUGUGUGUUGAGACUAAGCAAAGUUUUUUUAAAAAAAUACGUUUAGUAGAUCGAUCUUCCUUAACUGGUACAUCUUUAUAUUUUUCUACAAACAAAUUCCUUGUCUCUUAGCUCAAGAUUUCGGUCAGGGUCUCUCAGAAUUUUUUCUUUCAAACCUAAGUCACUCGUUUGAGUUUCUCGUCCAUCAAGCAAUCUCUACAAACUUCUCAGGUAUUUUUGUAGCCUUUUCUAUGAGCAUAAAUCUAAUUUUUAGAUGCCCCAAAUUAUCUCAUCAUGAGCUCCAAAUACUUUAUUUGGAUUCCUCAUGUUCUAUAAUGUCUCUGAAAAUUUUUCCCAAAUUUUCGGAGCUUUCAGAGUAUUUUUCGUGGCUUAACUACUAAUUCUGGACUUUUCUAGAAUUAUUUUAUCUAUGAAAAUAAUUAAUUUCGAAAAUAAUAAAUCCUUCAUUUUACUCUAACCCAACGUCAUCAUUCAAAGGCCAAUUGUUUUUUUACUAAUGGGCUUUAAUAAUUAAUUAGGCCUAUUAGUAAAGAUGAAAGUUGCAAAUCAAUUAGUACCAUAUCGCUAGUUGACGUGGAGGUGGGGAGUUUCUCUCCCUAUAUAUACGUACCGAUCCUUUGGCUAAAGUACACCAAAAAUACAUAAAGAGAGUCUCUAGUUUGGAAAAUCUCUUUGGAAAAUCUCUUAAGUUAGUAAAUAAUAAUAUUUUUUUCUCCGCUCCAGGCUGUCAUCAUCCAUCUUUGGCCAUCAUCUGUCAACGCCCUCUGCAGCUGACUAACUACUGGUGAGCACUUGCAUGUCCUCAUCCCUUUCUCCUAUCGUCUAUCAUGCCCUAGGCCAUGUACACUGGUAUCUAUUUCCUUAACGUGCCCAGCAUCCUGCCGAUCUACAGCUGCGAGCCUCGGACCAUUGUUGACGUAUUGCUCAUCUGAAAUCAUCUAUAUGUUUGUCAACUGGAGCUGUCCUAUAUGUUUGUCAACUAGAGCUGUCGUGCUUGACGCUGCCAUUGGUGACCAGCGGACUAUGGCCAUGAAGACCAUGAUUACUUCCAGACAUCCUGCCGGCUGCCGUGAGACUGCUGAUGGAGGGCCAGUUCGUUCGUAAUCAGCCAUGUUCAAGCAAAGCAAGUAGCGAUCACGUAUCAGACUAGCCCGAGAAACCGUCUAAUAUGACCAAACACAGUACGUAUCUACAUCUCUCGUGAAGUCUCCGGUUCUCCUUUUUAGUAAAAUCCUACAAAAUUUCAAUAGCUUUAACCCUUCGUCGUACGUACGUUUUAGUUAUGCAAGUUUAUUUUUGUUUGAUUAAUAUCAUAUUGACGUGUUUAGCGGGCGACGGUUUUCAUGCUACGAGUUUUUAAUUUGUGUUUACAAUUAAAUAUUAAUUAGAUUAAUGUGCAUGAAAUUAGUUGCUAAAUAAAAAAACAAUAUAGGACAAUAUCGAGCUUUUAUGUUUAACUGUAAAUUUGGAUAUUAGUAACAUAAAUAUGUUUUUAAAUUGAAUCUGGUUAGUUUAAACUUGUUCCACGUACAAAAAUUGAAAUUAGAUGUUGUCACUUGUUUACUUUAACUUGAUAAAUGAACCACACAUUAAUAAUUAUAAAUAAAACAUGAUUAACUUCCACUUUUAAAGUUUAAAUAUAAUUUAUCUAAUCUGAAUUAGUAAAUUUCCUAUGAUUUUUUUUAAUUAAAAUAAAUUAAGCCUGUUGUUCUUUCUUUUAUAUAAUAUAAAUCUUUUUUUUUAUGAACCGGUGAGGGAGUCCCUCACCCAUUUUUUUAAUUAUAAUAGAAUAAAAGAAUCGAUACAGGAGGUGAAUAGAAGGCACCCAGGCCCAAAUCUCUUAAUGGCUGUUUAUUUAUAACAAUAGUUUUGCUAUCAGCUUUUCUUGCGAUCCCGUGACCGCAAAACUAGUUUUCUUACAUUGUUUUCUCUUGUGUGCUGUGCUGUUCUUAGUUGUUUCUAUUUGCUGCUUGUAUGGCAGCCAAUGCGUGGCGCCUGCUAUGAGUAGACGAGGAUCGUUUGUGGGCGCCGAAGAUCAGAAGAUGAUGACUGAAAGCUGAUGGUGUGAGAAUUGAGCAAGUGUUUAAGGCAAGUAUAGCAUUUGGGUUUUAUUUCUGUGACCAUGAUCCUGUGACUAGAUUAAUGUUAAGUAAUAAACAAUAAAAAUAACUUUUUAGCAACUUGAUGAUUUAUCUGUACGUGAUCACCCGGGAUAACAGUGCAACCAUGAGGGCUAUAAUGGCUCUGGCUUUAGCUCAGUAUGAAGACCUUUUCUAGCUUGUUAGAGGUUACCCGAAAGGGCGGAGGGGCUGAACUGUUUUGGGUAUAGUGUGACCUCUGUCUUUAUGUGUAUAGGCUGCACGUCAUUGUGCCAUCGGAAGGGGGGCUCUAUAUCUGCGCGCAAAGGAAACCUUGCGGCCCUAACAGGUUAGACGAACUUUUGAAAGGCUUCAUAGUGAUCCCUGCCGACCUUCCUUGGUAGUGGGUUAAGAGGCUGAUCACCUCGGGCGAAAGGGUAAAUCAUGACUCAUGGGUAAAGAUGUACAACCUCUGUAGAGUGUUAAAAACUAGUAUACUAGCCGUGCUCACGGUCAAGAGCGGCCUUGGGGAUUUUUGCAUCGACGGUGAUGAUUCUUGUGUGUUAAAAUUUUCAUUAUUUAUUGUUUAAUGCUUUACAUUAUUUAUGUCACAUUGAUCAUGAGAUUGUGGGAUCUAUACAAUCUAGUUGCUAUACUUGUGGAGUUCGACAUGGACUCACUCUUGCUAUUUCCCCCCAUACUUCAGGAGGACUUUAGGUUUGUGAUCAACCAGUCAGUUGGAUCUUAAUACCCGAAGUUGGAGUUGUCUAUCCGCUGUUUGCAUUUAAAGGUUAUCUCUUUUAUACUAAGUACGUUAUAUUUAUGCAUUGUCUUUUGAUAUUACCCCUUAUUUGUAGCUAUAUGUGAGGUUUGACUACUAAGACUCACAUAUGGUGCAUAUCUGAUUUUGUCCUUAAAAUCGGGUAUUACAAAGUGGUAUCAAAGCAAUGCUGGCUGUAGAACACAAGCCUAGUUAGAAAUUGGUCGUCUUAAGGUUUUGGAAAUUGUUAUAACACCCUUGCUCUAUAAACCUUGAUAUUUUUUCCUCUAUACUAUAUCUCUACCCUUGCUAUUCCUCUCUACCUUGUUGCUUAUUUUAAAAGUAUACUUGUUCUCAUCUUCACUCCUCGAUUUGAUAAGCUUUUAGAAUCUUCUCUUACCACCUGCUUACGGAUUUGAAAAAGAAUUUUAGGAUUUUUACCCUUACUAUGAAGAGAACGAUAGUAUCGCAAGUUGAGUGAAGUGUGAACCUUCAAUGCUUAAUUGGUUUGUUAUUAUGUUUAUGCUUGAUUUGGAUCUUUGUAAUGAUUGCAAUGAUCUUCUGGAUUUUCUUCACAAUUUCAUUUAGUUUAUAGGUCUAAGACAUAAGGAUUAAUGAAAUACGUAGUUGGGUUUGGCUAUCUCUUAUUUCUAUCCCUUGCUGAUUUUUGGGGCAGUCUGCAAUGAUUCUGGUGUAUCUCAAGUUUUGUUCAUGCAAAGUCUAUCAACUUUUUCUGGGAACAACUAGACUUCAAGAUCUUUCUCUGACCGCAAGAAUCACACUCAUAUCUAUUAUGAUUUGGAAGUUACAAAAAUCACAAGAUGAUACAGAUGGGCUGUCAAGAAUCUGGACCAGUUUCGGUUGCUUACUGUUUAGACAUAUAUAACUAUAGUAUUUGGAAAAGUGUUCUAUAGAAACGUUGUAGAAGAUUUGCUAAGCUUUCCAACGGUAUAAGGUGGAACUUAUUUGGAUAAGUAGAACCUGAGAUAUGAUAUUUACACCUAGAUGUUUCUGUUCUGUUUCAAAAUUUGGACAGAUCUGGUAUUCCCUAUUUUCAGAUACCUUAACGUCAGAAUCUGGGAAAAAGUUGUAUACAAAAGUUGUAGAGGAUUUUCUAAACUUUUCAAAUAUGUAAGGAUCAUCUCCAGAAGAGUUAAGUAGCUCGGGAUAUAACUUCUGGAAGCUGUUGCACCUUUGCUGAGACAUUUUCAGGAUGGAUAUUAAGUUUGGUUGUUUUACCUGAGCUUAAAGAUAGAACCUAAGGAGGUCUUCUACAGGAAAGUUGCUGGGAAUUUCAUAAGUUUUCUAACGGUAUAAGCCACAACUCUAUUGGAUUCACAAAAUAAGAGUUAUGUCCAUUUAACUACGCUGGUGUUUUUCAUAUCGCGAGGAAAUUUCAGGAUACCUCUUUGCUCUAUUGCACAUAAGUUCUUUGGAAUGUCAGAGGUUCUCAAUGUUAGUUAACUUGUCUGUAAAAUAUGCAAGCUAACUUUCUUGUGUCCCCUAGUUGACCCUUUUAAGGGGGGUAGCCCAAUUAAAGGAGUUACAAUGAGACGGAUUGGCUAGUGUUGGAUCAUAUAUCAUCCCAUUUAGGGAAUAUUAAUAGAGAUAUAUGUCAUUGCUGAUACUCAUGGAUUGAGAGUUGUGUUUAUGACGAUCAGAUGACACCAAAGCCUACAAGCUAUAUGUACAAUGUGAGAGUGAAGCAACUUAACCGUGAUAAAGGUAUCGAUAAUUGGAACUUAGUGAUGAAACUAACCUUGGAUCAAGAGACUCGAUACAACUAUUGACGGUCCUUAAGUACUAAAAUUAAUAAUCAAAUAAACAUGAAAAAGGAUCAAUAUGAAACAAACAUCUAGAAUUAGGGUUUUAUCUGACAGAAUUCCACGAGCUUUGGUGUUUAUCUAUUUCUGCAGGGGGUUAUCAGAGAAUAUGGAGAGAAGGCCCACAUGUCAUGUUUACAACGAGAUAAUUACGUGCCGUGCAAUUUUCCUCAAUCUAGAAGAAUCCAGAAGCCACGGGAACGAACGAGAAGAGGAUCAGGCUCGGGGGCAGGGCGGCCGCCCAACCCCCUUGGCGCCCGCCCAGGCCAGGAGUCCAAUCAGGACUCUGCUUCGGGACUACGCUCCACCGACCUAAAGGAUCAAUCUAAACCAUACAAUCUAUGUCGGUUUGAUCCAAUGGCUCAUGUCCACUUGAGGGGACUAUAAAACCAAGGCCAAACCCCCCCCCUGGAGGGAGGAGAAGAGAAGAAAUCAUUAUUCAGAGGUAGCCAUCAAAGUUAGGGUUUAGAGCUUCUCUCCCACAGAGAAUUAGAAUUAGCUACUCCCUAAUCCUUCAAGUUUAGAGGUUUGAUUAGAUAGCAAUUAGAGAAGUAGAGCACUACGCUCUGGAUUCGGAUCUUCGGUAAUAAAGAUUGGUAUUAUUCAUAUCUUUCUCUAAUUCUUUGUUCUAAUUGCAUUAUGUCUCUAAUUAUUAUGUUCUUAGUUUGCUCUAGUUCUAUAUUUGAUAUAGUUCUAAUUGAUAAUGAGUUUAUGUAUAAGUUUGCAAAGCGCUUAGCUGUUGACGUGAGGGAGUUAGGUGAUAGAUCACAUGUGAGCGUGGUGCUUAGAUGUUAUUAAAAUGCAAAUGUAUCCUAUUGGCCGGGUCGUGUGGUAGUUCGCGAUAGUGACAGCUUCGUUGAUUCUUAUAUAGUCUACCCUCCGUUGAUAGGACAGGCAGAACCGGUAUUGUGGAGUAAGUCAUGCGAUGCUCUGAUUUACUUUAUCAAUGUUCCUUAUACAUGAAUGAAGAGUCUUUUAUGCUAUAUAUGAUCUUGUAGAUAACUAGAGUAGAUUAUGACUUAGUAGUUAGUAGAUAACUUAGAAUCCAUUCUCUAGCUAAUCCGACAUCACCUACAUAUAUGAGGAGUAGUCUAUUUUCUAAUCGCUGUGUUAUCUACCCAUGAACUUAUACUUUAUUAUCAUUAUCUUUAUGGUUUACCCCUUGCUAAAGUAGGUGAGUGUGUGACGAGUUUCUCAUUAGUAAUCAUGUUCUUGCGAGUUUAUCUCUAGUCUAUGCCUUGAUAGAUUUUGCCCCUUGAUUUAAUUGCAUCUUCUUUAGAUCACUUGAGCAAAAUUAUAAAUAACGAUACCUGGAAUACUUAUCCUGGUGAAAUGCUACAAUGAGGUGUUUUAUUUGUGCGCUUGCGGAUAGAAUAGAUUAUUUUCUAGAGAGCCUUUACAUUUAUAAAUACCUUUGUACACUCUAGCGCCAUGCUAGGGAUGACAACCUAGUAUCUAAGUGGUGUUAGCUAGUGUCAACAAGCAUUUCUGGCGCCGUUGCCGGGGAUAUUAUACGAGUCUCAGGAAUAAGUCAUAAAGGGGAACAAAAGGAUAAUACUUAGGAACGGUAAGGAAAGCCAGAAAAUCAAUCAAGGUUAUUCAUAUAAAAUAUUAGACUAGACUAUAGAGAAAUAAUUGCAUAAGACAGCUACUAAGUGAGAAAUCAUAACAAGGCACCUCUGCUUUGGCAGGUUCACCCUGUUGUUUUUCUAUGUUUAUAUUUUUAUACAGGGUAUAUCAGGAUUGACUUUGGGUACAUUCAACUCUUCAUCACCAGAACCAAAGCAAUCAAGAGAAGAAGAAGCUAGCUACCAAUUGCUGAAGCUAUGGCACAAAAGACCCUACAAGAAUUCUCUGCUCCAAGUCUUGACAACAUUCCAACUGGUCCAAGAUUUGCAGUAGAAGGAGUACCUGAGUUUGAGCUCAAGUCAAGCCUCAUCAGUUUGGUGCAAGCUAUACAAUUCAGUGGAAAGGCACAUGAAGAUGCUAGUGCACACUUGCAGAAUUUCUUAGAGAUUGGAAGCACAAUCCACAUCAACAGAGUUGACAAAGACGUCAUACUGCUUCGCCUUUUUCCAUUCUCACUAGAAGGGAAAGCGAGGAAGUGGUUCUACAAUCAUCAAGAUAACAUCAACAACUGGACGAACUUGUCAGAUGCCUUUCUAUCGAAGUUUUUCCCUAUAGGCAAAACAACUGCCUUAAGAGGAAAUAUUGUCAGUUUCCAACAGCAGAAGACAGAAGCCAUUUCAGAAGCAUGGGAGCAUUUUCAAGGAUACAUAUCAGAUUGUCCUCACCAUGGAAUGGCCACAUGGUUACUUAUGCAGACCUUCUACCAUGGAUUAACCCAGAAGGCUCGUGAGUGCCUUGAUGCAUCUGCUAAAGGAUCAUUCUUGGAGCUUACAACUGGAAAAGCAGAAAUACUUUUGGAUAAAAUAGCAGAAAAUCAAAGCUGGUUCCUAGAUAAGGCUCAACAUUGUCAUCAAACUGAAGAAAUACCAGAAGAAGUAAAUGCAUUAUCAACUAAGAUGGAAAAUUUGCUCCAUUGGAUUGACCAGAGGGCCAAGUUCAAAGAAGAUCAAAGGGCCAUUGAGACAGCAUACAAAUAUAAACCAACUUCGAGUCAACCCAAUAGCAAAGGUAUGAAUUCAGGUAAUACUUUCAAGCAACUUUUAUUAAAAGAGAUAAUUGCUCAACAAACCAAAAUUAAUGAUGAAAUUAAAUAAAGGCUAGAUACAAAUGAAUCAUCUCUAAAAGAUAUACACAAUAAAAUGGAUUUUCUACUAACUGCCUUUGAUGAGCAAAACACUCUUAAUAAAAGGGUAGAGCUUAAAUUAAUAAAGAUAGCUGCUGCACUGCCUGUUGCUACUAACCUUGAGCAGGUAAAGAAUAUAACUACUAGAGGAGGCAAAGCUACCAGAGAUCCUCCAUACCCAAAAGAGAAACAAAGAACAUCAGCACCAGUGCAACCAGCAGUGAUAGAAGAAGAAAGCCCAGUUGAAGCAGAAGAUAUGCUACAACCACCAAGAACUGGAGAAAUGAGGAAAGAUUUUUACGACACCAACUAUUUGCCAUUUCCCAGAAGAAACAGAGGAUUGCAGUCGGAUGAGCAGUUUGGUAAGUUUGUAGAGGUAAUUCAGAAAUUAUACGUCAACAUACCUCUGCUGGAUGCCAUACAGGUACCUACAUAUGCAAGGUACAUCAGAGAUAUUCUUAACAAGAAGAGACCACUGCCCACCACUGAGGUUAUCAAGCUGACAGAAGAAUGUAGUGCGGCCAUCCUCAACAAACCACCAAAGAAGAAGGAAGAUCCAGGAUGCCCCACUAUUGAUUGCUCGAUCGGAAACCAACACUUCAACAAUGCACUUUGUGAUCUCGGAGCAAGUGUCAGUGUGAUGCCAGCAUAAGUCUACAAAAAGCUUGAGCAUGCAACCCUAGAACCAACAUCAAUGUGCCUACAACUAGCGGAUCAAUCGGUUCGACACCCGUUGGGCAUCGCCGAGAACAUUCCAGUCAAGAUCAGAAAUUUCCUGGUGCCAGUAGACUUCGUAGUACUGGACAUGAGUCCUGACUCAAAAGUGUCCAUCAUCCUUGGAAGGCCAUUUCUGAGCACUGCCAAUGCCCACAUUGAUGUCGGAAAAGGAGAAAUCAAGUUCAACAUAAACGGACAAGAAGAACACUUCGCAUUCAAACCCAGACCAGAGAGAGACUCUACAGUGAAGGAAGUUCAUAAAGAACCACUAGAGACACCAUCUCCAGAGGAAGGUAACUCAGAAGAUUAAAAGAUUUGGAGGUCCAGCUUGAGGGACCAAAAAACCCCAAACCCUCACCGGGAGGUAAAUCGGUAUUUAUCCGCAUUAUUAAUUUUCUCAUAUUUAAAUUCUUGCAUAAUUAAUUCUUGCAUUAGUCAUAUAUAUUCAUAACAUUAUUAUAAUAAUAAAAAGCCCUAUAUAAAUAAUAUUCGUGGUGUGUAACAACCCAUAUUUAUUAAUUAUUGUGGAGGCACAAAAAUAUUUUCCAUUAUCAAUUUAGUUAAGUUUCAAUUCUCAUAGAUUUUCCUGCAUUAUAUUUAAUUAUAUUAACCUUCUAGAAGCAUGACCCACACUCCUUGGGUCUCACAUGUCAUACACCACACCUCACAUACAUCCCAUCACAUAAUUUCAUCCACCAAUAUGUUUCCACCCACCAGACAUUUUUCCACCGACCAACCACCACCAACACAACAUUAUUCUGCGUGAGAUCAAAGCAAGGAAGCAAGUGGAGGAGGCACACCUAGGAUGGACACCAGGAGUGGGCGCCCGCCCACCUACCAAGGGCGCCCGCCCUGCUCCCUCUUGCUCCUAUAAAUAGCCACAUUCUACCUCCAUCUUCUUCACACAAACACUCCAGAAAACCACACAAGUUUCAGUUUCGAGAGAAGGAGCUCUUGUAGUGAAGAGAAGAGAGUAGAAAGAAAGAGGAGAGUGGAAGAGAUGGUUGGGAGUUCUUUUGAGAGAGUGAUUAUCACCUAGUAAGUAGUGAUCCCGUUGUCUAAGCGGAAGUAAAAGUUGUUUAGGGGGAGGCUCUACCAAAAUAGAAACUUGUCUUGAACGAUUAACCCCUGGACUACUGACAUUCCGGACAGCUGACCACUAACAUUUUCUCUCACAUUUUCCACUAGUUGUGUUUUUGCCAACUUUUGUUUGCAGGAUGUUUAAGAAGGUGAAGAAUGCAGGAAAGGCUCUCAAGAACAUUGGUACAAGGAGUUCAGCCCGACACUCCUCACAGCCAUCAGAGAUGAGCGUCGACCCAACACCCACACAAGCUCCAUCAUCUUCAUCAGGUCAGCAAGUUAAGGUCCUUCUCAAGAUAGGAGACAUAGGACUAAAGACCCGAAGAGAGAAGGAAGUCUAUCAGCAGUUGAAGAACAAAGAUUUCAUUCACACCCCUACUAUCAAUCCAAUCUUACUACAAGAAACAGGUAUGGACACUGAAUUUGACUUAAUUUUUCGGAUGAUGGGUUGGACAAAUUUUUGGAAUAUAACUGAGCUGGGUUCUCGUCUUCUCACCCUUGAAUUUCUUUGCACCUUACAAUACUAUGAGGGGGGAUUGUUUUUCGGAUGUUCAAACAGGAGAUUAUGUUAUCUUGGAGAGAGCUGAGUGACCAUCUUGGUUUCUCUUCAAGAUGCAUCCUGAACAUUGACUCCGAUUUACCCAACUUUGAGAGACACCAGUUUUGGAGAGAAAUAUCUAGAGAUAAUUUUUAUAGUCAAGCCCGAACCAGUGACAUGGAACACCCCACUCUUAGGAUGUUCCACAAAUGGCUUGGGUACAAUCUUUUCUAUCGUGACAAUAUUAGGAAAGUAAGAGUAGGAGAUUUACAACUUUUAUAUGCUGCUAUUAGUAAAGUACCCACUUCACCUGUUACACUAUUAGUUUCUCAUUGGCUUAGUAUACCUAGUCUUCAGGGACCAGUAGGAUGUACUUCACUUAUCACUCGUCUAGCCUCUAAUCUUCAUUUACUAGAAAACUCGUCACUGGACUUCAUAAAUGAGUUAAGAAUUUAUCAUGGCUAUGACACAUUUAGACAGGCUCGGAUGUUAAAGAAAGAGGGGAAUAUAAUGUAUAUGCUAUAUGAUGAUAAAGGCAAGAUUCGGUUACCUAACCCGAACCUUGCCUCUACGUUGUUCAAAACUUUUUGAUUGAGAUUACAGCAACACCAGUGAACCAGAGAACUCCACAGCGAGUGGCAUCUGAAAAGAUAACCACUCACCGAGAACGCACCUGGUAUGGAGCUGACCCCGGACCAGAAGAAGCAACGCACCUGCAUUAUUGCGAUUACAACCCCCGAGUCCUUCGAGACCCAUGGGCUCGUCAUGCGCAAUCACAAGAGCCAACAGAGGAGACAUGGCCGGAGAGCCAAGAUCACCAGUGGACAAACCCGCCUUUUCAUAUGGGCAGGUACUCCACUGAUCCAUAUGGAGCUUCAGGAUCCAGACUUCUGCCCCAAUUUGAUGCAGGACGAUACUCCGACGCCUCCUACGCUUUCACGAAUGACUACUAUCAAGAGGCCGGUGCUUUCUUCACUCGUACCGACAACACCCUCCUCGACAUCCAGAACACACAGGCAGAACAUGGACGACUCCUGGAAGAGCAACAAAAAUGGAACCAGGACCAUGCCGCUGCAGUAGAAGAGCUGAGACGAGAUACAACAACAAUGAACGACAACGUCACAACCAUGAUGCGGUUCUGGAACAUCGGGUAAGAGCGACAGCAACAUCCACCUUGGGGGAGUUCCUCCCCAAUUUAUCAAGUAAGUUUUUAUUUGCUCUUCUUAUUUAUUCUUUUCUAUUUUAGUAUUUUAUCUUAAAAGGAAAAACUUAGAAAACCCAAUAAAUAUUUUCUUGCUUUAAUUUACUGCAUUCUAUAAACAUAAAAACAAAAUAAAAAGAGUGUGUAGAUAAGUGUGCUUUAUUUUCUUGCUAAGUGUAAUCUCUAGAAAUAUAAAAGACCAAAAAGAUAUAUGACGGAAAUGAUGAACAGUUGCUCUGUUUGCUUACAUUCAAGUACCUAGCUUUUAUAUUAGAGUUCUUCCAGGAAUUACUAAAACUAAAAUUACUAUUUUUAAAACAUAAAACUAAAGUCUAGGUAAGAGAAAGGCAUGAUAUAAAGUUGAGCUGCUGUUUAUCUUGUUUCUACUACACUAAGUUCUGGAGAUUUAUUUUGGAAACUUGCAAAUCACAUGAUGAGUUCCUAGCAUACAAAACUACCUACCACAGCCAUACUUGCUAUAACAUCUUUUACUAUAUUUACAUUGAGUUUGAUCGAGCUGUGUUGAUCAUUAGGAGCUUUUGAUGCGGUUAAAUUAGGAUAUUCACUUGCACACAUCUACCAUAGCAUUCAUCACCAAUCAUUAAAAUUACUAAAAAUAUUAUCACUCACUGUCCCAAAUAUUGUUAUUCUCUCUCUCUAAAAAGAUUCAAUAUAGAAGAGGCAUGGGUUAUGCAAAAAUAUGCGAGGAAAUAAAAAGGGGCAAGUGCCCGGAAACUCGAAAAAGAAAAAAAAAAGAGAAGUGAGACGAGAGGUAAAAAUGGACAAGUGUCCGAAGUAGAAUUAGGGGUACAAAGAUGCCCACUUGAGCGGAAAAAAUGGACAAGUGUCCGAUAGUAGAAUUAGGGGUAUCUACUACCCACCUAAAAAAAAGAAGAAGAAAAAGAGAUAGCCCAUGUUCUCCCAAAGCAAAGAUCAAAGAGAAGGAGAGAUAGCAAUAUGAGGAGCAAUGAGAAUUAAUUUUUAUUAUCACUUAUGCAUUUUCACCAUCACUAUCAUUUACUCCACCACACAUGCACAUCUUGAUUUAAUUAUAUGUUGAGUUCCUUUGGAUCCAUGGCUCGAUUAGACAACAUAUGUAUGAGCUGUUUUUCACUCCUAUGAGCUCCACUUAAAUAUUUCAUUAGCUAUAGGUAAGUGACAUUAUGGUAAGGAUCCACAAAUACCACAUAUAGAGAGACUUGAGAGAAUCAUUGCUGGGAACUCUGAGUUUUAUUUUGAAAACUUAUGAAAAACUCUGGAACAAAGGUGAAGUAUAAACAGGAGGAAUAGUGCUUGACUUAACUAUUUUGUCUUUCGAUUACUUAAGAUUUAAGUGCAGGUACUAAACUCCAUAACACUUCACUCUAAUCUGGAAGAAUUUUAUGUAAAAGCAUGUGUGCCUGUCAGGAAAGAAAACAUCGAAGCAACUUCUGAUUCGUCUAAGUUUAGCUAUUUGCUCAGGGAAGAGCAAAGGGUAAGCUUGGGGGAGUUUGUUGAUGGUCCUUAAGUACUAAAAUUAAUAAUCAAAUAAACAUGAAAAAGGAUCAAUAUGAAACAAACAUCUAGAAUUAGGGUUUUAUCUGACAGAAUUCCACGAGCUUUGGUGUUUAUCUAUUUCUGCAGGGGGUUAUCAGAGAAUAUGGAGAGAAGGCCCACAUGUCAUGUUUACAACGAGAUAAUUACGUGCCGCGCAAUUUUCCUCAAUCUAGAAGAAUCCAGAAGCCACGGGAACGAACGAGAAGAGGAUCGGGCUCGGGAGCAGGGCGGCCGCCCAACCCCCUUGGGCGCCCGCCCAGGCCAGGAGUCCAAUCAGGACUCUGCUUCGGGACUACGCUCCACCGACCUAAAGGAUCAAUCUAAACCAUACAAUCUAUGUCGGUUUGAUCCAAUGGCUCACGUCCACUUGAGGGGACUAUAAAACCAAGGCCAAACCCCCCCCCUGGAGGGAGGAGAAGAGAAGAAAUCAUUAUUCAGAGGUAGCCAUCAAAGUUAGGGUUUAGAGCUUCUCUCCCACAGAGAAUUAGAAUUAGCUACUCCCUAAUCCUUCAAGUUUAGAGGUUUGAUUAGAUAGCAAUUAGAGAAGUAGAGCACUACGCUCUGGAUUCGGAUCUUCGGUAAUAAAGAUUGGUAUUAUUCAUAUCUUUCUCUAAUUCUUUGUUCUAAUUGCAUUAUGUCUCUAAUUAUUAUGUUCUUAGUUUGCUCUAGUUCUAUAUUUGAUAUAGUUCUAAUUGAUAAUGAGUUUAUGUAUAAGUUUGCAAAGCGCUUAGCUCUUGACGCGAGGGAGUUAGGUGAUAGAUCACAUGUGAGCGUGGUGCUUAGAUGUUAUUUAUCUGCAAAUGUAUCCUAUUGGCCGGCUCGUGUGGUAGUUCGCGAUAGUGACAGCUUCGUUGAUUCUUAUAUAGUCCACCCUCUGUUGAUAGGACAGGCAGAACCAGUAUUGUGGAGUAAGUCAUGCGAUGCUCUGAUUUACUUUAUCAAUGUUCCUUAUACAUGAAUGAAGAGUCUUUUAUGCUAUAUAUGAUCUUGUAGAUAACUAGAGUAGAUUAUGACUUAGUAGUUAGUAGAUAACUUAGAAUCCAUUCUCUAGCUAAUCCGACAUCACCUACAUAUAUGAGGAGUAGUCUAUUUUCUAAUCGCUGUGUUAUCUACCCAUGAACUUAUACUUUAUUAUCAUUAUCUUUAUGGUUUACCCCCUGCUAAAGUAAGUGACUGUGUGACGAGUUUCUCAUUAGUAAUCAUGUUCUUGGAAGUUUAUCUCUAGUCUAUGCCUUGAUAGAUUUUGCCCCUUGAUUUAAUUUCAUCUUCUUUAGAUCACUUGAGCAAAAUUAUAAAUAACGAUACCUGGAAUACUUAUCCUGGUGAAAUGCUACAAUGAGGUGUUUUAUCCGUGCGCUUGCGGAUAGAAUAGAUUAUUUUCUAGAGAGCCUUUACAUUUAUAAAUACCUUUGUACACUCUGGCGCCAUGCUAGGGAUGACAACCUAGUAUCUAAGUGGUGUUAGCUAGUGUCAACAACAACCAAUUUAAAAGACUAUAUGAUGCGUAGCGUCUAAAAAGGGUAUGCAGACAAAGGCAAAGCAUCUACUUCUCUCUCAUAACCAACUUCCGAAUCUCGAGGACGAGAUUCAUCUUAGAUUGGAUCUAUAUACAUGUUUAGGAUCGUAUAGCAUUUAUCCAUCGGAUCCAUGGGUAAAUGAUAGAUAUUGUGUAGGCGUGGUGCUUAUACCGUAUUUAUCUGCGAUUGUACCCAAUAUGCCAGAUCGUGGGGUAGUUCGUGAUAGUGACAGCUUCAUUGAUUCUUAUAUAGUCCCCCUCUAGUGUAUUGGGCUGGCAGAGCAACAUUAUUACAGGGGAGUGAUUGCUAUGUUUCUCAUUUACCUUGAUAAUAUCACUAUGCAUGGGCGUAGUCUUGUCUCACAAUGAUUGCUAAGUAUAAUUGCACUAACUAUGGUAUGCUAGAAUAUAUAGUUAAGAAUAACUUAGGAAAUAUUCUUGUAGUUCAUUCUAAUUCCAUGCUAAUGACUUGCUAGAAUAUCUAAUUGAGGUGCUUAUCAUAUUUAUAUGUGGCAAAGUUAUACUGAUCAAAUUAAUUAUCUUUGUCACUAUUCAUUACUUUAUAUCCUUUAUGUGACACUUAUCCCUGUAUGAAAGAGUUAGAUAAAUGUUCUCAAUUAUACAUGCAAUGAUAGAUACUCAAUCUUAUAUUCCAUUCUAUAAUCAACAUUGAUGAUUACUAAUCCCUUCCUAGUGGUAAAAAUAUAAAUAACGAUACCUGGAGUACUUCCCGGUUAAAAUGCUACAUCGGUAUUAAUCUGUACGCUUGUAGAUCCCAUUCAUUAUUUAUUUAGAUGAGCAAUUGCAUAUUUCAAUACCGCGUCUCUUAUGUCAUGCUGGGGAUGACAACUUGGCUUAAGUGGCAUGAGGGAUAGGUUUGGCAUUUUUGGCACCGUUAUCAGAAUUAGAAAACUAAGUCUACUUUUAGUAAUGAUGUUAAGAAUACCCAACAGGCGCCAUGGACGACAGCAUCGGAGAGGGAGAGGGGAAGGUGGCGCGCUCACCACUGCGAAAAUCGAAGGCAGAGACGGCUUGGUUCGGCCGGACAGCGGGCGGUGGAUCGCGGCGGUGCUCCGGCGGUUGCUGCAAGCUCUGGAACGAGUGUAGAGGUGGGGAAGAGAGCGAAAUGGGAGCGGCAGGGGCGGCUCGGGCUCGUGCACGUCCAAAAGAGCAAAGCGCUGGGGGAGAAGGGAUCGUGGGGGAUGUGAGAGCGGGCGCGGCUCGAUCGGUCGUUGCCGAGAACGAAGAGAGGGGAAAGGAGCGGUUGGAUGGAGGAUGAAGCCUGACCAACGGGCCCCACUUGUCGGCGAGAGAAAGAGAGGGAGAGGGAAGGGGUGACCGGAUGGGCUUUGGCCCAAGAAGAGAGAAAAGAGGGGGGCGCGGGGUUGGGCCCUGCAGGCCGAAAACAAUAGAGGAGGGAAUGAAAAGUUUUCCUUUUUUUUCAUUUUCAAACCAAAUUUUCAAAUGCAUUUCCAAAAUGAAUUUUUGAGCAAAUUGACACUUUGUUUUUAAAAACAUCAUCACAAAUAAAAAAACACCAGCAUGUAUGCAACAAAAUAUUUCCUAAACUUAGAUUAGGUUUUAAUUUCUCAAAAUUUAUUAUUUUCCUAAAUUGCAAUGCUUCACCAAAAUUACUUAAUAAAUUCAAAUUCAUCUAUUUAAAAGAAAACAAAUUUUUGGUUGUUACAAUUCUACCCCCCUUAAAAUGAAUCUCGUCCUCGAGAUUUGGAAGAGGCUCAGAUCCUUUGAUAGAAAUAGGAAAAUAUCUUGAUAAUCCUUUCAUCUUCACAACUUGUAUACCAAACUUAAACACUUGUCUCAAGGUCACAUCUCGUGAACAAUAUUUCCAUUGAAUAACUAUUAUUCAUAAUUGACCAAAGUCCAUCUUGACUACUAAUUUCUUUUAGCUUACAACUCCAAGAGACAUGGAAACUUAAUAUGCAUUUGCCUCCUCACGUAGGAGUGGACCACCAUGAUACUCAAUUCUUUUUCCUGACGGUGCUAUUAAGAGCAUUUUGUACUGGGUACCAUAGAUCACUCUUUUGUGUGCACACAACCAUCCAUUACCAAGGACCAAGGGAAUACCAAGUGACUCUAGCACAAUGAGGUUUACAGUGAAGUUUUCCUUGUUUAUGACCAGAUUGAUAUUUGAGCACACCUGAUCUGCUUGUAUUUCUCCCACUGGGGUUUGAACUAACAAAGGCUUCCUCGUUGGGCACUUCACCCUCUCGAUUGUCUUUACGAGGUCGGUGGAAAUGAAAGAAUGUGAAGCACUCGAGUCAAAUAGAGCAAAAACUAGCACUGAGUCUACUUGAAUAUAGCCACCAACCACUUUGGUAGCUCCAUGAAUGUUAUGCCUAUCCACAGUGCUCAGUCUUCCAUUGAUAUAAUUUCAUUGCAACUUGUUGACGGUCCUUAAGUACUAAAAUUAAUAAUCAAAUAAACAUGAAAAAGGAUCAAUAUGAAACAAACAUCUAGAAUUAGGGUUUUAUCUGACAGAAUUCCACGAGCUUUGGUGUUUAUCUAUUUCUGCAGGGGGUUAUCAGAGAAUAUGGAGAGAAGGCCCACAUGUCAUGUAUACAACGAGAUAAUUAUGUGCCGUGCAAUUUUCCUCAAUCUAGAAGAAUCCAGAAGCCACGGGAACGAACGAGAAGAAGAUCAGGCUCGGGGGCAGGGCGGCCGCCCAACCCCCUUGGGCGCCCGCCCAGGCCAGGAGUCCAAUCAGGACUCUGCUUUGGGACUACGCUCCACCGACCUAAAGGAUCAAUCUAAACCAUACAAUCUAUGUCGGUUUGAUCCAAUGGCUCACGUCCACUUGAGGGGACUAUAAAACCAAGGCCAAACCCCCCCUGGAGAGAGGAGAAGAGAAGAAAUCAUUAUUCAGAGGUAGCCAUCAAUGUUAGGGUUUAGAGCUUCUCUCCCACAGAGAAUUAGAAUUAGCUACUCCCUAAUCCUUCAAGUUUAGAGGUUUGAUUAGAUAGCAAUUAGAGAAGUAGAGCACUACGCUCUAGAUUCGGAUCUUCGGUAAUAAAUAUUGGUAUUAUUCAUAUCUUUCUCUAAUUCUUUGUUCUAAUUGCAUUAUGUCUCUAAUUAUUAUGUUCUUAGUUUGCUCUAGUUCUAUAUUUGAUAUAGUUCUAAUUGAUAAUGAGUUUAUGUAUAAGUUUGCAAAGCGCUUAGCUGUUGACGCGAGGGAGUUAGGUGAUAGAUCACAUGUGAGCGUGGUGCUUAGAUGUUAUUUAUCUGCAAAUAUAUCCUAUUGGCCAGGUCGUGUGGUAGUUCGCGAUAGUGACAGCUUCGUUGAUUCUUAUAUAGUCCACCCUCCGUUGAUAGGACAGGCAGAACCGGUAUUGUGGAGUAAGUCAUGCGAUGCUCUGAUUUACUUUAUCAAUGUUCCUUAUACAUGAAUGAAGAGUCUUUUAUGCUAUAUAUGAUCUUGUAGAUAACUAGAGUAGAUUAUGACUUAGUAGAUAGUAGAUAACUUAGAAUCCAUUCUCUAGCUAAUCUGACAUCACCUACAUAUAUGAGGAGUAGUCUAUUUUCUAAUCGCUGUGUUAUUUAUCCCUUGAACUUAUAAUUCAUUAUCAUUAUCUUUAUGGUUUACCCCCUGCUUAAGUAUGUGACUGUGUGACGAGUUUCUCAUUAGUAAUCAUGUUCUUGCAAGUUUAUCUCUAGUCUAUGCCUUGAUAGAUUUUGCCCUUAAUUUCAUCUCCUUAGUUCUCUCGAGCAAAAUUAUAAAUAACGAUACGUGGAAUACUUAUCCUGGUGAAAUGCUACAAUGAGGUGUUUUAUCUGUGCGCUUGCGGAUAGAAUAGAUUAUUUUCUAGAGAGCCUUUACAUUUAUAAAUACCUUUGUACACUCUGGCACCAUGCUGGGGAUGACAACCUAGUAUCUAAGUGGUGUUAGCUAGUGUCAACAAGCAUUUCUGGCGCCGUUGCCGGGGAAGUCUCAUAAGAAAGUCAUAAAGGGAACAAAAGGGUAAUACUCAGGAACGGUAAGGAAAGCCAGAAAAUCAGUCAAGGUUGUUCAUAUAUAAAAUAUUAGACUAGACUAUAGAGAAAUAAUUGCAUAAAAACAGCUACUAAGUGAGAAAUCAUAACAAGGCACCUCUGCUUUAGCAGGUUCACCCUGUUGUUUUUCUAUGUUUUUAUUUUUAUACAGGGUAUAUCAGGAUUGACUUUGGGUACAUUCAACUCUUCAUCAUCAGAACCAAAGCAAUCAGGAGAAGAAGAAGCUAGCUACCAAUUGCUGAAGCUAUGGCACAGAAGACCCUACAAGAAUUCUCUGCUCCAAGUCUUGACAACAAUCCAACUGGUCCAAGAUUUGUAGUAGAAGAAGGAGUACCCGAGUUUGAGCUCAAGUCAAGCCUCAUCAAUUUGGUGCAAGCUACACAAUUCAGUGGAAAGGCACAUGAAGAUGCUAGUACACACUUGAUAUAUUUCUUAGAGAUUGGAAGCACAAUCCACAUCAAUGGAGUUUACAAAGAUGUCAUACUGCUUCGCCUUUUUCCAUUCUCACUAGAAGGGAAAGCGAGGAAGUGGUUCUACACUCAUCAAUAUAACAUCAACAACUGGACGAACUUGUCAGAUGCCUUUCUAUCAAAGUUUUUCCCUAUAGGCAAAACAACUGCCUUAAGAGGAAAUAUUGUCAGUUUCCAACAACAGAAGACAGAAGCCAUCUCAGAAGCAUGGGAGCGUUUUUAGGGAUACAUAUCAGAUUGUCCUCACCAUGGAAUGGCCACAUGGUUACUAAUGCAGACCUUCUACCAUGGAUUAACCCAGAAGGCUCGUGAGUGCCUAGAUGCAUCUGCUAAAGGAUCAUUCUUGGAGCUUACAAUUGGAAAAGCAGAGAUACUUUUGGAUAAGAUAGCAGAAAAUCAAAGUUGGUUCCAAGAUAAAGCUCAACAAUGUCAUCAAACUGAAGAAAUACCAGAAGAAGUAAAUGCAUUAUCAACCAAGAUGGAAAAUUUGCUCCAUUGGAUUGACCAGAGGGCCAAGUUCAAAGAAGAUCAAAGGGCCAUUGAGACAGCAUACAAAUAUCAACCAACUUCGAGUCAACCCAAUAGCAAAGGUAUGAAUUCAGGUAAUACUUUCAAGCAACUUUCAUUAAAAGAGAUAAUUGCUCAACAAACCAAAAUUAAUGAUGAAGUUAAACAGAGGCUAGAUACAAAUGAAUCAUCUCUAAAAGAUAUACACAAUAAAAUGGAUUCUCUACUAACUGCCUUUGAUGAGCAAAACACUCUUAAUAAAAGGGUAGAGCUUAAAUUAAUAAAGAUAGCUGCUGCACUGCCUGUUGCUACUAACAUUGAGCAGGUAAAGAACAUAACUACUAGAGGAGGCAAAGCCACCAGAGAUCCCCCAUACCCAAAAGAGAAACAAAGAACAUCAGCACCAGUGCAACCAGCAGUGAUAGAAGAAAAAAGCCCAGUUGAAGCAGAAGAUCUGCUACAACCACCAAGAACUGGAGAAAUGAGGAAAGAUUUUUACGACACCAACUAUUUGCCAUUUCCCAGAAGAAAUAGAGGACUGCAGUCAGAUGAGCAGUUUGGUAAGUUUGUAGAGGUCAUUCAGAAAUUAUAUGUCAACAUACCUCUGCUCGAUGCCAUACAGGUACCUACAUAUGCAAAGUACAUCAGAGAUAUUCUUAACAAGAAGAGACCACUGCCCACCACUGAGGUUAUCAAGCUGACAGAAGAAUGUAGUGCGGCCAUCCUCAAUAAGCCACCAAAGAAGAAGGAAGAUCCCGGAUGUCCCACUAUUGACUGCUCGAUCGGAAACCAACACUUCAACAAUGCACUUUGUGAUCUCGGAGCAAGUGUCAGUGUGAUGCCAGCAUCUGUCUACAAAAAGCUUAAGCAUGCGACCUUAGAACCAACAUCAAUGUGCCUACAACUAGCGGAUCAAUCGGUUCGACACCCAUUGGGCAUUGCCGAGAACAUUCCAGUCAAGAUCAGAGAUUUCCUUGUGCCAGUAGACUUCGUAGUACUGGACAUGAGUCCUGACUCAAAAGUGUCCAUCAUUCUUGGAAGGCCAUUUCUGAGCACUGCCAAUGCCCACAUUGAUGUCGGGAAAGGACAAAUCAAGUUCAACAUAAAUGAACGAGAAGAACACUUCACAUUCAAACCCAGACCAGAGAGAGACUCUACAGUAAAGGAAGUUCAUGAAGAACCACUGGAGACACCAUCUCCGGAGGAAGGUAAUUCAGAAGAUUAAACGAUUUGGAGGUCCAACUUGGGGGACCUAAAAAUCCCAAACCCUCGCCAGGAGGUAAAUCGGUAUUUAUCUGCAUCACUAAUUCUUGCAUAAUUAAAUCAUGCAUUAGUCAUAUACAUUCAUAGCAUUAUUAUAAUAAUCAAAAGCCCCGUAUAAAUAAUAUUCAUGGUGUGUAACAACCCAUAUUUAUUAAUUAUUGUGGAGGCACAAAAAAAAUAUAUUUUCCAUUAUCAUUUUAAUUUUCAAUUCUCAUAGAUUUUCCUGCAUUAUAUUUAAUUAUAGUAGCCUUCUAGAAGCAUGACCCACACUCUUUGGGUCCCACAUGUCAUACACUUCACCUCACAUACAUCCCAUCACAUAAUUUCAUCCACCAAUAUGUUUCCACUCACCAGACAUCUUUCCACCGUCCAACCACCACCAACACAAUAAUAUUCUGCGUGAGAUCAAAGCAAGGAAGCAAGUGGAGGAGGCACACCCAGGAUGGACACCAGGGGUGGACGCCCGCCCACCUACCCAGGGCGCCCGCCCUGUCCCCUGCUCAGCUUAUAAAAGGCCACCUCCAGCUCCCCUUCUCUUCACACACACAUUUCAGAAAACCUUGCAAGCUCGGUUUCCAGAGAAUAGCUCUGAGUGUGAGAAAGUUGGGAGUUCGUUUGAGUGAGAGAGUGAGUAUCACCUAGCAAAUAAUGAUCCCGCUGUCUAAGCGGAAGUAAAAGUUGUUUAGGGGGAGGCUCUACCAAAAUAGAAACUUGUCUUGAACGAUUAACCCCUGGACUACUGACAUUCCGGAAAGCUGACCACUAACAUUUUCUCUCACAUUUUCCACUAGUUGUGUUUUUGCCAACUUUUGUUUGCAGGAUGUUUAAGAAGGUGAAGAACGCAGGGAAGGCUCUCAAGAACAUUGGUACAAGGAGUUCAGCCCGACACUCCUCACAGCCAUCAGAAAUGAGCGUCGACCCGACACCCACACAAGCUCCAUCAUCUUCAUCAGGUCAGCAAGUUAAGGUCCUUCUCAAGAUAGGAGACCUUGGACUGAAGACCCGAAGGGAGAAGGAAGUCUAUCAGCAAUUGAAGAACAAAGAUUUCAUUCACACCCCUACUCUCGAUCCAAUCUUACUACAAGAAACAGGUAUGGACACUGAAUUUGACUUAAUUUUCCAGAUGAUAGGUUGGACCAAUUUUUGGAAUAUAACUGAGCUAGGUUCUCGUCUUCUCACCCUCGAAUUUCUUUGCACUUUACAAUACUAUGAGGGGGGAAUUGUUUUUCGGAUGUUCAAACAGGAGAUUAUGUUGUCUUGGAGAGAGCUGAGCGACCAUCUUGGUUUGUCUUCAAGAUGCAUCCUGAACAUUGACUCCGACCUACCUAUCUUUGAGAGACACCAGUUUUGGAGAGAAAUAUCUAGAGAAAAUUUUUAUAGUCAAGCCCGAACCAGUGACAUGGAACACCCCACUCUUAGGAUGUUCCACAAAUGGCUUGGGUACAAUCUUUUCUAUCGUGAUGAUAUUAGAAAAGUAAGAGUAGGAGAUUUACAACUUUUAUAUGCUGCUAUUAAUAAAGUACCCACUUCACCUGUUACACUAUUAGUUUCUCAUUGGCUUAGUAUACCUAGUCUUCAGGGACCAAUAGGAUGUACUUCACUUAUCACUCGUCUAGCCUUUAAUCUUCACUUACUAGAAAACUCAUCGUUGGACUUCAUAGAUGAGUUAAGAAUUUAUCAUGGCUAUGACACAUUUAGGCAAGCUCGGAUGUUAAAGAAAGAGGGGAAUAUAAUAUAUAUGCUAUAUGAUGAUAAAGGCAAGAUUCGGUUACCUAACCCGAACCUUGGCCUCUAUGUUGUUGAAAACUUUUUGAUUUAGAUUGCAGCAACACCAGUGAACCAGAGAACUCCACAGCGAGUGGCAUCUGAAAGGAUGACCACCCACCGAGAACGCACCUGGUAUGGAGCUGACCAUGGACCAGAAGAAGCAGCGCACCUGCAUUAUUGCGAUUACAACCCUCGAGUCCUUCGAGACCCAUGGGUUCGACAUGCGCAACCACAAGAGCCAACAGAGGAGACAUGGCCGGAGAGCCAAGAUCACCAGUGGACAAACCCGCCUUUUCAUACGGGCAGGUACUCCACUGAUCCAUAUGGAGCUUCAGGAUCCAGACCUCCACCCCAAUUUGAUGCAGGACGAUACUCUGACGCCUCCUACGCUUUCACGAAUGACUACUACCAAGAGGCCGGUGCUUUCUUCACUCGUACCGACAAUACCCUCCUUAACAUCUAGAACACGCAAGCAGAACAAGGAAGACUCCUUGAAGAACAAUAAAAAUGGAACCAGGACCAUGCCACUGCAGUAGAAGAGCUGAGACAAGAUACAACAACAAUGAACGACAACAUCACAACUAUGAUGCGGUUCUGGAACAUCGGGUAAGACCGACGACAACAUCCAGCUUGGGGGAGUUCCUCCCCAAUUUAUCAAGUAAGUUUUUAUUUGCUCUUCUUAUUUAUUCUUUUCUGUUUUAGUUUAUUUUAUCUUAAGAGAAAAAACUUAGAAAACCCAAUAAAUAUUUUCUUGCUUUAAUUUACUACAUUCUAUAAACAUGAAAACAAAAUAAAAAGAGUGUGUAGAUAAGUGUGUUUUAUUUUUGUACUAAGUUUAAUCUCUAGAAAAAACAAAAAGACCAAAAAGAUGCAUGAUGGAAAUAAUGAACAGUUGCUCUGUUUACUUACUUUCAAGCACCUAGCUUUUAUAUUAGAGUUCUUCCAGGAAUUACUAAAACUGAAAUUACUAUCUUUGGGAAGCAUAAAACUAAAGUCUAGGUAAGAGAAAGGCAUAAUAUAAAGUUUGAGCUGCUGUUUAUCUUGUUCCUACUACACUAAGUUCUAGAGAUUUAUUUUGAAAACUUGCAAAUCACAUGAUGAGUUCCUAGCAUAACAAACUACCUACCACAGCCAUACUUGCUAUAACAUCUUUUACUAUAUUUACAUUGAGUUUGAUCGAGCUGUGUAGACCCUUAGGAGCUUUUCAUGUGGUUAAAUUAAGAUAUUCACUUGCACACAUCUACCACAGCAUUCAUUACCAUUCAUUAAAAUUGCUAAAAAUAUUAUCACUCACUGUCCCGAAUAUUGUUAUUCUCUCUCUAAAAAGAUUCAAUGCAGAAGAGGCAUGGGUUAUGCAAAAAUAUGCGAGGAAAUAAAAAGGGGCAAGUGCCCGGAACCUCUAUAAAAGAAAAAGAGUGAGACGAGAGGUAAAAAUGGACAAGUGUCCGAAGUAGAAUUAGGGGUACAAAGAUGCCCACUUGAGCGGAAAAAAAUGGACAAGUGUCCGACAGUAGAAUUAGGGGUAUCUACUACCCACCUGAAAAAAAAGAAAAAAAAGAUAGCCCAUGUUCUCCCAAAGCAAAGAUCAAAGAAGAGGAGAGAUAGCAAUAUGAGGAGCAAUAAGAAUUAAGUUUUAUUAUCACUUAUAUAUCUUCACCAUCACUACCAUUUACUCCACCACACAUGCACAUCUUGAUUUAAUUAUAUGCUGAGUUCCUUUGGAUCCAUGGCUCGAUUAGACAACAUAUGUAUGAGCUGUUUUUCACUCCUAUGAGCUCCACUUAAAUAUUCCACUAGCUAUAGGUAAGUGACAUUUUUGGUAAGGAUCCACAAAUACCACAUAUAGAGAGACUUGAGAGAAUCAUUGCUGGGAACUCUGAGUUUUAUUUUGAAAACUUAUGAAAAACUCUAGAACAAAGGUGAAGUAUAGACAGGGGGAAUAGUGCUUGACUUAACUAUUUUGUCUUUCGAUCACUUAAGAUUUAAGUGCAGGUACUAAACUCCAUAACACUUCACUCUAAUCUGGAAGGAUUUUUUAUGCAAAAGCAUGUGUGCCUGUCAGGAAAGAAAACAUCGAAGCAACUCCUGAUCCGUCUGAGUUUAGCUAUUUGCUCAGGGACGAGCAAAAGGGUAAGCUUGGGGGAGUUUGUUGACGGUCCUUAAGUACUAAAAUUAAUAAUCAAAUAAACAUGAAAAAGGAUCAAUAUGAAACAAACAUCUAGAAUUAGGGUUUUAUCUGACAGAAUUCCACGAGCUUUGGUGUUUAUCUAUUUCUGCAGGGGGUUAUCAGAGAAUAUGGAGAGAAGGCCCACAUGUCAUGUUUACAAUGAGAUAAUUACGUGCCGCGCAAUUUUCCUCAAUCUAGAAGAAUCCAGAAGCCACGGGAACGAACGAGAGCACGAUCGGGCUCGGGGGCAGGGCGGCCGCCCACCCCCCUUGGGCGCCUGCCCAGGGUUGGAGACCAAUCGGGACUCUGCUUCGGGGCAAAACUCCACCGACCUAAAGGAUCAAUCUAAACCAUACAAUCUAUGUCGGUUUGAUCCUAUGGCUCACAUUCACUUGAAGGGACUAUAAAACCAAGGCCUCUCCCCCCCUGGAGGAGAGAGGAGAAGAGAAGAAAUCAUUAUUCAGAGGUAGCCAUCAAAGUUAGGGUUUAGAGCUUCUCUCCCACAGAGAAUUAGAAUUAGCUACUCCCUAAUCCUUCAAGUUUAGAGGUUUGAUUAGAUAGCAAUUAGAGAAGUAGAGCACUACGCUCUGGAUUCGGAUCUUUGGUAAUAAAGAUUGGAAUUAUUCAUAUCUUUCUCUAAUUCUUUGUUCUAAUUGCAUUAUGUCUCUAAUUAUUUUGUUCUUAGUUUGCUCUAGUUCUAUAUUUGAUAUAGUUCUAAUUGAUAUGAGUUUAUGUAUAAGUUUGCAAAGCGCUUAGCUCUUGACGCGAGGGAUUUAGGUGAUAGAUCACAUGUGAGUGUGGUGCUUAGAUGUUAUUUAUCUGCAAAUGUAUCCUAUUGGUCGGGUCGUGUGGUAGUUCGCGAUAGUGACAGCUUCGUUGAUUCUUAUAUAGUCCACCCUCCGUUGAUAGGGCAGGCAGAACCGGUAUUUGUUGACGGUCCUUAAGUAUCAAAUUUAAUUAUCAAAUAAAUAAAGAAAAGGAUCCAAAUGAAAUCAAGAUCUAGACUUAGGGUUUUAUCUGACAGAAUUCCACGAGUUUUGGUGUUUGUCUAUUUCUGCAGGGGGUUAUCAGGAAAUAUGGAAGAAAGGCCCACAUGUCAGGAUUACGUAAAGAUAUUAACGUGCUGCGCAAUUAUCUUACAUCUAGAAGACUCUAGAAGCCACGAGACUGAAGCGGAGGCGAAACGGGGCCAGAGGCAGGGCGCCCGCCCUGUCCUACUGGGCGCCCGCCCCCUGUCCAAGUCCAAUCAGGACUCUGCUUUGCGGGAAGUCUCCACCGACCUAAAGGAUGAAUCUAAACCAUACAAUCUAUGUCGGUUUGAUCCAAGGGCCCAUAUUCACUUGAAGGGACUAUAAAACCAGACCCCCUGGCCCCUGGAGGAGAGAGCCUCUCAACCCUAAUUCAUUGUUCCAUCAAGGGAGAAGCUACCUCUGAUCGAGAUUAGAGCCACCACAUCAAUUAGAUAUCUAGAUUAGCAUAGCUACAUAGGAUUAGAACUAGAAGGAAUCUUGGUAAUUCUCUAAUUGUGCUUCUAAUUGCUUUCUAAUUAUCUUUGUUCUUCAAUAUUAUGAAUAUGACUUUGUUCUACUUCAAUAUAUUGCUUAUGACUUUGCUCUAUUUGCUCAUAUUCAAGAUUAUAUUGUUCUUAGUUUAUCAUAGUUAUGUACUUGGCUUAGUUAGAUACGAUCUAUAUACAUGCUUAGGAUCGUAUAGCGUUUAUCCAUCGGAUCCAUGGGUAAAUGAUAGAUAUUGUGUAGGCGUGGUGCUUAUACCGUAUUUAUCUGCGAUUGUACCCAAUAUGCCAGAUCGUGGGGUAGUUCGUGAUAGUGACAGCUUCAUUGAUUCUUAUAUAGUCCCCCUCUCGUGUAUUGGGCUGGCAGAGCAACAUUAUUACAGGGGAGUGAUUGCUAUGUUUCUCAUAUUCCUUGCUAAUAUCACUAUGCAUGGGCGUAGUCUUGUCUCACAAUGAUUGCUAAGUAUGCUUGCACUAACUAUGAUAUGCUAGACUACAUAGUGAAGAAUAACUUAGGGAAUAUUCUUGUAGUUCGUUCUAAUACCAUGCUAAUGACUUUCUAGAGUAUCUAAUUGAGGUGCUUAUCAUAUUUAUUAUGUGGCUAGAUCAGAUUAGUUAUCCUUGUCACUAUUAUUAUUUCAUAUAUCUUUUAUGUGACACUUAUCCCUGUAUGAUGAGUUAGAUAUAAUGUUCUCAAUUAUACAUGCAAUGAUAGAUGCUCAAUCUCAUAUUCUAUUCUGUAAUCAAUAGUGAUGAUUUCUAAUCCCUUCCCAGUGGUAAAAAUAUAAAUAACGAUACCUGGAAUACUUCGCGGUUAAAAUGCUACAUCGGUAUUAAUCUGUGCGCUUGCAGAUCCCAUUCAUUAUUUAUUUAGAAGAGCAAUUGCAUAUUUCAAUACCGCGUCUCUUAUAUCAUGCUGGGGAUGACAACUUGGCUUAAGUGGUGUAAGGGAUAGGUUUGGCAUUUUUGGCACCGUUACUAGAUUUAGAGAACUUAGUCUACUUUUAGUAAUGAUGUUAAGAAUACCCAACAAGCAUUUUUGGUGCCGUUGCCGGGGAAGGUUGAUUACCAAUCAGGAAUAGAAUAAAAGAUUUAGAGUAAUCAUUCGGAUCACUAAUAUGAUUGAGCUUAUCUAUUCUCUCAUACAGUUUUACCCCGAUAUUUUUCUAUUUUAUCUUAUGCAGGGGAAUGUAUGAAUAGAAGACAUCUUCCAGGGAAUUUUGUUGACAAUCCUGAAGCAUUAUUCAAGAAGACGAGAGCCAAGCUAAAGAAAUCAUCAACACUUCACGAAGAAGCUUCAUCCAAUCAAGAAGAUCACCGGAACUUGUCUUCAGAGUUCGAAGCCAUGGCGAACAAAUCAAUCCGCGAGUUCUCAGCUCCCACUAUGGACAACAUCCGCACUGGAACUGCUGCAGAGAUCGAUGGCAACUUUGAGCUCAAUCCUGGACUUAUCAACAUGGUGCAAUCCAACCAGUUCUGUGGGAAGGCACACGAAGAUGCUAGUGCUCAUUUACAACACUUCCUGGAGAUUUGCAACACAUUCACCAUAGCAGGAGUUUCCAAAGACGCUAUACUACUUCGCCUCUUCCCAUUCUCACUGUUAGGAAGAGCGAAGCAGUGGUUCUACGCUACAAAGGAGAAGAAUACUACGUGGGCACUCUACUCAACAAACUUCCUAGCUAAGUUCUUUCCCAUGGGCAAGACCAAUGCUCUCCGUGGGAAGAUUACAAGUUUUCAGCAACAAAAUGAUGAAUCUGUUCCAGAAGCAUGGGAGCGCUUUCAAGACUACAUCCUAGAAUGUCCCCAUCAUGGAAUGGAGAGUUGGCUAUUGAUGCAGACGUUUUAUCAUGGGCUCAGCAACAGUGCCCGAGAGACCAUGGAUGCUGCAGCUGGAGGAGCAUUCUUAUCACUUACUAUACCACAAGCCACAGCUCUUGUGGAGAAGAUGGCGUCCAAUCAAAGCUGGAAUGAAGAGAGGACCCAGACACGCAAGAGAGGUGGAGGUAUGCAUCAGCUGAAGGAGGUAGACAUGCUGUCUACAAAGCUAGACCUGCUCAUGAAGAAGCUCGAUGAUAGAGCUGGAGACAAGAAAGAAGUUAUGCACAUCUACGACUCUCACAUGACUUGUGAGGAGUGUGGAGACACUGGACACUCAGGCAACCACUGCCCUGAGAUACUUGAGGAUGUGAACUACAUCAACAACAACAACUACUACUACAACCGUCCUCAACAAAAUCAAGGUUGGAAUCAACAGAGGCCUAACUACUCAGGUAAUUAUCAAGGUAACAAUUCUUACAACAAUAAUAAUUUUCCACCUUUGAGAGAGUUAGUGUCUAAUCAAGGAAAGCUAAUGGAUAACCUAUCUAAGAAAUUGGCAUCUAAUGAUAAAAUACUAGAAAAUAUAAAUAAUAGAAUGGAUAAUUUCUCUACUGCCAUCAAGAAUCAAAUUAGCUUUAAUAAAAUGAUUGAAUCUCAGUUAAAUCAAAUAGCUGCUGCUGUUCCUACUACUAACCCCGGUAUACCAUCACAACUGGAAGGAUUAGAAUCUGCAAAUCUUGUAGACACGUUUGGUGCAGGUAAUUGGAGUAACCCCGUCACUGAAUUCUCUACUGACCUUCUGCCGGUCAAGAGAGGCGAUCCAGGACGCCCCAUCAUCCCGAUCUCCAUCGGCAUGGUGGACUUCCCAGAAGCACUCUGUGACUUUGGCUCUAGCGUCAACAUUAUACCCAGGGUACUCUAUGAAAAAUUCUUUGCAUAUCCUUUAUUAGAGACAACCAUGUGUUUGCAGUUUGCAGAUCAGACGAUAACUUUUCCAAAAGGAAUAGUGAGGAACCUUUGUGUCCGAGUUGGUACCUUGUAUGCACCAGCAGACUUCGUAGUGGUAGAGACCGGAAAUGAUGAGAGAGCACCUAUCAUCUUAGGGAGGCCAUUCUUGAACACCACGGGAGCUAUCAUCUACGCCAGUGCUACUAAGAUCAGUUUCUACGUCAAAGGGAAGAAGGAACAAGCAAGUGUGGACCGAGUCAGCUAAGAUGGUCACUGUAGUCCAUGGAGGCCAAGAUCACCAACUGAAGUCAACGUUUUUGACCAAGAAGGACGACCCAGGAAUGCCAAGCAUUUACUGCUCCAUAAAUGGAUAUAACUUCUACAAGACGAUUUGCGACACCGGAUCAGGCGUCAACAUAAUGGCCGCAGUCACCUAUCGGCUCUUGUUCGGGACCAUGCCACUAAGACCAACAUACAUUCAGCUCCAGAUGGCAGAUCAGACAUUUCGAGAAGUUCAAGGAAUAGUAUCUGAUGUCCCAGUCAAAAUAGACGAUCACUUUGUCUACACAGACUUUCAAGUUGUUGACAUGGGAGAAGACGAGUAUGAUCCACCCAUCAUCCUUGGAAGGCCGUUCCUCAGCACCGUUAAAGCAAUUAUCUACAUUGGAACCGGAGAAGUCCAUAUGCACUUCCCCUCAGAGAAGGUACGCCGUUAUUUUACUGACCCUAACUAUAUCGUUGAAGAAUCUAAGCAGGUCAGAAAGAGACGCAACCGCAACCAGAGGAGGUAGAUCAUCAAGGACGGAUGGGCAGACUAUGAAGGAGAAGUUGUAAGGUCAGAAGACGUAGAGUUUAAACAGAAUUAUCCAGAGGAGAUUGAAGCACCGAGUCAGGUAUGGAAAAUGAAGAUAACUAUACAAGAAGAGGAGGCGCUGCCGGAAAUACCGACUACGCCACCCAACGAACCUCACGACGAUUAAGAAAUUGGAGAGUCCCGUUCGGAGGACUUAAAAACACCGAACGCCUUGCCAAGAGGUAAACUUGGUAGUUACCCUUUUCCCUUUCAAUUAUUUCAAAUAGUUUACUUAGUUAAUCAUGUUCAUACUAUCUUAAAAAGAAAAUAAAAAUAUGAAAAACAGUAAGCACCAUGUGAGUAUACGAGUGGCAUAAAACCCAUAAGUACAUUCACUGUGGAGGCAUAAAAAUAAAAUAAAUAUUUUUCUGCUUUAUAAAAUGAAAAUAUAAAAACAGGGAGUAAUAAUUAUUAAGGAGUCUCAAGAUGAUGAAGGCUAUAUAUUUAUGCUAACACUUAAUCAGUUCCACAAGCUUUGUUGUCUAUUUGAGCUCCACAGAAUUCAAGAAGACUAGCAGACGGAGGACAUUCUAAUCGCUGUCAGAAUGCUGCUGACUUUCAACUACACCUCUGCCACCUGCUAGCUACAUCGAGAGAAAUUACGUCAAAAUUCAGCUUGGGGGAGAGCACCCCCAUUUAUCCCGAUGAGUAUUUCUAUCUAUCUAUACUUAUAUUAUUAAAUAUAUAAACUAUGAAAAACCAAAUAAAGAUUUUAUGCUUAUAUAUAUGUCUUUUGCUUAGUGUGUUUAAUAAAUAAAUAAAGUGGCUAUGCUAAUCUGUAUCUUAAUAAUAAAACUCUAGCAUGGAUAUGAUGAAUAGUUGCUCUGCCUAAUUUGCACGUUGUAAGUUCUCUCUCAAGUUUAGACAUAACAGUUAUAAUUUAAAGCUUGCUCUAGACCUAAACUUGUGGGAUGAAAACUUGAUCUGAAGUCUAAGUUGUUAACGGAUACGAUAUGGGAAGGCUGAGCUGCUGUUUAUCUGUUCCUAGAGAUGCUAGAAUUCUGGAGAAUUUUAUCUUUGAAAAUCUUUAAAAUGUUGCAUGAUGAGUUCCUGUAUGAUGAGAGCUUAAAUUCCUACCACAGCCAUAUAUACAUGCUUGCUAGACUUUGAGCCACACAUUUAUUAUUUACUGCUUAUGAGCAUUGAGUAUGGUCAAGCUGUGUAGACCCUUAGGAGCUUGUCAUGUGGUUAAAUCAAAAUUUCACUUACACGUUCACUCAUAUAUGCUACUUCUAUUCUGGAAGUACCAUCCACAUAUAUCCACCCAUUCCAUCUCCAGAAUCACCUAAAAAUAUUCUACUCCUAAUCCGGGAGAGAAUAACCAAAAAUAUUUUCUGUUUUCCCUUGUGAAAUAAAUGCUCAAGUUAUCUUGUUACUACCACUUGCUAUAUUAUCUCAAGAGAUGAAUGCUCAAAAAAAAUAAAAAAAAUAAAAUAAAAAAUAAUACGAGGAAAUAAAGAGGAGCAAGUGCUCGGAACCUCGAAAGAAAAGAAAAAGUGAGACGAGAGGUAAAAAUGGACAAGUGUCCGACAGUAGAAUUAGGGGUGCAAGAUACCCACCUGAGAGAAAAGAAAAAGAAGAGCAUCUCAUUCUCCUCAUAAAGUUUCAAAAGGAAGGAAGGUAUGUAUCCCCUCAAAAGAGCAAAGUAGAAUUAGACUUCCACCACCAUUGUUAUCACCAUUGUUAUCACCAUCGUCACCAUAUACCAUACAUUCGCCACACAUGCACAUCUUGAUUAAACUUAUUGACUUGUUACUUUGGAUCCAUGGUUUGACUAUGCAAUAAAUGUCUUGUAAGUAUGUAUAUUUUAUCUCCCACCUAUGAGCUCCAAAUAUUAAAGCCUUAUUAGAGUAGGAUGAGAGAGAAGGCAAUAUCACUAUGCCUCAUACCACAAAUACCACAUAUCUUGAGAGAAGGCAUAUACCAUCAAUGCCUUGGUAAGGAUCCAGAAAUACCACAAAAGAGAGACCUGAGAGAAUCAUACAAGGAAUCUCUGAGUUUUAUUUGAAAAUCUGCAAAAAUCCUAGAGCUAUAGCUGAUCAAGAAUAAGAGACAUGGCACUUGGCUAGACUGUUCUAUCUUUUAACCACUCAAGACAGAAGUGACAGUUACAAGUCCCAUGGUGGAGGUAAAGUAAGUAAGUUUUAAGUCUUGACAGUUUACUCUUACUCAGAGAUAAGAUCUUAUUUAAAAGCAUGUGUACCGUCAAAUUUUUAAAUAUAUUGCAACAACUUAUGAUCCAUAGCUGAGUCUAUCCUUGCUUAGGGACGAGCAAGAGGUAAGCUUGGGGGAGUUUGUUGACGGUCCUUAAGUAUCAAAUUUAAUUAUCAAAUAAAUAAAGAAAAGGAUCCAAAUGAAAUCAAGAUCUAGACUUAGGGUUUUAUCUGACAGAAUUCCAUGAGUUUUGGUGUUUGUCUAUUUCUGUAGGGGUUUAUCAGGAAAUAUGGAAGAAAGGCCCACAGGUCAGGAUUACGUAAAGAUAUUAACGUGCUGCGCAAUUAUCUUACAUUUAGAAGACUCCAGAAGCCACGAGACCGAAGCGGAGGUGAAACGGGGCCAGAGGUAGGGCGCCCGCCCUGUCCUACUGGGCACCCGCCCCCUGUCCGAGUCCAAUCAGGACUCUGCUUUGCGGGAAGUCUCCACCAACCUAAAGGAUGAAUCUAAACCAUACAAUCUAUGUCGGUUUGAUCCAAGGGCCCAUAUUCACUUGAAGGGACUAUAAAACCAGACCCCCGGCCCCUGGAGGAGAGAGCCUCUCAACCCUAAUUCAUUGUUCCAUCAAGGGAGAAGAAGCCUCUGAUCGAGAUUAGAGCCACCACAUCAAUUAGAUAUCUAGAUUAGCAUAGCUACAUAGGAUUAGAACUAGAAGGAGUCAAUCUUUGAUUGGUUUCCGGAUCUGUCAGGAGGAUUCUGGGUAAUUCUCUAAUUGUGUUUCUAAUUGCUUUCUAAUUAUCUUUGUUCUUCAAUAUUAUGAAUAUGACUUUGUUCUACUUCAAUAUAUUGCUUAUGACUUUGCUCUAUUUGCUCAUAUUCAAGAUUAUAUUGUUCUUAGUUUAUCAUAGUUAUGUACUUGGCUUAGUUAGAUACGAUCUAUAUACAUGCUUAGGAUCGUAUAGCGUUUAUCCAUCGGAUCCAUGGGUAAAUGAUAGAUAUUGUGUAGGCGUGGUGCUUAUACCGUAUUUAUCUGCGAUUGUACCCAAUAUGCCAGAUCGUGGGGUAGUUCGUGAUAGUGACAGCUUCAUUGAUUCUUAUAUAGUCCCCCUCUCGUGUAUUGGGCUGGCAGAGCAACAUUAUUACAGGGGAGUGAUUGCUAUGUUUCUCAUAUUCCUUGCUAAUAUCACUAUGCAUGGGCGUAGUCUUGUCUCACAAUGAUUGCUAAGUAUGCUUGCACUAACUAUGAUAUGCUAGACUAUAUAGUUAAGAAUAACUUAGGGAAUAUUCUUGUAGUUCAUUCUAAUACCAUGCUAAUGACUUUCUAGAGUAUCUAAUUGAGGUGCUUAUCAUAUUUAUUAUGUGGCUAGAUCAGAUUAGUUAUCCUUGUCACUAUUAUUAUUUCAUAUAUCUUUUAUGUGACACUUAUCCCUGUAUGAUGAGUUAGAUAUAAUGUUCUCAAUUAUACAUGCAAUGAUAGAUGCUCAAUCUCAUAUUCUAUUCUGUAAUCAAUAGUGAUGAUUUCUAAUCCCUUCCCAGUGGUAAAAAUAUAAAUAACGAUACCUGGAAUACUUCCCGGUUAAAAUGCUACAUCGGUAUUAAUCUGUGCGCUUGCAGAUCCCAUUCAUUAUUUAUUUAGAAGAGUAAUUGCAUAUUUCAAUACCGCGUCUCUUAUAUCAUGCUGGGGAUGACAACUUGGCUUAAGUGGUGUAAGGGAUAGGUUUGGCAUUUUUGGCACCGUUACUAGAUUUAGAGAACUUAGUCUACUUUUAGUAAUGAUGUUAAGAAUACCCAACAGUAUUGUGGAGUAAGUCAUGCGAUGCUCUGAUUUACUUUAUCAAUGUUCCUUAUACAUGAAUGAAGAGUCUUUUAUGCUAUAUAUGAUCUUGUAGAUAACUAGAGUAGAUUAUGACUUAGUAUAUAGUAGAUAACUUAGAAUCCAUUCUCUAGCUAAUCCGACAUCACCUACAUAUAUGAGGAGUAGUCUAUUUUCUAAUCGCUGUGUUAUUUAUCCCUUGAACUUAUAAUUCAUUAUCAUUAUGUUUAUGGUUUACUCCCUGCUUAAGUAUGUGACUGUGUGACGAGUUUCUCAUUAGUAAUCAUGUUCUUGCAAGUUUAUCUCUAGUCUAUGCCUUGAUAGAUUUUGCCCUUAAUUUAAUCUCCUUAGUUCUCUCGAGCAAAAUUAUAAAUAACGAUACCUGGAAUACUUAUCCCGGUGAAAUGCUACAAUGAGGUGUUUUAUCUGUGCGCUUGCGGAUAGAAUAGAUUAUUUUCUAGAGAGCCUUUACAUUUAUAAAUACCUUUGUACACUCUGGCACCAUGCUGGGGAUGACAACCUAGUAUCUAAGUGGUGUUAGCUAGUGUCAACACACCUUACUUCCGUGAGUAGGCUUCUUACGGCUUUUCCUUUUUCUCUUUCGUCGUUGUGGAUUCUGAUUUGAUUCACUUCCAACUUGCUCUUCAGUAUCAUUAUUUUGAUAGUACUCAAUUUCAUCAUACUCAUAACAUCCUUCAAGGGUAGGAUCAUCAUUCUCUUCCCAUGUAUGAGUAAGAUGUAUCAUAUAGGGCUUCUGAUCCAUGGGAUACUACACUCCCUGUCAUCAAGUGACCAACGUCAAUAACACGAGAAGGAGAGAUGAUCAUAAUCAUAGAAUAUCUCAAGAGACAACUCUCUCUUCAAGAUAAGUUGAAAAUGCAUCAACCCGUGAUAUCAAGGUUCUACCCCCCUUAAGAAAGGUCGACUAGGAGUCACAAGGAAGGUAGCUUGGACUUUUUCUUGACAAGUUAUCUUGCAUUGAGACCUUUUGACAUCCCAAGGAACUUAUGUGCAAGGAAGAAUUAAAUAUCCUGAAAUUUCCUCGCGAUAAGAACAUCACCAGCACAGUAAAAUGGACAUAACUCUUGUUCUGUUAAUCCAAUAGGGUUAUAGCUUAUACCAUUAGAAAGCUUGACAACUUAUCUAAAACUUUGCUGUAGAACACCUUUCCAAAAUCUAUAAUUGUAUUUGUCCCAAACAGUAAGCAACCGAAACUGGUCAGAUUCUUGACAACACCACUGUAUCAUCUUGUGAUUUUCAUAACUCCAAUACCAUAAUAGCUAUGGGGGUGCUUCUUGAGGUCAGAGAAAGAUCUUGAAGUCUGUUAUCAUACAGAAUUUUGUCAUGAUUUUCGGUCAUCCAAGAUCAAAGUUAUGAACUGAUAAAGAAGUGAUACUCUAGAAAGGCUUGAUAAGGUAACAAGAGAAAAACCAAAACCCAACUAUUUAUGUUAUUAGUCCUUAUGCCUUAGACAUAUAAACUAAAUGAAAUUGUGAAGAAACUCACAAAAUCAUUACACUCAUUACAAAGAUCCAAAUCAAGCAUAAACAUAAAGACAAUUCAACCACACAGUAAAGGUUCACAAGGCACACAAACUCGACUUUCGCUACUAGCGUUUUUAUUACACAAGGGCACAAACUCCUAUAUCUUAAACUCAGUUUGGCUACUUUCAUGAUGCAUCUAUUGAUUCCUCUGUGGACAAGAGUUUACUUAGUCUCCUUCCUGUCGGCAGUGAUAACACUUUUUCUUAGCUGGAUCAUUCGUGAUAUCAUUUUCCACUGAGGUGUUGCUCGGUGUGUUAUCAGCUCGCUGACUCUGAAGGUUUAUCUCUGGCUGGCUAGCUUUCUUCCUAACUUGGUUGAUCCUUCGAGGUUGAAACUCUUUAUAAGUGAUGGUCCAUCCAUCUAUGCAUACCUCAUGAGCAGUGGGGAUAGCUUGAGAAGUUCCUUCAUCUCCAAGGUUUGGAUUUUCGUGGCUAGAGUUCAAAGCUAAAUGUGACAACUUAGGAUUUUAAUGUUGUUCACUUCCCAAUGCUGGCUCUAGUGAUUUUGCCUUCCUCUUCCUAUCCUCAUUAGUCACACAAUUUGGUUUUGCCUUAACUUCCUUUUUGGAUGACCUAUUCUGAAGACAAGGAAGACCAUAAUGCCUACAACAAUGGCAUUGAUCCUGAUAUCCCGAUGUAUUACCACCAACACCUCCAUAGGUUCUCAUAUUUUUCCAAGCUUCUGCUACUUGUUUCUUCACUGGUCCUGAGAUGCACUGUUGAGAGUUCCCAUUCUGAGUCAUUCCUUCCACUACUUGCUUUUGCAUGGCUAGAAGCUUCUCCUUGUCAAAUGCUUUUAUGGGUGGCUGUUGGGUAUUUUAAACGCAAACAGAAAAAUCCGCAAGCGCACGGAUACCGAUGUAGCUUUCACCCGGGAGUAUUCCAGAGUAUCGAUUUUCCAUAGAGAACAUGAGUGUACUAAUUAAGAUUCAAGAUCGCCCAUGGAUAACUAUUUUUGGUGGGAAGAGAGGAAGUUUCCUGAGAGUUCUCUAGUUGAUCCAAGAAUCAAGAAUUACUUCAAAGAUUAUUUAUUUCGGGACAUCAGAACACUAACCACAGAAAGAGAUGAGAAGGGGGCUAGGAAGCUCUGACUACGGUCCUACAAACACCGAUCCAAACGAGGUGGAAUAUGUCGACCGUUAGGGCUGUCACAACCCUAGGGCUACCACAACAAUCCGUAGGAUUGGGUGUAAUUCCAGGUAAUUGCAAGACUAAACACCACAUCUAAUCUAUUAAUUACUACUCUAGCGUUGCAAAGACUAGAGCACUUGAUGCAAGCGGGAAUCCAAUAAAUAACUUGAAUGUAAAUAAAAGUAAUUAAAGAACUUAGGAAUUAUGAAUUGAAGAACCUAGAGAACGAUGAAGAACGAACCAGUUGCUACAAAAGUACAAUGUUGAGGAAGAUCCGACAGAUCCGGCUCCUCCUCCUCCGCUCUCCUGUUCUCUCUCCCUAUUUUCUAGAUUACAACUAGAACUAACUAGAACUAGAACUAGAACUAGAGGAACUAGAACUAGAACAAGAUGAACUAGAGGAAUCCUCUCUACUGGGAUGAAUAAUUGAAAUCCUAGCUUUGAUUCUUUAGAAGAGAUAUGAUCUCCAGGGGCCAGGGGGCCUUGCUUAUAUAGUCUUUUUAGAUGAAUCUGGGCCGUCGGAUCAAACCAACAUUAAUCGCACGGUUUUCCAUGAUCCUUUAGGUCGGUGGAGCUUGAUCCGCGAAGAGAGUCCUGAUUGGACUCCAGAGGGGGGCGGGCGCCCUGGUCCCUAGGGCGGGCGCCCUGGGCCAGGCUCCGUUUUGCCUCCGCUUCGUUCCCAUGGCUUCUGGAGUCUUCUAGAUGUAAGAUAAUUGCGCGGUACGUAAAUAUCUCUAUGUAAUCCCGACGUGUGGACCUUUCUUCCAUAUUUCCUGAUAACCCCCUACAAAAAUAGACAAACACCAAAACUCAUGGAAUUCUGUCACAUAAAACCCUAAGUCUGGAUGUUGGUUGCAUUUGAAUCCUUUUCUUUGUUUAUUUGAUAAUUAAAUUUGAUACUUAAGGACCGUCAACAGUGGCGUAGCUAGCUCCGUUUGUCCAUUCAUGCCAAAGGUCUCCUCAUUAUGAGCCAUCUAAAUAGACAAGGAGGUUGGAUUUAGAAUAGAGACAAAGUUUUAUAACAGAAUAGGGCAGAGGUAAGCAUAAAUUUUAGCAAUUAUUAAGGUUAAGGUGAAAGCAAAAAGUAAGCAGAGAUAGAAGCAUCCUAAAACAUCCGGUUCUAACUAGGCUUGCGUCCUACAGUCAGCAUUGCUUUGAUACCACUUUGUAACACCCGAUUUUAAGGACAAAACCAGAUAUGCACCAUAUGUGAGUUUUAGAAGACAAACCUCACAUAUAGCUACAAAUAAGGGGUAAUAUCAAAGGACAACACAUAAAUUAUAUAGCGUACAUAAUAAAUCAGAAACAACCUUAGCCAGCAAACCACGGAAGAUAAUUUCAAACUUCGGACGUUAACUUCACUCUACAGGAUCCAACUGACUGGUUGAUCACAAGCCCAAUACUUCUCCUGAGGUGUGGGGGAGAUAGCAAGAGUGAGUCCAAGACGAACUCUGCAAGUAUAACAACUAGAUUGUAUAGAUCCCACAAUCUCAUGAUCAAUGUGACAUAAAUAAUAUAGAGCAUUAAACAAUAAAUAUGAGCAUAUUUACACAACAAGAAUCAUCACCCUUAAUGUAAGAAUCCCCAAGGCCGCUCGUGACCGCGAGCACGACUAGUAUACCAGUUUAUUAAACACUCUGCAGAGGUCAUACAUCUUUACCCAUGAGUCAUGAUUUACCCUUUCGCCCGAGGUAGCUAACCUCUUAACCUCCUUCCUAGGGAGGUCUGCAGGGAUUACUAUGAAGUCUUUCAGAGGUUCGUCUAACAAGUUAGGGCCGCUUGGUUUCGGUAGUCAGUCCGUGUGAUUCUACCCCGCAGGGAAUCCACGGUCUGCUAUCCCCCAUUUGCGCCACACGGGUAACCUCUAACCAGCUAGAAAGUUACUCAUACUUGACUAAAGCUAGAGCCAUCAUAGCCCUCAUGGUUGCACUUUCAUCCCGGUUAUCACUUACGAAUAAAUCCUCGAGUUGCUAAAAAGUCAUUAUUAUCAUUUGUUGCUUUAUAUUAAUCUAGUCACAAGAUCAUGGUCAUAGAAUUAAAACCCAAAUGCUAUACUUGCCUUAAUCCAAUUGCUCCGGCUGGUUCUGUUGAUCUUACUUGCUUCCAAGGCUCUGAUCUUGAUCACCGAAGUAAUGCCCACUGUCUAACCUCAAUCAUUGAUCAUCAACACACAAACAAUCGGAGACAGACAUACACGAAGUAAACCAGAUUACAAUUAGAAUAGUACACCAGCAGUAAAUAAAUGUAAAUAAAAGUUUUCCAAAAUCAUCUACUCGCUGCUACGAUCACGGCAACGAGAAAUUUACAGAAAACGGAGUUACGACGCGAAAUCUACGCAUUAAACGGGACUGCAAAGGCUAUCUAUGGACUUGUAAUUAUCUAGGAAACCUAACAGUGGUGAACCUAGACAACAAUGGUACCAACAUGAACCUUAUGAAUUUAUGAAACUAACGCAACUUGAACGGAUCGGAUCGGAGCUAAAACGGCGAAGAUAUGAAUUUUUCUAAGAUUUUCUUUAGAAAAGUAAUUAAUUAAAUAGGGUUACGAAAUUAAAAAGAUUUAAAUUGGUAAAACAGUUAGACUAACAUUUAGAUCUCGCAAAUACGAACCUAACGCAAGUUGAACCGGUCAAAUCGGAGUUAAAACGAAUAUUUUAUGAGCUAAAGAAAAUCAGUGGCAAUUUUGUAAAUACUGAAAACAUAUUUUGAAUUAACCCAAUGAGAAAUACGUCUCCAAAAUAGUAAAGCGUAUUUUUCCCUAUGCGUUUUGUACCGCGGGUUGUUUUCAAGAAAACCUAGGGACUCUUUAGCUACUUUCACCCGCGAAGGGGUAAGGAGCAUCCUGGGCCAUCGGAAUAGAAACCAACGGCCGAGAUCAGAUGGGGGAAAAGGAAGGUGGCGCUGGCCGGCCGGAACAGGCCUGCACGGCGGCGCACCAUGGACGGCGGUGAGGAGGUCGUCGGCGUGACCCGCUAGAGCGCUAGAGUGCACGGUUUUCCAAACUAAGAGCACCGGGAGAGAGAGGAGAGCAAGACGAACUCGCCAGAACCCUUUGCGCGGCCUAGGAAGGCGAGAAACGCAGUGACUCCCGGUGGCGCCAUGGACGGCAGCCUCGGAGCACGCGGGGAAGGGUCUAGAGGCCACAUUUUCGCAUGGGAGAAAGCCGGAGAGGGAGAGGGGAAGGCGGCGCGCUCACCACUGCAAAAAUCGAAGGCGGAGACGGCUUGGUUCGGCCGGACAUCGGGCGGUGGAUCGCGGCGGCGCUCCGGCGGUUGCUGCGAGUUGUGGAACGAGAGUAGAAGUGGGGAAGAGAGCGAAAUGGGAGCGGCAGGGGUGGCUCGGGCUCACGCGCGUCCAAAAGAGCAAAGUGCUGGGGGAGAAGGGAUCGUGGGCGAAGUGGGAGCAGGCACGGCUCGAUCGGUCGUUGCCGAGAACGAAUAGAGGGGAAAGGAGCGGUUGGAUGGAGGAUGAAGCUGACCAGCGGGCCCCACUUGUCGGCGAGAGAGAGAGAGGGAGAGGGAAAGGGUGGCCGGAUGGGCUUCGUCCCAAGAAGAGAGAAAAGAGGGGCGCGGGGUUGGGCCUUGCAGUCCGAAAACAAGAGAGGAGGGAAUGAAAAGUUUUCCUUUUUUUUCAUUUUCAAACCAAAUUUUCAAAUACAUUUCCAAAUUGAAUUUUUGAGCAAAUUGACACUUUGUUUUUAAAACCAUCAUCACAAAUAAAAAAACAACAGCAUGUAUGCAACAAAAUAUUUCCUAAACUUAGAUUAGGUUUUAAUUUCUCAAAAUCUAUUAUUUUCCUAAAUUGCAAUGCUUCACCAAAAUUACUUAAUAAAUUCAAAUUCAUCUAUUUAAAAGAAAACAAAUUUUUGGGUGUUACAGUGCCGAUGACCGAUGAUCGCCGAUACCGAUGAAGAAGGGUAUGGAAAUUGCUAAGGAGGAUACAAGGAUGCGACAAAAUAUGCCGAUGAAGGAGAGCCGAUAAAAAGUGUCAUCGUAAUUGAAGCCGGUGCUGGAAUAGAUAGGUGGUAGUUUUCCAUAUUUGUUAGAGUUUGCCUUAUGUAAAUGUCUUGUUUUGUUUAGAAUUAAAGUCCUAGCCGUAUACGGUUGUAACUCUUUAGGUCAGGAUAUAAAUAUAGAUCUAGUAGCAAUGUAAGAAAACAAUCAAUCAAUAUCAUACACAAGUUUUACAUCUACUAUUACAUCUACUUUUUUCGAUGACUUCGUCAACUCGCAUAUUUUUUUAUUUACGGGUUCUUAAGGGUUCAUCGAGCAAUACUCAGUGAAUUCUCGAGUUCCGUGUGAGUACCUCUUGGCCGUGACAUCCGAGCGCAUCGCUGUUGUCGGGACCAAAGUAUUCAAGUUAUCACCUUUGUCGAUUGUUAGGUUAAAUCGACUAGCAUGCCUCAACAUUUGAAUAGGGUAUUAGCCCUUUCUGUUUCCAGAUCUAUUUUUGCAUCAACACCUGCUUCAUAAGGGAUAUUUUAGUGCUUAUAGUUUGAAUCUUCUAAAGAGACUUCUUAGGAAGCUUUUCAAAUCCAAUCCCUUCGAAGGACAAUUAGAAAGACUCAAGGAUGGAAUUUCAAGUGAUGCCAUAGAAGGAGAGCAAAGCCAUCUAGAAGCCACUGUUAUCCUCUCCCCUUCUAUGCCCACAUUAGAUAUAGAAUACAAACCCAUGUCUAAACCCAUCCUUGAUCAGUAUGGUUUGUUCUAUGCUCUUUCUCCAAAACCACCUGAUGAUUCUAGAAAUCCAUCUAGAUAUCCCAUGCAUAGGAAUCAUCAGGACCAUAUGGAAGAUCGAGGAGAGCAACAUCCAUGGCUAGAGAGCAUUAAAAACUUAUGUGCUAUUGCCAUUGAAUGGAUGAACAAGGCCUUAGAUAAGAUCAAUUCAAUAAAUGACCCAAAGAAAUAUUUGGACAUACAUGUCGAGUCACUCUUGGAAGUAGAAAACGAUGGAGACUUCAAUGAGCAAGGAAGCUACUUCAUCAUCAUCUCAUCUGACCCUUGCUCAUAUGAAAAAUCUCCUGAUUCACUUAGUCUCUCUAACAUUGCCCCGCAUGAGAUCUUCAACCCCCUCAUGCUCCCUAUUCCUAAAAUUUUUGAAAGGGUGGUUGCAAACACAUUUGUUUAUCAUAAAUAUUGUAGAUCUCAUUGUUGUAGCGCACUUAGAUUGGUGUUGGAUGGGAAACUACUUCACCAAACCACAUCUUGAAGGUUUCCCAAGGACAAGCUUAGUGUCCUAAAACAAGCACUAGUUAGACCAUGACAUGAGUGUUCAACUUUCUAGUGUGCUACCCUUGGUAAUUAAGCAUAGAAUUAUAAGAAGAAAUGUAACACCCUAAAAAUUUCACUUUUCCAAAUAGGGCAAUUUGAUUUAAUUAAUUGUUGUGAGCACUGAGAAAUAGUAAGAAAUGAAUUUUUGUUGAAUUAAAAUUCACUAUAAAUCCUAGACACAUGCUUGUGCAUUCAUGCUGUUGCAUAGAUUAUAUUGAGUGGAGUUUCUUUUAAUUUAAAAUGAUUUUAAAAAUCCUUUUCAAAAGAAUUGAGCAAAAGAUGAAUUUAGAAAAUGGAAAAGGUUUUCCUCUCCCCCCCUUUUCUUUCUCGCAGCGGCCCAGCGCCAGCAUGCGGCCCACUCAGCGCAAGCCCAGCAGCCGCGCGCCUCCUCCUUCCUCGCUUCAGCGGCUGACAGCGUGGUCCCGCGCCCCCGUGUCACUGCCAGGCGGGGUCCACUUGUCGGACCCGUCUCCCACCUCGAGUCCGAGCAGGACACGAGCCGAGCGAAACCACCACCCGUCUCCGCCCGACUCUGCCCCUUUAAAUACAUGCCCUGCUGCCCCGCAAUCCCCUAACUCCACCCAGCGCCAGCCGCCGCGUCAAAGCUCGCCAAAAUCGCCGCCGAGAUCCAAGCCGCAGCCAUCUCGCCACCGCAGCGCGUUUCAACCUCCGUGAGCGUCUGGCCAGGCUUCGUCUUCGUCGUGCGAAGUCGCAGAGACCUUCCUUUCGCGCUCUACUGUUUUGUAUGCAUCGCUAACGCUCGCCGAACUUAUUCCAGGGCCGCCGUCCGCCGAUCAUCGCCGCAAGCCCUAGUCAGCCUCCCUUUGUUCUGCUUCUUGCCUCAGGUGAGCUCGCGUCAAGCUUCUAAGCGUCCCGGUGUGCUUGGUUUGCUCUCUACCGCUCUCUAGCACCAGAUUACCCAACUCCGACCAAGUUCGGCCAUGGAGCCGCCGCGGCCGACCCAACUCCGGCCGACUCGUUUCCCCCUCCUGCGAUCUAAUCUUGGCCUUUGAUUCGAGAUCUAACGGCCACGAUGGAAGGAUACCCCUUCAGCCGUGAAUUUUAGAGACAACCCCCUGAACUUUUUAAUGUAUAAACCCGCCGUCCUUUGCGCUUUCGCCGAAUACGUUUUCCAAAUUCGAAGGCGUAUUUUUGACUGCGCAGUUCAAAAACCAUUUUCUCAGAUUUACAGUUUUGCCAUUGAUCUUAUUUAACUCAUAAAAACUCCGUUUUAACUCCGAUUUGAUCCGUUCAAAUUGCGUUAGAUUCGUUUUCACGUAAUCUAUAGAUUAGUGGUACUGUUAUACAAGUUUUCAACUUUUAAAGUCUGAGUUUAGAUUUAAUCUAUUAUUUUAGUAAAGGCAAUCUUAUUUAGGUCAUAACUUCCGGAUGGAUAAUAACGGGACACUAUGGUUUGGGAAAAGGCUAUGUGUGCCUGAGGAUCGAUCUAUUAGAGAGGCAAUUCUGCGAGAGGCACACGAGUCCGCUUAUUCUAUACACCCUGCAGCACUAAGAUGUACCUAGACCUAAAAGAGAAAUAUUGGUGGUAUGGCUUGAAGAGAGAUGUUGCUGAGUAAGUCGCUUUAUGUGAUACUUGCCAGAGAGUCGAAGCAGAACAUCAGAGACUGGCAGGAUUGUUGCAACCAAUGAAGAUCCCUGAGUGGAAGUGGGAGGAAGUUGGUAUGGACUUCAUAGUGGGAUUACCCCGCACUCAGAAAGGUUAUGACUCUAUAUGGGUAAUAGUAGAUCGGUUAACAAAGGUCGCUCAUUUUAUUCCUGUUAAGACCAAAUACAGUGGACCAAAAUUGGCUGAGUUUGUACAUGGAAAGAAUAGUGUGCUUGCAUGGGGUCCCCAAAAAGAUAGUUUCUGAUCGAGGUACCCAGUUUACGUUUCACUUUUGGCAGAAAGUGCAUGAGUCCCUCGGGACUAAGCUGAAUUUUAGUACAGCAUACCAUCCCCAGACCGAUGGGCAGACUGAGAGGACUAAUCAAAUUUUGGAAGAUAUGCUGAGGGCAUGUGCUUUGCAGUAUGGAACGAGUUGGGAUAAGAGUUUGCCAUAUGUAGAGUUUUCAUACAACAACAGCUACCAGAAAAGUCUCCAGCCGUUUGAAGCCUUGUAUGGGCGGAAGUGUAGUACCCCGUUGUUAUGGAAUCAAGCGGGAGAAACACAAGUGUUUGGACCAGAUGUGUUACGGGAUGCAGAACAGCAAGUGAGAGUAAUUAGGGAAAACUUGAGAGCAGCACAGUCCCAACAGAAGAGUUAUGCUGAUACAAGAUGAAGUGAAUUGGCUUUUGAGGUAGGAGACUAUGUGUAUUUGAAGGUGUCUCCUAUGCGAAGUGUGAGAAGGUUUAACAUGAAAGGAAAGUUAGCACCAAGGUACAUUGGGCCUUUCAAAGUGUUGGAAAGACGAGGGGAAGUAGCAUACCAGUUGGAACUGCCCGAAAGUUUAAAAGGAGUGCAUGACGUCUUCCACGUGUCACAGCUUAUGAAGUGCUUGCGGGUGCCAGAAGAACAGAUACCGAUAGAGGAAUUAACUGUUAAAGAGGAUCUUACUUAUGAAGAGUAUCCGGUACGAAUUUUGGAAACAGCAGAAAGAGUCACUAGGAGUCGGGUCAUCAGAAUGUGCAGAGUACAGUGGAAUAGAUAUACCGAGGAAGAGGCUACCUGGGAAAGGGAAGAAGAUUUAAGAAAAUCAUAUCCUCAGUUGUUUGAGUAAGCACCAACCGAAUCUCGAGGACGAGAUUCAUCUUAAGGGGGAUAGAAUUGUAACACCCUAAAAAUUUCACUUUUCCAAAUAGGGCAAUUUGAUUUAAUUAAUUGUUGUGUGCACUGAGAAAUAGUAAGAAAUGAAUUUUUGUUGAAUUAAAAUUCACUAUAAGGCCUAGACACAUGCUCGUGCAUUCAUGCUGCUGCAUAGAUUUUAUUGAGUGGAGUUUCUUUUAAUUUAAAAUGAUUUUAAAAAUCCUUUUCAUAAGAAUUGAGCAAAAGAUGAAUUUAGAAAAUAGAAAAGGUUUUCCUCUCCCCCCCUUUUCUUUCUCGCAGCGGCCCAGCGCCAGCAUGCGGCCCACUCAGCGCAAGCCCAGCAGCCGCGCGCCUCCUCCCUCCUCGCUUCAGCGGCUGACAGCAUGGUCCCACGCCCCCGUGUCACUGCCAGGCGGGGUCCACUUGUCGGACCCGUCUCCCACCUCGAGUCCGAGCAGGACACGAGCCGAGCGCAACCACCGCGCGCGUUUUCGCGCGAGCAAUCCCCUCUCCGCCCGACUCUGCCCCUUUAAAUACUCGCCCCGCUGCCCCGCAAUCCCCUAACUCCACCCAGCGCCAGCCACCGCGUCAAAGCUCGCCAAAAUCGCCGCCGAGAUCCAAGCCGCAGCCAUCUCGCCACCGCAGCGCGUUUCAACCUCCGUGAGUGUCUUGCCGGGCUUUGUCUUCGUCGUGCGAAGUCACAGAGACCUUCCUUUCGCACUCUACUAUUUUGUACGCAUCGCUAACGCUCGCUGAACUUGUUCUAGGGCCGCCGUCCGCCGAUCAUCUCCGCAAGCCCUAGCCGGCCUCCCUUUGUUCCGCUUCUUGCCUCAGGUGAGCUCGCGUCAGGCUUCUAAGCGUCCCGGUGUGCUUGGUUUGCUCUCUACCGCUCUCUAGAACCAGAUUACCCAACUCCGGCCAUGUUCGGCCAUGGAGCCGCCGUGGCCGACCCAACUCCGGCCGGCCGACUCGUUUCCCCCUCCUGCGAUCUAAUCUUGGCCUUUGAUUCGAGAUCUAACGGCCACGAUGGAAGGACACCCCUUCGGCCGUGAAUUUUGCAGACAACCCCCGAACUUUUUAAUGUAUAAACCCACCGUCCUUUGCGCAUUCGCCGAAUACGUUUUCCAAAUUCGAAGGCGUAUUUUCGACUGCGCAGUUAAAAACCGUUUUCUCAGAUUUACAGUUUUGCCAUUGAUCUUAUUUAACUCAUAAAAACUCCGUUUUAACUCCGAUUUGAUCCGUUCAAAUUGCGUUAGAUUCAUUUUCACGUAAUCAAUAGAUUAGUGGUACUGUUAUACCAGUUUUCAACUUUUAAACUCUGAGUUUAGAUUUAAUCUAUUAUUUUAGUAAAGGCAAUCUUAUUUAGGUCAUAACUUCUUCGUUUUAGAUCCGAUUUUUGUGAACUUUAAGUCUGUGUGAUCGUAGAGCGAUGUAGAUUCGUUUUAUAAACGUUUUAUCUUUAUUUAUUACUGUUGGUGUACUGUUCUAAUAGUAGGCUUGUUUGCUUUGUAUGAUUGUCUUUGGAUGAUUGUUGUUGAUGUAUUGAUUACGUAUAGACGGUGAGCACUUCGUGGGUGAUCAAGAGUACUACUACGAGCAGGAUCAGCAGGACCAGUGUGAUCAAGGCAAGUAUAGCAUGGGAUCAUCCUUGUUUCCUAAUAACUUUAAUCACACAAUUCAUAUUGCAUGUGUCUUCUUGCUAAGGAUUUCCUAGUAUUGAUCUUGUACCUUGUCACCUAUGGUUUUGCAUUGGGUAGCUUAUGCUAGUGCUCCACUAAACCAUGAUCUUGUAAUUUGAUUUAUGGAAUAUGCAAUAAACAUUAAAAGAGGACUUCUAGCAACUUUGGAUAAGAGGGCUGGAGCAUUGGGCUAUCUUAUGGUGCUCUAGUUUCUCUCCAUAAGGACUUAUCUGUAUCUGACCAUCCGGGACAUACAGUACAACUUUGAAGGCUACAUGGCUCAGGCUUUAGCUCAGUAUGAGGACCUUUUCUAGCUUGUUAGUGGUUACCCUUGUGGCGCAAGUGGGGGAUAGCAGACUGUGGAUUCCUGUGGCUGAGUCACACGGACUGACUAACGAAACCUAGGGGGCCUAACUUGUUAGACGAACCUUUGAAAGGCUUCAUAGUGAACCCUGCCGGUCUUCCUUGGGAGUGGGCUAAGGGGCUGAUCACCUCGGGCGAAAGGGUAAAUCACGACUCACAGUGAAAGUGUACAACCUCUGCAGAGUGUAAAACUGAUAUAUCAGCCGUGCUCACGGUCACGAGCGGCCUUGGACCAAUACAGAAUAAAUAAUCACUAAUGGCAAAUCAUUAAAUGUUAUUAUUGUUAAUAUGUUGUUUAUGCUAUUAUUUAUUCACUUUACCAGAUCAUGAGUUUAUUAUGGGUCUUGACCACUUGAUGCUACUCAUAUGCUAAAAUUGUGACAACUAAAAGCUACAUGCAGUUGAACUAGUGUCUAACCUUUGAGCCUCAUGAACCCCCUGUUAUACUUGUUAAGUACGAGGUGUACUUACACUUAUUUAUUUUCUUUAUUUGGAUAAAAAUCCCAGAUGUGUAACAGAUGGCAUGGGUAAUGACUACUACCAGUACUUUUCUGAGGAUUUCUAGUCUUGUGGUCAACCAGUUGACGUGCCUGUGUGAUGGAGCUUCCAUGCAAGAGUUAUCUUUUGUUUUCCGCUUUAUUUGUGUAAAGACUCUGAGUUAUAUCGUUAUGUAAUAAACACUUGUGAUGAUACUCCCUAUAAUUUGUCGGCUUAUGUGUGAUUGAUCUCUGGGCGCACAUAAGGUUUUGCAUUCAAUUUUAUCCUUAAAUUUGGGUGUGACAAGAAGUUCCUUCGGGUAUUCUUGACACUAGCCUGCCAGGUUUGGAGCAUAAUAUCGAAGGAGUACCAAAUGCAAGGUAUGUCCAACCAAUCAUUAUGCAACAUUGAAUUACUUUCAUUCAAUCUUGACUUUUGCAAAAGUCAAGCUUGGGGGAUAUGCUUUGAAAGAUACAUCUCUUUCCAUGUUGCUACAUUAUUUUGGUUUGCCUACCUUUAAAAUAUGCCCAAUUUGCUAAACAAUAAUCUUGCUCUUUCAUCACAGUUUAAGUAAACAUCUAUAAUGCUCUCAUGCUACCUUUGUGUGCUAUAGUAUGUGUAGGUUUUGAAGUCUUUUCACACAACUUUUUAAAUUAGGCAAGGUGUUUAGUUUAAUUGUUCUGACUUAAAUUAGACAAGGUGUCUAGUUUAAUUCUUAGACCAAAAGGUGAGCUGAUCUUGCUUCUAAAAAGCUUUUAAAUUAAGCAUGGUGCUUAGGUUGAAAUGCCUUCCUGAAUCAAAUUAGACAUGGUGUCUAGGUUGAUUUUUGAGCUAAUAGUAUGCUAUAGUAGAUACUGGAUAUUUUGUUGGACGAACCCCUGUAGAAAAACUUUUAAUACCAAAAAGGGAAUGUCCUAAGAUGAACUCACAUUGGAGAUGAAGAGAGACACAACUCACUCAUAGCCAAAAAGAAAGAAGGGUGCCACAAAAUAUGAACCACAAUCUCCAUGGAGUUACGUUCUCUUGUCAACCACUAAUUAUCAGGAAUCAAGAAAAGAUUGACAAGAGAAGAGCAUGCGACAUUCUGUACUCUCACCUCUGAGGUCGAGAAGCUAAGACAUGAGGAAGGAAGGCCAACUCCUCUAGAUGAUCCAACCAAGUUCUUCCCCAUCUCAUGCUUCCAUCGCUCCACAUGCUAGUUUUCAAUCUCUAAAUUCACUAUUGCUUUAUUUCUGUAAGUAUGAAUUGAUUCAUAAUGCCUAUAUUUGAAAAUCAAAAUAUAAGAUGGGAAAAUAAAAUCAAUCCUUUAGAAAGAAAUAAUUGUGAAUAAUAAAUGCGCUAUGCUAUGUAUGCUCAAGCAAGUUCUUUGUAGCAUAGAAAGUGACCCUUAGGUGUGUUACAACAAUGUCCUUGUCAUUACUUGUAUAUUCCUUCGGGUAUGUAUUGUCCACUAAUGAUUUGCAGGAAUAAAAAAAUAAGAAGCGCUAAAUGUCAAAGCACAAAUUAGACAUAAAACAAAUAAGGAGUGCAACAAAGGAGACAAGCUGUUCAUGAACAAGACACGUGACUAGCCAAGCAAGGAAAGCUUCCACAAGAUGUUGUGGCUUCAACAUGCUUCAAUACUAAAGGUAACAUCUCUAUGUAAGUGAUCUUUACUUCCAUAAUAACCUCCUUGAUUCUGGCAUGCGCAUAAGUAGAGAGCCAAACAUGCUUUGAGUUACAACCUCAUUUGAUCCAAUCUAAUUAACUCAACAUGUUCAGUUCUUUAUGCUUGUUCCUAACGUCACUUGCAUGUUUAGUUUUUAAUCCAAUGACCGGAAAUGUUGUGCAUCAUAUCUUUGGAAGAUGGUAGUCAUAAUCAUAAAGUUAUAUGCAUAGGUAGACUAUCCUUCCUUAAAGAUUGAGUAAUCUGCUUAGCUAAAUGUUUUAAUGCCACAUUCGUGCUCAUUGUUUGAUGCUAUCACCCAUGUUUAGAUAGAGCAAAACACAUAUAUUGACUCUGUCUCGUUCAAUGUGCCUAAGGGUAGAGAAUAAUGAACAAAACUUUUUGGAUCUGUUGGUGUUUUCCCACCAGCAGAACUCAUGCACUUGAUCUCUGCUUUGUCUGUAUGAGCAGGACACACUUUAGUUAACUCCUCAAGAAUCCAACAAGUGAAGAUCCUAGACCUAUGGACAUGCACACUGAGCGAAGAUGCUGCUAGCUCCCACAACUAGUACUUCACACUUCAAACUGCUGGAAGAGCAAUAAACAUUGGUGACACCAUCUCAAGAGGUGCUACUAUCAUGGUCUCCAUCUUUGGGGCUAGAUAAAGCACCUAAGGAGUUAACAUGGUAAGAGGUUCUGUUCAGAGGACCUAAAACAUCGAACACUGUGCCAAGAGGUAACUUGGUAGUUAUCAAUAUUUCCCUUUUUAGUAUUGUAUCUAGAAAAUGUUGAGCCCCAUGUGGAUAAUUUUGUGGUGUGGCAGCCCACAAAGAUAUCCAUGGUGGUGCCAUAAAAAUAAGUUUUCAUCUUACUGCAUUUUUUGCAUACCAUAAAAAGACCAAAAAUACAUCUUAUGAUCUUGCUAAAAGUUAAAUAUAUUAAGAAGGUUCUAGAGAACCAAAGGCUUAGGGGUUUUACCACUAACACUUAAUUAGUUCAACAAGCUUUGUUGUCUAUUUGAGCUCCAUAGAAUUUAAAGGAUCAAGAAGAGCUAACAGGCAGAAGGACGUUGUAUCCCCUGUCGGAGUGCUGUUUUCAACAGCCGAGUGCUGUCUGCACAACAACCAUCCCUGACACUCCAACCAGUACACCUCACUGCCAGUCAGCAACACCAACAGACUAUGUCAACAUGUAGCUUGGGGGAGGACACCCCCAUAUAUCCAGCUAAGUAUCACUUACUUAUCUAUUUAUUAAGUGUGCUAUGUUAAUCUAAAACAAAUAAAAAGAUGCACAACCAUAGAAACCCAAAUAAAGAUUUUCAUAUUUAUUUAUAUCUAUAUCUAUCUUUCUAUUUGAUAUUAAGUUUGCUAAAUAAAAUUUAGGAGAGUAUUGGAAAAAAUUGCCUGCUAAAAUAAACCCUAUAGAAUAAUCUCUUAUAUGGAAAUGAUGAAUAGUUGCUCUGCCAUAGUUCCUUUCAAGUACCUAGUUUUCAACCUUGAACUCUCCCAUGUUUUGGACACAACUGUUUUGAUUUGAGGUCUGCUCUGAAUCUAAAACUUGUGGGUAGCGAAUGCUUGAUCUAUGUCUAGGUAGUUGACGGAUAUGAUAUGGGAAGGUUUUGAGCUGCUAUCAAGAUACUAGAGUUCUGGAGAAUUUAUCUUUGAAAAUCUUAAAUUGCUACAUGAUGAGUUCCUGUAUGACUAGAGUUUAAAUUCCUACCACAGCCAAAUAUACAUGCUUAGUAGAUUAGGAAAGCCGUCCAGUUUAAUAUACUGCUUGUAGGCAUUGCGUGUAGUUAAGCUGUGUUGACCCUUAGGAAUUAAUCAUGCAGUUAAAGUCAAAAUUAUGUGCUCUCCAUCUAUUGAUCUAUGCUACUUCUAUCCUCAGGAGUGUGCCCCCAUUUACUCUGUGCUACUUCUGUUCCUGGAAGUACCACCCACAUUUAUACACACUCCAUGCACCUGUGCUGCUCCUACCCUGGGAGUACGCAUUCCUCUAUUCAUAUGCAUUCACUUCAUUCAUUUAGAAAAUGUUAUCCUCCUACACUGGGAGUGAACACCAAAAAUAUAUGUUGCCAGCCUAUCCUUUUUUCGUCAUCCAAUAAAGCGCCAGUUAUCACUCCCUAUUAAUAUAUUUCUAGUAAGAGGCUUAGUUGCUCUCAGAAAAAACGAAGAGAAAGAAAAGAAAGAAAGAGGACAAUUGUCCCAAGAAAGAAAAGUAAUAGAGCAAGCCAAGUUCCUCCAAGGUCUUUAGUUUCAAAAUAAGGGAGGUAUGUUAUCUCCAAGGAGCAAAUAUAGAAUUAGAUCUCCACCAUCAUCAUCACUAUUUAUAUCACUUACUUCACUUCUCUUAUCCACAUGCACAUAUGAUUUGAUUGUAUGAUUUUUUUGACACGAAAAACUGUGGGGGAGGUCCCCAUAGUGCCAAAAUUUUUAAUUAAAAAAAAGGGAGUUACAGAGUCUUACAUACAGGGUUUAACAGAAAGCAUCUAACCAUACACAGAAAGAAGACUUUAAGUCUUCCUUAAAUCUAACAGAGUGAGACACACAUUGAUUCUUAAAAUUACAAAACCAUAAAUGUAACGAAGGGCUUCUUCUGUUGAAAAUCUUGUCAUUUCGUAGCUUCCAUACCUCCCAAGCUGCAAUCAUAGAUACCUAAGCAAGGAAUAGAACAUAUGUUUGCAAGUAUGUUUGAGCUGUCUCCCCACCUAUGAGCUCCAUAUAAGCCUAUUAGAUGUAGGGUGAGGGAGAGCGCAUAAUGCCACUAUGCCUUAAUUCCACAAAUACAACAUAUUCUGAGAGUAGAGAGAAGGCAUAUACCAUUCAUGCCUUCGUAAGGAUCCAGAAAUACCAUAAACGAGAGACUUCAAAGGGUCAUACAAUUAUUUGAAAAUCUUACAAAAACUCUAGAAUAAUAGUUGAUCAAAGAGCGAGAAAUAUAGCGCUUGACUUGACCAUUCUGUCUUUCAACUGCUCAAGACCCAAGUGAUGGUUACAAGCCCCAUGGUGGAAGGUAAUAUGAGUAAGUUUCAAGUUAGAAUAGUUUAUUUUAUUUCGGAGGAGAGUUCUUGUUUGAAUGCUUGUGUACUUUUGAGGCGUGAAAGUAUUGUAGCAACUCCUGAUCCAUCACUGAGUUUGUCUUUGCUCAGGGACGAGCAAAGGGUAAGCUUGGGGGAGUUGUUGACGGUAGAUAACUCAUAAUUUUAACCAUCAACUAGACAUGAAAAUGGAUCUAUAUGCAAAACACCUAGUAGAUAUAGGGUUAUCACUCAUAGGAUUCCACAAGUUUUUGUGAUUAUCUAUUUCUACAAGGGGUUAUUAGAAUAAGAACAAAAGGAGGCCCACAUGUUAGAUUUACAUAGAGAGAAUACGUGAAAUGUCAACUUAGGAAUACUCUAGAAGACACGAGAAGGCGACAUUGCAAAGUGGGGCCUCCCUAGCAGCCAGCCAGGGGUGGGCGCCCCACCUAGCAGGGGCACCCGCCCGGGGGUAGAGGCCAAUCAGAUUCAUUCUCGCGGAUCAGCCUCCACCGACUUUGAGGAUUAAUCUUAAGCGCGCGUUUUAAGUCGGUUUGAUCCAAGGGCUAUGGUUAUUCCUAGGGGGUGGAAAGAUUAGUACCACAUCGCUAGUUCAUGGUAGAGGAGGGGUUGGAUGUCCCUAUAAAUACAAGCCUGACCCCCCUGGGGAGUAGCUAAUUCUAAAGCUUUAAUUCAUAUUUUCCAGAGAGGGGUCCCUCGAAUGGUCCUAUCUCUUUAGGGUUUUAGCAACAAGAGAGGUUGAGAGAGUAUAGGGUGGAGAUAGAAGUGGAGGAAGCCCAUUCUGUCAGUGUCUUCUUCCUUGUAUCUGCAGGAUCAAGUCUCCUAACCCGAGGCUUGGUUCUAGAAUCAUUCGACAAUUGAACUUAUAAUACUAGUAAGUUAUUAUUCUUAUUGUUCUUUGGUUUAUGAGUUUACUUUAUUCGCUUGCGCUUGGGAAUAGAGUAAUUGUUCAUAGUGUAAGGGUGGUGCUUGUGCUAGGAACACUCGUAGAUACUCCCUAUCUAGCUGGAUUUGUGGUAGCCUUUUUGGGGAAGUGACAAUCCUCUAGGGUCUGAGUAAUCCACGUCCCAUCAGGAGGUAAGGUAGGGUAUAUGGUACUAGGGUUAAGCACUCUCUGAGGUGUCUCUUUUCUCUAGUUACUCCCCUUAUAACAAGAUCUACACAGCUUAGCAUAGGUUAGAAGAAGAUUGACAAAGGAGUUCUCUCUAUAUCACUCAUAUCUCGCUAUCUUGUCUUGCAAGCCCACGGGUUAAGUAUAAAUUUGGGUUAGUCUGAUGCACUCUUUCUCCUAGUGGUAAAAAUAUAAAUAACAAAACUCUAGAAUAUCUCUCGGGUGAAGUGCUCACCGAUAUCCAUGCGCUUGCGGAUUUCUCUAUGUUCGUUCAACAUUUCUGUUGGUGCAAAAGCUGAUCUGCAAACACAAAGGGCUAAUACCCGAUUCAAACGUUAAGGCAUGCCAGCCGAUUUGACCUUACAAUCGACAAAGGUGGUAACUCAAACACUUUAGUCCCGACAACAGCGAUGCGCCCAGAUGUCACGGCCAAGAGGUGCUCACGCGGAACUUGAGAACACGUCGAGUUUGACCUGAUGAAUUCCUAAGAACUCGUAAUGAAAAGAAAAAUAUGACGAAGUCGUCGAAAAGUAGAUGCUGGAAUAUGAGUAAAAACUUGUGUUUGAUUGAUUGAUAGAUUCAUUGAUUACAUGGCCCUAGGGUCUACAUUUAUACCCUGUCCGAAGAGCUACGAUCAGACACAACAAGGAUUCGAAUUCCAAAUUAACCGGAACCUGUACACAAAACGAAUUCUAAUAACUAAGAAAAACAUUAAACUAUCCUCCGUAACUGAUCGGGACACUAUCAUGAAUCAAUCGGCAAUCUCCACGUUUUCCUCCAGAGUCAUCGGCAGACUUACUUGUUACAGCCAUCGGCAAACACCGGCAUCGGUCAUCAGUACAAAUAUGCCAUCACCUCUGGACUUAGUCAUAUUCGGUCAUUACCCCAUCGGCAACCACCUUCAUCGGCAACUUCCCUGCAGACCAGUCACCAUUGCUCCAUCUGCCGAUCCGUAUUCCAGGCACGUGUUAAAAGACAUACGUCCAAAAAUGGUGUCAACAAUUUCCAAAGGACAAACUUAGUGUCCUAAAACAAGCACUGUUUAGAACAUGACACGAGUGUUCACCUUCCUAUUGCGCUACCCUUGUUAAUUGAGCAUAAAAUUAUAAUUGUGAAAAUAGUCCUUCGGGUAUUCUUGUCACUAACCUUAUUAGGCUUGGAGCAAAAGAUCAAUGGAGUGGCAAAUGUAAGGUAUAUCUAACCAAUCAUUAUGCAACAUUGAAUUACAUUCAACCAAUCUUGAUUUUUGCAAAAGUUAAGCUUUGGGGAUAUGCUUCCAUAGAUGCAUCUCUUGCCAUGUUGCUACAUCAUCUUGGUUGUCCCUACAUUUAAGAUAUGCUCAAUUUGCUAAAUAAUAAUCAUGCUCUAUCAUCACUGUUUGAGUAAACAUCUAUAAUGCUCUCAUGCUACAAUUGUUUGCUAUAGUAUAUGUUUAGGUUUGGAGUAGUUUCAUACGUCUCUUAAAUUAAGCAUGGUGCCUAGUUUAGGAGUGGUGAUCUUACUCUCAAAGGCUUUUGAUUACAUAUGGUUAAAAUGCCUUCUUGAAUCAAAUUAGACAUGGUGUCUAGGUUGAUUUUUGAGCUGAUAGUAUGCUAUAGUAGAUAUUGGAAUAUUUUUGUUGGACUAACCCCUGCAGGAAAACUAGCAAAUCCAAAAUGGGAAAGUCCUGAGAUGAAUUCACACUAGAGAUGAAGAGAGACACAAUAAUUUUACACAAGGGAGACACAACUCACUAGUAGCCAAAAAGAAAGAAGGGUGCCAAAAAUAUGAUCCAUGAUCAAAGCACUCACUUCAUGGAGUUGCAUUCUCUAAUCAACCAUUAAUUAUGAGGAAUCAAGAAAAGGUUGAUAAGAGAAGAGCAAUACACUCUCACUUCUGAGGUCAAGAAGCUGAGACAUAAGGAAGAAAGGCCAACUCCUCUAGGUGACCCAACCAAGUUCUUCAUCACUCUACACGCUGGUUUGCAAUCUCUAAAUUCACUAUUGCUUUAUAUCUAUAAGUAUGAGUUGAUUCCUAAUGCCUAUAUUUAAGAAUCAAAUGUAAGAUGGGAAAAUAAAAUCAAUCCUUUAGAAAGAAGUAAUCGUGAAUAAUAAAUGUUCUUUGCUAAGUAUGAUCUAGCAAGUUCUUUGUAGCAUAGAAAGUGACCCUUAGCUGUGUUACAACAAUGCCCUUGUCAUUACUUGUAUAUUCCUUUGGGUAUGUGUUGUCCACUAAUGAUUUUCAGGGAUAAAAUAGUAAGAAGAGCUAAAGGUCCAAGCACAAAUUAGAUAGAAAACAACUAAGGGCAUAAGGUAAAAAAAGAGUACAACAAAGGAGACAAGCUGUCCAUGAACAAGACAGGUGACUAGCCAAGCAAGGAAAGCCUCCGCAAGAUGUUAUGACUUCAACAUGCUUCAAUACAAAAGGUAACAUCUCUUGGUAAGCGAUCAUUACUUCCAAAAUAUCCUCCUUGAUUCUGGCAUGCACAUAAGUAGAGAUCCAACCAUGUUUUGAGUUACAACCUCAUUUGAUUCAAUCUAAUUAACUAAACAUGUUCAAUUUUUUAUGCUUGUUCCUGGUGUCAAUUUCUGGGUCUCAUAGCUUUUAAUUCAAUGAUCUGAAAUGUUGCACAUCCUAUCUUUAGAAGAUGAUAGUCAUAAUCGUGAAGUUAUAUGGAUAGGUAGACUAUCCUUCCAUAAGAUUGAGUAAUCUGAUCUGCCCAAUGUAUUUAAUGCCACAUUUCUUCCAUAAUGUUGAGUAAUCUGAUCUGCCAAAUGUAUUUAAUGCCACAUUUCUGCUCAUUGCUUGAUGCUAUUGCCCAUGUUUAUAUAGAGCAUAACACAUGAAUAACAACUUUAUCUCAUUCAAUGUGCCUAAGGUUAGGGAAUAAUGAACAAACCUUUUGGUUUUGUUGGUGUUUUCCAACCAACAGAGCCCAUGCACUUGAUCUCUGCCUUGUCUCUAUGAGCAGGACAUACUUUAGUCAACUCUCCGAGAAUCCUAUGAGUGAAGAUCCUAGACUUAUGAACAUGCACAAUGAGCGAAGAUGCUACCAGUUCCCAGAACUAGUACUUGACUCCAACCUGCAUGAAGAGCAAUAAACAUGGGUGACAUCAUCUUAAGAGGUGCAACUAUCAUGGUCUCUACCUUUGGGACCAAAUAAAGAACCUAAGGAAUUAACAUGGUAAGAGGUCCUAUUCGGAGGACUUAAAAUCACCGAACACCGUGCCAAGAGGUAACUUGGUAUUUAUCAGCAUUUUCCUUUAGCAUAUUUAUUUUCUUUAACCCCAUUAGUAGUUGCAUCUUAUUUAUUUAUUUAUGCAUUAGAAAAUAAAAAUAUGUAUUGCAUUGCAUGUAGAAAAUGCUAAGCCCCAUGUAUUUAAUGUGUGAUGCAAUAGCCCACAAACUCAUCUACUGUGGUGGUAUAAAAAUAAAUUUAUGCAUAUUUGUUUUCUUGUCUGCAUACUAUAAAAAGUAUAAAAAUACUGCUAAAAUAUAAAUAGGUAUAAUAAAGUUCUAGACUCCCAAAGCUUAGAGGUUUAUUACUAAUGCUUAAUUAGUUUAACAAGCUAUGUUGUCUAUUUAAGAUUUACAGGCUUUAAAGGAUCAAGAAAAAUUAACUGGCCGAAGGAUGACUUGUCCCCUGUCGGAGUACUGUCCACAUUAGGCAAGUGUUGUUUCUGAUAGCAAGGACCCAUGACAGUCUAGGAGGAUCAAUACGCCUUCGCUGCCCGUUAGCAACUUUAGCAGACUAUGUCAACAUCCAGCUAGAGGGAGAGCAACCCCCGUAUACCGAGCUAAGUAUCCCUUACUCAUCUAUUUAUUCCUAGUGCGUUAUAACAAGAUAAAAAAUGAAUAAUCUUAGAAACCUAAUAAAUAUUUUAUCUUUUAUAACUAAUCUUGCUAGGAGAGCUCUUGAUGAAUCUGUUAAAAUGAACCUCUAGAAUAAAUCUUACAUGGAGAUGAUGAAUAGUUUCUCUGCCGUAAUUCCUUGCAAGUACCUAGUUUUCAACCUUGUACUCUCUUGAGUUUUAGACACAACUAUUUAGACUUAAGAUUUUGCUCUGAGCCUGAAACUUGUGGGUAGCAAAUGAUUGAUCUAAGUCUAGGUAGUUGACGGAUAUGAUAUGGGGAGGUUUUGAGCUGCUAUCAGUCUUGCUCCUAGAGAUGCUAGAGUUCUAGAGAAUUUUAUUUUGAAAAUCUUAAAUGGCUACAUGAUGAGUUCCUUUAUGACAAGGUUUUAAAAUUCCUACCACAACCAAAUACUCAUGCUUACUAGAUUAGAAAAGCCUCCCACAUAUAUUUCAACCUAUAAGUAUUGAGGGUAGUUAAGCUGUGUUGACCAUAAGGAACUAAUCAUGUAGUUAAAGUCGAUAUUAUGUGCUCUCCAUCCUUUGACCUUAGCUACUUCUAUCCCUAGAAGUAUGCAACCACUUACUUCCACCAUAUUCACUAUGUGCUACUUCUGUUCCUGGAAGUACCACCCACAUAUACGCACUACACUCUAUGUUGUUUCUAUCCUGGAGACAUGCACCUAUGUUGCUCCUACCCUCAGAGUACGCAUUCAUUCACUCAUUCAUAUUACACAUCCACUUAGAAAAUAUUCUACUCCUACACUAGGAGAAGACACCCAACAAUAUUCAUUAUGUCUUUUUCCAUUAAAGCUCUAGUUAUUUCAGUUGAUACUUCCUACUGUUAUCAGUGCAUUAAAAGGGUUGGCUGAUCUUAAAAAAAGAAAAAUAAAAGAAAGAAGAAAAAAGUCCCAAAAAGAAAAGAAAGACAACCAAGUCCUUAUUAGGGAGGUAUGUUAUCCCCAAGGAGCAAAUGUAGGAUUAGAUAUUCACCAUCAAUCAUCACCCCUCAUUUUUUAUCAUUCUUAUCAUCACUUCAUUCACUGCACUCACAAGCACAUAUGAUUGAUUGUAUAAUUAGUUCUAUGGAUCCAUGGUUUAACUAUGCAAUACAUGCAAGUAGGUUUGAAUUGUCUUUCCCUAUGAGCUCCACAUAAGCCAAAUAGAAGUAGGGUGAGAGAGAGAAGGCAGUUAUGUCGUAGUGAUAUAAAUACCAUAUUCUGAGAGAAGGCAUACUCACUUGCCUUAGAGAGGAUCCAAAAAUUCCACAUAUGAAAGAUUAGAAAGGGUCAUACAAGGAAUCUCUGAGUUUUAUUGAAAAUCUUACAAAACUCCAGAAUAAUAGUUGAUCAAAGAGUGAGUAAUAUAGCGCUUGACUUAACCGUCCUAUCUUUAAAUCGCUAAGUGAUAGCUCUAAGCCUCAUGGUGAAAGGUAAUAUGGGUGAGUCUUGAGUUAGAAUAGUUCACUCUAAUCCGGAGGAGAGUCCUUGUUUGAACACAUGUGUAGUUGUGAGGCGUGAAAGCAUUGUAGCAACUCCUAAUUCAUCAUUGAGUCUAUCUUUGUUCAGGGAGGAGCAAAAGGUAAUAUUGGAGGAGUUUGUUGACGGUAGAUAAGUACUCUUUUUAACCAUCAACAUAGCAUGAGAAAGGACUAAAAUCAGAAUACCAUCUAGCUAUAGGGGUUAUUACUAACAUAAUUCCACAAGUUUUGGUGAAUGUCUAUUUAUGCAGGAUGUCAGCUGAAAAUAACGAAAGAUGGUCCACAUGUCAGGUUUACACAGAGAGAAUACCGUGAACGUCAACUUUUAUGUAAUCUAGAAGGUUCUAGGAGGCUCCAAAUCAAACGGAAAGCGAAUCGGGUCCAGUAGCCAGGCGGCUGCCCAAAGGGCUUGGGUGCCCGCCUGGAGAUCUCCACCAAUCAGAGUCAACCUCAUGGAUCCUGCCUCCACCGACUUUGAGGAGUAAUCUUGAGCAUAUGUUUAAGUCGGUUUGAUCCAGGGGCUAUGAUGCUUCCUAAGGGGCUAUAAAUAGAAGCCUGACCCCCCCUUAGAGGUAUCUCCUUCGUCUCCUUCAUUAGCUACAUCUAGAGCAAAAACUAGGGUUUCAUCAAGUAGAGAAGUAGAGGUCCCUCUAGAUCUUCUAGUUCUUCUAGUUCUAGUUCUAGUUGUAUCUAGAUAAAAGGGAGAGAGAAGAGGAUAGAGCCAAGGAGGAGCUCGAUCUGUCGGAUCUUCCUCAGCAUUGUAUAUUUGCAGCAACCAGUUCAUCUUUGGUUAAUCUCUAGGUACUUCAAUUCUAUAAUUCUUGAGUUAUUUAUUUAAUCUCUUUGUUUACUUUCUAAGUUAUUUAUUGGAUUCCCGCUUGUAUCGAGUGCUCUAGUUCUUAGUGCUCUAGAGUAGUAAUUAAUAGGUUAAGCGUGGUGCUUAGUACAUCAUGCAAUUACCUAGAAUUACACCCAAUCCAGCGUAUUGUUGUGGUUGCCCUAGGAUCGUGACAGUCCUGACGGCCGAUGUAUUCCACCAUGUUCAGAUUGGUGUUGUGGGACCAUAGUUAGAGCUUCCUAACCGCCAUCUCAUCCCUUUCUGUGGUUAGUGUUCUAAUGUCCCAAGAUAAGUAACCUUAGUAAAUCCUGAUUCCUAGAUCAACCUAUAGAACACUUAGAAAAUUCCUCUCUACCCUACAAAAUUAUAAAUAUUGUUAUCCUUGGGCGAUCUAAAUCUUGACUAGUACACUUUGCGUUCCUCAUGGAAAAUCGAUACCUUGGAAUACUCUCGGGUGAAAGCUACAUCGCUAUCCAUGCGCUUGCGGAUUUUUCUAUGUGCGUUUAAAAUACCCAACAAUCCCAUGUAGUAUUAUUUUCAUUAUUGGAAUAGAACCACUGCUUAGCCUCCUCUAGGAGUGAAAUGAAAAAAGACAAAGUAAAAUAGCAUCUUUUGUUACUCCCUUUAUUGUGAAGGUGCUGUAAAUUUCCAAAAAGUGUUGCAGACGUGUACUUACAUCUUCAUUACCUUUCCAACUAAACUGACUUGCUUGCACCAUGUUAAUGAGAGCUGGCUUGAGCUCAGAAGCAUUGUCCCCGAUGUCUACAGGUGGUCCAGUACGGAUGUUGGCAGUGGUUGAAACAGAGAAUUCAUAAAGUGUCUUGUUAGCCAUAGCUUCAAAAACUGGUGUGAGACUUCUUCUUAGGUUGUUGUCCUCUGACACUAAAAUUGACACUCUCUUAAGUUUUUCUCUUGUUUUUCUAGAGUGGCUUGCACCAUGUUAACGAGAGCUAGCUUGAGCUCAAAAGCAUUGUCCCCGAUGUCUACAGGUGGUCUAGUAUGGAAGUUGGCAGUGGUUGGAACAAAGAAUUCACAAAAUGUCUUGUUAGCCAUAGCUUCAAAAACUGGUGUGAGACUCCUGCUUCGACUGUUGUCCUCUAACACUAAAAUUGACACUCUCUUAAGUUUUUCUCUUGUUUUUCUGGUUGGAUUAUCAAUGAAAUUUGUUGAAAGUCCAAAACCUUACAUAUAUUACCCUGCAAAUAAUAUAUAUAGAUGGACAAUACCAACAGUAGUACAAAAAAGCUCUAAGCUAGCGGUGGAACUUUUUUACAGGUGGUUUCAAUUAAAAAACGCAUGUGAAGAGAAAUCAGCGGAACUGCGACUAGAAAACUAUUUUCACUGGCAGUCUGUUUUCUUAAGAAAACCGCCAGUGGAAAUGGUGCAUUUUCAUAGGCAGUUCUCUUAAGAAAAUCGCCACAGAAAAUCCAUCUCCACUUGCGGUUAUUCUAAGAAAACCACUAUAGAAAUCAUGUAUUUUUACAGGCGGUUUUCGUAAGGAACUGCCACUAAAAAUAGGAUUUCUAGUGGCGGUUUUUUAAGAAAACCGCCUAUUGAAAUAAUUUGAAUUGAUUUUUUUGAGUUUUUCAAAUGACCCUAUAUGAAAAAACCACCAAAAUAAAGUUAUGAAACUUUGUAGUUGAUAAUUUUUUAAUUUGAAAUCAUCUUGUCAUCGAAAACUACAUUCGAAUUUGUCAAAUUUGAAAUUCGAAUUUUGUAAAUUACCUCGGAUGGAGAAACUACCAAUAUAAAAGUUGUAGAUCUUAAAAAGUUAAGAAACUUUAUAGUUGACAACUUUUUCAUUUGAAUCUGUUUAGGGCCUCAAACAAUCAAUGUUUGCUCAAGUUAGGAUAAUAUGUGGGGAACCAAACUCCUAGUAUAAACACAAAUGAGUAAUGGGUGGAGUGGUAGAGGAGGCUAUAUGCGACGGAGGUUGUGGGUUCGAAUCCUACCACUCGUGUAGCGCAUGAUUUUAUUUUAAAAAAUGUAUGACUUGUAGGCGACUACCUAGUACCUAGUGGGCCUUGCCCAUAAUUAAAAUCUUUUUUUUUAUAUUUUCUGGACAAGCCUUUCCACAUACGGUUGACAUAACAUAACCUCUAGUGGAAAUCAAUUUCCACAGGCAAUUAUCUUAACUCAACCGCCUAUGGAAAUUAAUUUCCACUAGCGGUUCUCAAUUAACCACUAGUGGAAAUGGUGCAUUUCCACCGGCCCCCAGUGUUGGCGGGUCUGAGAAACGCCUAUAGAAAUAGAUUUAGAACUGCUUGUACAGAACUCCAUUCUGCUAGUGCAAGGGUAAGUGUAACACCCUAAAUUUUAUUCUUUUGGAAAUAGAGGGAAAAUAAUUUAAUUUUUGUAUUUUGUGCUCAUGAAAAUAUAGGAAAAAUAAUAUUUUUCAUUAAAAUAAAAAUUGUCAUAGGAGUUAGCAAUGUGUUUGAGCAUGCAUGCCUUUGCAUUUUAUUUGUUGUGAUGGGUGAGUUGACAAAAGUCAAGAUAUUUCAAACUGUUUUAUUUAAAAGGAUUUGAAAAUGGGUUUAAGAUAAAAGAAAGAGAAAAGAAAAGGAAAAACUUUCCCCCCGCUUGCUUCUGGCCCAAAGGCCCAGCUAAACCCUUCCCUGCUCUUCCCCUCUUUCCACUCGGCCCAGCGCUGGGCAGCCAGCAGUCGAGGCCCAAGCUUCCCCUCUCCCCCUCGCCUCGGCCCAGCCAGCCCAUGACCCCGAGCGGCGCGCCCCCCUCCUUUCGUUCUUUCACUGACACGCAGGUCCAACACCGAGUCGCUGAUGCCUCGGGCCCGCUCGUCAGUCGCCCUUCUUCAACCCCGAGUCGGGUGCGACAUGGACUGUGUUCUGGAGCCGGCCACCAAAUCCCAGCUUUCACGGGAACUUCCAAACCAAGCCCCAAUCCGACCCCUAUAAAGCCUCUGGGCAUAUUCCACGGCUUCUCUUUCUCCCCUACGUGUUUAGAAGUUAUCCCCAGCCGAUGUGACGCCCCGGUGGAUCUUGCCGAAGCUUGGGCACUCCCACCGUCGUGGUUUCCGCGUUUCGUUGCCGUUCCACAAAAUUUGAGCGCUUGCCGAGCACCGCAACAGGAUCACGAAGCCGUAGGUGCACUUUUCCCUCUGUUUCCCGGUCUCUGGGUAGCCCUAAACGCCGUCGAACUCGUGCAGGGAAGCACCGCCACCGUCUCGUGCCACACUCCAUCCCCGAGACCUCCCCAAGCUACGGAAACCCCCUAGGUGAGAUCCCCUUGAGCUCCUCUUGCUCCAUGUGCGUUUAGUUUCUCAAAUCGUGCCCGAAAACGCCUUUUCACCGAACUCCGGCGAGCUCAUGGACCUCCGACCAUGGUGCCACCGCGGCUGGCCCUGUAGCCGGCCGGCGACCUCCCUCUCUCUCCCCUCGAAUCUAAUCAGAGCCACUGGAACACGAUCCAACGGCCACGGAUGACUCAUACCCUUUCGGCUGCGCGUUUUAUUAAAGAGCCCCUCAAUUUAUUAUAUAUAGAACCCGCGGUCCUAAAGCGUAUUUCUAGAGUACGUUUUCUUUUUUCUGAAAAAGCAAACAGUUAGGUUUAGAUUAAAAAUACGUUUUCAGCAAAUUACAAAUUUGCCACUGAUUUUCUUUUGCUCAUAAAAUAUUCAUCUUAACUCUGUUUUGACCCAUUCAAAUUCCGUUGGAUUCGUAUUAAUGAGCUCUACAUGUUAGUAAACUUAAAUCACCAAUUUGAAACUUUUUAAUUUCAUGACCUUAAUUAAUUAAUUAUUUUUCUAUAUAAAAUCUUAGAAAAUUCAUUUCUUCCACGUUUUAGCUCCGAUUAUUGUGAUCUUUACGUCUGUGAGAUCGUAGCGAUGCGUAGAAUCAUUUUAUAAACUUUUCAUACUAUUUUUAUAUGUUUGGUGUACUGUUCUAAUUGUAGCCUUGUUUGCUUCGUGUAUGUUUGUCUCCAUAUGUUUGUGUUGGUGAUCGAUGAUCGAGUUUAGAUGGAUAGCAGUUUUUGGUGAUCAAGAUUAGAGCUUUGGCAACAAGUAAGACCAGCAGGACUAAAAGGAUCAACAAGAGCAUUUGGAUUAAGGCAAGUAUAGCAUUUGGAUUUUAUUUCUGUGACUAUGAUUCUGUUACUAGAUUAAUGUUAAGUAAUAAAUAAUAAAAAUGACUUUUUAGCAACUUGAUGAUUUAUCUAUACGUGAUCACCCGGGAUAAUAGUGCAAUCAUGAGGGCUAUAAUGGCUCUGGCUUUAGUCAAGUAUGAGUAACUCUUCUAGCUUGUUAGCUGUUACCUGUGUGUUGCAAUUGGGGAAUAGCAGACCAUGGAUUCCUGCGGGUGGAUCACAUGGACUGACUAAUGAAACCAAGCGGCCCUAACUUGUUAGACGAACCUUUGAAAGACUUCAUAGUGAUCCCUGCCGACCUUCCUUGGUAGUGGGUUAAGAGGCUGAUCACCUCGGGCGAAAGGGUAAAUCAUGACUCAUGGGUAAAGAUGUACAACCUCUGCAGAGUGUUUAAAACUAGUAUACUAGACGAGCUCACGGUCAGGAGCGGCCUUGGGGACAUCUACAUUAAGGGUGAUGAAUCUUGUGUGUUAAAUAUGCUCAUUGUUUAUUGUUUAAUGCUCUACAAUAUUUAUGUCACAUUGAUCAUGAGAUUGUGGGAUCUAGACAAUCUAGUUGCUAUACUUGUGGAGUUCGACAUGGACUCACUCUUGCUAUUUUCCCCAUUCUUCAGGAGGAGUGUUAGGCUUGUAAUCAACCAGUCAGUUGGAUCCUGUAGAGAGAAGUUAAUACCCAAAGUUUGGAGUGGUCUAUCCGCUGUUUGCUAUUAAUGGUUAUAUCUUUUAUACUAAGUACGUUAUAUAUUUAUGUAUUGUCUUUUGAUAUUACCCCUUAUUUGUAGCUAUAUGUGGUAUUUGACUUCUAAAAACUCACAUAUGGUGUAUAUCUGAUUUUGUCCUUAAAAUCGGGUAUUAUAGUAAGCCUGUUUGAGUAGAGAUAAAUGGCUUCCUCAAUCACAUCAGUGUUGAAGUGAUAUCAUAUGUCUUUUUCAUAGCCAUUCAACCUUCCUUGGCAAUGGUGCCAAAAACACUUACUGACUUUUCUUAGUGUCACUAAGAAUAAAGUUUUAAGUCUAUCCCCAAUAAUGGUACUAGAAAUGCUUAUGGUGUUUAUUAAUGCAACACUUAUUUUAACUAGUCACUUAUUAACUACCUACACCUCUAGCUUAGGGAACUAGGUUGUCAUCCUAGGUGAUUGAUCUUAAGAUGUUUGUUGGCAUCACCUAGCAUUACUACUAAGUAGUUUAUUAUUUCAUCCGACUAAAUAGAAUAUAAAGAUAUGAAAGAAAUGUUAUCCGCUAGCAUACAAAUUAAAUAUACCAUUAUAGUAUUUACCUCGAGUAUACCAGGUUGUUGAUUUAUACUUUACCACUAGGAAGGGAUGCCUAAGAAAUAUGAUUAUUCACUUAUCACUUGCACAUGCAAUGGAGAGUUAAGCAUGUCUAAUCAAUCUACUUAUAAUAGGGAUAAGUGUCACAAGUCACAAGAUAAAUAUAUAAUAAAUGAUGAAUAACCAAGUCAUAAUGAAUAAGAAUAAAUGCACCUACAUCAGUCCAUAAUUUGACAAGGCAGAGUAAAAAAGUAUUCCUAAGUCAUUCUAACUAUAUGUCAAAGAAUACUAUGAUUAGUGCAAUUACACUUAGCGGAUCAUUUUUAUAAUAUUCAUUAUAUCCAUACAUAAGGAACAUUGCUAAAAGAAGAGCCAUUACACAACAACACUUUUCCCCUACAACCGCAUUCUACUAGUUCUACAUAUGGAGGGUGGACUCCAUAGGGACUCAAUGGGACUGUCACUGCCGUGAUCUACUACACAACUCGGUAUAUAUAGUGCAUACACAGAUAAAUACUAUCUAAGGACCAUUCUUAGAUGACAUCUACCACUCACCACGUGUACAUUAGGAUGAGCGCUAUAUGAACAUAUGCAUAAACAUGAUAAUAAUCCAACUAUACUAAGUAUAUAAUCAAAGUAGAUGAUGAAGAAUAUAAUCGAGAACAAAAAUAUUAAAUAGAGCAAAGUGAUAUCUAUAGUAUCUAGCAAAUAUAUAAAUAGAAAAAUACAAAUAGAGAGAUUAUAAGGAAUUACCGAGUAAUACUCUCGACAAGACUCGAAAUCGAAGCGAAGCUUGACUCCGUCUACUUACAACCUAUGUAGCUAUGAUCUAGAAUUGGUGGAUCUCUAAGGAGACUAGGGCUUCUAGCUCUAAUGACUUGAUCAAAUGACUUGGUUUCCUUAUUCCUAGGGGAUAGGGAUCUCCUUAUAUAGGCUGGUGGAAUGAAGUAGAGCCCAUUGUUUGCGUAAACAACCAUUUAGAUCAUUUAAACACUUUACAAUGGUACAUUGUUUCUAUUUAAUCAUCCAUUUAACCCAUUUAAUUGACCGUUUAGCUCGUUUAAUGAACUAUUUAGCCCGAAUAAUGGCUAAAUGGCAUGUGACUGACUGUUUACCGUUUAGCGUUUUGGAAAACAUUGGAGCCCUCAGAUCAAACUGACUUCAAUCAAUGGCGUAGAUAGAAACCCUAAGGCAAUGGAGAACCAACGUGAGAAGGCAGUUGAUAGGUGGGACCAAGCCAGGUUGGCUGACCUAUAGGUAGUAUCAGCCAACAUUGCCUUGUGGAAAGUGGGCCCCACCUUCGGUGAUGUGUCUUCUCGUGCCUUAUUGAUCCUUCCCAAAUUGGUUUUUGCGAUGGAAGAUGCCUUUUUGCCUAACAUGCUUCAUUUCUUUUCCCUUUUCCUGAUAAACCCCUGCAAAAAUAAUGAUUCACCAAAAUUGUGGAUUUCUACAGUAUAGCCCCUACUUUAUGUAGAUAUUUCAUUAUAUGCUCUUUGCCAUGUUUGGUUGAUGGAUUAUAAUUGUUGUUAAGGACCGUCAACAAAUACUUGGGACACAUUAUUUUUGACAAAGGUGUGGCCACAGAUCCAACAAAAAUUGCCAUUAUGCUCAAAUGGCGAACACCAACAUCUAUGGCAAAACUUCAUGCUUUCCUUGGCCUAAUUGGUUACCAUAGGAAGUUCGUGAGUAAGUAUGGUGUCCUAGCUAAACCACUAACCAAUGUUUUGAGGUUGAAGACCUUCCAAUGGUCACCUAAAGCUUAGCAGGCUUUUGAUGCUAUCAAGCACACCAUGACAAAGACACUAGUUUUAGCAUUGGCAAAUUUUAACCUUCCUUUCACAUUUGAGACCACUGCAUGGGGGAAGUUAAUGGUGUAGUGUUAAUGCAAUAGGGCUAACCAAUAGCAUACUUGAGUAAAUCACCAGCAAAAAAGCAGAAGAAUCUAUAUAAUAUGAGAAAUAAUUUUUGUCACUAAUUAUGGCAGGCAAGAAGUGGAGACCAUAUCUGCAAUAGCAGGAAUUUGUCAUAUUUACUGACCAUAGAUCACUCUCAUAUCUGAAUGAGCAAACACUACAUUCUAAUCUCUAGAGAAAAGCAAUGACUAGACUCAUGGGACUAUAGUUCAAAAUUUUGUACAAGCCAAGCAAAAAAACUUGACUGCUAAUGCAUUGUCCAGAGUAGAUCAUCUCUAUGCACUCCUAGAAGUGGUAGUGGUGCAACCACAUCAGGAUGUUUUGAAUACAUAUGCCAUAGAUCCCAUAGCACAACAACUCCUAAAUAAAUUAGCAAUUGUCAAUCCUAAUGCCAAAGGCAUCAAUUUACAUCAAGGACUCAUCUAAAAAGACAAUCUAAUAUGGAUAGCUUAGAAUUCAGCACUAUAGACAAAGUUAAUAUCAACAUGCCAUGCGAGUGCUAUUGUAGGACACUAUGGAAUCAUGGCUACAUAUCAUAGGUUGAAAAAGGCAUUUUCAUUGGAAAGACACGAAGAAAGAUGUGGAUAAUUUUAUACAACAAUGUUAUGUGUGUUAGCAAGCUAAGCAUACUAAUACACCUCUAGCUGGUUUAUUACAACCCCCUCCAUAAUCCUAUGGGUGUGUGGCAAGAUGUUUCUAUGGACUUCAAGAAGGAUUACCUAAAUCAGAUGGCUAUUCUAUGAUUCUAGUGGUGGUGGAUAGAUUAAGUAAGAUUGCCCAUUUCCUGCCAGUGAAACAUCCAUACACUACACUCUCAAUUGCUAAAUUGUUCUUAUCCACCAUAGUCAAAUUCCAUGGAUUUCCCAAGUCAAUUAUGUCUUAUAGAGACCCAAUUUUUUGAGUAACUUUUGGAAAGAACUAUUCAAGUUGUACAAGGUAGAUCUAAACUUGACAACUGCUUACCACCCACAGUCUGAUGGGCAAACAGAGAGAGUAAACCAAUGCAUGGAAAUGUACUUGAAAUGUUCAGUACAAGACUCUCUAAAGAAUUGGAAAGCCUAGCUUCCACUAGCACAGUUAUGGUAUAACUCAUCAUUCCACAGUGCACUAGGUUGUUUGCCUUUCAAAGCGUUAUAUGGAUAUGAACCAAAUCUAGGAAUUUGUCCAACAAUUCUAGCAGAACUCUCCAACAGUAACUGACAUCAUCAAGAAUCGAGAACAUCACUAGGAGGCACUCAAGCAACGAUGAUGAUAGCCUAGAAUAGAAUCAAGACGUAGGCUGACAAGAAUUGUCCAAACAAAGAAUUCUCUAUGGGUGACAAGGUACUGCUUAAACUUCAACUAUACAUUUAGUCAUGUGUAGCUAACAGGCCAUUCCCUAACCUAGCAUACAAAUACUUUGGUCCACACACCAUUUUGGAGCGCAUUGGGUCAGUUACAUACAAGUUGGAACUGCGUGAAGAUAGUCCAAUCCACCAUAUCUUUCAUAUCUCUCAACUCAAAUCAUAUCAUCAAUAUCACUCACCUCUCUUUUCCAAUCUGCCAAUGCUCACUGUUACUCAAGCUAGCACGGCACAACCACUAAAGGUGCUCAACACGUGUCUUGGAAAGAAAGGUAAUACUGCCAUGCCAUAGGUGUUGUUAUCUUGGAUAGGUUUACCUACAUCGUCCACAACAUGGGAGGGUUACUACGUGGUGAAGAAGAGGUUCCUUAACGCACCGACUUAGGGUCAAGCCAGUUCUUCGGUGGGGGAGUUGUCAUAGUCCAAGUCUAAUGGCCCAGACAGCAAGUGUCAAGUGAUGAAGACACGUCCAAGACAAGGAGUAUUUCCCAUUAAUGUAAUAAAGUAGACAUUGGCAUGUGGGUCCAUGGGACCAGUUGUUGGAUGCCUUAAGUACUCGAACUAUUGUUGUAAAGAUAUCAUUGGAGUUUACUAUAGUCAAUAGACUCACGAGAGCCAGGGGUUUCCCCUUUGCUUCCUCUCGUUGGCCAAACUCCAGCAAGUCUAAUUGCCUCUCACAUCGACGGUGUCCUCACCGGUGGCCACAGGUGCUACACUCGGAGGCUCCAUAACCUGAGUUGGAUUAUGAACUUGGCUGCAUCAUUCCAAGCAAAUUAACAUAUAUAUAUAUAAGCAAUGGUAAUGCAAUGCUAUUUUUUACCACAACCAUACUUCAGAUGUGGAUCAUAUCAAUUGACUGAACGAAAAGCAAAGCAGUAGGUAGUGGGUUCCAAACCUUAUAUCUCCUUGGGCCCUUGAAUGCAUGUUUUGGGGCUCAUGUUUGUCUCUCUCCCAUAUGCACAUCUGAACCACCCUCGGUAUGCAGUCUGGCGUGCCGCCUCCAUCGAUCAAACGGAAAAGCAAAGCAGUAGGGAGGGGGUUCCAAACCUUAUAUCUCCUUGGCGCCCUUGAAUGCAUGUUUCGGGGCUCGUAUUUGUCUCUCUCCCAUAUGCACAUCUGAACCACCCUCAGUAUGGACUCUGGCGUGCCACCACCGAUGGUGGCGGCCCUGCCUGACUUCAUGGCUCGCUAGGCAAGGGCACCCCGCCCACCACGCGUGUUUUUUUUUGAGGAGAGGAGAGGAGUCACAAGUGUGGGACCAUGGGUGUCGAGGGGACAGUCACACAGGGGUGGGAGAGGAGUCACACGUGUGGGAGCGCGUGUGUCUAGGAGGACGUGCGUCACAUGGGGAGAGAGUCGUGUGGGGGUCGGCACGGGAUCAGAUGAGUGAUGAGGACUGGUGAGUAAGGCCAGUCUCAAUGUAUAGUAUCAUGGUACAGUUACCAAGACUAUAAACUAGGUAACCGAGCAACAUGAGUUUCAUGGGGAUGAAACUCCUCUCUCAUCUGAUGAAACUCCUUCAUUUAAUGACCCUGCCAAGUCAGCAAUUUUGCUUAUGUGACACCCUAUUUAAUGUGCAUGACACUCUCAUGAAACAUGCAUUGAGACUGGCCUAAGAGAAACGAGAUAGCAGAGUGAAUCUCAUCCUUUGAUUUGAAAGGUUAUUUGCUGUUAGGUGUAUUUUUUGGGUAUACGUAGGAGAGAUUAUGACUAUGGUGGAUAGUUUGUGGGGUGGCUCUAUGGAGGUUUACGAGAUUAUGACUAUGGUGGAUAGUUUGUGGGGUGGCUUUAUGGAGGUUUACGAGCGGUGGCUUUAUGGAGGUUUACGAGCGGUGUACUAGUAGUAGUAGAGAUUUAUAUUACUGGCUCAUCAUGUAAUAAUUGCAUUUUGCGAAGAUGAAUAUGUAGUUGUACUAUAUAAAUAGGCAAUUUCAGUAGUCGAUAGUAUUGUUAGUUUUUUUAUUACCAACUUGGAUUAUUGUUUAUUGGUUUGCAUUCCUUUGUAUCUUUUUAAAUUGUUAAUUUUAUAUCUUCUUCCUGUUGCCAUCUCAUUUCCAAUUUUAGUUUUCCUCCUACGUGAACUAGGGCCUAGGGUGGUUCCAGCACUUAUAUAAUAUAUUAAGCGGUUUGCCUUGUUGUAAGUUAUUUUUUUUGGUUUAUAAUGAGAGCAUAUUUUGCUCAGCCAGUUAUUUUUUUAGUUUCAUAGCUGUUCGCUUCAACUUGUCGGCACUACUUUUCACUAUAAAAUAAUAUUUUUCUCUCAUAACAAAUUUGCAUCAGCAGCAGCCGAAAAAUCAGUUAGCCGAAUAGGUAAUUUCAUUGCUUGUGGUGUUUGUUUUAUUUACUCUUUUUUCAGGUUCAUGUUAAGGGUUUGUGCUCAGUGCUUUUAGUAUUUGACCAUUGCUACCAUUCUCCAAACAGUUACCGAACAAAAAAAAACUUUCUCCAAACAGUUAGCUGAUAGGCCACACGCUGCAGCAUGCAGGAUGUACCCUGCAGAUGCUUACACCAGCAUAUAAGUUUUUUGCAGAUCGCGCGCUCAAUCAUUCACAAUAAUGAAAAUAAGCCCAAUGAUUAAUUGACUAGAAUGUACAAACACAGUGAGGAGCUUUAAUUACUGGCUUGAGUUUGUGCAGAAUAUUGAAGACAUCAUCAGUGGCGGAUCAAAAAAACCAGGCAAGAGGUGGAGUCCUCGGAUCAUGGAUGUGGCAGUGUCCAUUUGGUACCAGAGGGGGUCGGGGCGGCGCCUGGUGACUUUGCUCCCUCGUGGCACUUGCCACGUGAGAUGCUCGGGGAUGCCUGUUUUUGCUAUUUUUCACCUGUUCUACCUGUUUUGUGCUUGCACUUAAAAUUUUCCAUGUUCAUGUGGAACCAAGUAAAAUUUAAACAAUAAAUACCACUUUUUAGUUGAUUUUGUCACUUUUGGCUCGCUAUGUUGAUGGCUUUUCUGGGUGUUAAUAGCCAUCGAACAAAGUAAAAUUUAAACAAUAAAUACCACUUUUAGUUGAUUUUGUCACUUUUGUCUUGCUAUGUUGAUGGCUUUUCUGGGUGUUAAUAGCCAUCGAACAAAGUAAAAUUUAAACAUUAAAUACCACUUUUAGUUGAUUUUGUCACUUUUGGGGUGUUAACAGCCAUCAACAGGCGGUGGGGGGGCGGAGAUGGCCAACGGCAAGUGGGGGUUGGGCUGUGAAACGGUACUCCCUGAGAAAUCAGCCCAUGUGUGUGUCACGGGGCAGGGGCAUUUGCCCUUAACAUCAUGAUUGAUAACACCAUGAGCACAGUGCUAUCAAACUUGGCGGAGAGACGAUUGGCUGCGGGAACCAGUAGCCAAGUGUCUAGCUCUAGCCCCAACACUAUCAGUAGCAUUAUGAAUGGUGUCAUCAAGAGAAAACUGAAUGUCAGCACAAAGGACCUCAUGUGAUACAUCCACAAAAUCUAGAAAAUACAUCUGAAUGAUAUAUUUCGAUUCGGGCAUGCAGCUGGCAAGAUGCAUCUCAGCAAAUCUUUGACGCACUGUCCAAUGAAUUUAUGAAGACAACAAUCUACGAUGCAAGUGAAAAUAUAUGUAUCUAAUUUUUGCUAGGAUGAACCUUUAGUUUAUUGAACCGCGACACAUGGUUGUUGACUAAAUUAUUGUAAUUACUAUGCAUAUCAGCAAAUCCAUGAUUGUUGAUUAAAUUAUUGUAAUUAUUGUGCAUGCUUAUAGCAACUGUCAUAUGGCGUGACUAUAUGACGAUGUAUAGUGGACAGGUAAGUGUGAAUGCUACUUUUAAUAUAUAUGACCUAUUUAUUGGGUAUGUUAGAGAAUGUUAAAUUACAGCGGAUGCAUAAUAAAUUUCAUAUAAGAAAGAGCAUAUAUAUUGCACACAUGAUGACUAAUAUUUUCUCUUCUGUAGGUCGACAUCAUCUGCUCCAGAGGCAGAACCAGGGGGGCCAUGCCCCCCUCCCCCAAAUGGCAAAAAUCUUUUAGUUGCCCACUAAUCUGCCCAGCUUAGCAACUAAAGCAAAAAUGUCGCAAUCAUUUUGUUAUUCUAGAAUAAGAAGAUGCAUCCUCCCUUUCCUUUUAGUUUGUUGGCUAAUUUAACUUGUCACAACAAACAUUAUGAUUUAUGUUUAUAUGAAUAUUUAUUUUAUAUAUACAUAUAAAUUUUGCUCGUUCUCGUAUCUGUUUAGCCAGACUGCACCCCCAUCCCCUUUUAUCAUUUUGUUGGUUCUGACACUAAUCUGAGGUUUCUUCAUCAGCCUGUUUUUGCUAGUUCUAGUGUUAUUCUGUUUUUUUGUCCCAACAUUCUUGCACAUAUUCCUGAGCCUGCCGAGGAAGACCUUGCAUUAUUGCCACCCUUACUUUCUCACCAAUGCCUUCGUCGGGUCAUACAAGAAUCUGAACUUCUAUUGAAUCCUUGGGGCAGGACACAUAGUAAAUGUCCCUAUGCACAUACUGAUGGUAUAUUUGGUUCAAAUUCUGAAGCGUUUGCUUCUGUCCGUUCUUUGAAGGUGCACUUAUAAUUUUCCAUGUUCAUGUGGAACCAAGUAAAAUUUAAACAAUAAAUAUCACUUUUUAGUUGAUUUUGUCACUUUUAGCUCGCUGUGCUGAUGGCAUUUCGAGGUGUUAAUAGCCAUCGAACAAAGUAAAAUUUAAACAUUAAAUACCACUUUUUAGUUGAUUUUGUCACUUUUGGCUUGCUAUGUUGAUGGCAUUUCGGGGUGUUAAUAGCCAUCAACAGCGGGGGAGGGAGAUGCCCAACGGCAUGUGGCGUCUGGGCUGUGAAAUAGUAGUCCUUGAGAAAUCAGCCCAUGUGUGUGUCAGGGGGCAGGGGCAUCUGCCCCUAAUCAUCAUGAUUGAUAACACCAUGAGCACAGUGCUAUCAAACAUGGCGGAGAGACAAUUGGCUGCGGCAAUUAGUAGCCAAGUGACUAGCUCUAGCCCCAACACUAUCACUAGCAUUAUGAAUGGUGUCAUCAAGCGAAAACUGAAUGUCAUCACAAAGGACCUCAUGUGAGUGUCUCUACUUUAACAUACCACAACCACAAAAUCUAUAAAAAACAUUUGAAUGAUAUAUUUCGAUUCGGGCAUGCAGCUGGCAAGAUGCAUCUCAGCAAAUCUUUAACGCACUGUCCAAUGAAUUUAUGAAGACAACAAUCUACGAUGCAAGUGAAAAUAUAUGUAUCUAAUUUUUGCUAGGAUGAACCUUUAGUUUAUUGAACCGCGACACAUGGUUGUUGACUAAAUUAUUGUAAUUACUAUGCACCUCAGCAAAUCCAUGAUUGUUGAUUAAAUUAUUGUAAUUAUUGUGCCUGUUUAUAGCAACUGUCAUGUGGCGUGACUAUAUGACGAUGUAUAGUGGACAGGUAAGUGUGAAUGCUACUUUUAAUAUAUAUGACCUAUUUAUUAGGUAUGUUAGAGAAUGUUAAAUUACACCGGAUGCAUAAUAAAUUUCAUAUAAGAAAGAGCAUAUAUAUUGCACACAUGAUGACUAAUAUUUUCUCUUCUGUAGAUCGACAUCAUCUGCUCGAGAGGCAGAACCAGGGGGCCAUGCCCCCCUCCCCCAAAUGGCAAAAAUCUUUUAGAUGCCCACUAAUUUGCCCAGCUUAGCAACUAAAGCAAAAAUGUCGCAAUCAUUUUGUUAUUCUAGAAUAAGAAGAUGCAUCCUCCCUUUCCUUUUAGUUUGUUGGCUAAUUUAACUUGUCACAACAAACAUUAUGAUUUAUGUUUAUAUGAAUAUUUAUUUUAUAUAUACAUAUAAAUUUUGCUCGUUCUCGUAUCUGUUUAGCCAGACUGCACCCCCAUCCCCUUUUAUCAUUUUGUUGGUUCUGGCACUAAUCUGAGGUUUCUUCAUCAGCCUGUUUUUGCUAGUUCUAGUGUUAUUCUGUUUUUUUGUCCCAACAUUCUUGCACAGAUUCCUGAGCCUGCCGAGGAAGACCUUGCAUUAUUGCCACCCUUACUUUCUCACCAAUGCCUUCGUCGGGUCAUACAAGAAUCUGAACUUCUAUUGAAUCCUUGGGGCAGGACACAUAGUAAAUGUCCCUAUGCACAUACUGAUGGUAUAUUUGGUUCAAAUUCUGAAGCGUUUGCUUCUGUCCGUUCUUUGAAGGUGCACUUAUAAUUUUCCAUGUUCAUGUGGAACCAAGUAAAAUUUAAACAAUAAAUACCACUUUUUAGUUGAUUUUGUCACUUUUAGCUCGCUAUGCUGAUGGCAUUUCGAGGUGUUAAUAGCCAUCGAACAAAGUAAAAUUUAAACAUUAAAUACCACUUUUUAGUUGAUUUUGUCACUUUUGGCUUGCUAUGUUGAUGGCAUUUCGGGGUGUUAAUAGCCAUCAACAGCGGGGGGAGGGAGAUGCCCAACGGCAUGUGGCGGCUGGGCUGUGAAACAGUACUCCUUGAGAAAUCAGCCCAAGUGUGUGUCAGGGGGCAGGGGCAUCUGCCCCUAAUCAUCAUGAUUGAUAACACCAUGAGCACAGUGCUAUCAAACAUGGCGGAGAGACAAUUGGCUGCGGCAAUUAGUAGCCAAGUGACUAGCUCUAGCCCCAACACUAUCACUAGCAUUAUGAAUGGUGUCAUCAAGCGAAAACUGAAUGUCAUCACAAAGGACCUCAUGUGAGUGUCUCUACUUUAACAUACCACAACCACAAAAUCUAUAAAAAACAUUUGAAUGAUAUAUUUCGAUUCGGGCAUGCAGCUGGCAAGAUGCAUCUUAGCAAAUCUUUGACGCACUGUCCAAUGAAUUUAUGAAGACAACAAUCUACGAUGCAAGUGAAAAUAUAUGUAUCUAAUUUUUGCUAGGAUGAACCUUUAGUUUAUUGAACCGCGACACAUGGUUGGUGACUAAAUUAUUGUAAUAACUAUGCAUCUCAGCAAAUCCAUGAUUGUUGAUUAAAUUAUUGUAAUUAUUGUGCAUGUUUAUAGCAACUGUCAUAUGGCGUGACUAUAUGACGAUGUAUAGUGGACAGGUAAGUGUGAAUGCUACUUUUAAUAUAUAUGACCUAUUUAUUGGGUAUGUUAGAGAAUGUUAAAUUACACCGGAUGCAUAAUAAAUUUCAUAUAAGAAAGAGCAUAUAUAUUGCACACAUGAUGACUAAUAUUUUCUCUUCUGUAGGUCGACAUCAUCUGCUCCAGAGGCAGAACCAGGGGGCCAUGCCCCCCUCCCCCAAAUGGCAAAAAUCUUUUAGAUGCCCACUAAUCUGCCCAGCUUAGCAACUAAAGCCAAAAUGUCGCAAUCAUUUUGUUAUUCUAGAAUAAGAAGAUGCAUCCUCCCUUUCCUUUUAGUUUGUUGGCUAAUUUAACUUGUCACAACAAACAUUAUGAUUUAUGUUUAUAUGAAUAUUUAUUUUAUAUAUACAUAUAAAUUUUGCUCGUUCUCGUAUCUGUUUAGCCAGACUGCACCCCCAUCCCCUUUUAUCAUUUUGUUGGUUCUGGCACUAAUCUGAGGUUUCUUCAUCAGCCUGUUUUUGCUAGUUCUAGUGUUAUUCUGUUUUUUUGUCCCAACAUUCUUGCACAGAUUCCUGAGCCUGCCGAGGAAGACCUUGCAUUAUUGCCACCCUUACUUUCUCACCAUUGCCUUCGUCGGGUCAUACAAGAAUCUGAACUUCUAUUGAAUCCUUGGGGCAGGACACAUAGUAAAUGUCCCUAUGCACAUACCGAUGGUAUAUUUGGUUCAAAUUCUGAAGCGUUUGCUUCUGUCCGUUCUUUGAAGGUGCACUUAUAAUUUUCCAUGUUCAUGUGGAACCAAGUAAAAUUUAAACAAUAAAUACCACUUUUUAGUUGAUUUUGUCACUUUUAGCUCGCUAUGCUGAUGGCAUUUCGAGGUGUUAAUAGCCAUCGAACAAAGUAAAAUUUAAACAUUAAAUACCACUUUUUAGUUGAUUUUGUCACUUUUGGCUUGCUAUGUUGAUGGCAUUUCGGGGUGUUAAUAGCCAUCAACAGCGGGGGGAGGGAGAUGCCCAACGGCAUGUGGCGGCUGGGCUGUGAAACAGUACUCCUUGAGAAAUCAGCCCAUGUGUGUCAGGGGACAGGGGCAUCUGCCCCUAAUCAUCAUGAUUGAUAACACCAUGAGCACAGUGCUAUCAAACAUGGCGGAGAGACAAUUGGCUGCGGCAAUUAGUAGCCAAGUGACUAGCUCUAGCCCCAACACUAUCACUAGCAUUAUGAAUGGUGUCAUCAAGCGAAAACUGUGGUAGAACCUCCUGAAUUAAGUGUCCCACAUGCACCCAUCAUUGUCUCAAAGACUUCUGAUCGACGUGCACGAGUUCCAAAUGACUCAAGAAGUCUGUCGGGUGUCCUCGGGAAACCCGAAUCAUCCACGUUAUAUUCUUUCCAGGAAUUUCCCUCAUUAAGCAUUACAGUAUUACAACAUUUUCAUAGAUAAGGUAAAUCAGAGUAAAAGCGGAAAGGUUACAUAACAUAGAUUGAAACUUAAGUCCAACGGUUACAAACCAUAAGUAUUUAGUACAUAAGAAGUUCGGAACUUUAUAUUACAUAAACCAUAGAUCACACAACAAGUUUUACUUGCCCAAGGUCACACAUCAGAUUCAUCAUCAUCACUCUCCUCCACAAGAGUAAAGUAACAACGAUCAUCAAAAGGAUUAUCAAAGGGUUCACCUGCAAUAGGGGUUAAUAAACCCUGAGUACAAAAGUACUCAACAAGACUUAACCGACUAUAAAAGAGGUGAAGACUCAAGUAUGCAGGCUGUAGGGAUUCAAGGUAAAGCUUUAGCAAGAUCAAGCAUUUCUUUUGCAUAAAAGCUUACUAAGAGUAAAACCUACUUUCAAGUUUUAACUCAAGAUCAUCAUUGAUGCCUAACCAAAACUAUUAUCAAACUUUCAUAAGCAAACCAUAUCUUUCUUAUGCCAAAGAUUUACUUGUUACUACGAUGAUGGGGUGAGGAUUGAGACUCCAUAUCCGAGGAAACACGGCGAUUCGAAUCGAUUAAACCCAGCUGGGGAUUCAGUACCACACGACAUAUGUAGAACUUAAUCUUGCAUAUGUCAACCUGUUUCUAUAGAUCCUCCCAUACAAGAACGGGUCCAGCGUCACCCGAGAGUACAGUACACCACCAUCCUAUAGCCAAUCUAGAUGUUUCCCGGUCAUCUCAGAUCCGUAAGGUGGGUACACGCUACUCUCGCCAUCUCUCCACUCCCAGUACGCGGUUAGCCGUUCUCAAGUAUCAGAAUAGCUAUAGGUAAGGCUUACCACCGCAUGUGGGCUGUACUCAAAGGUCUCAAUCACAACAGGCCAACAACGGAACGGUCCUUAAUCGACACAGUUGGAGACACUACUUUAAGACUCCAUUCUUAAAGCAAGUCCACCGACCGGUCUCAAGUUCGAAUAUUAUUGACCAUAAAAGUAUUCCACAACAACCCUUCAAACUUUCUCAUUUGAAAACCUAUCUAAUAAGCAGGGCUAAGCAUACUAAGUAUUUUCAUAAAACAGAUAUCAAGGUUAAUAUUGAAAUCAUCAAGGUAGAUAAUGCAGCAAAUAGGAUUCACUCAACUCCUAUUCACCUAAUGCAUCAUAUUAACUCAAGUGAUAUAAAUAACUUUAUGAAAAUACAAGGAUAGGGUUUAAUGUCCGGGGCUUGCCUUGGUCGGAAGGGAAGUUCGACAACUCAGCAAAACCCGAAGGUUCCACAAACUCGGAAGCAACCCACUGUGGCUCAGAUUCUUCCGGAGCGUAUUCUAUACGUAAAAGUGCAUAUGCAUGAUUAUGAUAUACUCAUGGCAUGAUAAAGACAGGUUACAUGUUCUUGGAUGAUAAUAACAAACAUGACUACCUCGAGUACAACUUACCUUCAUGGUAAAGAAACAAACUAAGCUAGCUAUCAAAGCAUAGAUUACUACUAAACAAACUUUAUCAUUUUUAUUAAGCAACAUUGGGUAUCUAUCAAAUAAUAAAGAUCAUAUAUAUAAAACAAAUCAUAACCAGGGAGCAUAUUAUGCUAAGUGACCACUGGUUGUCAAUCAAUCCAAAAUACCACUCAAAUCCUAAAAGGAUUAAUUAUUUCUAUUUCUUUUAUAAUCAUUUUAAAUAGUUUUAUUAAGAAAUAGAGCAUACUUUAUCAAAAAGAGCUGAAAUUAUUCCUGAAGCUAGAUAACAGUAACACAAGUUCACAUAUUAAAUUUCAUGAUUUUUGGAUAUACCCAUAAAUUAUUAAAAUUCAUGGAAGAUUUAUUUAUUUAUUAAAAGAGGUAAUUUUUACAUACAUGCAAACUACCAGAAAAUAGAACCAAAUAUUUUUCAUGUAUUCUACUCAUUUCAAGGAAGCUAUACAAGAAGUUUCACUAUUUUUGGAUUACUACAUAAUUUAAUACACAAAUUCAAACAUCAACCAUUUUUAAACAAAAAGAAAAAGAAAAGCAUCACUGUGCCACUGCGGCCAAGGAGCUCGGCCCAAGCUCGCGCGAAACUUGGCCCAGCCGGCCUCUCCCCGCGCGCGCUGAUGGUUUUGCAGAAAAGCCCUUGGAUUUCCUAGAAACCAACCCGCAGACCAGCCAACUAUUCACAUGAGUCUACGGCUUCGCAACCAAUCCCCUCCCCUUUCUCAUCUUUAGAAACACGAGGUCCCCGACGCCCCGGCUGACCAGAGCGCGGCAGAACGCGGUGGCGUGGGUUACGCCGGGCAACUCCGGCCACCCCGAACCAACUGAGGCGAGCACGAGCAUCAGCANNNNNNNNNNNNNNNNNNNNNNNNNNNNNNNNNNNNNNNNNNNNNNNNNNNNNNNNNNNNNNNNNNNNNNNNNNNNNNNNNNNNNNNNNNNNNNNNNNNNAUCGGCAUCUCACCCUAGGUGUGCUGACGCACAUUUUAGGAGCGGAGAACAACCGGGUGAUACUCGUCCACGCGACUAGUGACUCCGGCGGCGCGCUCCGACGAAGAAGACGAUGUUCCGGCGACAGCUCUGAAGCAAUGGAGAAAAGAGCGAGGCGAUGAGCAUCACAGGAUCAUGCCGAAGCAAAGACAAGAGAAAGAGAGAGCAGAGAGUCGCCCAGAUGAGCCAACCACGGGAGACUCGAGCUCGGCUGCGACUUACUCCGGCGAAGAUGAAAAUGAGGAACUCCGGUGCUCUGAUGCGAAAGAGAAUAGAAGGACGGGUUCUGGAGAUGCGCAAGGAGGUAACGAAGAUAUGCCCACGGUGAAACUGGAUAUGGAUCAACCGUUGCGGUGAAUUUUGGAUUUGAGUGAUAAGCUGUCCGUCGGUGCUCCGGUGGCAAUCGGCGUCGGUGAGCGCAAGAGGAAGGGACACGUCGCGCUCCACUUCGCCAGCAGCUGCUUCACCUUGCCACGGACGCGAGCACGUGCUUGGACGAGGUGAAACGGUGGCUCAUGCGCUGGCAACGCCGAUCCAAGCUCGGUGGUCCACCGCCAUGAACAGAAGCCAAAGCUUAUCCCCCUCUUCCCCAUUUACCCCUUUCUGUCUUUUUGCGAAAAUUGACCAAAAUUUGAACAGAAGUCAUAUUUCUGCCAAAAUAAAACUUGUUCAGAAUUUUGAAUACUAUAAAACAUCUUUUAGGGUCCAAGGCUGAUUUCAAAUGGAAAGGGAUGAAUUUGAGCCAAACAGUUUGAAAUUCAAAUCUCAAAUUGGGAAAAAUUCCAAUUUUGAAUUGGGGCAGAUUAGAAUUUCCAAAAUUACUUUUGAUUUUCCGAAACAACUUGAAAAACUCCCAACAUGAAAGUUGUUCAACUUUUCAAGCCCUACAACUUUCAUGUUGACCAUUUUUCAAAAUUCCAAAUAGAUUUUGAAUUGGAUAUUCAAAUUGGAAAAGGGGACAAUUUCUGGAAAAUUGUAUUUUCAAAAUUACUUUGAAUUUUGUAUUGAAACUCCAAAAACUCAAAACACCAAAGUUGUACAUCUUGACAAGACCUACAACUUUGCUUUUGAACUCAACUUCAAAUUUUUCUUGGUUUUUGAAUUGCACAAAAAGGGGCAAAUCUAGGGUUUCCCCCUUAAGCUCUCGGAAAACUUUCACCCAAGGUCUUUAAACUCCAACACAAGCAUCCAAUACACAAAAUAAGCACACUUUAAAUUCCUAAACACAUUCAUCCAAAUUAAACUUAUUUUAAGUUAAUGCAUCAGGGUUUACUUAACAAAUAAACUAUGCAAUGCUCAUGAUGACAUGUCAUGUUUUAGUUCGCUUAACACCAGAGUGUUACAGCUCUUUCCCCCUUAAAGAAAUCUCGUCCCGAGAUUUAACUUGAAGGCUAACUAAUGGAAAAGGAAGUUUGUCAAGCACUCCCAAAACCAACUUUUACAAAAAUAGGGAUAGGUCAUUACACUACAGAUUACAAGGAUAGAACAGAAGAAAGAAACUCAGGAAAACUUUCUAAGAGAAACUCUUCGGACUCCCACGUGGCUUCAUCUUCGGUAUGUUGAUUCCAUUGCACCUUGUAAAAUUUGAUAGUUCUUCUACGAGUGACUCGAUCUUUUUGAUCCAGAAUCUUGAUAGGAUAUUCUGAAUAUGUCAGAUCAGGCUCUAACUUAAUUUCUUCAACAUGAAUGAUAUGAUCAGGCACUUGAAGACAUUUCUUCAACUGAGAGACAUGGAACACAUUGUGAACCGAUGAUAACUGUGGUGGUAAAUCUAGACGAUAUGCCACCUUUCCACAUCUUUCAAGGAUUUGAUAUGGACCUAUAUAUCGAGGUGCCAACUUUCCUUUUACUCCAAAUCGAGUGACCCCUUUCAUAGGUGACACUUUGAGGUAUACAUAAUCACCAACCUCAAAGGUAAGAGAGCGACGUCUCUUAUCAGCAUAACUCUUCUGCCUGGACUGUGCUAUCUUCAUGUUCUCUCAGAUGAGCCUGACUUUCUCUUCAGUUUCUCUGACUAAGUCAACCCCGAAGAGACUAUGUUCUCCAGGUUCGGACCAAUUCAAAGGUGUUCUGCACCUUCUGCCAUAUAGAGCUUCGAAUGGUGCCAUCUUAAUGCUCUCUUGAUAACUAUUAUUGUAAGAGAAUUCUGCUAAAGGCAAACAUUCACCCCAUUUCUCUGAAUAACUAAGCACACAAGAUCUUAACAUAUCUUCUAAGAUCUGAUUGACUCUUUCAGUCUGACCUCCAGUCUGUGGAUGAUAAGUUGUACUAUGCAGAAGUUUUGUACCCAAGGACUUAUGCAAGUGCUUCCAGAAAGCAUUUACAAAUUGUGUCCCUCUAUCAGAUACGAUAGUCUUUGGAAUACCAUGUAAACUCACAAUUCUGUUAAAGUAUAUCUUAGCAUAGAUGGAAGCCCGAUACUUCUUUCUUACAGGAAUGAAAUGAGCUGAUUUGGUCAGACGAUCAACAAUGACCCAUACGGAAUCAAACCCUUUCAUUGUUCUGGGUAGACCCACUAUGAAGUCCUUACUGAUGUCAUCCCACUUCCAAGAUGGAAUUGACAAUGGUUGCAAUUCUCCAACAGACCUAAGAUGAACUGCUUUCACUUUUUGACAAGUAUCACAUCUAGCCACAUAACUCGCAAUUUCAAGCUUCAUCUUAGUCCACCAGAAUCCUUGUUUCAGAUCAUGAUACAUCUUAUUACUACCUGGAUGGAUUGAAAAUUUUGUUGCAUGAGCUUCAUCAAGAAUUUGUUUUCUGAGUUCAGGGACUUUUGGAUCUACUAAACGAUCCUUGAACCAAAUCACUCCAGCUUCAUCUAUUCUGAACUUGGAAUUCUGCUCAGACUGGAUCUUUUCUUUCAAAAAGGUCAUACCCUUAUUUUCUUUCUGAGCUGUAAUAAUCUGAUCUUUGAUAGAUGAUUGAACUAUCACAUUUGCAAGACUUCCUUGUGGAAUCAUUUCAAGGUUUAACUUUUCAAAUUCAUAACACAGGGUAAGGUCUAUAGGCUUGACUUCCAGACAAUUGCAAUGACUCUUUCGACUGAGUGCAUCUGCCACUACAUUGGCUUUGCCUGGGUGAUAGUGUACCUCAAUAUCAUAAUCUUUUAUCAGUUCUAACCACCUUCUCUGACGCAUAUUCAAUUCUGACUGAGUGAAAAUGUAUUUCAAACUCUUAUGAUCAGUGUAUAUGUGACAAGUAUUACCUAGCAGAUAAUGUCGCCAGAUCUUUAGAGCAUGGACUACUGCUGCCAACUCUAGAUCAUGUGUUGGAUAAUGCUCUUCGUGACGCUUAAGUUGUCGUGAAGCAUAGGCAAUGACUCUGCCUUCUUGCAUCAGUACACAUCCAAUGCCCUUGCCUGAAGCAUCACAAUACACAUCAAAAGAUUUUUCAAUAUCAGGUUGAGCUAGCACUGGUGCAGUGGUCAACAACUUUUUCAAGGUCUGAAAAGCUUCUUCACACUCGGAUGACCACACAAACUUGGUAUCAUUCUUUAGCAGUGUUGUCAUUGGUUUAGAGAUCUUGGAGAAGUCAGGGAUAAACCUGCGAUAAUACCCUGCCAAUCCUAAGAAACUCCGAACUUGAUGUACUGAAGUUGGUGACUUCCAGUCCAGAACUUCCUGAACUUUGCUUGGAUCUACUGCAACACCUUCAGCUGACAGGACAUGACCCAAAAAUUGAACUUCAUCUAUCCAGAAUUCACACUUGCUAAACUUAGCAUAUAACUGAUGUUCUCUCAAGCGAGUUAACACUAUCCUGAGAUGCUCCUCAUGCUCUUCUUUAGUUUUGGAAUAGAUGAGAAUGUCAUCAAUGAAUACCACCACGAACUUAUCUAACUCUGGCAUGAAUACUGAAUUCAUCAAGUACAUAAAAUGUGCUGGGGCAUUUGUCAGACCAAAAGACAUGACCAGAUAUUCAUACAGACCAUAUCGGGUAGUGAAUGCUGUUUUCGGAACAUCUUUUGGUUUGAUCUUAAUUUGAUGAUACCUAGAUCUCAAGUCUAUCUUCGAAAAUACCUUAGCACCAGUUAGUUGAUCAAAGAGAAGAUCAAUACGGGGCAAAGGAUACUUAUUCUUGAUUGUUACUUCAUUCAAAGGACGAUAAUCCACACAUAACCUCAAGGUAUUGUCCUUUUUCUUCACAAAGAUUGCCGGGCAACCCCAUGGUGACGAACUAGGUCGAAUGAAACCUUUAUCCAUCAAUUCUUGCAACUGAGUUUUUAGUUCUGCUAAUUCUUUUGGUGGCAUUCUAUAAGCUCUUCUGGAUAUUGGUGAUGUCCCUGGCUUGAGCUCUAUUUCAAACUCCACAUCACGAUCAGGUGGCAGACCAAGUAAAUCUUCUGGAAACACAUCCGGAAACUCACAGACCACUGGAAUGUCCUUGAUUUCCUUGACAGAGAUAGCACAUACUUGCUCAACUGCUCUCUUAAGGGUAGGAAGAUGGAUAAGAAGUUGAGACUUGCUAUUAGGUAAGUUGACCUUGAUUGUUCUAUUUAAGGUGUCUAUAACUGCACCUCUCUGGCUCAUCCAGUUCAUACCCAAGAUCACAUCUAUACUUGGAUCUUUUAACACUAUCAUGGAUGUUGGAAAUAUAUAUCCACCCAAGUCUAUUGGUACCUGAUGUACCAUUUCCUUAGUGCAUAGUCGACCCCCAGGUGACUGUAUAAAGAACUCAUCUUUGGUUGCACCAAUAGGUAUAUUAUGCUUUUUCGCAAAUGUUCUAUUCAUGAAAGUAUGUGAUGCACCAGAAUCAAAAAGUUUAAGCGCUGAGUGUUGGGCAACAGGGAACAUACCAAGCAUCACUGGUUCUCCUUCAGGUAUAGCUUCAACUUGAGUGUGGAAAACCCUUCCUGUUUUCUGAGUACCCUUACCCUUCUGCUGAUUCUGGGCAUUAACUUUGUUUUGAUUUGCUUGCUGAUUUCCAACUGGCCUUGGUGCAUUGACAUUUGGAACAUUUUGCCUUGGGUAUGGACAUUCACGAGCAAAAUGUCCACUCUUCCCACAAUUGUAACAAGGAUUGUUUGCAGCUUGUGGCACUGGCGGACGAAUGGCAGGAACAUUUGGCUGACGUUGAACAUUGAACGGCAUUGUCGGCCUUGCAAAACUCCUUUGCAUAUUCUGCUGCUGAGGCGGCUGAUAAGAAGGACGAUAAGCUGGGCGGAACUGCUGAGCUGGAUGAUAUAUGAGCCUCUGACGCUUCUUGUUGCCGCCAGAUGAUCCAGAUCCUGAGACAAACCCCUUCUUCUUCUUAGCCUCCUUAUGUUUGCGAUUCUUUUCUUCACUGGAGAUAGCGAUGUUCACUGCCUCAUGAUAAGAUAUAUUGCCACAUGAUGCCAUCAUUAGUUGAAGCUUUGUAUUCAAGCCUCUCAUGAAACAUUCCUUCUUCUUUUCAUCAGUGUUGACUUGCUCAAUUGCAUAUUGGGACAGAUGAUUAAACUUUCCAAUAUACUGCAUGACUGGUUCAUCCCCCUGACGGAGAGCUAAGAACUCUUCGAGCUUCAUUUUCAUAACUCCCUUGGGAAUGUAAUGAGCCCUGAAGGCUUCCUUGAAUUCUCCCCAAGUGAUUCGGUGGUGGGCUGGUUGAACAGCCAGUAAGUUUUCCCACCAAACCCCUGCUGCUCCUCUUAGCUGCUGAGCUGCAAAAGCUGGCUUCUGGGUUUCAGUACAGUUGAUGAGACUAAACUUUUGCUCCAUGGUGCGAAGCCAAUCCUCAGCUUCAAGAGGUUCAUCAGCCUUUGUAAAUACUGGGGGACGAGUAUCUGUGAAGUCAACAUAUGUGGUUUCUUCUCGGUUAUUGCGACCACGGCCACGCUGACCAACAUUCUGGUUCUGUGCUAACAGAGUUGUUGCAUUGACCAAUGCUGCAAUUGCAUCAGCCAAAGAGGGUGGAACUGGUGGUGCAUUAGGAAAAUCAUCCCCACCCUAGGAAGAACUAGCUCCAUGGUUGUUAACAGGCAUCUGUUUAAAAACACAUCACACUUUGAUUAACAUUCUUACUUAACCAUCAUACAUCAUGACAUACAUAACACAAGCACGUUCAUCUUAUUUAUCAUACAAGUCCGCUCUCAGGCAGGACUACUGAAACCACUAUUUUACAUAACUUCCCAUACUAGAGGUUUUCUGACUAACUAAGUUACAAAGUCAGAAGAUCACACUAGGUCAUACUUCUUGCCUACUCAACACCUAGUCAUCAUCCAUAUCCGAUCCACUUUCGUUGUCAUCCUCAGCUGGAGUUGGAAUUUCCGGCUCCUCUGCUUCAUCCUCAGAAGUAUCACUAUCCACUUGGAUGACAACUGGUCCUUCCUCUACUGCUUCCGGAGCCUCGGGUGGGUUGAGAGCAUUAUGCAGCUGGUGCACCUCCUCAUGGAGGAUGUUGGUAUAGGCCUCAAGAUUGACCACAUACCCCGCCAUAUGGUACAGCUGAACUUCCAUGUUGAUGUUGUCAGUGAGCAUCAAGCGCAGAUCAUUCUUCAUAAGCCUGUAGGUCCUUGGCGAAGGAGGACCUCCGCUAGUGUCACUCCCGUUUCCGUCACUGGAGUUAUCAGUGCUGCUGUCGCUGCUGUCGGAGGGUGGCGGAUCCCUUGAUGCCAACUGGUGCCUUGGGACACGACCUCCGGUGGACUUGCGAGCGGUUAGGCGGGUACGAGCCAUCUACCAAAAUAUUUUUAUUUUGAAUAUUAGAACUAUAUAUGUUCCAAGGUUAAAGGGUAGAGUUUUAUAACUAGAUAGACAUAUUACCUCUAAUUAUUAACAACUUUAAGGAGGAAAGUUAAUUACAUGUUAUCAAUAAUGAUGCAUGAAACGUACUUACGAACAAAGCAUACAUCAAACAAUUAAUUAACUUUAAAUUAGUCACUUGAUAUAAAAGUGCAUAAACUUUCCUUUCAUAAAUAGGGCAUUAUUAUAAUAUUAUAAGCAUCGUUCCUUGUAUAUAAUUAUCACCAUAAUCAUACUAAGAACAUAUCCAUUUAGAUAGAAGGAUAAGUCUAAAGAAUGAAUUGAGAAAAGUUCGAAGCAUAAGACAAGCUUAGAAGCAAUUUGGACCCAAACUAAUUUGAAAUUUAGUUUGACUCAAAAGCUUUUGAAGUUUUCAAAAUGAAUACUGUUAUACUUUCUAAAGGAAACCUGCUCUGAUACCAGCUGUGGCAGAACCUCCUGAAUUAAGUGGCCCACAUGCACCCAUCAUUGUCUCAAAGACUUCUGAUCGACGUGCACGAGUUUCAAAUGACUCAAGAAGUCUGUCGGGUGUCCUCGGGAAACCCGAAUCAUCCACGUUAUAUUCUUUCCAGGAAUUUCCCUCAUUAAGCAUUACAGUAUUACAACAUUUUCAUAGAUAAGGUAAAUCAGAGUAAAAGCGGAAAGGUUACAUAACAUAGAUUGAAACUUAAGUCCAACGGUUACAAACCAUAAGGAUUUAGUACAUAAGAAGUUCGGAACUUUAUAUUACAUAAACCAUAGAUCACACAACAAGUUUUACUUGCCCAAGGUCACACAUCAGAUUCAUCAUCAUCACUCUCCUCCACAAGAGUAAAGUAACAACGACCAUCAAAAGGAUUAUCAAAGGGUUCACCUGCAACAGGGGUUAAUAAACCCUGAGUACAAAAGUACUCAACAAGACUUAACCGACUAUAAAAGAGGUGAAGACUCAAGUAUGCAGGCUAUAGGGAUUCAAGGUAAAGCUUUAGCAAGAUCAAGCAUUUUUUUGCAUAAAAGCUUACUAAGAGUAAAACCUACUUUCAAGUUUUAACUCAAGAUCAUCAUUGAUGCCUAACCAAAACUAUUAUCAAACAUUCAUAAGCAAACCAUAUCUUUCUUAUGCCAAAGAUUUACUUGUUACUACGAUGAUGGGGUGAGGAUUGAGACUCCAUAUCCGAGGAAACAUGGCGAUUCGAAUCGAUUAAACCCAGCUGGGGAUUCAGUACCACACGACAUAUGUAGAACUUAAUCUUGCAUAUGUCAACCUGUUUCUAUAGAUCCUCCCAUACAAGAAUGGGUCCAGCGUCACCCGAGAGUACAGUACACCACCAUCCUACAGCCAAUCUAGAUGUUUCCCGGUCAUCUCAGAUCCGUAAGGUGGGUACACGCUACUCUCGCCAUCUCUCCACUCCCAGUACGCGGUUAGCCGUUCUCAAGUAUCGGAAUAGCUAUAGGUAAGGCUUACCACCGCAUGUGGGCUGUACUCAAAGGUCUCAAUCACAACAGGCCAACAACGGAACGGUCCUUAAUCGACACAGUUGGAGACACUACUUUAAGACUCCAUUCUUAAAGCAAGUCCACCGACCGGUCUCAAGUUCGAAUAUUAUUGACCAUAAAAGUAUUCCACAACAACCCUUCAAACUUUCUCAUUUGAAAACCUAUCUAAUAAGCAGGGCUAAGCAUACUAAGUAUUUUCAUAAAACAGGUAUCAAGGUUAAUAUUGAAAUCAUCAAGGUAGAUAAUGCAGCAAAUAGGAUUCACUCAACUCCUAUUCACCUAAUGCAUCAUAUUAACUCAAGUGAUAUAAAUAACUUUAUGAAAAUACAAGGAUAGGGUUUAAUGUCCGGGGCUUGCCUUGGUCGGAAGGGAAGUUCGACAACUCAGCAAAACCCGAAGGUUCCACAAACUCGGAAGCAACCCACUGAGGCUCAUAUUCUUCCGGAGCGUAUUCUAUACGUAAAAGUGCAUAUGCAAGAUUAUGAUAUACUCAUGGCAUGAUAAAGACAGGUUACAUGUUCUUGGAUGAUAAUAACAAACAUGACUACCUCGAGUACAACUUACCUUCAUGGUAAAGAAACAAACUAAGCUAGCUAUCAAAGCAUAGAUUACUACUAAACAAACUUUAUCAUUUUUAUUAAGCAACAUUGGGUAUCUAUCAAAUAAUAAAGAUCAUAUAUAUAAAACAAAUCAUAACCAGGGAGCAUAUUAUGCUAAGUGACCACUGGUUGUCAAUCAAUCCAAAAUACCACUCAAAUCCUAAAAGGAUUAAUUAUUUCUAUUUCUUUUAUAAUCAUUUUAAAUAGUUUUAUUAAGAAACAGAGCAUACUUUAUCAAAAAGAGCUGAAAUUAUUCCUGAAGCUAGAUAACAGUAACACAAGUUCACAUAUUAAAUUUCAUGAUUUUUGGAUAUACCCAUAAAUUAUUAAAAUUCAUGGAAGAUUUAUUUAUUUAUUAAAAGAGGUAAUUUUUACAUACAUGCAAACUACCAGAAAAUAGAACCAAAUAUUUUUCAUGUAUUCUACUCAUUUUAAGGAAGCUAUACAAGAAGUUUCACUAUUUUUGGAUUACUACAUAAUUUAAUACACAAAUUUAAACAUCAACCAUUUUUAAACAAAAAGAAAAAGAAAAGCAUCACUGUGCCACUGCGGCCCAGGAGCUCGGCCCAAGCUCGCGCGAAACUUGGCCCAGCCGGCCUCCCCCCGCGCGCGCUGAUGGUUUUGCAGAAAAGCCCUUGGAUUUCCUAGAAACCAACCCGCAGACCAGCCAACUAUUCACAUGAGUCUACGGCUUCGCAACCAACCCCCUCCCCUUUCUCAUCUUUACAAACACGAGGUCCCCGACGCCCCGGCUGACCAGAGCGCGGCAGAACGCGGUGGCGUGGGUUACGCCGGGCAACUCCGGCCACCCCGAACCAAACUGAGGCGAGCACGAGCAUCAGCAAACAACCCGCAACCGAACGAGCUAGAAAACCUGAACUCUACUGCUCUAGCGAGCUCUGGCCACGAGUGGCGGCGGACAUGGCCGCGGCGGUGCUUACGCCGGCGACCCUGGACCGGUAGAGAUAGGAAGAAGAGGUCAGGAAGCAUCGGCAUCUCACCCUGGGUGUGCUGACGCAGAGAGAAGGAGCGGAGAACAACCGGGUGAUACUCGUCCACGCGACCAGUGACUCCGGCGGCGAGCUCCGACGAAGAAGACGAUGUUCCGGUGACAGCUGUGAAGCAAUGGAGAAAAGAGCGAGCCGAUGAGCAUCACAGGAUCAUGCCGAAGCAAAGACAAGAGAAAGAGAGAGCAGAGAGUCGCCCAGAUGAGCCAACCACGGGAGACUCGAGCUCGGCUGCGACUUACUCCGGCGAAGAUGAAAAUGAGCAACUCCGGUGCUCUGGUGCGAAAGAGAACAGAAGGACGGGUUCUGGAGAUGCGCAAGGAGGUAACGAAGAUAUGCCCACGGUGAAACUGGAUAUGGAUCAACCGUUGCGGUGAAUUUUGGAUUUGAGUGAUAAGCUGUCCGUCGGUGCUCCGGUGGCAAUCGGCGUCGGUGAGCGCAAGAGGAAGGGACACGUCGCGCUCCACUUCGCCAGCAGCUGCUUCACCUUGCCACGGACGCGAGCACGUGCUUGGAUGAGGUGAAACGGUGGCUCACGCGCUGGCAACGCCGAUCCAAGCUCGGCGGUCCACCGCCAUGAACAGAAGCCAAAGCUUAUCCCCCUCUUCCCCAUUUACCCCUUUCUGUCUUUUUGCGAAAAUUGACCAAAAUUUGAAAAGAAGUCAGAUUUCUGCCAAAAUAAAACUUGUUCAGAAUUUUGAAUACUAUAAAACAUCUUUUAGGGUCCAAGGCUGAUUUCAAAUGGAAAGGGAUGAAUUUGAGCCAAACAGUUUGAAAUUCAAAUCUCAAAUUGGGAAAAAUUCCAAUUUUGAAUUGGGGCAGAUUAGAAUUUCCAAAAUUACUUUUGAUUUUCCAAAACAACUUGAAAAACUCCCAACAUGAAAGUUGUUCAACUUUUCAAGCCCUACAACUUUCAUGUUGACCAUUUUUCAAAAUUCCAAAUAGAUUUUGAAUUGGAUAUUCAAAUUGGAAAAGGGGACAAUUUCUGGAAAAUUGUAUUUUCAAAAUUACUUUGAAUUUUGUAUUGAAACUCCAAAAACUCAAAACACCAAAGUUGUACAUCUUGACAAGACCUACAACUUUGCUUUUGAACUCAACUUCAAAUUUUGCUUGGUUUUUGAAUUGCACAAAAAGGGGCAAAUCUAGGGUUUUUAAAAUUAGGGUUUCCCCCUUAAGCUCUCGGAAAACUUUCACCCAAGGUCUUUAAACUCCAACACAAGCAUCCAAUACACAAAAUAAGCACACUCUAAAUUCCUAAACACAUUCAUCCAAAUUAAACUUAUUUUAAGUUAAUGCAUCAGGGUUUACUUAACAAAUAAACUAUGCAAUGCUCAUGAUGACAUGUCAUGUUUUAGUUCGCUUAACACUAGAGUGUUACAAAAACUGAAUGUCAUCACAAAGGACCUCAUGUGAGUGUCUCUACUUUAACAUACCACAACCACAAAAUCUAUAAAAAACAUUUGAAUGAUAUAUUUCGAUUCGGGCAUGCAGCUGGCAAGAUGCAUCUCAGCAAAUCUUUGACGCACUGUCCAAUGAAUUUAUGAAGACAACAAUCUACGAUGCAAGUGAAAAUAUAUGUAUCUAAUUUUUGCUAGGAUGAACCUUUAGUUUAUUAAACCGCGACACAUUUUUGUUGACUAAAUUAUUGUAAUUACUAUGCAUCUCAGCAAAUCCAUGAUUGUUGAUUAAAUUAUUGUAAUUAUUGUGCAUGUUUAUAGCAACUGUCAUAUGGCGUGACUAUAUGACGAUGUAUAGUGGACAGGUAAGUGUGAAUGCUACUUUUAAUAUAUAUGACCUAUUUAUUGGGUAUGUUAGAGAAUGUUAAAUUACACCGGAUGCAUAAUAAAUUUCAUAUAAGAAAGAGCAUAUAUAUUGCACACAUGAUGACUAAUAUUUUCUCUUCCGUAGGUCGACAUCAUCUGCUCCAGAGGCAGAACCAGGGGGGCCAUGCCCCCCUCCCCCAAAUGGCAAAAAUCUUUUAGAUGCCCAUUAAUCUGCCCAGCUUAGCAACUAAAGCAAAAAUGUCGCAAUCAUUUUGUUAUUCUAGAAUAAGAAGAUGCAUCCUCCCUUUCCUUUUAGUUUGUUGGCUAAUUUAACUUGUCACAACAAACAUUAUGAUUUAUGUUUAUAUGAAUAUUUAUUUUAUAUAUACAUAUAAAUUUUGCUCGUUCUCGUAUCUGUUUAGCCAGACUGCACCCCCAUCCCCUUUUAUCAUUUUGUUGGUUCUGGCACUAAUCUGAGGUUUCUUCAUCAGCCUGUUUUUGCUAUUUCUAGUGUUAUUCUGUUUUUUUGUCCCAACAUUCUUGCACAGAUUCCUGAGCCUGCCGAGGAAGACCUUGCAUUAUUGCCACCCUUACUUUCUCACCAAUGCCUUGGUCGGGUCAUACAAGAAUCUGAACUUCUAUUGAAUCCUUGGGGCAGGACACAUAGUAAAUGUCCCUAUGCACAUACUGAUGGUAUAUUUGGUUCAAAUUCUGAAGCGUUUGCUUAUGUCCGUUCUUUGAAGGUGCACUUAUAAUUUUCCAUGUUCAUGUGGAACCAAGUAAAAUUUAAACAAUAAAUACCACUUUUUAGUUGAUUUUGUCACUUUUAGCUCGCUAUGCUGUUGGCACUUCGAGGUGUUAAUAGCCAUCGAACAAAGUAAAAUUUAAACAUUAAAUACCACUUUUUAGUUGAUUUUGUCACUUUUGGCUUGCUAUGUUGAUGGCAUUUCGGGGUGUUAAUAGCCAUCAACAGCGGGGGGAGGGAGAUGCCCAACGGCAUGUGGCGGCUGGGCUAUGAAACAGUACUCCUUGAGAAAUCAGCCCAUGUGUGUGUCAGGGGGCAGGGGCAUCUGCCCCUAAUCAUCAUGAUUGAUAACACCAUGAGCACAGUGCUAUCAAACAUGGCGAAGAGACAAUUGGCUGCGGCAAUUAGUAGCCAAGUGACUAGCUCUAGCCCCAACACUAUCACUAGCAUUAUGAAUGGUGUCAUCAAGCAAAAACUGAAUGUCAUCACAAAGGACCUCAUGUGAGUGUCUCUACUUUAACAUACCACAACCACAAAAUCUAUAAAAAACAUUUGAAUGAUAUAUUUCGAUUCGGGCAUGCAGCUGGCAAGAUGCAUCUCAGCAAAUCUUUGACGCACUGUCCAAUGAAUUUAUGAAGACAACAAUCUACGAUGCAAGUGAAAAUAUAUGUAUCUAAUUUUUGCUAGGAUGAACCUUUAGUUUAUUAAACUGUGACACAUGGUUGUUGACUAAAUUAUUGUAAUUAUUGUGCAUCUCAACAAAUCUAUGAUUGUUGAUUGAAUUAUUGUAAUUAUUGUGCAUGUUGAUAGCAACUGUCGUAUGAUGUGACUAUAUGACGAUGUAUAGUGGACCGGUAAGUGUGAAUGCUACUUUUAAUAUAUAUGACCUAUUUGUUGGGUAUAUCAAAGAAUGUUAAAUUAUACUAGAUUCAUACCAAAUUUCAUAUAAGAAAGAGCAUAUAUAUUGCACACAUGAUGGCUAAUAUUUUCUCUUCUGUAGCUCAACAUCAUCUGCUCUAGAGGCAGAACCAGGGGGCCAUGCCCCCCUCCCUGUAAUACCUGAUUUUAUGGACAAAACCAGAUAUGCACCAUAUGUGAGUUUUAGAAGCCAAAUCUCACAUAUAGCUACUAAUAAGGGGUAAUAUCAAAAGAGAAUGCAUAAAUUAUAUAACAUACUUAGUAUAAAAGAGAUAACCUUUAAUAGCAAACAGCGGAUAGACAACUCCAAACAUCGGGUAUUAACUCCUCUCCACAGGAUCAAACUAACUGGUUGAUCACAAGCCCAAAACUUCUCCUGAGGUGAGAGGGAAAUUGCAAGAGUGAGCACAUAUUGUACUCAACAUGUAUAACCAGGGGUUCAUGAGGCUCAAAUAGCUGACACUGGUUUGACUGCAUUUAGCUUUUAUAUGUGGAUAGCAUAUUUAUAUUUAUAUUUAGAUAGCAAAUGUCAAGGUAGCAUAGUAAAUCCCAUAACCACAUGAUCAAUGUAUACAAGAAUUAAGAAUAACACAUAUAAACAACAUAAUAAACCAUCAUUUAUUAUCAGUAAUCAUGUUCAUCACUGUCCAUCUAUUCCGUCAGUUUUCCGGGCCACGCGUAUCCGUGGGCACAGCUAGUAUACCAGAUUUAACACUCUGCAGAGGUUGUACAUCUUUACCUAUGAGUCAUGAUUUACCCUUUCGCCCGAGGUCGCGAGUCUCUUAACCCCCUUCCGAGGGAGGUCGGCAGGGAUCACUAUGAAGCCUUUCAAAAGUUCGUCUAACAUGUUAGGGCCGCAAGGUUUCCUUUGCGCGCAGAUAUAGAGCCCCCCUUCCGAUGGCACAAUGACUCGCAGCCUAUACACAUACAGACAGAGGCCACACUAUACCCAAAACGGUUCAGCCCCUCCGCCCUUUCGGGUAACCUCUAACAAGCUAGAAAAGGUCUUCAUACUGAGCUAAAGCCAGAGCCAUAUGGCCCUCAUGGUUGUACGAGUUGUCCCAGCUUUUGCCAAGGGAUAAGUCCUUAUGGAGGGUCAAGAUCAAUCUAGCAAAAGCUAGAGUUCUUUCCACCCUUUAUGUUCAAGUUGCUAGAAAGCUUAUUUUAUUGUUUAUUGUAUAUUCAAAUAUUCAUGUUACAAGAUCAUGGAUUAUAAUCAAGCACUAGCAAGAACUACCCAAAUGCAUAUCAAAUAGGUAACAAGGAAUUCAGGAUAACAAUCAUCUAUGAUUUUGCUAAGGUCAUCAAGGUGGACACAUGCAUAUGAUAUAUAUUGUAUUAAUUGUGUAUAGGUAACAAGGAUAGUCCCAAGUUAUACUUGCCUUAAUCCAAAUGCUCUUUGCUGAUCUUUUUAGUUCUGCUGGUCUUACUUGUUGUCCAAACUCUGAUCUUGAUCACCAAAAACUGCUCUCCGACUAAGCUCGAUCAUUGAUCAUCAACACACAAACAAUCGGAGAAAACAUACACGAAGCAAACAAGGCUACAAUUAGAACAGUACACCAAACAUAUAAAAACAGUAUGAAAAGUUUAUAAAAUGAUUCUACGCCUCGCUACGAUCACACGAACGUAAAGAUCACAAAAAACGGAGCUAAAACGGAGAAGAUAUGAUUUUUCUAAGAUUUUCUAUAGAUAAAUAAUUAAUUAAAUAAGGUCAUGAAAUUAAAAAGUUUUAAACUGAGUAAACAAUUUUACUAACAUUUAGAGCUCAUUAAUACGAACCUGACGCAAUUUGAAUGGGUCAAAACGGAGUUAAAAUGAAGAGAUACGGCCUAAACAAAUUAGUGUAUUUUCUUUGUAUUUCUAGGUUUGUUUUUCUAAAGAAAAACGGCCACAAAAUAUAUGUAUGUCAUCAUGUGGUCAUCGUGAUGUCAUCAAAGCUAGCUAGGUAACGUACUCGGGCUGCUUUGCUAGCUCUACUCGCUCGCUAGCGUUUGUGCGCGUGCGUGCUUACCGGCCGGGAGACGGGCGCAGGGUGCUGCCGGUUCAGCAAACUUGGGAUGCUGCUGCCCUGGACACGAGCUCAGCACCUUGCCGGAGCUCAGCAAAAACGACGUAGGAACCUCAGACUUUGACAUACGGAAAGAGAACAGAGAGAAAUAAAAGGAAACGAUGGCCUCACCAGGGGUUCCUCGAUGGCCGAAGACAAGAGGCGACGCCGUACAACCCUAGGCCGGCUUUGUCGGUGAGAUUCAAGAGCUGUUGCGCAAGCUAGCUAGGGCUUGGAACGACGACUCAGAUGUAAAGAGACGAUACACAGACGAGGCCUCGACUUCCAUGGAGACGCUUGUUAACCUGCAUCCUGUGGUCGACGUAGAAACAGCAGGAUGCUAUGGUGGCUUCAGUUGGCAGGCUCUGGUUGACGAAUAAACUUCAAACGGCAGCCACGAUGGCAGCAGAUGGAGCUGGGGCUUCGCGACGGCGCUGCGAGCUCAAGCAGAGGCGGCGGCGGCGGCUUGUGCUAGGGUUAACACAGCUGUGGCACGUAGAUGAAAAGCACAGCACGGUUUGGGACCGGCCGAGUUUUAUAGAGCCAGGUGCACGAAUUCAAGCCGUAUCGUGCGAGAUCAAGCGACGGUGCCAGGGGAUGCCAUCAGGCUAGAGUCCAUGAGCUGCACGGGAGGUAAGCUGGACUCCGGAGUUCCUGCCGAGGGCGCCUAGCUGGGCCAGCUACCUACGCUCAGGCCAAAAACAAGGGAUGGGAGAGAAACGAGUGUGUUUUUCCUUUUUAUUUUCUCUUUUCCUCUUUUUUCAAAGCCAUUUGAAAUCAUUUAAAAUUCAAUUUGAAUUCAUUUUGAGUUCUUAGUCAAAACCACCCAUCUCAAAAAUAAAAAUGCACCAGCAUGAAUGCACACACAUGUUGCUAAACUUUAGGGUAAAUUUUAAUUUAAUGAAAAAAAAAUUAUUUUACUAUGUUUUCAUGAGCACAAAAAUACAAAAUUAAAUCAUUUUCACUCUAUUCCUAGAAAACAAUUUUUUAGGGUGGUACACUCCCCAAAUGGCAAAAAUCUUUUAGAUGCCCACUAAUAAGCCCAGCUUAGCAACGGAAGCAAAAAUGUUGCAAUCAUUUUGUUAUUCUAGAAUAAGAAGAUGCAUCCUCCCUUUCUUUUUAGUUUGUUGGCUAAUUUAACUUGUCACAACAAACAUUAUGAUUUAUGUUUAUAUGAAUAUUUAUUUUAUAUAUACAUAUCAAUUUUGCUGGUUCUCGUAUCUGUUUAGCCAGACUGCACCCCAUCCCCUUUUGUCAUUUCGCUGGUUCUGUCACUAAUCUGAGGUUUCUUCACCAGCAUGUUUUUGCUAGUUCUAGUGUUAUUCUGUUUUUUUGUCCCAACAUUCUUGCAUAGAUUCCUGAGCCUGCCGAGGAAGACCUUGCGUUACUGCCACCCUUACUUUCUCACCAAUGCCUUCGUCGGGUCAUACAAGAAUCUGAACUUCUAUUGAAUCCUUGGUGCAGGACACAUGUUAAAUGUCCCUAAGCACAUACUGAUGGUAUAUUUGUUUCAAAUUCUGAAGCGUUUGCUUUUGUCCGUUCUUUGCAGGUGCACUUAUAAUUUUCCAUGUUCAUGUGAAACCAAGUAAAAUUUAAAAUACCACUUUUUAGUUGAUUUUGUCACUUUUGGCUCGCUAUGUUGAUGGCAUUUCGGGGUGUUAAUAGCCAUCGAACAAAGUAAAAUUUAAACAUUAAAUACCACUUUUUAGUUGAUUUUGUCACUUUUGGCUUGCUAUGUUGAUGGCAUUUCGGGGUGUUAACAGCCAUCAACAGCGGGGGGAGAUGGCCAACGGCAAGUGGGGGCUGGGCUGUGAAACGAUACUCCUUGAGAAAUCAGCCCAUGUGUGUGUCAGGGGGCAGGGGCAUCUGCCCCUAAACAUCAUGAUUGAUAACACCAUGAGCACAGUGCUAUCAAACUUGGCGGAGAGACAAAUGGCUGCGGCAACUAGUAGCCAAGUGACUAGCUCUAGCCCCAACACUAUCAGUAGCAUUAUGAAUGGUGUCAGCAAGCGAAAACUGAAUGUCAGCACAAAGGACCUCAUGUGAGUGUCUCAACUUUAACAUACCACAAACACAAAAUCUGUAAAAUACAUCUGAAUGGUAUAUUUCGAUUCGGGCAUGCAGCUGGCAAGAUGCAUCUCAGCAAAUCUUUGACGCACUGUCCCAUGAAUUUAUGAAGACAACAAUCUACGAUGCAAGUGAAAAUAUAUGUAUCUAAUUUUUGCUAGGAUGAACCUUUAGUUUAUUAAACUGCGACACAUGGUUGUUGACUAAAUUAUUGUAAUUAUUGUGAAUCUCAGCAAAUCUAUGAUUGUUGAUUGAAUUAUUAUAAUUAUUGUGCAUGUUCAUAGCCACUGUCAUAUGGUGUGACUAUAUGACGAUGUAUAGUGGACAAGUAAGUGUGAAUGCUACUUUUAAUAUAUAUGACCUAUUUAUUGGGUACGUUAGAGAAUGUUAAAUUAUACCAGAUGCAUAACAAAUUUCAUAUAAGAAAGAGCAUAUAUAUUGCACACAUGAUGGCUAAUAUUUUCUCUUCUGUAGCUCGACAUCAUCUGCUCCAGAGGCAGAACCAGGGGGCCAUGCCCCCCUCCCCCAAAUGGCAAAAAUCUGUUAGAUGCCCACUAAUCAGCCCAGCUUAGCAACUGAAGCAAAAAUGUCGCAAUCAUUUUGUUAUUCUAGAAUAAGAAGAUGCAUCCUCCCUUUCCUUUUAGUUUGUUGGCUAAUUUGAUUUGUCACAACAAACAUUAUGAUUUAUGUUUAUAUGAAUAUUUCUUUUAUAUAUACAUAUAAAGUUUGCUGGUUCUCGUAUCUGUUUAGCCAGACCGCACCCCCAUCCCCUUUUAUCAUUUCGCUGGUUCUAGCACUAAUAUGAUGUUUUUUCACCAGCCUGUUUUUGCUAGUUCUAGUGUUAUUUUUUUUUUGUCCCAACAUUAUUGCACAAAUUUCUGAGCCUGCCGAUGAAGACCUUGCAUUACUGCCACCCUUACUAUCUCACCAAUGCCUUCGUCGGGUCAUACAAGAAUCUAAACUUCUAUUGAAUCCUUGGGGCAGGACACAUGUUAAAUGUCCCUAUGCACAUACUGAUGGUAUAUUUGCUUCAAAUUCUGAAGCGUUUGCUUCUGUCCGUUCUUUGCAGGUGCACUUGUAAUUUCCAUGUUCAUGUGGAACCAAGUAAAAUUUAAACAAUAAAUAUGACUUUUUAGUUGAUUUUGUCACUUUUGGCUCGCUUUGUUGAUGGCAUUUCGGGGUGUUAAUAGCCAUCGAACAAAGUAAAAUUUAAACAUUAAAUACCACUUUUUAGUUGAUUUUGUCACUUUUGGCUUGCUAUGUUUCUGGCAUUUCGGGGUGUUAACAGCCAUCAACAGCGGGGGAGAUGGCCAACGGCAAGUGGGGGCUGGGCUGUGAAACGAUACUCCUUGAGAAAUCAGCCCAUGUGUGUGUCAGGGGGCAGGGGCAUAUGCCCCUAAACAUCAUGAUUGAUAACACCAUGAGCACAGUGCUAUCAAACUUGGCGGAGAGACAAAUGGCUGCGGCAACUAGUAUCCAAGUGACUAGCUCUAGCCCCAACACUAUCAGUAGCAUUAUGAAUGGUGUCAGCAAGCGAAAACUGAAUGUCACCACAAAGGACCUCAUUUGAGUGUCUCUACUUUAACAUACCACAACCACAAAAUCUGUAAAAUACAUCAGAAUGGUAUAUUUCGAUUCGGGCAUGCAGCUGGCAAGAUGCAUCUCAGCAAAUCUUUGACGCAUUGUCCAAUGAAUUUAUGAAGACAACAAUCUACGAUGCAAGUGAAAAUAUAUGUAUCUAAUUUUUGCUAUUAUGAACCUUUAGUUUAUUAAACUGCGACACAUGGUUGUUGACUAAAUUAUUGUAAUUAUUGUGCAUCUCAUCAAAUCUAUGAUUGUUGAUUGAAUUAUCGUAAUUAUUGUGCAUGUUGAUAGCCACUGUCAUAUGGUGUGACUAUAUGACGAUGUAUAGUGGACAGCUAAGUGUGAAUGCUACUUUUAAUAUAUAUGACCUAUUGAUUGGGUACGUCACAGAAUGUUAAAUUAUACCAGAUGCAUAACAAAUUUCAUAUAAGAAAGAGCAUAUAUAUUGCACACAUGAUGGCUAAUAUUUUCUCUUCUGUAGCUCGACAUCAUCUGCUCCAGAGGCAGAACCACGGGGGCCAUGCCCCCCUCCCCCAAAUGGCAAAAAUCUUUUAGAUGCCCACUAAUCAGCCCAGCUUAGCAACUGAAGCAAAAAUGUCGCAAUCAUUUUGUUAUUCUAGAAUAAGAAGAUGCAUCCUCCCUUUCAUUUUAGUUUGUUGGCUAAUUUGACUUGUCACAACAAACAUUAUGAUUUAUGUUUAUAUGAUUGUUUAUUUUAUAUAUACAUAUAAAGUUUGCUGGUUCUCGUAUCUGUUUAGCCAGACUGCACCCCCAUCCCCUUUUAUCAUUUCGCUAGUUCUAGCACUAAUAUGAUAUUUUUUCACCAGCCUGUUUUUGCUCGUUCUACUGUUAUUCUGUUUUUUUUGUCCCAACAUUAUUGCACAGAUUCCUGAGCCUGCCGAGGAAGACCUUGCAUUACUGCCACCCUUACUAUCUCACCAAUGCCUUCGUCGGGUCAUACAAGAAUCUAAACUUAUAUUGAAUCCUUGGGGCAGGACACAUGUUAAAUGUCCCUAUGCACAUACUGAUGGUAUAUUUGCUUCAAAUUCUGAAGCGUUUGCUUCUGUCCGUUCUUUGCAGGUGCACUUAUAAUUUCCAUGUUCAUGUGGUACCAAGUAAAAUUUAAACAAUAAAUACCACUUUUUAGUUGAUUUUGUCACUUUUGGCUCGCUUUGUUGAUGGCAUUUCGGUGUGUUAAUAGCCAUCGAACAAAGUAAAAUUUAAACAUGAAAUACUACUUUUUAGUUGAUUUUGUCACUUUUGGCUUGCUAUGUUGAUGGCAUUUUGGGGUGUUAACAGCCAUCAACAGCGGGGGAGAUGACCAACGGCAAGUGUAGGCUGGGCUGUGAAACGGUACUCCCUGAGAAAUCAGCCCACGUGUGUUAGGGGGGCAGGGGCAUCUGCUCCUAAACAUCAUGAUUGAUAACACCACAUAGUGCUAUCAAACUUGGCGGAGAGACAAUUGGCUGCGGCAACUAGUAGCCAAGUGACUAGCUCUAGCCCCAACACUAUCAGUAGCAUUAUGAAUGGUGUCGUCAAGCGAAAACUGAAUGUCAUCACAUAGGACCUCAUGUGAGUGUCUCGACUUUAACAUACCACAACCACAAAAUCUGUAAAAUACAUCUGAAUGAUAUAUUUCGAUUUGGGCAUGCUGGCAAGAUGCAUCUCAGCAAAUCUUUCACGCACUGUCCAAUGAAUUUAUGAAGACAACAAUCUACGAUGCAAGUGAAAAUAUAUGUAUCUAAUUUUUGCUAGGAUGAACCUUUAGUUUAUUAAACUGCGACACAUGGUUGUUGACUAAAUUAUUGUAAUUAUUGUGCAUCUCAACAAAUCUAUGAUUGUUGAUUGAAUUAUUGUAAUUAUUGUGCAUGUUGAUAGCAACUGUCGUAUGAUGUGACUAUAUGACGAUGUAUAGUGGACCGGUAAGUGUGAAUGCUACUUUUAAUAUAUAUGACCUAUUUGUUGGGUAUAUCAGAGAAUGUUAAAUUAUACUAGAUUCAUAACAAAUUUCAUAUAAGAAAGAGCAUAUAUAUUGCACACAUGAUGGCUAAUAUUUUCUCUUCUGCAGCUCGACAUCAUCUGCUCUAGAGGUAGAACCAGGGGGGCCAUGCCCCCCUCCCCCAAAUGGCAAAAAUCUUUUAGAUGCCCACUAAUCAGCCCAGCUUAGCAACUGAAGCAAAAAUGUCGCAAUCAUUUUGUUAUUCUAGAAUAAGAAGAUGCAUCCUGCCUUUCCUUUUAGUUUGUUGGCUAAUUUGACUUGUCACAACAAAAAUUAUGAUUUAUGUUUAUAUGAAUAUUUAUUUUAUAUAUACAUAUAAAGUUUGCUGGUUCUCGUAUCUGUUUAGCUAGACUGCACCCCCCAUCCCCUUUUAUCCUUUCGCUGGUUCUGGCACUAAUAUGAGAUUUCUUCAACAGCCUAUUUUUGCUAGUUCUAGUGUUAUUCUGUUUUUUUUGUUCCAGCAUUAUUGCACAGAUUCCUGAGCGUGCCGAGCAAGACCUUGCAUUACUUCCACCCUUACUUUCUCACCAAUGCCUUCGUCGGGUCAUACAAGAAUCUAAACUUCUAUUGAAUCCUUGGGGCAGGACACAUGUUAAAUGUCCCUAUGCACAUACUGAUGGUAUAUUUGGUUCAAAUUCUAAAGCGUUUACUUCUGUCCGUUCUUUGCAGGUGCCCAUGGAUCAGCCUUGCACAGCAGUCCACAUGAUCCGUAGCGUGGUGAAUUCUCCAGCUAACUAUAUCCAUUAGUAUCCUAUGGUAUAAUAUAAGUAAAGCCUUUGAACUUUCUAGCCGUGGAGCUAGGUGUAGGUUGAACUUCUUUAUGGCUAUUUGAUGAAAAUCAGUAUACCGAUUGGUUUGUGCAAACAUUAUGCUAGACUGUGUGAGCUAGCUGUUCCACGACAAUAAAAAAUAAAUAGAGGUUUGAACGAGGCCAAUCUAUGCACUUAUCAUGUACUAGCAAUGUUUAGUGGUUAACAAUUAAGUAUAAAGCUCUAUGUCUAUGCACUGUGCUCAUCCUCGUCUCUCUAGUUGGUUAACUGGUGACUGAUGAAUAGAGGAUAAAAUAAUAUUUGUAGGAAAUAAGAAUUGAAAUCUGUUGAUGCAAAAGUGGAUCUGCAAACACAAAGGGCUAAUACCCAAUUCAACGUUAAGGCGUGCCAGCCGAUUUGCCCUUACAACCGACAAAGGUGAUAACUCGAAUACUUUGGUCCCGACAACAGCGAUGCGCCCGGAUGCCACGGCCAAGAGGUAUUCACGCGGAACUUGAGAACCCGUCGAGUUUGACUCGAUGAAUUCCUAAGAACUCGUAAGUAAAAAGAAAAUAUGCAAAUUGACGAAGUCGUCGAAAGUAGAUGUGAGAAUUGAUGUAAAAACUUUGUGUAUGAUUGAUUGGAUUGUUUCUUACAUCGCUACUAGGUCUAUAUUUAUACCCUGUCCUAAAGAGUUACAAUCAGGUACGACUAGGAUUCUAAUUCCAACCUAAACGGAAUCUGUAUACAAAACAAACUCUAAUAAUUAUGGAAAACAAUAAUUUAUCUAUCCUAGGUGAUCGGCACACCAUCAUCAUCUUCCCGAUGAUUCCCACGCCUUCCUCCACCAUCAUCGGCAUAUCAUUCUCCAUCGGCAUCGGCAACCGUCAAUAUCAACCAUCGGCAAAAGAUCAACCACCAUCCCUAGACUUGGUCAUAUCCUGCUGCUUUAUCAUCGACAUCAUAAUCCAUCGGCAAUUCCUCUAUCACCUCUCAUUACUUUUUCGCCUGCCGAUCCAAGUUCCAUUAACUUUCCAGAUACGUGUCCAAAAACGGUGUCAACACAUGCCCCCAAUUCCGGAGUAUAAAAUCAUUAAUGCUUUGAAAUUCUCUCCUAAUAAUGACACCCUUUUGGCAGUUAUUCCCUUCUAACAGCAAUUAAUUACCAAAUCCAAACAACCUUAACCCGGAUCUUCAGUAUGCACCUCGAAUUUCUCAACCCCCCGAACCAAAUCUCCUAAACAUCCACUCAUCAGCAACUGUUCCGUUAGAGUGGACUGCCGAUGAGCCGACCAGGAGAUCCUGUACAGCAAAAUAUCUCCUAAAAUCAUGACCGCUUGCUGUCAAAUCACCUGCACAAUCCCUUGAUCAUCGUGCGAACAGUUACCAUAUCUACCUGAACACCCUCAAAUUUUACAGAUACAGCAAAGAGAUAAGUCAGAAAUGCUCCUGCUUAUUUUACCCUAUAAAUACUUCCUUCCUUGGUACCCUUUCUCUACCUUGCCAUCCUUCAUCCCCCAAACUCAUCUAUCUGGCGGCAGCAUUGUUGAAAAGCUCAAGAACUUCAGCAAAAUCUCCCCCAACGGUUUCUCAAGUCUUUGAUCUUCUUCUUCUCCAGGAAGAAAUGGCCGUCAACUUCAUCUUCCCCGAGUUUAAUCUAUUCCCAUGUUUCCUCUCUUUACCGCACCUUUUUACCUUUUGCAAGUAUACUUAAUUAGCAUUUUUCUUUCUUCUUUCUUUUUCUCUGUUCUUCCAAUAUUCAAACCUUAGCAACUGAGCGAGAAAAUCGUUAUUCCUACCGAGCAACCUCACCUUUAAUGCCUUGGUCCACUGGGUAAUCCGGAUCCUACCGAUCUGAUUAAUGCAGAGACAAAUAGAAUUCCCUUUAGAGCCGAGAACUUUUCUUUAGAUCUGUGGAAAGAUACCUUCCGAUCCUGGCCAAGUUCCACCAAAGGAUGGAAGGAUUGGUUUUUGAGGGUUAGCAACACAAAUAAAGUAUACUGGGUUGAACCCAAACUAGAUCAGUGCAUUAGGCAGUCUAUUGCCGAUAGGUAGAGAAAUGAAUCACUGUUGUUAGUUGCUUCAUACUUCUGGUCAGAUACUUUUAAUGCUUUCAUUUUCGGUCAUGGCCCAGCUUCCCCCACUCUCGCCGAUGUCCUCAUGCUCACUGGUUUAGACAUUGCAGCUGCCGAUGAUGGCCAGUUGUUCGACCGCAAAGCCGAACGCAAAGUAGAAACCCGCAACAUCGGCGGCUGGUCAGGGUAUAUCUAGAAGUACGAGAGAACAGAGCCGGUCGGUCAGAGGGAACAUGCUAUUUUUCUAAACAUGUGGCUAGACAAAUUCAUCUUCUGCGGUUGAUCAGUAGGACCUACCUCCGUCUACUUAUCGGCAGCUGAAAGGUUAGCCGAUGGUGGCGGAUUCCCUCUUGGCCGAUACCUGCUAGGCUCCGCCUACCAUCUCCUCCAUCAAGUGACUGAGAAACUCCUGUUAGAUGAACCCAUCGCAAUCUAGGAGGCCCCUGGUAGUUCAUCAACAUGUGGCUCAAUGUUCAUAUGCACAAACGCCUUCGGUUUGAGUUCUUUGCAUAGCAAUUCCCCAAAGACAUUGCCGAAGAUUAUGAACUGGCCGACAAUGAAUCGGCAACUCGCUCACCCCUCAAUUAUGGUGAAGCUGCCAUAGUUCUCCCGGGCACCGGCUGCAAUGAAAACCAGAUCGACCGAUUUUUCCAAACCUUGUAUGAUGGCCUCUCCAAAGAUCAGCGAGCAUGGAUGCCUUAUGAAGAUCCAGAAACCAGAUUCCCGCUCACCUUCCACCCUUUCGACGAUGCUCUCAACAAGGAUAAUGACCUGAUGAUGGCAAUCAUUACUCUGAGAGCAAUUCCAGUGAAUACCUUUGGCAGUAGGAAGAACACCAACCCUACCUAUGAGUUUUACAACCCAUCAGCACUAGCUCGCCAACUAGCUUUUGGCCAACUGCCGAUCAGACUUUGUUAUGCCAAUGUGGUGAAACCAAGGGAAACAAAAACUAGUGGACUUGAGUGGAUAAGGGUAGCUCAACUCCAGCCAAAUGCCGAUACGACAUACAUCGAUCUAUCGGCUUGGGUGCUAGCUCUCUUUAUUACUCAGCUGUAUAAACAUUGGUGGGAGGAAUGGAAGGAGCAUCUGUUCAGUGCAUCGGCUCAUACAUACCGUGGCAUGAUUGACUCCGACUACAAGGUCCCCGAUAACAUUGUAAGUCUUUUACCGAUACCUUGGUUCCUUUGUUAUCUUUGAUCCUAUCGACAACUUAUUUGUUUUUUUUAUUUCAAUAGGUCGACAACCGAGCACCGUCAAUCAGCAGAAGUGGAAGGCCGAUCAAACUCCUUCAAUCAAGCCCAAUUUCUCUAAUUGGCCACAAUGCGCCAAGUCUAGCAGCCCUCAUCCAUCGGAACGUGCGCUUCAAGAAGACGACCAACAAAUGAUCGAAAGUAUCCCCAUCAGUUGCUGCUGCUACACUAGCACAGGCUUUUAAGGUAAAACUCUUAAUAAUAAUUUUUUAUACCAAAUUCAUCCCAUACUCACUUCAUCUUUUUAGGGUACAUCGGCUACAAUGGGAACUUCAUCGGUAACUUUUAUCCUUUAGCAAAAUUCCAUCAGUACUCUUUUUAUAUUUUUAAUCAUGAAAUUUUGGUUGUUGUAAUAGCAAACUGGCAAAUCGGCUAAGAUCAAAAGUGCUCAAACAUCAGGUGUCGAUGCCCCCCAGCCCAGUCAAGAUCCAACCAAGAGAAAGGGUCCCAAAAGCACCAAAACCCAGCCGAAGCGCCAGAAGAUAGCACCAUCCUCUCCACCUCGUCCAGUAUCCCUGAUCCAGGUAGCAUCAUCUCCUUCCCCACCGGAAACCCAGACACAAGAAGUACCUUCUCCUCCUCGACCAGUACCCCAGCUGCAAGAGGAAAGCUCUUCUCAUGCAGUGGGAAGUACCUUCUUGAGUAACUCAUCUCCUUCUUUUUCUAGGAACAAGACUCCCCAAAUAGCAUGUUCUCCUUUGCCAUCGACAUCUCUGAUGAUGAAGGCAAAGAAGAAAGCUCUUCUCAUGCAGUGGGAAUUUCAUCGGCAGAGAUUAAAGCUAAGUUGAAAGAUUUGUUAGCCCUGCUGCAUCAAGACACAGCCCUGCUAGUGGAUGAUUCCGAUCCGGCCAAGGUCAUAUUCAAGACCCUCCGUGGCCAAAUUCCAACCGAUGCAGAAGAAAUUCUCUUCCAAGCUGCCACCUAGAAAGUCGCCAACUCCAGUAUCAGAAGGCUACCCAGCGCCUUGCCGAUAGAGCUGCUCAUGUCCGGCUUACAGAGGAUAUUGUGACAGAACCUCCUGGGUAGUUGGGCCCACCGACACCUGUCAUUGUUCCAAGGACCUCUGACGGUGAUGCCAGGGAUCCUUCUACUCUAGAAGCCCCAUGAGCAUCCCAGGACGCCCAUCCCACUGCUACCUGUGGCGUAACAACCAAGCUCGUCCUGACCACCAGUGAUGGUCAAUUAACGAGAACUUAUUCUUCUCGCCAUUUCAGGAUAGCAAGUGGCCACCUUAACACCAGGAUCAUUCGUUGCGAAGACAUUGCAGUAUCAAAAACGAUAUAUAACCAAAAUAGCAUUUCAGAGUAAAACAGCGGAAGCAUUAAAUAACUUAGUUUACAAAAAUAGUUCUUCAAAGUAGGACGAAGAUAAAGUGUUAUUACAAGCCAGGUCUAGCGGAGCAACUUAAACCAUAGUACAAAGAUUACAAAUUUACACACCCUGCCCAUGGGUCACGCUUACUCCUCCUCGUCGUCAACCUCGACGACGGUCACACAACAGGGUCCAAAACAAGUUGGCUCCUGAGCUUCACCGGAAACAGGGGUUAUAAACCCUGAGUAUGGGAGUACUCUACAAGACUUACCCGACAGAUAAAGAGGAGAACUUAGGAAUGCUGGCUUAGUGUAGACAAGGAGUGGCUGAGCAAGGAGCCAAAUUGUUUUGCUAAAAGCUUACUAAUAGUGCAUCCUUACUUUCAAGUUUUACCCAUGAAUUGCUCACCACGAGAGGCCGAGGAAUUCGAGGACAGUCUAUCUAGUUGCUUUUCACAAACAAGUCUGUAGAUUCCUAGUCCUUAAUAAAAGUAUUGUCCAUCCAACGGCCAUAUCUUCAUGUCACUCUGAGUCCGGGAAUUAGAAUCCAAUCCUCAUGAGACAUUUCACCCUUUCUCAUUUCACAGUUUAGUUGCAUAUUUAACUACGAUGAGAGUCAGUGGAUUGAGUCUCCCAAUCGGGGAGCAACGACGAUUAGAACCGCUUAACAAUCUAGUUGGAGUUCCUAACCACCUGUGGGGGUAUAAACCCCUAUACCCUUACGGCUAGACUUGGGUCAGGAGGCUUGGUCCAUCAUGAAGAUAACUCGAGGCAUGAUCCAACUGCUCGGAGUCUCACGCAAGAAAUCGAGACGUGGAGACCAAGCAGGAUUCUAGUCGGUUAGAAUAGGAAUUGAUAUCGUACUAUCUAUGGCAAUUGUAACCGACUAGGAUUAGUUUCUAGAUCUGUAACCCUGCCCUCUGGACUAUAUAAGGAGAGGCAAGGGACCCCCCUAGGACAGAUUAUCUCAACACAAAUCAAUAUAAUUAGACGCAGGACGUAGGUAUUACGCCCACACGGCGGCCGAACCUGGAUAAAAAGCUUGUCCGUGUCUUGCGUCACCAUCGAGUUCAUAGCUUGCGCACCGUCUACCGAUAAACUACUACCGUGGGUAUACCCCAAGGUAGAGUGCCGACUAGCUUUCGUCGACAGUGGUGCGCCAGGUAGGGGGUGUGUGCACAUCUCUCCCGACAAACAAGAUGGUCAUCGUCCCAGCUUCCGCGGCCGUGGCUGAAGGCCUCACGUUCACCGUCGGCCAGAUCACGUGGACUACUCAUGGCAGCGGCUCCACGACCACGACUUCGGAGGAAACCCAGAUUCGAUCUGGGACAGUAGAGGCGCCGACUCUGAUCACGCCGACUCCGAGCACCCGACCACCACUCCCUCGUUACAAGGCAAAGUGGGUCGACAACUUGGAUCUUCUCCAUGCCCUUGAUCGCGCCAACCUCAGGCUCCUCGAAGCCUCUAACUUGGUGGAUUCGAUCUCGCGCAAACCUGAUCGGGCGGUGCCAACAAACUUUUUUGACUCCUGCCGGCCAACUUGUGUUACCACACACGAACAGCUGGAGACGUCCCUGACAAUAACGUCGACCCCCACGGGACGCUCCGUCAACCUCAAGAUAGCUCAAGACCAGGACUACCCUUACGGUCGGAACAACUCGGCCGACCACUAUUCGCGGCACACCCAAUCACUUUUCAGCAGGGCGGGCUUGUCGCCGGGACAGAUCAACCGAGCAGCUCGCCAUUACGUCAACAUGGUAUCCAUCCGAGUUCUGCCGGACGACGAGGCCGCCAGUACGAAGUCCAGCACAGGGUCUGUCCCUACCAAGGUUUUACACUCUGAGGACGAAGAUUACGACCUGGAUCUACCACCAUACCCUCCGAGCUUUUCUCGUUUCCCAGUUUUUCCACCUCGGCGAGGAGAUCUUAUUUUUAACGUCAGCAAUGACGAACCAGUUGUCGACAGCAAAACUAACGAGUAGAAGCAACUCCGUGAGCAGCGCAAUGCCGAUCGUGCUCGGCGGCGCGCGGACGAGGAAUGGCAACUUGCGCCACACAACCUCAGUGAUGCUUUCGACAUGGUCGGGGAUCAGGCAGUCUACAAGCCGCCAAGCGCUAACGUGGCUAUGGCCAUGGCGAACCUGGACCGACUCCCUGAUACCCCAGAGUGCCAGGGCGUCUGAUCCAGCAUACGAGCACAUCUGAUCGCCGCGAUGGGACAGACAGCCACCUUGCUCAAGAGGGUCCAAGCCGUCUCCUACACGGAGGUUUCUUCCGACCAGACUCAUCACAACCGAACUUCACCACGACCCAGCGGGCGCCAUCAUAGCCGCUCCCCCAACGGUCGCAGAAAGGUCGUUGAACGCGACAAUCGUGGUCAGGACACGUGUGGUUACCGUGAGCAGAGGCGCGGGCGCGGUCAGGAAGUAAACCAUAACAGGGAUCUACGCUACAACAUCCCUCCCAAGGACGCCCGCGACCGCAUCAAUAGGCGCGCUACGAAAAGAGAGGUACACGAAAACCUGUGACGCAUCGAGUACGACGCCGCACACGGCCCCCCGGCUUAAGACAGUUUUCCUCACACCUUCGCCAAGUCGUAUGGCCCCGCAACUUUAAGCUCGAGAAGCUUAAGAAAUACGACGGCAAGGAAAACCCUAAAAAUUGGAUCACUCUCUACGAGAUUGCAGUCCGGUUAGCAGCAGGAGACGAGCACGUCAUGGCAAAUUACUUUCCAGUCGUCCUUGACCAGGCCGGCCAUCAAUGGCUCCUCGGCCUACCCGAGGACUCCUUUGACUCCUGGGAAGAGCUCCGCCAGGCGUUCAUUGACAAUUUGAUCACUACCUGCGAACAGCCCGGGAACAAAUACGAUCUCGAGAGAAUAAGGGACAGGAAGAAUGAGCCCUUGCGCGAUUACAUCCGACGGUUCUCGGAUAUGCGCCUUAAGAUUCCAAAAAUUUCUCACGACGAGGCUAUAUCAGCCUUUAUCAAAGGUCUACGCUUUCACGAAGCAUUAAGAAAUAAGCUACUGCGUAAACGGCCGACCACGGUUGCCGAGCUCCUCACCACGGCCAAAAAUUAUGCUGAUGUCGAUGACGUAGAAAAGCUCAUUCGAGAAGAUGCGAGAGGCGCCGACCAGCUUCCAUGACGAGACGACAGUCGUGGAUGCUUCGACAACCGGAACCUCUGUCGCGACCGCGACCACCGAGAAGGAUGGGACACGCGACGUGACAAUCGCAACGAUUUCAGGUGUAAGCGACCCCGUGAUCACGAUCACGAGGUGAAUACAGUCAAGCGCCCAAAUGGGCGACGAGACUACCAGAAAGACUACAACAAGACGCUGAAAGGGCCAUGCCAACUCCAUCCCAAAUCCAAUCACAUGAUGGAAGAAUGCCAUGUCCUCAAAAGCAUCUACACACAACGGGCUGCUCAAGGGGACUCCGCCAAGAAAAACGGGAAACAGGACAGACAUGGCCACGAAGACGAAGACGACGACCAGGAUUGGGACCCGCGACACUAGUAUGUCAGUCCCACUGACGUGGUGCACUCUAUCUUCAGAGGCAAGGUUUCCAUCGAAUUUAAAUGAGAGACAAAGCUCCUGAAGAGAGUCUGCCGCAAUGUGGAUAGCGCAGACGGCCUGGUCGCCGACCUGAAGUUUCCUCCCUGGUCGCACAGGGAGAUCUCCUUCAACAGGAAGGACCAAUGGGCCGCCAUCCCAGAACCAGGACGCUUUCCUCUGAUCUUGGACCCUUGCAUCAACAGCAUCAGAUUCGAGCGCGUGCUCGUCGACGAGGGUAGCUCCAUUGACAUCCUUUUCCGCAACAGUUUGCCUGCUCUCAGGCUAACCCUGGCGCAACUAAAGCCGUAUGAUGCUCAAUUCUGGGGCGUCCUACCAGGCCAAAGUUCAAUACCACUCAGACAGACAACGCUGCCCAUCCAGUUCGGAACAUCAGACCACUUCCGCACAGAGUUCGUCAACUUCGUGGUCGCCGACUUCGACGGCACCUAUCACGCAAUCCUAGACCGACCACCGUUGACAAAGUUCAUGGCAGUUCCACACUACUCGUACCUGGUCCUCAAGAUGCCAACAGAGAAGGGAGUCCUAACUGUCAGAGGCAAUGUCCACACCGCAUACACUUGCGAGGAGGAAAGCUUCAAGAUCACCGAGGCAAUAGAUCUCUCGAUCCGCAUGGCAGAAACCGUAGCCCAAGCUACGUAGAUUCCACCCGACCAGCUUCGACUACCCGAACAGGAAACUCUGAGGAAAAAUUCAAAGUCCAAAGAGCACAAGGAAGUACAGCUGGUCGACGGCAGCCCCGAAAAGACGACCCUCAUCGGGGCCAACCUGGACCCUAAAUAGGAAGACGCGCUCGUCAGGUUUCUAAGGGACAACGUAAGCGUUUUCGCAUGGAAACCCGCAGACAUGCCCGACGUCCCACGAAACCUGAUCGAACACUCCUUAAACGUCUCGAAGACCGCAAGACCUAUCAAGCAGAAACUAUGACAGUUCGCUCGUGACAAAAAGGAGGCUAAUAGGGCAGAAAUAACACGGCUUCUAGCAGCCGGAUUCAUUAAAGAAGUGUAUCAUCCCGAUUGGCUCGCCAAUCCGGUCCUUGUAAGGAAAAAGAAUAAUGAAUGGAGAAUGUGCGUUGAUUACACUGAUCUCAAUAAACACUGUCCUAAAGAUCCUUUCGGUCUCCCUCGUAUCGAUGAGGUGGUAGACUCAACGGCCGGAUGCGAACUCCUCUCUUUUCUAGACUGCUACUCUGGUUAUCACCAGAUUUCACUAAAGGAAGACGACCAGAUCAAAACAUCUUUUAUCACUCCUUUUGGUGGAUACUGCUACAUGACCAUGUCCUUCGGACUCAAAAAUGCUAGAGCUACUUAUCAACGGGCCAUUCAACAAUCCCUCCAUGACGAGAUUCGUGACGACCUCGUCGAGGCCUACGUAGACGACGUUGUCGUCAAAACAAGGGACGCGAGCACUCUAAUCGACAACCUAGACCAAACUUUUAAGGCACUGAAUAAAUACAAGUGGAAGCUUAACCCCAAAAAGUGCAUCUCUGGGGUCCCCUCUGGACUACUACUCGGCAAUGUCGUCAGCCGCGACGGCAUACGACCGAAUCCUUCAAAAGUUAAGGCAGUACUCGAUAUGCGACCACCCAAAAGCGUCAAGGAUAUUCAAAAGCUCACUGGAUGUAUGGCUGCUCUUAGCCGGUUUAUCUCUAGUCUGGGAGAAAAAGGCCUCCCCUUCUUCGAACUUCUAAAGGCGUCGGAAAAAUUCUCCUGGACAGAGGAAGCUGACGCUGCGUUCACCCAGCUCAAAACUUUCCUCACCUCACCACCCGUCCUCACAGCACCUCAACCUAACGAGGACCUGCUCCUUUACAUAGCAGCAACUGAUUGGGUUGUCUCCACGGCAAUGGUGGUCGAGCGGGACGAGCCAGGCCACGUCUACAAAGUCCAGAGGCCUGUUUACUUCGUAAGCGAAGUCUUAAAUGAAUCCAAGACCAGGUAUCCUCAGAUACAAAAGUUAAUUUACGCCAUCCUGAUACCCUCAAGGAAGCUGAAGCAUUACUUCGAUAGUGGGCACGCACCAUGCUAAGGACGUGCGCACCGACAAAUUCCCCGGCGUCCUUGACAAACUGCUGAAGCCAGCCCCACGCUCGUUGCCCCUUCUCGAUCGGGGUCAGUCUCGGUGCGCGGGGCUGGUCUUCGGGAAGCUCAGGGCUGAUCAACUCAAGAACCGGGGGCCACUCCUUUCUAGAUCUUGAUACUUCCAGGCGUCCCGGUCCUUGACCAGCUCGUCAUGGUGUUUCUACGUAUUGACUUUAAGCACUACAGAAAUGCAAGCAAGAGAUCAGUAUAAGGCGAAAGGAAGAAAGUUGUGCAAACAAAAGCCACGAAAUGGCUCCUACCAGCGAACUCUUGACUCCUAUUCUUUAGCUCCUCGUUAGCCUGACGCCCGGCCUCCAGCGCGCCGGCACGCUCCUGGUCGAGCUGUUCCUUUUCUUGUCGGAGGCGUGCAACCUCCUCCUCCAAGUCUGUAGGAGUAAUUACUGGUCAACAAAACCGACCACGCGGUUAUAUACAACUGCUCGGAACGCAUGACUCACCUUUCUUUUCCCGAUCCUUGUCGGCUAGUCGCCGAUUGAGAUCAAGCAGGCGCUCUUCCUGAGCACCCCUGUAACAUCCCGGAUUUUUACGAAAACCAAAAAUACGAGCUUUUUAAAAUUUUUCCUGUAAUCAUGUGAGGCAUAUAGUUUUUAGGUCUAACUCGAGACUAACCGGCUAACAAAUCGUAGCAUACAUGUAGAUUUGUUUGUAGACGAGUGCCUUUGUUCGUGAGUCGAUUUGGAGUUGAGUCUUAAUUAGGGUUUGGAGUGCACAAAUCCGUAGCAAGUCUUUCUGAAUCUCUGUUGAGCCUAUCUCAAAGGCGAAGCGAAUCCCUUCUCAACCUUUUCAUUGGAGUACGUCUCAAACUUCAUUGGAUUAUAUCUGAUCUCUUUUUGAAUCCUUCUCCAUACUCCUUUGUUUUCAUUCCAUUGUGCCUAAUCGAAAAUGGAAAAAUCCAUUUCUUUUAUCUUGGGCCGAAUUUCUCUCUUUCUCUCCAUUCUUUUCUUCUCCUUUUUGGCCCACGGCGGCAUUGUGGCCCAGCCUCACGGCCCAGCUCCCUGCUUCCUCUCCCCGGCCCAGCUCGCUCCCCUCCCCAGCCGGCCUGCUCACGCCUUGCUCCUUUCGGCCCACGUACCCCCCGCAGGCAUGCGCGCGCGGCCCAGCUGGCCUAGGCCGCGGCCUGCCUGGCCCAGCACAGGCGCCCCAGCGCCAGCCCUAGGCGCGCCGCCUGGCUCCCAGGAGCGCCACCGCCGCCGCCAUGGACACGCACCCGCGCGCACCUGCCCCUGCCUCGGCGUCCGUACAAGCAACAUGGGAUCUGCUGCCGCGUGUCUCGGCUGUCGCAUCGAUGGCGCGGACAUCGAGACGACCUCGGAACCCUAGCCCGCGCCCCUAUAAGAGCCAUGGCCGCCGCCGCUCUCUGCUCCGUUCCCAGCGCCGCCACCCUCCCCUUCUCCCUUGCUCGCCAGCGCCGACGCGUCCGCGCCCUCGACCUCGUCGCGCCCAAGGCGCCGUGCGCCCUCGCCCUCGAAGCUGCGGACGCCACCUCGCCGAGCAGCAACAACAUCGGCCGCGACCCCAACAGAGCUCCUCGUCGCGCCCCCUGCUUCAGUCCACGAGCUCCCUCCUCUGCGUCGAGCCUUCCGCACCGAGCAGGAGCCGCCGCGCCUCGCCGUGGCCACGACGUCGCCCCCGCAUCGUCCUCGCCGCGCCGAGCCCCGGCCCCGCAACGCCGUCCUCGCACCGGAGCCGCCCGCCGCGUCGAGCUCCUGUGCGCGACCUCGCCGAGCCGACCACCACGACGCAGAGCACCGCGACGCCGAAGCCACCCACGACCGCGCCGGCUCGGCCCUGCUCCACUCCGUCGAGCGCUGUCGCCCCAGCCUCCGUCCGCGACCUACGACGCCGAGCCACCACAGCAACUCCAACCUCGUCAAGCCCUGCUCCAAGCCGUGAGCCGCCUCCGCACCCACGACGGCGUCGAGCCCCGACGCGUCCACGCCCUCGCCAUGCUACGGUCACCCUCGCGAUGUCCCCGUCCUCGCCACGGUCACCGCGUCGAACUCCUGUGCACGACCUCGCCAAGCUAAACCCCCGGUGAGCCUCGCCCAGACCAAAGUUUUCCCUUUCCCAUUUCGCCUCGCUGAGACCGGCCUUCGUGCCGUGUUCUUCCACUGUCACAGGGAAGCAGUGGCCUCACCGUGCCCUUGCCGAAGAUGUGACGCCGUCCCGAUGCCUGCUGCACAUCCCGGCCAGCAGCAAGCUUGCAGCUGAUCUGCGCCCCUCGUGUCCAGCAAGGUCGAACCUUGAACCUGGCCGACAUCGUCUCCGACGUCGGAAAAACCCUUGUCCUUUCUUGUAUCUUUGUAUAAACUUGUUAUAUGAUAUAUAUCCAUGCCUGUGUCGUGCCUUCGCGCCGGUCUAUUUAUUUAUCUAUCUCUAUCUAUCUCUCGUGCUAUGGAAAUGUGCUACUCUGAGUUGUCAUCGUGUCCCUUGCGUUGUCUUUGGUCGAGUCGUGUUUCUUUAUGUGUUUGUCAUUGCCUGAGGACCGAGCCUUCGAGCCGGUUAGGGAAAUGGUAGUGCGUUCGAUCAUUUCGAUCGUGGGUUCGUCCCGCCGUGAUCGCGAUGCCGAGCGUAACUCAUUCCCUGUGUUUAGUUGACUUCGUUGCGCUACGGUCGUUAGCUCCCAUUCCCGUCCCUCGGACGUGGUCAUCGUGGACUCGAUGUGAUUAACGACGCGGUUCUUACCCGCACACCCGAGACCUAAAUGACCUAGUCGAGUGGGAUACGAAUUAGGGGACAACCGUCGUGGAACUGUCGGAAGCCAACUCGUUAGGUGAAGCUCAUGGUCGCGAGACGCCUCACCAUGGCCAUCGAGCCUAUCCUAUUUUUGUCGCAUGUUUAUCUUAUCUAUCUCGUAUGCUUAUGCCACCUAGACCCGGGCAUUUCCCGUGGUUUCCGCGGUGACAACCGCAUCGCCUGAAACUACGGAAAUGACCUUGUGCCGAUUCAGAAGCACCUAGGUUGAGAAGUGUUAUGAGUUGGAGUAGAUCGUGGGGUCGUAUCUCUUUUAACCAAUCGUCGUUCGUUCCAUGGCGAGUUGGUCGAAAGAGUGUGAUUCAUUCUUCUUCUCUCUUGUUCUCAAUCCCAUCGAUCCAGUAAGAUGUGGAUUAAGCCUCUUUUGCUUGUUUGAUGUUUCGUUUCCAAUCCCGCGAUUCCCGCUGUUGCUAUGGCGAGUGGGUCACACGAAGAUGAAUCUCGUAUCCCUUCCCUACCUUUUUGGUUCUUUGUGCUUAAACUCUUGUAUGCUUGUACUUAAUCAACCGUAGCAUUUCUUUGGUUCUCGCGGUGACAACCGCACCGCUAAGAACCUUAGUGAUGUCUUAGUGCAUUUAGUGCACCUAGGUUGUGGCGCCCUACAAGUAGUUUGAGCACUCGUGUCCUUGGUGUGUCACUCCCUCUUAUGCCCUGUCUUUUGCCGUGGCAUGAGUAUUGGAAGGACUAGACCACUUCCCUUCUUCUUCUCUCUUUAUUCCACCCUCUCUUGGCUCUCGCCAACUACAAUUGCGUAUGGGUUGAGAGAGACCGGAACUUCUCGUGCUCAUAGUCUUUACGAUUCCUGUCGAUCUCUAUGACACUUGGAUCGAAAGACCGUAAGCUGUGGUGUUUGCUUAGAAUGAGUUAGAGUCUAAGCCAUUUAUUAAAGCCGUACAGGUCGACACGAUCGACCCGGGAAGUACCGGCUAGGCUAAGACUCAAGCUUGUACUUGGUGAACAACCAUUUCCGUUUCUUUUAGCCCAGGGAUCGGACACCCACCGAGAGGGCUAAGCCGUUUUCCUUUCGGUGCUCUUUCAGUGUAGUUGUCCUUCAGUGUUUUGUCGCCUCUUUUCACAGUCUUUCUAGGACUCGUGGAUUGAUUGUUUCACCUUGUUUGUCGUUUACGAGGUAGUUGCUUCGGGUAGCGUUGAUCGAAUCGGAACCAGUUGAAGGAAGGACAUGCAGAUAGGAGAAAGACCUUGGAUGAGUACAGCUACAGGUGAACUGAGGAUCUUGGAAAUGUCACUCGACAGGUGCCACGUCCCACCCAACCUCGUAGAAUCCUAUUAGACAUGCAAUAUGUAGAUGCUAGUGCUUUACUUUUAUGCAAAUGAAUUGAGAUAGGUUGCAUGGUAGAAAUGCUUGUGAGCCAUUGCCUUGUUGCAACCUAUAGCCCUCGCACACCUGCUGUUAGGUUAGACGCUUGCAAACUACUUGCUACUGCAUCUACUACGCAUUAUAUCUGUGAUGUGAUGCAUUAUGGAGGAUUGGAUGUGAGUGGAUCAGGCACGUGGUGCCGAUAACUGGUUAAGAAAUGGAUAAUGGAUUUGGGGAGAUCUUGGCGUGUGUCUUGGGUGUGUGGUGAGGGUCGAGUCGACCGAGCAGGAUCUACGACGAGUCUUGGGACAAGUCUUGUCGGAAGACGCUACCUGGGCGUUCUCCACGAGAGAUACCUGUGGCGGGUACAUGUGACAGGGAGAGGUCCCGGAGUGGAGUGUCUUCGUGGGACGAAGCACCGGGAUGGGAGGUGCUGUUUAGCACGGGGUAAUCGGAUGUCCCGUCGAGCGGGGCAUCGGUUGGCCCCUCGUGAAGAUGUCCUGUUCGGUCACCCUAAGGACUGAGAUGUUCUGAGAACCGGUUCGUAGGAAGCCUUGCACCCCACUCGCUCUUAUGGGGAGGAGACGGAUGUACGACCAGUUAGGGCGGUGCCACUACUACUAGGUUGUUGGUAGACAGUGUAGGGAGGUACGGGCAUGAGGACCCACACCCUCCUAAGACAGCGUAGUGACCUUUGGGGGCCCGGUACUACGCCUCACAGUCUCAGCGUACCGGUGGUACUCCGGUAUGGUCCCAGUUCUGAGUGGUAGGGUGGCAUCGUACUUAGUUGGAAGGCAGCCCGACAUCAGCCUAGGUGGGGCGCACCACCGAUGAUGGUGAUCUUGUGGUUAGUGCAAACCUCUGCAGAGUUUCUGGUUGAUCGAUCGAUACAUAUGCCGUUUACGGCUAUGGACCUUUCCUAUGUUUCCGCUUCACUUGACUAGAGAGAGGAGUCCCUUCUACCUUCCCCUGGGUUUGUGUUGGAUCCGGCGUUGGCCGUUGAGGCAAGGCACGAGCGGGAGUCGUACUUGCCGCCUAGAGAGUGAGAGUGUGGUGAGAUGUGUGUGAUGGGAUGGAUGGAUGUGUGGAUGAGAUGGAAUAAAACUUGAUGAAUUAUUAUUAUAAAAUAUUGAUGAACUUGCAUAGGAAAAACUACAGCUAUACAUAGGCCUCUUGAUAUACCCUUUGCAUUUCCACCUACCACAAAGCUACGCAAAAGCAUAGGGUGGGAGCCAAUGGCCAGUACAAAUCGUACUGAAAAUUGUUUAGCAGGUGUUGAACGAGGUCUAUGACGAUAACUAAGGAGAAUAGAAGGAUUAGGUGGUCUCGUUCCUGCGCUCAAGUUUGGUUCGGAGAUGAAGGCUACGCCCGCUGACAAACUACGUCGACUCUGAUGAUUGCACGUGAAGGAGGAGCCUUCACCGGAUACGCGCUACAUCGACUCUGAUAAAGACCCGUGUGUGUUUCCGCUAGAAAGACGAUGUAAUAGGUUUGUUGACAAAGAGUUGUAAAGUAAAUGUGUUGUAAUUUUGUUUCUAACGAUGUAUGACUAUGAUAAACAGCUGAUAUAUGAUAAUGGGAUGGUUCAAUUUUUGAAUUAUCACAUUAUAUUCGAAUCUGAGGAUUUUUCCCUUUUUGGAAAAAUCUAGGUCGUUUCAACCCCUCUCGGCGGACCUCUCCACGGCCUCCAACCGAAGACGGUCUAGUUCCGCGGUCAGGGCCUUAUUCUCGACCACGAUCCCUUCAAUCUGGUCGAAGCACCUUUUCCGGUACUUCGCCAUUUUCAUUGCGCCCUACAGGAAUUACACAUAUUGAAGCAAGCGACAGUGCCUAUACAUUUCGAGCAGAACGCAAGACUACUUACCUUCACCUCGUCAAUGAGCCGCUUAGCUGCGCGCUCCACCCUAGUGGCCUCCUCCAUUUCUGCAAGUUCUUCAUGACCAAUGAAGUGGUCCCCACGUUGGCGCCACACGUAAACGUGCUGGCGACCAUCAUGAGGGUGACCUUGGAUUUCUUCUACUUCAUCGUCGGAGGCCGCCUGGGCCUCCUCGCCCUCUGCGCUACCCCCAGCCAUGGUCACAGGUAUCACUAGACCCUUAUCCCGGCCAGGGGAGCCCUUUGGCGAAGAGGCCUCUGCUCGGGGUGGAGUUGGGGCCCUCCUUUUACAAAAGUUAAUUGUAAAGUGAGUUUCGUCCACUCUGCGAUGAAAUCAGCCAGGGCCUAGGACUUGACGGUAGUGUGACUCUGGAAUUCCAGGGAGAAUGGGCAUAAUUCCAUUGCCCACUUUACAAUUCUGCCGUUGGCGUCCUUGUUGCGCAAAAUGUCCCCCCGAGGGAAACUGGUGGUUACUAAGACCCGAUGGCCAUCGAAGUAAUGCUUCAGCUUCGUUGAGGUUAUCAGGAUGGCAUAAAUUAACUUCUGUAUCUGAGGAUACCUGGUCUUGGAUUCAUUUAAGACUUCACUUAUGAAGUAAACAGGCCUCUGGACUUUGUAGAUGUGGCCUGGCUCGUCCCGCUCGACCACCAUUGCUGUGGAAACAACCCGAUCAGUUGCUGCUAUGUAAAGGAGCAGGUCCUCGUUAGGUUGAGGUGUUGUGAGGAUGGGUGGUGAGGUGAGGAAAGUUUUGAGCUGGGUAAACACAGCGUCAGCUUCCUCUGUCCAGGAGAAUUUUUCCGACGCCUUUAGAAGUUUGAAGAAGGGGAGGCCCUUUUCUCCCAGUCUAGAGAUAAACCGGCUGAGAGCAGCCAUACAACCGGUGAGCUUCUGAAUAUCUUUGACAUUCUUGGGUGGUCGCAUAUCGAGCACUGCCUUUACUUUUGAGGGAUUCGGUUGUAUGCCAUCGCAGCUGACGACGUUGCCGAGUAGAAGUCCAGAGGGGACCCCAAAGAUACAUUUUUUGGGGUUAAGCUGCCACUUGUAUUUAUUUAGUGCCUUAAAGGUUCGGUCUAGGUUGUUGAUUAGAGUGCUCGCGUCCCUUGUUUUGACAACAGCGUCGUCUACAUAAGCCUCGAUGAGGUCGUCAUGAAUCUCGUCGUGGAGGCAUUGCUGAAUGGCCCGUUGAUAAGUAGCUCCAGCAUUUUUUAGUCCAAAGGACAUGGUCGUGUAGCAAUACGCACCGAAAGGAGUGAUAAAAGAAGUUUUGAUCUGGUCGUCUUCCUUUAGUGAGAUCUGGUGAUAACCAGAGUAGCAAUCUAGAAAAGAGAGGAGUUCGCAUCCGACCGUUGAGUCGACCACCUCGUCGAUGCGAGGGAGACCAAAAGGAUCUUUAGGACAGUGUUUAUUAAGAUCAGUGUAAUCAACGCACAUUCUCCAUUCAUUGUUCUUUUUUCUUACAAGAACCGGAUUAGCGAGCCAAUCGGGAUGAUACACUUCUUUAAUAAAUCCGGCUGGUAGAAGCCGCGUUAUUUCUGUCCUAAUAGCCUCCUUUUUGUCACGAGCGAAACGUCGUAGCUUCUGCUUGAUAGGUCUUGCGGUCUUCGAGAUGUUUAAGGAGUGUUCGAUCAGGUUUCGUGGGACACCGGGCAUGUCUGUGGGUUUCCAUGCGAAAACGCUCACGUUGUCCCUUAGAAACCAGACGAGCGCAUCUUCCUAUUUAUAGUCCAGGUUGGCCCCGAGGAGAGCCGUCUCCUCGGGGCUGCCAUCGACCAGCUGCACCUCCUUGUGCUCUUUAGACUUUGAAUUUUUCCUCGGAGUCUCUUGCUCGGGUAGUCGAAGCUGGUCGGGUGGAACCUGCGUAGCUUGGGCUACGGUUUCUGCCAUGCGAAUCGAGAGAUCAAUUUCCUCAGUGAUCUUGAAACUUUCCUCCUCGCAAGUGUAUGUGGUGCAGACAUUGCCUCUGAUAGUUAGGACGCCCUUCUCUGUUGGCAUCUUGAGUACCAGGUAUGAGUAGUGUGGAACUGCCAUGAACUUCGUCAGUGAUGGUCGGCCUAGAAUUGUGUGGUAAGUGCCGUCGAAGUCGGCGAAUACAAAGUUGACAAACUCUAUUCGGAAGUGGUCAGGUGUUCCAAACUAGACAGGCAGCGUUAUCUGUCCGAGGGGUACUGAACUUUGACCUGGCAGGACUCCCUAGAAUUGAGCGUCGCACGGCUUUAGCUGCGCCGGGGUUAUCUUGAGAGUAGGCAGGCUGUUGCGGAAAAAGGAUGUCAAUGGAGCUGCCCCCAUCAACAAGCACGCGCUGGAAUCUGACGCUGUUGAUGCAAGGAUCCAGGAUCAGAGGGAAACGUCCUGGUUCCGGGAUGGCGGCCCAUUGGUCCUUCCUAUUGAAGGAGAUCUCCCUAUGCGACCAGGGAGGAAAUUUCAGGUCAGCGACCAGACCAUCGGCGCUGUCCACAUUGAGGCAGGCUCUUUUCAGGAGCUUUCUCUCUCGUUUAGACUCGAUGGAAACUUUGCCUCCGAAGAUGGAGUGGACCACAUCGGUGGGACUGACAUACUGGUGCCGUGGGUCCCUAUCCUCGUCGUCGUCUUCGUCUUCAUGACCAUGUCUGUCCUGCUUCCCGUUUUUCUUGGCGGAGUCCCCUUGAGCAGCCCGCUGUGUGUAGAUGCUUUUGAGGACACAACAUUCUUCCAUCGUGUGAUUUGACUUGGAAUGGAGUUGGCACGGUCCUUUCAACGUCUUGUUGUAGUCUUCCUGGUAGUCUCGCCGCCCAUUGGGGCGCUUGACUGUAUUCACCUCGUGGUCGUGGUCACCGGGUCGCUUGCCCCUGAAGUCAUCGUGGUUAUCACGCCGCCUGUCCCAAACUUCUCUAUGGUCGCGGUUGUCAGCGCGACGAGGGUUCCUGUUGUCGAAGCUUCUGUUGAUAUUUGGUAACGCAAUAAGGAAAUGAUCCGCAAGCGCACGGAUAUCGGUGAGCAUUUUACCCGGGAGGUUUUCUAGAGUAUCGUAUUUAUAUUUUUACCACUGGGAGAAAGGGUGCAUCUGACUAACCAAAUCUAUUGCUACUAUCCCUUUAGGCUACAAAGAAUGUUUCUCGAUGUGAGUGAUGUAUAGAGAAGACUGCAACCGUAGUCUCGUUCUAACCUUGGUAAGGAUGAUCUACUGUUCUAUUGGGGAAGCUUACAGAAUCUAGACACCACAAAGGAUGUUCGACCCGCACCUAUAAACCUACCCGUCCUGCUAACGAGAUGUGGGAUGCAAAGGUAACUCGGAAAUGUCACGUUCCUCGCUACUACCACGGUCCAGCUAGUUAGGGGAUAUCUAUGAGUACCCUAGCCUAAACACCAUGUUUACGCUAGCAAUGAUUACUCUAAUACUCAACCGGAAGAGGAUUAAAGUAAACUCAUAAACCAAAGAACAAUAAAACAAGAACUUACUAGAAUUAGAAGUCGAAUUACUGAAGAAUCUUAGGAGCAAGCCUCGGGUUAGAAGACUUGAUCCUGCAGGUACAACUCGGAGUAGACACCGAUAGGCCGGCCUUCCUCCGAUCUACACCUCCACUCUAUCUCUCUCAAUCUAGUAGAAACUAGAAGAUCUAUUUCUACUUUACAUUGGAUGCUAAGCCUAAAAAGAAAUAUUGUUUAGAGAAGAGGUUUUCCUUCGAGGGCACCCCUCAAUCUCUAUGAUAACUUCUUAUAUUCUCCAGGGGCCAGGGGGCCUCCUUAUAUAGUCCUCCUCCUCUAUGCAUUUUUGGGUCGGUAGGCGAUGUGGUACUACGUUAUCCUUGAUCCUUUAGGUCGGUGGAACAUUGUGUGCGAAGAGAGUCCCGAACGGAGUCCAGGACAGGGCGGGCGCCCAGGGAAGGAGGGCGGGCGCCCUGGGCCUGGCCCCUUUCGGCCUCUGCUUUCUCCCCGUGGCUUCUAGAGUCUUCUAGAUGGUAGAAAAUUGCGCGGUGCGUUGAUAUCUCUAUGUAAUCCCGACAUGUGGGCCUUUCUUCCAUAUUUCCUGAUAACCCCCUGCAGAAAUAGACAAACACCAAAACUCGUUGAAUUCUGUCAGAUAAAACCCUAAGUCUAGGUGUUGGUUGCAUUUGGAUCCUUUUCUUUAUUUAUUUGAUGAUUAUAUUUGGUACUUAAGGACCGUCAACAACUACCCCAAGCUUACCUCUUGCUCGUCCCUGAGCAAGGAUGAACUCAAGAGUUUCUGCAGUGGUUUCAUGCCUUAAAAGUAAGAUCUCAUCUCUGAGUUAGGGUAAACUGUUAAGACUUAAAACUUACUCAUUUUACCUUUCACCAUGGGGCUUGUAACCGUCACCUGUGUCUUGAGCAGUUAAAAGAUAGAACGGUCAAGUCAAGCGCCAUGUCUCUUAUUCUUGAUCAGCUAUAGCUCUGGAGUUUUUGUAGAUUUUCAAAUAAAACUCAGAGAUUCCUUAUAUGAUUCUCUCAAAUCUCUCUUUUGUGGUAUUUCUGGAUCCUUACCAAGGCAGUAAUGGUAUAUGCCUUCUCUCAAAGUAUGUGGUAUUUUUGGUAUAAUGCAUAGUGAUAUUGCCUUCUCUCUCACCCUACUCUAAUAAAGUUUUGAUAUCUGGAGCUCAUAGGUGGGAGACAGCUAGUACAUACUUACAAGACAUUUAUUGCAUAGUCAAACCAUGGAUCUAGAGAAACAAGUCAAUAAGUCAAAUCAAGAUGUGCAUGUGUGGCGAAUGAAUGGUGUAUGGUGAUGAUGGUGAUAAUACUGGUGAAAGUCUAAUUCUACUUUUGCUCUGUUGAGGGGAUACAUACCUUUCUUGCACUUUGAAGCUUUUUGAGGAGAAUGAGAUGCUCUAUAUUUUCUCUUUCUUUCCUCUCAGGUGGGUAUCUUGUACCCCUAAUUCUACUGUCGGACACUUGUCCAUUUUUACCUCUCGUCUCACUUUUUCUUUUCUUUCGAGGUUUCGGGCACUUGCCCCUUUUUAUUUCCUCGUAUUAUUUUUUUUCUUUUUUUUAGAGCACUCAUCUCCUGAAAUAAUAUAGCAAGUGGUAGUAACCAAAAUAACUGGAGCAUUUAUUUCAUAGGGAAUAACAUGGAUAGGAUAAUGUUUUUGGCUAUUCUCUCCCGGAUUAGGAGUAGAAUAAUUUUGGGUGGAUCUGGAGAUGGAAAUGAGUGGAUUUGUGUGGAUGGUACUUCCGGAGUAGAAGUAGCAUGUAUGAGUGAACGUGCAAGUGAAUCUUGAUUUUAGCCACAUGACAAGCUCCUAAGGGUCUACACAGCUUGACCACACUCAAUGCUUGUUGACACUAGCUAACACCACUUAGAUACUAGGUUGUCAUCCCUAGCAUGGCGCCAGAGUGUACAAAGGUAUUUAUAAAUGUAAAGGCCCUCUAGAAAAUAAUCUAUUCUAUCCGCAAGCGCACAGAUAAAACACCUCAUUGUAGCAUUUCACCAGGAUAAGUAUUCCAUGUAUCGUUAUUUAUAAUUUUGCUCUAGGGAUCUAAAGAAGAUGGAAUUAAAUCAAGGGACAAAAUCUAUCAAGGCAUAGACUAGAGAUAAACUUGCAAGAACAUGAUUACUAAUGAGAAACUCGUCACACAGUCACUUACUUUAGCAAGGGGUAAACCAUAAAGAUAAUGAUAAUAAAGUAUAAGUUCAUGGGAUAAAGAGCACAGCGAUUAGAAAAUAGACUACUCCUCAUAUAUGUAGGUGAUGUUGGAUUAGCUAGAGAAUGGAUUCAAAGUUAUCUACUAACUACUAAGUCAUAAUCUACUCUAGUUAUCUACAGGAUCAUAUAUAGCAUAAAAGACUCUUCAUUCAUGUAUAAGGAACAUUGAUAAAGUAAAUCAGAACAUCGCAUGACUUACUCCACAAUACCGGUUCUGCCUGUCCUAUCAACGGAGGGUGGACUAUAUAAGAAUCAACGAAGCUGUCACUAUCGCGAACUACCACACGAGCCGGCCAAUAGGAUACAUUUGCAGAUAAAUAACAUCUAAGCACCACGCUCACAUGUGAUCUAUCACCUAACUCCCUCGCGUCAACAGCUAAGCGCUUUGCAAACUUAUACAUAAACUCAUUAUCAAUUAGAACUAUAUCAAAUAUAGAACUAGAGCAAACUAAGAACAUAAUAAUUAGAGACAUAAUGCAAUUAGAACAAUAGAAUUAGAGAAAGAUAUGAAUAAUACCAAUCUUUAUUACCGAAGAUCCGAAUCCAGAGCGUAGUGCUCUACUUCUCUAAUUGCUAUCUAAUCAAACCUCUAAACUUGAAGGAUUAGGGAGUAGCUAAUUCUAAUUCUCUGUGGGAGAGAGAUCUAAACCCUAACUUUGAUGGCUACCUCUGAAUAAUGAUUUCUCCUCUCUCCUCCCGGGGCCAGGGGGUCUGGUUUUAUAGUCCCCUCAAGUGAACGUGAGCCAUUGGAUCAAACCGACAUAGACUGUAUGGUUUAGAUUGAUCCUUUAGGUCGGUGGAGCGUAGUCCCGAAGCAGAGUCCUGAUUGGCUUCCUGGCCAGGGCGGGCGCCCAAGGGGGGUGGGCGGCCGCCCAGCUCCCGAGCCCGAAUCGCGUCCCGUUCGUUCCCGUGGCUUCUGGAUCCUUCUAGAUUGAGGAAAAUUGCACGGCACGUAAUUAUCUCGUUGUAAACAUGACAUGUGGGCCUUCUCUCCAUAUUUUCUGAUAAACCCCUGCAGAAAUAGAUAAACACCAAAACUCGUGGAAUUCUGUCAGAUAAAACCCUAAUUCUAGAUGUUUGUUUCAUAUUGAUCCUUUUCUAUGUUUAUUUGAUUAUUAAUUUUAGUACUUAAGGACCGUCAACAAACUCCCCCAAGCUUACCCUUUGCUCGUCCCUGAGCAAAUAGCUAAACUCAGAUGGAUCAGGAGUUGCUUCGAUGUUUUCUUUCCUGACAGGCACACAUGCUUUUACAUAAAAAUUCUUCCAGAUUAAAGUGAAGUGUUAUGGAGUUUAGUACAUGCACUUAAAUCUUAAGUAAUCAAAAGACAAAAUAGUUAAGUCAAGCACUAUCCCUCUUGUCUAUACUUCACCUUUGUUCUAGAGUUUUUCAUAAGUUUUCAAAAUAAAACUUAGAGUUCCCAGCAAUGAUUCUCUCAAGUCUCUCUAUAUGUGGUAUUUGUGGAUCCUUACCAUGAUAUCACUUACCUAUAGCUAAUAGAAUAAUUAAGUGGAGCUCAUAGGAGUGGAAAAUAGCUCAUACAUGUGUUGUCUAAUCGAGCCAUGGAUCCAAAGGAACUCAGCAUAUAAUUAAAUCAAGAUGUGCAUGUGUGAUGGAGUAAAUGAUAGUGAAAAUGCAUAAUGAUAAUAAAACUUAGUUCUCAUUGUUCUUUAUAUUGCUAUCUCUCCUCCUCUUUGAUCUUUGCUUUGGGAGAACAUGGGCUAUCUUUUUUUUUUAGGUGGGUAGUAGAUACCCCUAAUUCUACUGUCGGACACUUGUCCAUUUUUUCCGCUCAAGUGGGCAUCUUUGUACCCCUAAUUCUACUUCGGACACUUGUCCAUUUUUACCUCUCGUCUCACUCUUUUUCUUUCUUUUUUUUUCGAGGUUUCGGGCACUUGCCCCUUUUUAUUUCCUCGUAUAUUUUUGCAUAACCCAUGCCUCUUCUGCAUUGAAUCUUUUUAGAGAGAGAGAAUAACAAUACUUGAUAACAGUGAGUGAUAAUAUUUUUUUAGCAAUUUUAAUGAUGAAUGCUGUGGUAGAUGCGUGCAAGUGAAUAUCUUAAUUUAACCACAUGAAAAGGUCCUAAGGGUCGACACAGCUCGAUCAAACUCAAUGUGAAUAUAGUAAAAGAUGUUAUAGCAAAUAUGGCUGUGGUAGGUAGUUUUGUAUGCUAGGAACUCAUCAUGUGAUUUGUAAGUUUUCAAAAAUAAAUCUCCAGAACUUAGUGUAGUAGAAACAAGAUAAACAGUAGCUCAACUUUAUAUCAUGCCUUUCGCUUACCUAGACUUUAGUUUUAUGCUUCCCAAAGAUAGUAAGUUUAGUUUUAGUAAUUCCUGGAAGAACUCUAGUAUAAAAGCUAGGUACUUGUAAGUAAGCAAACAGAGCAACUAUUCAUCAUUUCCAUCAUGCAUAUUUUUGGUCUUUUUAUUUUUUCUAGAGAUUCAACUUAGCAGAAAAAUAAAGCACACUUAUCUACACACUCUUUUUAUUUUGUUUUCAUGUUUAUAAAGUGCAGUAAAUUAAAGCAAGAAAAAUAUUUAUUUGGUUUUCUAAAUUUUCCUUUUAAGGUAAAUUAAAUACUAGAAUAGAAAUAAAUAAGAAGAGCAAAUAAAAACUUACUUGAUAAAUUUAGGGAGGAACUCCCCCAAGCUGGAUGUUGCCGUCGGUCUUACCCGAUGUUCCAGAACCGCAUCAUGGUUGUGAUGUUGUCGUUCAUUGUUGUUGUCUCUUGUCUCAGCUCUUCUACUGCAGCGGCAUGGUCCUGGUUCCAUUUUUGUUGCUCUUCCAGGAGUCUUCCAUGUUCUGCUUGCGUGUUCUGGAUGUCGAGGAGGGUGUUGUCGGUACGAGUGAAGAAAGCACCGGCCUCUUGAUAGUAGUCAUUCGUAAAAGCGUAGGAGGCUUCGGAGUAUCGUCCUGCAUCAAAUUGGGGCAGAGGUCUGGAUCCUGAAGCUCCAUAUGGAUCAGUGGAAUACCUGCCCGUAUGAAAAGGCGGGUUUGUCCACUGGUGAUCUUGGCUCUCCGGCCAUGUCUCUUCUGUUGGCUCUUGUGGUUGCGCAUGACGAGCCCAAGGGUCUCGAAGGACUCGUGGAUUGUGAUCGCAAUAAUGCAGGUGCGCUGCUUCUUCUGGUCCAGGGUCACCUCCAUACCAAGUGCGUUCUCGGUGAGUGGUUAUCCUUUCAGAUGCCACUCGCUGUGGAGUUCUCUGGUUCACUGGUGUUGCUGCAAUCUCAAUCAAAAAGUUUUGCACAGAGUAGAGGCCAAGGUUCGGGUUAGGUAGCCGAAUCUUGCCUUUAUCAUCAUACAGCAUAUACAUUAUAUUCCCCUCUUUCUUUAACAUCCGAGCUUGUCUAAAUGUGCCAUAGCCAUGAUAAAUUCUUAACUCUUCUAUGAAGUCCAACGAUGAGUUUUCUAGUAAGUGAAGAUUAGUGGCUAGACGAGUGAUAAGUGAAGUACAUCCUACUGGUCCCUGAAGACUAGGUAUACUAAGCCAAUGUGAAACUAAUAAUGUAACAGGUGAAGUAGGUACUUUACUAAUAGCAACAUAUAAAAGUUGUAAAUCUCCUACUCUUACUUUCCUAAUAUCGUCACGAUAGAAAAGAUUGUACCCAAGCCAUUUGUGGAACAUCCUAAGAGUGGGGUGUUCCAUGUCACUGGUUCGGGCUUGACUAUAAAAAUUAUCUCUAGAUAUUUCUCUCCAAAACUGGUGUCUCUCAAAAUUGGGUAAAUCGGAGUCAAUGUUCAGGAUGCAUCUUGAAGAGAAACCAAGAUGGUCGCUCAGCUCUCUCCAAGAUAACAUAAUUUCCGAUUUAAACAUCCGAAAAACAAUUCCCCCCUCAUAAUAUUGUAAGGUGCAAAGAAAUUCGAGGGUGAGAAGACGAGAACCCAGCUCAGUUAUAUUCCAAAAAUUUGUCCAACCCAUCAUCUGAAAAAUUAAGUCAAAUUCAGUGUCCAUACCUAUUUCUCGUAGUAGGAUUGGAUCGAUAGUAGGGGUGUGAAUGAAAUCUUUGUUCUUCAAUUGCUGAUAGACUUCCUUCUCUCUUCGGGUCUUCAGUCCAAGGUCUCCUAUCUUGAGAAGGACCUUAACUUGCUGACCUGAUGAAGAUGAUGGAGCUUGUGUGGGUGUCGGGUCGACGCUCAUCUCUGAUGGCUGUGAGGAGUGUCGGGCGGAACUCCUUGUACCAAUGUUCUUGAGAGCCUUCCCUGCAUUCUUCACCUUCUUAAACAUCCUGCAAACAAAAGUUGGCAAAAACACAACUGGUGGAAAAUGUGAGAUAAAAUGUUAGUGGUCAGCUGUCUGGAGUGUCAGUAGUCCAGGGGUUAAUCGUUCAAGUCAAGUUUCUAUUUUGGUAGAGCCUCCCCCUAAACAACUUUUACUUCCGCAUGGACAGCGGGAACACUAUUUGCUAAGUGACAAUUACUUUCUCAAAAGAACUCCAACCUUCUCUUCCACUCUCCUCUUUCUCUCUACUCUCUUCUCUUUACUACAAGAACUCCUUCUCGGGAAACUGAGACCUGUGUGGUUUUCUGGUGUGUGUGUGUGAAGAGAAGGAGAGCUGGAGGUGGCCUUUUAUAAGCUGAGCAGGGGACAGGGCGGGCGCCCAAGGUAGGUGGGCGGGCGCCCACCCCUGGUGUCCAUCCUGGGUGUGCCUCCUCCACAUGCUUCCUUGCUUUGAUCUCACGCAGAAUAAUGUUGUGUUGGUGGUGGUUGGACGGUGGAAAGAUGUCAAGUGAGUGGAAACAUAUUGGUGGAUGAAAUUAUGUGAUGGGAUAUAUGUGAGGUGAAGUGUAUGACAUGUGGGACCCAAAGAGUGUGGGUCAUGCUUCUAGAAGAUUUAUAUGAUUAAAUAUAAUGCAGGAAAAUCUAUGAGAAUCGAAACUUAUUGAAAAUGAUAUUGGAAAAUAUUUUUGUGCCCCCACAAUAAUUAAUAAAUAUGGGUUGUUACACACCACAAAUAUUAUUUAUCUGGGGCUUUUUUGAUUAUUAUAAUAAUGCUAUGAAUAAAUGUGACUAAUGCAAGAUUUAAUUAUGCAAGAAAUUAAAUAUGAGAAAAAUAAUAAUGCGGGUAAAUACCGAUUUACCUCCCGGUGAGGGUUUGGGAUUUUUAGGUCCCCCAAGCUGGACCUCCAAAUCUUUUAAUCUUCUGAGUUUCCUUCCUCCGGAGAUGGUGUCUCCAGUGGUUCUUCAUGAACUUCCUUCACUGUAGAGUCUCUCUCUGGUCUGGGUUUGAAUGUGAAGUGUUCUUCUUGACCGUUUAUGUUGAACUUGAUUUCUCCUUUUCCGACAUCAAUGUGGGCAUUGGCAGUGCUCAGAAAUGGCCUUCCAAGGAUGAUGGAUACUUUUGAGUCAGGACUCAUGUCCAGUACUACGAAGUCUACUGGCACCAGGAAAUCUCUGAUCUUGACUGGAAUGUUCUCGGCGAUGCCCAGCGGGUGUCGAACCGAUUGAUCCGCUAGUUGCAAACACAUUGAUGUUGGUUCUAAGGUUGCAUGAUCAAGCUUUUUGUAGACUGAUGCUGGCAUCACACUGACACUUGCUCCGAGAUCACAAAGUGCAUUGUUGAAGUGUUGGUUUCCGAUCGAGCAGUCAAUAGUGGGGCAUCCUGGAUCUUCCUUCUUCUUUGGUGGCUUAUUGAGGAUGGCCGCACUACAUUCUUCUGUCAGUUUGAUAACCUCAGUGGUGGGCAGUGGUCUCUUCUUGUUAAGAAUAUCUCUGAUGUACUUUGCAUAUGUAGGUACCUGUAUGGCAUCGAGCAGAGGUAUGUUGACAUAUAAUUUCUGAAUGACCUCUACAAACUUACCAAACUGUUCAUCCGACUGCAGUCCUCUGUUUCUUCUGGGAAAUGGCAAAUAGUUGGUGUCGUAAAAAUCUUUACUCAUUUCUCCAGUUCUUGGUGGUUGGAGCAGAUCUUCUGCUUCAACUGGGCUUUCUUCUUCUAUCACUGCUGGUUGCACUGGUGCUGAUGUUCUUUGUUUGUCUUUUGGGUAUGGUGGAUCUCUGGUGGCUUUGCCUCCUCUAGUAGUUAUAUUCUUUACCUGCUCAAUGUUAGUAGCAACAGGCAGUGCAACAGCUAAUUUUAUUAAUUUAAGCUCUACCCUUUUAUUAAGAGUGUUUUGCUCAUCAAAGGCAGUUAGUAGAAAAUCCAUUUUAUUGUGUAUAUCUUUUAGAGAUGAUUCAUUUGUAUCUAGCCUUUGUUUAACUUCAUCAUUAAUUUUGGUUUGUUGAGCAAUUAUCUCUUUUAAUGAAAGUUGCUUGAAAGUAUUACCUGAAUUCAUACCUUUGCUAUUGGGUUGACUUGAAGUUGGUUGAUAUUUGUAUGCUGUCUCAAUGGCCCUUUGAUCUUCUUUGAACUUGGCCCUAUGGUCAAUCCAAUGGAGCAAAUUUUCCAUUUUAGUUGAUAAUGCAUUUACUUCUUCUGGUAUUUCUUCAGUUUGAUGACAUUGUUGAGCUUUAUCUUGGAACCAGCUUUGGUUUUCUGCUAUCUUAUCCAAAAGUAUCUCUGCUUUUCUAGUUGUAAGCUCCAAGAAUGAUCCUUUAGCAGAUGCAUCUAGGCACUCACGAGCCUUCUGGGUUAAUCCAUGGUAGAAGGUCUGUAUAAGUAACCAUGUGGCCAUUCCAUGGUGAGGACAAUCUGAUAUGUAUCCUUGAAAACGCUCCCAUGCUUCUGAAAUGGCUUCUGUCUUCUGCUGUUGGAAACUGACAAUAUUUCCUCUUAAGGCAGUUGUUUUGCCUAUAGGGAAAAACUUUGAUAGAAAGGCAUCUGACAAGUUCGUCCAGUUGUUGAUGUUAUCUUGAUGUGUGUAAAACCACUUCCUCGCUUUCCCUUCUAGUGAGAAUGGAAAAAGGCGAAGUAGUAUGACGUCUUUGUCAACUCCGUUGAUGUGGAUUGUGCUUCCAAUCUCUAAGAAAUUCUGCAAGUGUGCACUGGCAUCUUCAUGUGCCUUUCCACUGAAUUGUGUAGCUUGCACCAAAUUGAUGAGGCUUGACUUGAGUUCAAACUCAGGUAUUCCUUCUUCUACUGCAAAUCUUGGUCCAGUUGGAAUGUUGUCAAGACUUGGAGCAGAGAAUUCUUGCAAGGUCUUUUGUGCCAUAGCUUCAGCAAUUGGUAGCUAGCUUCUUCUUCUCUUGAUUGCUUUGGUUCUGAUGAUGGAGAGUUGAAUGUACCCAAAGUCAAUCCUGUUAUACCCUGUAUAAAAAUAUAAACAUAGAAAAACAACAGGGUGAACCUGCCAAAGCAGAGGUGCCUUGUUAUGAUUUCUCACUUAGUAGCUGUUUUAUGCAAUUAUUUCUCUAUAGUCUAGUCUAAUAUUUUAUAUGAAUAACCUUGAUUGAUUUUCUGGCUUUCCUUAAUAUUACCCUUUUGUUCCCUUUUAUGACUUAUUCCUGAGACUCGUAUAAUUCCUAUAAGAUCCUAUAAAUUCCUAUAAUUCCCCGACAACGGCGCCAGAAAUGCUUGUUGACACUAGCUAACACCACUUAGAUACUAGGCUGUCAUCCCUAGCAUGGCGCCAGAGUGUACAAAGGUAUUUAUAAAUGUAAAGGCUCUCUAGAAAAUAAUCUAUUCUAUCCGCAAGCGCACAGAUAAAACACCUCAGUGUAGCAUUUCACCAGGAUAAGUAUUCCAGUUAUCGUUAUUUAUAAUUUUGCUCUAGGGAUCUAAAGAAGAUGGAAUUAAAUCAAGGGACAAAAUCUAUCAAGGCAUAGAUUAGAGAUAAACUUGCAAGAACAUGAUUACUAAUGAGAAACUCGUCACACAGUCACUUACUUUAGCAGGGGGUAAACCAUAAAGAUAAUGAUAAUAAAGUAUAAGUUCAUGGGAUAAAGAGCACAACGAUUAGAAAAUAGACUACUCCUCAUAUAUGUAGGUGAUGUCGGAUUAGCUAGAGAAUGGAUUCCAAGUUAUCUACUAACUACUAAGUCAUAAUCUAGUCUAGUUAUCUACAGGAUCAUAUAUAGCAUAAAAGACUCUUCAUUCAUGUAUAAGGAACAUUGAUAAAGUAAAUCAGAACAUCGCAUGACUUACUCCACAAUACCGGUUCUGCCUGUCCUAUCAAUGGAGGGUGGACUAUAUAAGAAUCAACGAAGCUGUCACUAUCGCGAACUACCACACGACUCGGCCAAUAGGAUACAUUUGCAGAUAAAUAACAUCUAAGCACCACGCUCACAUGUGAUCUAUCACCUAACUCCCUCGCGACAAGAGCUAAGCGUUUUGCAAACUUAUACAUAAACUCAUUAUCCAUUAGAACUAUAUCAAAUAUAGAACUAGAGCAAACUAAGAACAUAAUAAUUAGAGACAUAAUGCAAUUAGAACAAUAGAAUUAGAGAAAGAUAUGAAUAAUACCAAUCUUUAUUACCGAAGAUCCGAAUCCAGAGCGUAGUGCUCUACUUCUCUAAUUGCUAUCUAAUCAAACCUCUAAACUUGAAGGAUUAGGGAGUAGCUAAUUCUAAUUCUCUGUGAGAGAGAGAUCUAAACCCUAACUUUGAUGGCUACCUCUGAAUAAUGAUUUCUCCUCUCUCCUCCAGGGGCCAGGGGGUCUGGUUUUAUAGUCCCCUCAAGUGAACGUGAGCCAUUGGAUCAAACCGACAUAGAUUGUAUGGUUUAGAUUGAUCCUUUAGGUCGGUGGAGCGUAGUCCCAAAGCAGAGUCCUGAUUGGCUUCCUGGCCAGGGCGGGCGCCCAAGGGGGGUGGGCGGCCGCCCAGCUCCCGAGCCCGAAUCGCGUCCCGUUCGUUCCCGUGGCUUCUAGAUCCUUCUAGAUUGAGGAAAAUUGCGCGGCACGUAAUUAUCUCGUUGUAAACAUGACAUGUGGGCCUUCUCUCCAUAUUUUCUGAUAAACCCCUGCAGAAAUAGAUAAACACCAAAACUCGUGGAAUUCUGUCAUAUAAAACCCUAAUUCUAGAUGUUUGUUUCAUAUUGAUCCUUUUCUAUGUUUAUUUGAUUAUUAAUUUUAGUACUUAAGGACCGUCAACAAUGCUCAUAAGCAGUAAAAAGUAAAUGUUUGGCUCAAAGUCUAAUAAGCAUGUAUAUUUGGCUGUGGUAGGAUUUUAAACUCUCAUCAUAUAGGAACUCAUCAUGUGUUAUUUUAAAGAUUUUCAAAGAUUAAAUUCUCCAGAAUUCUAGCAUCUCUAGGAACAGAUAAACAGUAGCUCAACCUUCCCAUAUCAUAUCCGUUAACAACUUAGACUUUAGAUCAAAUACUUUUCCCACAAGUUCAGGUUUAGAGCAAGCUUUAAAUUAUAACAGUUAUGCCUAAACUUGAGAGAGAUUUCAAUUUUAAGAACUAUUCACGGCAGAGCAACUAUUCAUCAUUUCCAUGUGAGAGUUUAUCAUGAGGGUUCUUAGCAAACUUUAUUUAUUUAUUUAGCAAACUAAGCAAAGAUAUAUAUAUAAAAGCACAAAAUCUUUAUUUGGGUUUUCAUGAUUAUGUAUCUUUUAUUAUUUGAGUAAAGUAUAAACGCGAGUAGAAACACUUAGCUGGAUAAAUGGGGGUGCUCUCCCCCAAGCUGGAUUUUGAUGUAAUUUCUUCUGAUGUAGCUAGCAGGUGAUGGAGGUGUAUUUGAAAGUCGGCAGCACCCUGACAACGAUUAGGAUGUCCUCCGUCUGCUUGUCUUUUUUUUAUCCUUGAAUCCUGUGGAGCUCAAAUAGACAACAAAGCUUUGUGGAACUGGUUAAGUGUGAGCAUAAAUAUCUAGCCUUUAUCAUGUUGAGCCUCCUCAAUAAAUAUUACUUAUUUAGCAGGAUCAUGCACUUAUUAUUUUUAUAUUUUUAUUUUAAGAUGAAAACUUAUUUAUUUUAUUUCUACGCCACCACAGUGAAUGUACUUAUGGGUUUUAUAUCAUUAGCAUACUCACAUGGGGCUUACUAUUUUUUUAACAUUUUUAUUUUCUUUUCAAGAUAGCAUGAACCUGAUUAGCUAAGCAAACUAUUGAAUGGAAAAAGAUAACUACCAAGUUUACUUGGCAAGGCGUUCGGUAUUUUUAAGUCCUCCGAACGGGACUCUCCAUUUUCUCAGUCGUCCUGGGAUUCGCUGGAUGGCGUAGUCGGUGGUUCCGGCGGCGUCUCCUCUUCGUUUAUAACUAUCUUUUCUCUACACACCUAUCUCGGUGCUACGGUCUCCUCAGGACAGUUCUGUUCAAGUUGUAUGUCUUCAGACCUUAUCACUUCUCCUUCGUAGUCUACCCAUCCGUCCUUAAUGAUUUGCCUCCUCUAGUUGCGGUUGCGUUGUCUUCUUCUUGUCCUGACCUGCUUAGAAUCUUCAACUAUAUAGUUAGAAUCAUUAAAGUAGUGGCGUACCUUCUCAAAGGAGAAGUGCAUGUGGACUUCUUCGGUUUCAAUAUAGAUAAUGGCUUUGAUAUUGCUGAGGAACGGUCUUCCAAGGAUGGUGGGUGGAUCGUACUCGUUUCUCCCAUGUCAAUGACCUAAAAAUCAUCUGGAGCUGAAUGUAUAUUGGUUGUAGGGGCAUGGUUUCAUGCAGGAGCUGAUAAGUGACUGCGGCCAUUAUGUUGUCGUCAGAUCCGGUGUCGUAGAGUGUCUUCUGAAAAGAGUAUCAAUUGAUUGUGCACUCGAUGCUUGGAACACCAGGGUCGUCCUUCUUGAUCAGGAAAGGUGACUUGAGUCGACGAUCUUGACCUCUUUGAACUGCAGUGACCAUCUUAGCUGACUCGGUCCACAUUUGCUUGUUCAUGUUCCUCCUGUUGGUCUUCUUCCUUGGUUCGUGUCGAGAUUGCUCUGAAAUUUGUGUAGUCUUGUUCUUGAAGGAAAGUCUCCUUCUUCCCCUUGAUGUAGAAACUGAUCUUGGCAGCAUUAACGUAAAUGACAGCUCUGGUGUUUAGGAAUGGCCUCCCUAAGAUGAUGGGUGCCCCUCCUCACUACCAGUCUCUAUCACCAUGAAGUCUGCUAGAGCGUACAAGGUACCAACUCGGACGCAGAGGUUCUUCAAUAUUUCCUUUGGGAAACUGAGUGUCCGAUCUGCAACCCUAGGCAUAAUGUUGACGCUGGAGCCAAAGUCGCAGAGUGCUUCUGGGAAGUCCACCAUGCCGAUGGAGAUCGGGAUGACGGGGCGUCCUGGAUCACCUCUCUGAGUAGUUAGGCCUCUGUUGAUUCCAACCUUGAUUUUGUUGAGGGCGGUUGUAGUAGUAGUUGUUAUUGUUGUUGUUGAUGUAGUUUACGUCCUCAAGCAUCUCAGGGCAGUGAUUGCCUGAGUGUCUAGUAUCUCCAGUGUGUUUGUGCUCGUAGAUCCUGGUUCUUCACUUGGUGGAGUCUGGGAGUUGUAAAACUCCUUCAUAUUAUGCUCGAAGUGUUCCUGCUCAUAGAGACAAGGCAGAGAUCAAGUGCAUGGGCCUUGUUGUGGAAAACACCAACAGAACCAAAAGUGUAUUUGUUCUUCUCUAACCUUAAGCAUAGUGAGCAAGACAAAGUUGAUGGAUCAUGAGUGUAGCAUUUGUCAGAUCAGAUGGCUCAACCUAAUGGAAAGAUAAUCUAUCUAUAUUUAUGUUCUGUUUAUAUCUUCCAAAGAUUGAAUGUGCAACAUAUUAGCUUAUAUGAUUAGGAGUGUGGGAUCACGAAGGUAGUACUAAGAACAAAGAUUAAAGAGCUAAACAUGUUGAAUUAAUUAGGUUGGUUAAUUUAGAGUUAUAAAUCAUACAUGUUUGUCUCUUUAUUUAUGUAAAUGCCAGAACCAAGGAGAAACUUAUAAAAGCGAUAGUCACGUACCUUAAGAUGUUACCUUACUUGAAGAGUGAUGGUAUAGUAUCACCUUGUGGAAGCUUUCCUUUCUUAGCGGUUGUGCAUCGUGUUUGUGGCACCCUCCAUGGAUCAUCUCUUUAUGAUGAAUGAGCUAUGUCUUCCUUGUGCAAGUUGUUAAAUUUCAUGUGUCUCCUUUAUCUCCAAUGAGCUUGUAGCUCAGGACUUCCUAGGUUAAUAUUGAAAGUUUUCCUGCAGGGGUUAGUCCGACAAAAUAUACCAAUGCCUACUCAAGCAGUUUUAGUUCAGUAACCAAACUAGACUCCAUGUCUAAUCAGAUUAAGGAAGGCUAUUUAACCUAAGCACCAUGCUUAAUUUAAAUGCCAAUGGAAUUAUGUCGAGUACUUCCAAACCAACACUUGCUAGUAAAUAGAUAAAGGUAGCAUGACAGCAUUUAUAGAGAUCUACUCAAGUGGAGAUGAAGUAGUGUGAUUAGUACUUAACAAAUUGAGCAUGUCUCAAAGGUAGGGACAACCAACAUAGCAACAUGGCAAAGGAUGAUUUUAUGUCAAGUACUCCCCCAAGCUUGAAUUUUGCGAAAUUCAAGUUUGGAUGAAUUUAAUUCAAUGUUGUAUGAUGGUUGGAUGGACAUACCUUGUGCUUGUCAUUCAUCCGAUCUUCUUGCUCCAAUCCUAGAAAGGUUAGUGACAAGACCCGAAGGAAUAUUUUUACAAUUAUCCUUAUAUGCUCAAUACACCAGGCAAUGUUGUAAAUACUUAGAAGUUCAUGUUACGAUCUGAUAAGUGCUUUUUUUGGACACUAAGCUUGUCCUUGGGAAACCAUCAAUUAACUCAACGAGAUCUGCAAUAUUUAUUAUAGACAUAUGCAUCGACAACCGCUCUUUUAAAGUUGUUAUAAAUAGAAAGGAAGAGGGGGUUGGAGAUCUCAAAUGUGGUGAUGUUGGAGAGACCAAUUGAUUGGGGAGAUGUUUUAUAUGAGCAAGGACUUGAUGAGGUAUUUAUGAAAUAACUUCCAUGCUCAAUGUUGUUUCUCUCAUUCUCAAACUCCAAGGAUGAUUCUUCAUGAAUGCUUAAAAUUCCUCUAGGAUUGUCUCUCAAGUUUGUUUUAUCUAUCCAUUCAAUGGUGAUAGCACAUGGAUUUUUAAUGCCCUCUAGCCAUUGAUGUUGCUCUUCUCGAUCCUCCUUGUGGUCUUGGUUACUCUUAUGAAUGGGAUGUCUAGAGAGAUUCAUAGGAUUAUUGGGAGGUUCAAUAGAAAGAGCAUAGUAGAAACUAUUAAGCUCAAGGAUGGGAUGGAUAGCCGAAUCAUGGGAUUGAAAUGUUUGGAAAUUGGCUAUUGAAACUUUCUUUCCUUGUCUGGGAGAUGAUUCCUUCUCUAUCUCUAAGAUUUUCUAUGAAGAGUAGUAUAAGAAGGAUGUCCACAAAUGAAGACAUACCUUCCAUUACUAAUAGAUAAAGAAAGAAAGACUCUACCAAAGGGUAUAUGAUUAAGACCAAUGUGAAAAUAUCGAGGAAAAACAUGGUCUUGUAGGGCUAGGUUUAAACCAAAAUUUAUAGAAAGAUUAAAAUAUUCCCUAGGUGUAGCUAAAAGUGCAUUAUCUUCUUGAUUAAAAGAUAGGACCUCGGCUAUAGAAAAGGGUUGGUUUUGACCUAUUGCAAUCAACUCCAAACUCAGAUCAUAAUUAGGGGCAGGACUUGUUGACUCCCAUGGUCUAUGGCUGGUCUCCGAAGGUGCAAAGAAUUCAAUAAUAGCAGGUAUUGAAUUUAAGUUAUCCAUAAAGAUAAAAAAAUAAAGGAAUAAAAGUAUAAAAGUAUAAUACAAGAUAAUAGCAAGACUCAAAGUUAUCUCAGCAAACCGUCUUUCUCCCUGGCAACGGCGCCAGAAAUGCUUGUUGAUAUUUGGUAAUGCAAUAAGGAAAUGAUCCGCAAGCGCACGGAUAUCGGUGAGCAUUUCACCCGGGAGGGUUUCCAGAGUAUCAUAUUUAUAUUUUUACCACUGGGAGAAAGGGUGCAUCUGACUAACCAAAUCUAUUGCUACUAUCCCUUUAGGCUACAAAGAAUGUUUCUCGAUGUGAGUGAUGUACAGAGAAGACUGCAACCGUAGUCUCGUUCUAACCUUGGUAAGGAUGAUCUACUGUUCUAUUGGGGAAGCUUACGGAAUCUAGACACCACAAAGGAUGUUCGACCCGCACCUAUAAACCUACCCGUCCUGCUAACGAGAUGUGGGAUGCAAAGGUAACUCGAAAAUUUCACGUUCCUCGCUACUACCACGGUCCAGCUAGUCAGGGGAUAUCUAUGAGUACCCUAGCCUAAACACCACGUUUACGCUAGCAAUGAUUACUCUAAUACUCAACCGGAAGAGGAUUAAAGUAAACUCAUAAACCAAAGAACAAUAAAACAAGAACUUACUAGAAUUAGAAGUCGAAUUACUGAAGAAUCUUAGGAGCAAGCCUCGGGUUAGAAGACUUGAUCCCGCAGGUACAACUCGGAGUAGACACCGACAGGCCGGCCUUCCUCUGAUCUACACCUCCACUUUACAUUGGAUCUAUUUCUACUAGUAGAAACUAGAAGAUCUAUUUCUACUUUACAUUGGAUGCUAAGCCUAAAAAGAAAUAUUAUUUAGAGAAGAGGUUUUCCUUCGAGGGCACCCCUCAAUCUCUAUGAUAACUUCUUAUCUUCUCCAGGGGCUAGGGGGGUCUCCUUAUAUAGUCCUCCUCCUCUAUGCGUUUUUGGGUCGGUAGGCGAUGUGGUACUACGUUAUCCUUGAUCCUUUAGGUCGGUGGAACAUUGUGUGCGAAGAGAGUCCCGAACGGAGUCCAGGACAGGGCGGGCGCCCAGGGAAGGAGGGCGGGCACCCUGGGCCUGGCCCCUUUCGGCCUCUGCUUUCUCCCCGUGGCUUCUGGAGUCUUCUAGAUGGUAGAAAAUUGCGCGGUGCGUUGAUAUCUCUAUGUAAUCCCGACAUGUGGGCCAUUCUUCCGUAUUUCCUGAUAACCCCCUGCAGAAAUAGACAAACACCAAAACUCGUUGAAUUCUGUCAGAUAAAACCCUAAGUCUAGGUGUUGGUUGCAUUUGGAUCCUUUUCGUUAUUUAUUUGAUGAUUAUAUUUGGUACUUAAGGACCGUCAAUAGCUUCCACGACUGUCGUCUCGUCGAGGAGGCUGGUCGGCACCUCUCGCAUCCUCUCGGAUGAGCUUUUCUGCGUCAUCAGCGUCAGCGUAGUUUUUUGCCAUGGCGAGGAGCUCGGCCACCGGUGGUCGGCCUUUUGCGCAGUAGCUUAUUCCUUAGUGCUUCGUGGAAGCGUAGCCCUUUGAUGAAGGCUGAUAUGGCCUUGUCGUGAGAGAUUUUUGGAAUCUUAUGGCGCAUAUCCGAGAAUCGUCGGAUGUAAUCACGCAAAGGCUCGUUCUUCCUGUCCCUUAUUCUCUCGAGAUCGUAUUUGUUCCCAGGCUGCUCGCAGGUAGCAAUAUAAUUGUCUAUAAAUGCCUGGCGCAGUUCUUCCCAAGAGUCAAAGGAGUCCUCGAGCAGGCCGAGGAGCCACUGAUGGCCAGCCUGGUCAAGGACGACUGGGAAGUAAUUUGCCGUGAUGUGCUCGUCUCCUGCUACUGAUCGAACUGCGAUCUCGUAGAGAGUGACCAGUUUUUGGGGUUUUCCUUGCCGUCGUAUUUUUUAAGCUUUUCGAGCUUAAAGUUGCGGGGCCAUACGACUUGGCGAAGGUGUGAAGAAAACUGUCUUAGGCCGGGAGGGCCGUGUGCGGCAUCGUACUCAAUGCGUCGCAAGUUUUCGUGUACUGCUCUUUCUAUAGCACGCCUAUUGAUACGGUCGCAGGCGUCCUUGGGAGGGAUGUUGUAUCGUAGAUCCCUGUCCUAGUUUACUUCCUGACCACGCCCGCGCUUUUGCUCGUGGUAGCCGCCGGUGUCCCGACCACGGUUGUCGCGCCCCGUGUCCUUCCUGCGGUUAUUGGGAGAGCAGCUAUGAUGGCGCUCGCUGGGUCGUGGUGAAGUCCUGCUGGGAUGAGUCUGGUCGGAAGAGACCUCUAUGUAGGAGACGGCUUGGACCCUUUUGAGUAAGGUGGCUGUUUGUCCCAUCGCGGCGAUCAGGUGCGCGCGUAUACUAGAUCGGACGCUCUGGCACUCAGGGGUAUCAGGGAGUCGGUCCAGGUUUGCCAUAGCAACAACCACGUUAGCGCUUGGCGUCUUGUAGAUUGGCGGGUCUCCGACCAUGUCGAAAGCAUCACUGAGGUUAUGCGGUGCAAGUUGUCGUUCCUCAUCCGUGCGCCGCCGAGCACGAUCGGCAUUGCGUUGUUUGCGGAGCUGCUUCUACUCGUCUGUUUCUCCGUCGACAACCGGUUCAUCGUUGCUGACAUUGAGGAUAAGAUCUCCUCGCCGAUGUGGACAGACUGGGAAACGAGAAAAACCCGGAGGAUACGGUGGUAAAUCUAGGUCGUAAUCUUCGUCCUCGGAGUUUAGAACCUCGGUAGGGACAGACCCUGUGCUGGAGUUCAUACUAGUAGCCUUGUCGUUCGGUAGUACUUGGAUUGAUACCAUGUUGACGUAGUGGCGAGCUACUCGGCUGCUCUAUCUCGGCGACCAGCCCGCCCUGUUGAAAAGGGAUUGGGUAUGCCGUGAGUAGUGAUCGGCCGAUUUGUUUAGUCCAUAAGGAGGACUCUGGUCUUGAGCUGUCUUGAGCUUGACGGACCGCCCCAUGGGGGUGGACGUUGUUGUUAGAGACGUCCCUAGCUGUUCGUGUGUGUUGACACGAGUUGGCCGGCAGGAGUCGAAAGAGUUUGUGGACGCUGCUUGAUUAGAUUGGCACGAGAUCCAAUCUACCAGUUUGGAAGCUUCGAGGAGCCUGAGAUCGGCGCGAUCAAGAGCUCGGAAAAGAUCCGAGUCAUCGACCUUUUUUCUCCUGUAACGAGGGAGCGGAGGUCGGGUGCUCGGUGUCGGCGUGGUCGGAAUCGACACCUCUGCUGUCCCAGAUCGGAUCUAGGUUUCUUCCGAAGUCGUGGUCGUGAGACCGCCGCUAUGAGUUGUCCAUGUGAUCUGGCCGACGGUGAACGUGAGGCCUUCAGCCACGGCCGCGGAAGCUAGAACGAUGACCAUCUUGUUCGUCGGGAGAGUUGUACGCACACCCCUACCUAGCGCGCCACUGUCGACGAAAGCUAGUCGGCAGUCUACCUUGGGGUAUACCCACGGUAGUAGUUUAUCGGUAGAUGGUGCGCAAGCUACGAACUCGAUGGUGACGCAAGACACGGACAAGGUUUUUAUCCAGGUUCGGCCGCCGUGUGGGCGUAAUACCUACAUCCUGCAUCUGGUUGUAUUGCUGUAGAUUGUGUUCAGUUGAGAUGAGUUAUCUAUGGGGGGUCCCUUGCCUCUCUUUAUAUAGUUCAGAGGGCAGGGUUACAGAUCUGGAAACUAAUCUUAAUCUUAGUCGGUUACAAUUGUCAUAGAUAGCACGAUAUCAAUUCCUAUUCUAACCGACUAGAAUCCUGUUCGAUCUCCACAUCUUGUUUCCUUGCGUGAGACUCCGAGCAGUUGGAUCAAGCCCUGAGUCUGCCUCGUGUUGGACCAAGUCUCCUGGCCCAAGUCUAGCCGUAAGGGUAUAGGGGUUUAUACCCCCACAAUCGGGUCUUAGUAACCACCAGUUUCCCUGUGGGGGACAUUUUGUGCAACAAAGACGCCAACGGCAGAAUCAUAAAAUGGGCAAUGUAAUUAUGCCCAUUCUCCUUGGAUUUCUAGAGUCACACUACCGUCAAGUCCCAGGCCCUGGUCGAUUUCAUUGCGGAAUGGACGGACCUCAACGAGCCCCCCCUUCGGAUACCUCCGACCACUGGUCAAUGUUCUUCGACGGGUCCCUAAACAUCAAUGGCGCCGGCGCCGAAAUACUCUUCGUGUCGCCUAACAAGGACAAACUACGCUACGUCCUUAGGAUCCUCUUUCCGGUAUCUAACAACGUCGCCGAAUACGAAGCAUGCCUACAUGGCACACGACUGGCUGUUGAACUAGGAGUCAAACGCCUUUACGUCCACGGUGACUCUGCCCUAGUCAUCAACUAGCUAAACAAGGAAUGGGACACAACCCACAAAAAGAUGGACCUCUACUGCAAAGAAAUUCGGAAAUGGGAAUCCAAUUUCUACGGCAUAGAAUACAUCCACGUCGUUGAUGGUAAACUUAUGCGAAAGAAUGCAAGCUCAGAAAUGUUGCUGAAGUGCAUAUCCCAAGAUGAUGGCAUCAAGCUCUUAGAUGACAUACACGCCAGGUCCUGCGGCAACCACGCUGCCUCUAGAACACUGGUCGGGAAGGCCUUACGAGUAGGUUUUUACUGGCCAACCGCGGUCGCCGAAGCCGAGAAACUGGUUCGACACUGUGAAGGAUGCCAGUUCUUUGCCAAGAGGACCCACGUGCCUGCUCACGAGAUUCAAACGAUUCUGUCGUCGAGGCCUUUCGCCUGUUGGGGCCUUGACAUGAUCGGGCCAUUUAAGCCGGCCCCCGGCAACUUCAAGUUCGUCUUCGUGCUAAUCGACAAAUUCUCGAAAUGGAUCGAGUACAUGCCACUGGUCAAAGCAACCUCCGAGAAGGCUGUGGAGUUCCUCAAUCAAAUCAUACACAGAUUCGGGAUCCCCAAUAGCAUAAUCACCGACCUCGGCACUCAGUUCACCGGCACUACAUUUUGGGACUUCUGCGAUAACAGGGGCAUAGUCAUAAAGUACGUGUCGGUAGCUCACCCACGGGCCAAUGGUCAAGUAGAGCGAGCGAAUGGAAUGAUUAUCGAUGCUCUAAAGAAAAGACUGUACACUGAAAAUGAUAGAGCACCAUGACGAUGGACGAAAGAGUUACCGGCUGUGGUCUAGGGUCUCCGGACACAGGCCAGCCGCAAUACGGGUGUAUCACCCUACUUCAUGGUUUACGGCACUGAAGCAGUGCUCCCUUCCGACGUGACCUUUGGAUCUCCAAGAGUCGAAAACUUUGACCAGUCUUCGGCCAACCUCACCAGAGAGCUCGAAAUCAACUGCACAGAAGAAAAGCGCCUAACCUCGUGCCUUCGGACAGCAAAGUAUCUCGAAGCUAUUAGACGGUACCACAACAGGAACGUCAAAGACCGCUCCUUCGUUGUCGGUGAUCUAGUACUCAAGUGGAAAACAAGCCAGGAAGGGAUGCACUAGUUAUCUACACCUUGGGAAGGACCCUUUAUGGUCGCCGAAGUCACAUGCCCUACGUUUUACAGACUGGCGUACCCAGACGGGACACGCUUGCCCAACUCCUAGCACAUAGACAAGCUGCGCCGUUUCUAUGCCUAAGUUCUAGUACAUUUUGUUUGUAAAUCUCUUACGAUCAGUAGUAAUAAAUUUUUUCUUUCUUGCUAUAUACUUCUUUUAUAUGCAGAACUUUCGACAAGUGCCACAAUCUCCUUUUAGGACGAAGGUCCUUAGGUGUUAUCAACCCGACUCAGUGAUACAUCACUUAGACAACAUUGCAGCGCUCAAAACCAUGGUUAUGAUAAAUCAACCUUUAAUACAAACUUUGUACACAAAGUUUACAAUAAACACCCCUCUGGGCGGUUUCUAGUCUACUUCUACAGACUACUUUACAGGCCUACUGCUCGGGCUGAUCACCCGCACGGCCCUGCUGUCCAGUCGAAGGGGUCGGGGCCACCGGCGUCUGGCUGGUCGAGACCGCAGGCGUCGACCGCCCAUCUCCUUCAAUGGACGCCCCCGACAACUCCCUGGCCGACCUGUCUGAUCCGGGCUGGUUAGGGGGAGUUGCUGUCCCACAGAGGUUGAUGUCGCCGAUCACUGUCGACGACAGAUCAAGCAGACCAACACGAAGGUCGUCUGCCUCCUGCGGACCAACCUCCUUGGGAUACCCCCUCUCCAGCCGGGACAAGUCGACCAAGGGGUAGUGGGCAUGCACCAAGGGGUAGUGGGCAUGCACCAGAUGUGACCUUGAGCUCUUAUAACAACGGCUUCGCCUCUUCCACUUCCUGCAUUUUUGGGAAGUGGGCGGAUACUGCGGCGGAUGCGGCGUUUCGGUUUUCAAUAAUUACCGUCAAUUAAUAUGGUGGCUUUUCUGCAUAAUUGGUCUUUUCCUUUUCUUGAACCACGCAAAGAGCGGCUGCACAGUUACCAGGCACACCUUUUUACGCAACAGUCUGACAAUGCCUCAGGAUGCCUUGUCACUUCACGCAUUAAUGUAGCAAGAUGAUUUUUCCAAAAGACAAGCGGAUCUGGUGGAGGACCGCGCAUGACAUACUCGGGGACUGGUCGACCAGCUCUCCCACUUGAAGUUCUGGGGAUUGUACCGACCACCGAGCAUUAUAUGCUCGGGGACUGGUCGACCAGCCUGCCCACUUGAUGUUCUGGGGACUGUACCGACCACCGAGCAUUAUAUGCUCGGGGACUGGUCGGCCAGCCUGCCCAUUUGAGAGUCUGGGGACUGUACCGACCACCGAGCAUUAUAUGCUCGGGGAUUGGUCGACCAGCCUGCCCAUUUGAGAGUCAGAGGACUGUACCGACCACCGAGCAUUAUAUGCUCGGGGACUAGUCGACCAGCCUGCCCAUUUGAGAGUCAGAGGACUGUACCGACCAUCGAGCAUUAUAUGCUCGGGGACUGGUCGACCAGUCUGCUCCAUCGCAGACGAGCGUGAUAUGCUCGGGGACUCGUAAAUUCAAUUGCAUAACUUUCAGCUUGGUAAUUUUAAUUUUUUAGACCUUGUUACAAGGCUCAUACUUCGCCUUCCAGCAAGCUCGGGGACUACAUCGGUACGAUGCAUCUGGUGAUGCAUGUUAGUAUCAGAAAUUUUAAGAUGAUUUUUAUUUUUAGACCCUGGCACCACGUGCCUACGUCACCUACUACUAGGCUCAGGGACUAAGUGAGCACACUUCACCUUGCGGUGAACAUGCUUGCUUUUUCAAAGUCUGUACUUUUUAGAAAAGUAAUGUGGGCACACUUCACCAGGAAAGAAAUCCUUUUUGUUAAGAGCACCAUGCAUUCUUCGAACAACCUGCUUCUUCGAUGUCAAUGUUGAUCAACUAUCUUUUAAGAUUGGUUAAAAUAUCGUUGCAACUUUUCGGGCGACUUUCCUCACUGGUCGAAGAAGCUCAAGACGGCGUGUUACAUCAUAAUACAUGGUGCUCGGGGACUAGCUGUGGGGGUAUAAACCCCUAUACCCUUACAGCUAGACUUGGGCCAGGAGGCUUGGCCCAUCACGAAGAUAACUCGAGGCAUGAUCCAACUGCUCGGACUCUCAUGCAAGGAAACGGGACGUGGAGACCAAGCAGGAUUCUAGUCGGUUAGAAUAGGAAUUGAUAUCGUACUAUCUAUGGCAAUUGUAACCGACUAGGAUUAGUUUCCAGAUCUGUAACCCUGCCCUCUGGACUAUAUAAGGAGAGGCAAGGGACCCCCCUAGGACAGAUUAUCUCAACACAAAUCAAUACAAUCAGACGCGGGACGUAGGUAUUACGCCCACACGGCGGCCGAACCUGGAUAAAAAGCUUGUCCGUGUCUUGCGUCACCUUCGAGAUCGUAGCUUGUGCACCGUCUACCGAUAAACUACUACCGUGGGUAUACCCCAAGGUAGAUUGCCGACUAGCUUUCGUCGACACCACCCGACAUAUGUAGAACCGAAUCUUCCUUAUGUCAACCCAAAUCUAGCUCUCCCAAGAUCUGACCGGGUUCGCGGCACCUGAGAGAACAGUACUCCACCGUCCAGCCCAUUUGCCAGGAGGGUACACGCUACUCUCGCCAUCACUUCACGCCCAGUGCGCGAGUAGCCAUUCUCGUCGAGGAAUCACAAGACCGGGCUUACCGAGGGCAAGUGGCUAGUACUAUAAAUUCUCAACCCAGCAGGCCAUCGACGGACCGGUCCUUAAUCGACACAGUUGGAGACACUACUUUAAGACUCUAUUCUUAAAGCAAGUCCACCGACCAGUCUCAAGUUGAAACAUCACUGACCAUAAAAGUAUUCCACAACAACCCUUCAAACUUUUCUUAUAUGAAAACCUAUCUAGUAGCAGGGCUAAGCAUCACUACGCAGUUUUAAAAUAAAAUAGGUGCCAAGGACAAGAUAACAAAUAUCAAGGUAGUAAAUGCAACAGGAAGGUUAUACCCAAUUCUUGUCUACGUAAUGCAGCAUUUUUAAUUCAUCUCCACUACUAUAUAAUGCACCACUUAAAACUUUCCUAAAUCCACACAGCAAACUACACCCCACAGUCAUUGUCUAAUCUAAGUACACCCAACUAAUGCACACAGUAAUGUCUAANNNNNNNNNNNNNNNNNNNNNNNNNNNNNNNNNNNNNNNNNNNNNNNNNNNNNNNNNNNNNNNNNNNNNNNNNNNNNNNNNNNNNNNNNNNNNNNNNNNNNNNNNNNNNNNNNNNNNNNNNNNNNNNNNNNNNNNNNNNNNNNNGCCACGGCGCCUCGGCCCGCGAGCGAGCCGCCACCAGGGGGGCUCUGGCCGCCACAGUCGUGGCUAGGGCGCCCCUGCCCGCUCCCGCCGCCGGCAGAGCGCCUCUGCCCACGACCGAUGCCGCCAGGGAGCCCCUGCCCGCGCUGCCAGGGCGCCCCUGCCCGCCACCGCCGCCGCCAGGGCACCCCUGCCCAUGACCGCCCCCGCCAGGGAGCCCCUGCCUGCGACCGCCGCCGCCAGGAUGCGCCUAGCCGAGGACGCCGACACCGGGGAACGCCGCCGCCAGGACGCCCCUACCCGCGAGCGCCGCCGCCAGGACGCGCCCAGCCGAGGACACUGACACCGGGGAGCGCCACCGCCGUCACAGGAGCAGGAAUUUCCAGCACUGUAGGUACAGGGUCUUCUCCUCCCCUCUCCGUUGCUGUGUCAUGCGAUUUGAUUCCGGCCGUUCACUUUUAUUUCUGGUAUCCUCAGAUUCCUGGUAUUAUGUGUCAUGUUGUUCUAUACUAUCCAUGUCUGCUAGAAACAAUCUCUGCCAGCAGGCUAUGGUUUUGUCAAAGUUGAGUAAGUAUUAGCAUCUCAGUCAUUAUAUAGACAAAAUUCAUCCAAUAGACAAAAUUAUAUGGGAUUUUGUUCUCCCAUGCUUGACCUGAUAGACUUGUAUCUGAUUUGCAUUUAGCAAAAAUAAGUCAUUAUAUAGACAAAAUUCAUCUGAUUGGCUUUUGAAAAAAUAUAUAAAGUCCUCUCUGAAUAGCAUGUAUGAGCGUGAUAACUGAACCAGUAGCAGUUAGUAAAUGUCUGUUAUCCUGUUAAUAACUCCUUUGUCUCUAAUGCAUCUCACGCAUUGCACACUGGACAUGAGGAGAUAGAACAGGCAAGUUUGCAGAAAGUAGGCCUUCAAGAAGAUGUCAGAACAGCAGGGGAUCCGCGACCGGAUCAUUCUCCGUCAGUUCACUCAGUGCCUUCAGGCCAUGGAGCUUGUAAUCCAGAGCUGUUUUUGUGAGGCUUAUCGUGAUUUCAGAAACGUCAAAAAUAUAGUUGGUACCUAUAUUUUUGGUUGCUGCUUUCUGGCGAGAUUUAUCUACUUGGGAGAAAUGUCGAGAACCGGAUUGUAUUUCAGUAAGUAUGUUUAAUGUUCUGUCAUCUAAGAACUCCAUAAGUGACUUAUCUCUAACGGUUAAUGCUGUAUGUUGUUUUUGUAUGUUGUGAAUAUUUUGUAUUCUAUCACUCUAACAGAAAUUUUGGGAGGCUAAUGGAAACUGCAAUUUAGCCAUUGCUGCAGCUAGGCUUGGGUAUAUGAAAAUUUUCUUCUUGAUGUGCUUCAAGUAGAGGGCAUUAAUGUUGCUGGAUUCAUUGAAAAUACCAAUGCUAUUGCAUGCAACCAGGUCUUUGAAACACUUCUAUGCUAGGUUCUUGGCAGGUUAAAACUUGCUUUUCUCGAACAAAAAUCUUAUUCAUGUUUCAAUUACAUUUACAAAAUUCAUGUCAGCCUAAUCCUUUAUUUUUGUUUAUUGUGCUUGGUCAUUUAUAUGUUUUGCUUUCUUUGCAAUGCCAGCCAUGCAGACUUCAGUGGAGGCCAGCUUUUCUUUCCUUUUUGAAAUGAAUUCGCGAAGAGAGCUGCGGACUAUAUUAAAUAAUGAAGAAUCUAGACCAAGCAAUACAACAGAGCUACAACAACGAGGACGACUGAAAGCAAUAAAACCUAGAAAACGGUUGGCAAUGGCAUCAUGUUGUAUUUUAAUGGCAUGCUGAAUCUCCUUUUAUCAUCUUUUUAGGAUAAUAAUCGUGGGAGGAGCGUUGCAAGGGGCCAGAACCAGGAUAGAAAACGGGGAUCGGCACAGAAAACAUGAAAGACAUCAGAGGUAUGCUCCUCAUGAACUACACUAGCUAUUUUUAUUUACUGAGUUUGUUGUUGAAUUAUUCAGAGUGUCCGCUCAACUGUGUGUCUAGCAUCGAUGUUGUUUCUGUGAAAUUAAGAAUUGUUUGUCAUCAAGGUCAAAAGAAUAGAGUUGAUUUAGCCCAAUCUGGUAGUAGACUUUGAUUUAUUGGUCUCUGAAAAUUUAAGCCAACAAUAACAUUUUGCACUAUUGUCAAGAUUUUUCAACAAUAAUAUUUCUGUUCUAAUUUGCAUAUACCUAAAUAUUACCAUAGCGUUAACACGGGCAAUAUACUAUGUAUAUAAAUAUAAUACAAAGUGGAUACCAGGUUUCUUGUUGAGACGAGGGAUGCAUUCAUGGUCCAGGUUCUUGAAAAGAACAAUGAUUCAGUUGUUUGGAGUAAAUUGGUGAAACUGAAAAAAUUGCUUCCUGUUGCCUUGGUUCAUUAAUGAAAAAUUCAAAAGUCUGAUUUGACAAGUAGUUGGGUCCUGUAACCUGCUUGUCACAUGAGCACUUAAUAUUUAAUAUAUGGAAUUGUCGUUAGAAGUUUUGAUGAAUAUAAAGGUUUUGAUAGUUGCAUCCAGAAUGGACCUUAAGUUAGUAAUGAUGCAUAAAAGGAUAUGCAGCUAAUGCUUGUCUCUUCUACUACUCACUUACAUGUUGUGAUCCUUCUGUACUAAAAUCCCCCCAUCCAACUUCUCACUUCUCACACUGGCUUGUUGAUCCUUUUGUAUAUUUCUUUGGUUGCAGCUCCAUAAAUAAAGUUGUGUUGGCAUUCAGGCAUAUUCUGAAAUUUAUGAGGAACUGAACCUUAAGAUCACUGGGUAGCCAUGUUGUGAAUUAUAAUCACUGUGUCUGUGUACCAUAAGCAUCUAUUCUCAACACGGAUACAACUAUUAUGAAUUUUCUUUGGGAUCUUGGAGCAGCAUGAUUCUAAUGUGAUCUCUAAUUCAACCUUUUUUCCCAAGAAAUUCUACCUAUAAGGUGCAUUGUGAUUUUGAACUAACAAGUUCAGACAAAGAUCAAGAAGAGACAGACUUAUGUCAUUUAAAUGUCAGUCCCUUUUUUAACGAACAAGCUCAAGGCCAUCCAUAUGAGUUUUUUUUGUAUAAAAGGUAUUGACAUAGAUAAAGUUGUUAGAUACUCUGCACCCACUAUCGCCAAAGUUCAUGCUUGAACCCUAUCCUCUUGAUUCCAGCCUAUUUUUUUUUCUGGUCUUGCUGUUUUUUUGUUUCUCUACUUAUUUUAACAUGUAGCUUUAAAAAUAUUCAGUUCAGUAGCUCUACGGGAUUUGUAGAAGCUAAGAAAUAACUUAUACUUUUGGAAUGAUGUUUGGACUCCCUGAACUGAUUUAACCAGUGGUUUUCAGUUUUUCUUCGGAAGCAGCAAACUCUAAGACCUGAGAUAAUUGAGAUGGAUGGUCCUUGAUCAUGCAAGGUUUGACUCUGGGUAACAUAGUGGAGUUGGCUCCGAAUUGGAUCAGUUCAUGUACUCAGCUAGGUGAAUGGAUGAAGCUGAGAGAGGCGGGUGCUGAAUCCACUCUAGGCAUGGUAGGCCAAGAUACGUACCUGGACUGAGGAUGACAAAUGUGCUUCGAGCUGCACCUACACACCAAUGUUGUCCCUAUAUUAUAAUAUAGUUCUUCUUUUGUUAUUUGACCGGAGGAGUCUAGGGACAUUGAUGAUACUUGAGGUAGGAUGUGCUUAGUUCAGUGCUAAGAAACAGCUUUGACAAAGCUCAGUAAGCUAAGUAUUUCAAAUUUGAUAGAAUUAACUUUGAAUUUAAUAUAAUCCGUAGCGUUAGCACGGGCAUUAUACUAGUAAGUGAUAAAAGAUUUAAAACAUUCAACGAAGGGUUAAAUGCAUCGGGGGCUUGCCUUGGUUGCAGAGCUGAGUGGGUUCUUCGGAGACUUCCCAAGUCUCGGAUCCUACUUCCUCGAAUGGAAUACCAUCCUCGGGGUUCGGUUCAAUGGUCGCUCCUUCGGUCACAUGCACUAUACGUAAAAUGAUGUAUGCUCAUGAUAUGCUUAUGACAAACAUAUAAGAAGGACCGAAUCGGGUACCACUUUUCUUCUCGGUGCAAGGACCGACGAAACAGUAAUUAAAGUUGUUUAUUAUUUUAGUGUUUUUACCUAAGAGAUUGCAUCAGUAAGCUAAGACUUCCCUUAAUUUACAAUUAUUCUUAAUUAACUAAUUAUUAAACAUUUUUAUCUUAAUUAAUUCUUAAUUAAGUAUUAAUGACAGUAAUUAAGCAUUAGUACCAAACAAUAAUUAAAUGCCAAAGGUCAUUAAGGUUAAUGACCUUAGGUCAUCAUACAAUCCCAAAAACACUCAAAUCCUAAUUUCAGAGAUUAAGCUAAUUAUUAGUUAAUUAUUUUGGGAUUAUUAAUAAAUUACUAAUUAAGGGUAUAUUAAUAUUUUAUUCAAACAUUAUCCAAAUUCCACCAAAUUUUGUGUAUAGCUAGAGAAUAAUAUUCAGAGACAUCCCACAAAUUUUGGUGAUUUUUGGGCAUAUCAAUAAAGUACUAAAAUUCAUGGAAGUUUUAUUUACUAAAUAAGGAUACAAUUUUUAUAUAUAUGUAAAAUACCAGAAAAUGUAACCUAGCAUUUUUCCUAUGUUCUACUCAUCUUACAGAGCCUACACAAAAAUUUUCACUAUUUUUGGAUCAGCACAUAAUUUUCUAUACAAAUUCAAACACCAAUUACUUUUAUUUCUAGAAGGAAAAAGAAAAACAGUAUGUUUCUAAGGUCGGCCCGCUCACGCUCGGCCCAGGCCGGCCCACGCGCUGUGCGCGCUGUCCCCCUCCUCGCGACAUCGCUGACAGCAGGCCCCCGCUGUCAGCUUCGUCCCUCACCUAGCCGGUGGCUCGGUUAAGCUCCCGGCCGUCGCUGGUGGGGUUCCAGCCCUUGCGACGAAGCGCAGCGGCUUUGCCUCGCCUUUGCGACUCCGCUGACCCUACCUACGGGCAUGCUAUCCCCCUCUCCCUACCCUGACCACACACAUGGCGGACGGCGACACUAGCCGCACGUAGACCGGUCGCGAGAGCUCAGUAGAGAGUGAGCUAGCGCGCUAGGGAGCUCCCAGGAGGGAUUAGGAGUGUGGUGCUCACGUUGCAGGGCUCGGAGAGGUGGCCUAAAGCGCUGGCGACGGUAGCAGGUCCUCCAGGCGGGCGCUCUGAGCUCAGCGAGGUUGUUCCAGUGAACCUGUUCAUGUCCGAAGAAGAAGGGCAAGCGCAUGAGCUUCUGGGAAAUGAGAGGAACCGGAAACAACUGCUAACAAGGUGUGUUACCCUCUGGAACGGCGUGGCCACGGAGAAGGCGCACGGCGGCGGUCCCGGCCAGAGUUCAGGAAGAAAGACGGCGCUCGGGCAAUUUAGAGGGGCAGGGAGGGUUCCUGGGCAUACACUGGGUUUGCAAGGAUAUGGCGAAGGUGUUGGACAACUCGAAUUGGUCAGAGGGGUUGCGUGUAGAGUGUAAUGGACGGUGGAGCUUCACUAGGUGCUUUUGGUCGCUGGAGUGAGUGAGCUCGAGGUCGGCCGCGCUGGCGCUUAAGAGGUCGAGGCACAGAGGUCGCGGGUGUCCACAUCGCGCGGUGACGCAGUUGGCAAGCAGCUGCGAGGCAGCGAAAACGCGCGCGCGGCGCUGCACGGCCUGCGGCCACGCGGGACUGGAGCUCGUGAUCCAUAUCGGGACACUAUAGCAAGCUCUAUCCCUCCCUUUCCUGUCUUUUGCAAAUUACUUUCAAAAGUUCAACUGAAGUCAAAAAUCUGUUAAAACAAAAGUCGUGUAGCAUAAAAUUUCCUACAACAUUCCUUUAAGGCUCAAAUUCAAAUUCUGAAAGGAACCAAGUGAAUUUAACCAAAACAGUUUGAAAUUCAAAUUCCCAUUUGGGGAAAAUUCCAAUUUUAAAUUUGACUAGAACAGAGAUUCCAAAAUUACUUUUGAUUUUCCAUAAUAACUUGAAAAAUUCCCAAAAUAAAAGUUGUUCAAUUUGUUGAGCUCUACAACUUUCAUGUUGGUCACUUUCCAAGAUUCCAAACAGAUUUUGAAUUAGGGAUUCAAUUUGGAAAAGGGGACAAUUUCUAGAAAUCUGUAUUUUCAAAAUUACUUUGAAUUUUGUAUUGAAACUUCAAAAACUCAAAACACCAAAGUUGAACAUCUUGACAAGAUCUACAACUUUCCUUUUGAACUCAACCUCAAAUUUUUCUCAGUUUUUAAAUUGCACAAAAGGGGGCAAAACUAGGGUUUUGAAAUCAGGGUCCCCCCCCAUUUUCUCGGAAUCCUCCAACACAAGGGAUUUCACAACCACGCUAGCAUCAUUGCACUAUAUAAGCACACUUUAGUUCCCUAAGCACAAGCAACCAAAGUAAACUUGUUUUAAGUUGAUGCAUCAGGUCGUGCUUAAUCAAUGUGCUAUGCAAUGCUUAUGAUGACAUGAUCCAGUUUUAGUAACCGUAACAUCAGGGAUGUUACAGCCCUUCCCCCUUAAAGAAAUCUCGUCCCCAAGAUUUAAAACCUUAGGGUCAGUAAUGGAGAAGGAAAUUUGUCAAGUUAAUUUAUCAUUAGCUUUUUCACACGACAAGCAGUUGGGGAAGAAUAUUUCAUUAUAAACAUAUAUGUACAUUAAGUACAUGGCUACGGCUACCCUUUUUCCCCUCUAGAGUACACUUCUUUUUAUUGGAUGUUAUGUUAAAGAGAAGCGUGAAACUCAGGAAAAUUCUCCAUUAGAUAGUCUUCAGAUUCCCAUGUGGCUUCUUCCUCAGAGUGUUGACUCCAUUGUACCUUGUACCAUUUGGUAGUUGUUCUUCGGGUAACUCUAUCUUUUUGGUCCAAUACUCGAAUGGGAUAUUCCGCAUAAGUCAGAUCUGGUUCUAGUUCCACAUCUUCAAUAUCCUGGACCCGGUCCGGUACUCGAAGACACUUCUUUAAUUGAGAUACAUGAAACACAUUGUGUACCCCGGAUAAUGGUUCGGGCAAUUUAAGGCGGUAGGCUACCUGUCCACACCGGUCAAUGAUUGGAAAUGGACCAAUGUAGCAGGGUGCCAACUUGCCUUUAACCCCAAAACGAUUCACUCCUUUCAUUGGGGAUACCUUCAAAUACACAUGGUCACUCUUGGUAAAUCUUAAGGGUCGACAUCUUCUAUCAGCAUAGCUCUUUUGUCGGGAUUGGGCAACUUUUAAGUUAUUUUGAAUUUGUCUAACUUUGUUUUCCGUUUCCUUCACCAAGUCAACCCCAAAGAACCAUCUUUCACCUGGUUCAGACCAGUGUAGUGGAGUCCAACAUCGACGGCCAUAUAGUGCCUCGAAUGGAGCCAUUUUAAUGCUUUCUUGGUAGCUAUUGUUGUACGAAAAUUCUGCUAGAGGCAGGCAGUCAUCCCACUUGUCUGGAAAAUUUAGGGCACAUGAUCUCAAUAGAUCUUCUUGUGUUUGAUUCACCCUUUCAGUUUGCCCACCUGUUUGAGGGUGGUAGGCUGUACUGUAUAAAAGCUUGGUGCCCAAGGAUUUAUGUAAGCAUUUCCAAAACUGGGAGACAAAUUGAGUGCCUCUAUCAGACACUAUUGUCUUCAGCACCCCAUGCGGACUCAAGAUACGAUCAAAAUAGAUCUUAGCAUAAGUAGCAACGGUGUAGGUUGCUUUUACUGGCAGAAAAUGUGCAGACUUAGUGAGACGAUCAAUGAUAACCCAAAUGGUAUCAAAACCUCUUGUCGUCUUGGGCAAUCCCACUAUGAAAUCCAUACUAAUAUCAUCCCAUUUCCAUGCUGGAAUAGGCAAGGGUUGCAACUCUCUAGCAGAUUUGAGAUGAAUGGCUUUGACCUUUCGGCAACUGUCACAUUGGGCUACAUAGCGGGCUAUUUCUACCUUCAUCUUCGUCCACCAAAAUCUCUGCUUUAGGUCCUGAUACAUCUUAUUGCUUCCUGGGUGAAUAGAAUACCUUGUGGUAUGAGCUUCAUCCAGGAUUUGCUGACGUAGCUCAGGUACCUUUGGAACUACUAUCCGGUUUUUGAUCCAGAUUACCCCUGCAUCAUCCACCUUAAAGUCUGUGGGUGCUCUAUUGGAAAUUUUCUCUUUGAGGUAUUUCAUGCCCUUAUCUUCUUUUUGUGCCGCAAUGAUUUGAGCUUCGAGAUUGUAGUCAAUCUUUAGAUUGGCAAGGCUUCCUUGGGAAGUCAUUUCUAUUCCCAAGUUCUCUAGCUCUUGGCAUAGAGUUAUAUCUCUAGGCGUCACUGUUAAGCAAUUACAGUGAGCCUUACGACUGAGGGCAUCAGCUACUACAUUCGCCAUGCUAGGGUGAUAAUGCACCUCAAGAUCGUAAUCUUUGAUCAAUUCUAGCCACCUUCGCUGGUGCAUAUUAAGUUCAGCUUGAGUAAAAAUAUAUUUCAAGCUCUUAUGAUCUGUGUACAGAUGACAAGUGUUUCCCAACAGGUAAUGGCGCUAGAUUUUUAAGGCAUGCACUACAGCGGCUAGCUCAAGAUCAUGGGUUGGGUAAUUCUCUUCGUGUGGCUUAAGCUGCCUAGAAGCAUAUGCAAUUACUCGACCCUCCUGCAUUAGCACACAGCCUAUCCCUAUUCUUGAUGCGUCACAAUACACAUUAGGGCUUCUCAAUAUUCGGUGAGGCUAACACAGGUGCAGUAGUCAACAACCUUUUCAGGGUUUGAAAGGCCUGCUCACAUUCAGACGACCAAACAAAUUUUGUUUGAUUCUUGAGCAAGGCUGUGAUUGGCUUGGCAACCCUAGAAAUGUCCGGUAUGAAGCGGCGGUAAUAUCCCGCCAUACCCAAAAAGCUACGGAUCUCAUGCACCGUAGCAGGGGGCUUCCAAUUCAAAACAUCUUCUACUUUACCUGGGUCUACAGCGACUCCCUCCUCUGAUAGUACAUGACCCAGGAAAUGAACUUUGUCCAGCCAAAAUUCACACUUGCUGAACUUGGCAUAUAACUGAUGGUCCCUCAGACGGGUCAACACAAUCCUCAGAUGUUCAGCGUGUUCUUUCUUUGUUUUGGAGUAGAUCAAGAUGUCAUCGAUGAAGAUGACUACAAACUUUUCUAGCUUCGACAUGAAGACGGAGUUCAUCAAGUACAAAAAGUGAGCUGGUGCAUUGGUUAAACCAAAGGACAUCACCAGAUAUUCAUAUAGCCCAUAACGGGUUGUAAAAGCCGUCUUGGGGACAUCUUCCGGCUUAAUCUUGAUUUGAUGGUACCCAGAUCUCAAAUCAAUCUUUGAGAAUACUUUAGCCCCGGCUAACUGGUCAAAUAGCAAGUCAAUACGGGGCAACGGGUACUUGUUUUUAAUCGUCACCUCAUUUAAGGGAAUAUAAUCAACACAUAGCCUUAACGUUUGAUCUUUCUUUUUCACAAAUAAGGCUGGGCAACCCCAUGGAGAUGAACUGGGUUGAAUAAAACCUUUCUGCAACAUCUCUUGUAAUUGGGUUUUUAAUUCAGCCAGUUCAUUUGGUGCCAUUCGAAAGGCUCUUCGAGAAAUUGGGGUUGUCCCUGGUUUCAAUUCUAUACUGAAUUGAACAUCCCGGUCUGGUGGCAGACCUGGUACAUCCUCAGGAAACACAUCCGAAAACUCCCGAAGUACCGAGAUAUUUUCAACCUCUUUCACUGUGGUCGCAUGAACUUGUUCAAUUGCCCGUUUUGGAGUGGCUAGUUGGAUUAGAAGGUAAGAAUUAUCGUUGGGCAAUGGCAUCUUGACGGUUCGAUGCAGGGUGUCUAGCACAACCCCUCGUUGUGCCAUCCAGUUCAUGCCUAGUAUAACAUUAAUAUCUUGGUCUUUAAGAACAAUCAUACUGGUGGGAAAACUAUGCCCACCAAAUUCGAUGGGUAUCUGAUAAACCAUUUCCUUAGAACUCAGUCGUCCUCUUCGCGACUGUAUAUAGAAAUGAUCCUUAGUUUCCCGAUGGGUAUGUCAUACUUUAUCACAAAGGUGCAAUUGAUGAAAAUAUGAGAUGCACCAGAAUCAAAAAGCAUUAAGGCAGGGUGAUUAGCAACAGGGAACGUACCCAUCAUCACCGGCUCUCCUUCCGGUAUUGUUUCAACCUCUGUAUGAAAAACUUGUCCCACCUUCUUUGCAGGUUUACCCCUUUGUGCAUUCUGCCCUUUCUGAGCCCCAUUUUUAAACUGGCUCGGUUGGGGUUGGCCGGUGGGCGGCCUUUGGAAAGUGGGGUUAUUUUGUCGAGGGUAGGGGCAUUCUUUAGAGAAAUGCCCGAGUUUACCACAAUUAUAGCAAGGGUAAUUCUGGUUUGGCGGAGUAGUAGGAUGAACACCUGGGGAGUUCGGCUGGCGUGGUGCUGUGGUGAUGGCAGUAGGUCGAGGAUAAACCUGCUGCCCGGGUCGAUACUGUAGAGGAGGGAAGGAACCACGAAAAGGUGGCUGCGCUGGAAAGCGCCCGUGGCUCUAUGGGUGAUAAAUGAUUCUCUGGCGCUUUUGGCCGCGACUAGAGAAAGAGGAAGAAGUGGCCUUCUUCUUUGCUUCUUUAUGCUUUCUGUUUUUCUCUUCUGAGGUGAUGACAAUGUUAACCGCCUCGUAGUAAGUGACAUUCUGGCAUGUGGUCAUCAUUGUUUGAAGUUUUGUAUUGAGGCCGCACAUAAAGCAGGCCUUCUUCUUCCGAUCAGUAUUCACGUAAUCCGUGGCAUACUGAGAAAGGUGAUUAAAUUUGGCCAUGUAUUCCAUCACACUUUUGUCGCCUUGACGCAAGGCGAGGAACUCUUCGGCUUUCAUUGCCAUAAGUCCUUCUGGAAUAUAAUGGGCGCAAAAAGCGUCCUUGAAUUCUGUCCAGGUAAACUGGUGUCCUGGAUUCUCGAUAGCAAGGAAAUUUUCCCACUCCCCGAAGCUGUUGGGCGGCGAAGAGGGGCUUUUGAGUUUCUGAACAACGGAUCAGGCUGAAUUUGUGCUCCAUUGUUCGGAGCCAGUCGUCAGCCUCCAAAGGCUCAUCUACCUUGGUGAACAUUGGUGGCCUUAUUUCAGUGAAAUCCACAUAAAGAGUUUCUCCCUCCGGAUUAUGCUGUGCUCAGAGGUUUGGGAGAGGGUGGGGUUGGCGCUGCGCUAACUCGCGCAACAGACGAGCAUUGUCUGUGGUAGCGCUCAGAAGAACAGCAAUUGCAUCAGCCAGGGAAGGUGGAGCAGGUGGAGGGUUGGGGAUGUCCUCCCCUCCCUGGGAAGAUCCGGCUCCAUCAGAUCCGCGAGUGCGCAUCGGCAUCUGCUACAACAGUUAUAUUUACUCAUUACCACUUGGAACCCAUAACUUAGAAACAUAUUUUACAUACUUCAACUUAUUUAUCAUACAACAGUUCAGCAUACCGAAAACAAACGAGUACAACUUUUAACUUAAAGAAAAACACUUCACUACGGACCCAACCCAACUAUGGUAGUCUAGGAAACUCUAUAACGACAUCGCCCGCAACUCCACCGAACUAGUCGGUGUGGUCAGAGCCAUAGCCCGGGUCGUCGUCGUUAUCGCCAUGCUCGUCCCCCGAGUUGUCGUCGCCGGAGUUGGGUUCCUCCUCACUGCUGGGGUCUUGGUCAGUAUCCAUCUGCCAGCUCUCCGUCAGUAUCCCCCAUCUGCCAGCUCUCCGUCAGUAUCGAUCUCCCCUUCCCCUGGAGGUGGAUGAAGCUGAUGGUAUAAGUCGAAUGCAAUAUCCCGGUAUUGCAUCGCCAUAUCGCUGACGGUGUCCAGAUGGUGCGCCAACUCAAGCUUCUCCAGCUGCAGCUGAUCCUCCCGUUGCCCUGCGACGUCCCUCUGUGCGGUGACAGUGGCCGCCAUCUUCUUGUAUAAAUUUUCAGUGUACUUGCUUUUGGUCAACUUGGCCUUCAUUCGGGUCAGCUCGUGCAUAUGUGUGCUCUUGGCCUCCUCUUCCCGAGCAAUAGCUGCAUUUCACUCUUCCACCAUGCGGGUCAGCAUCGCCUCGCAAUUCUCUGUGGCUUGUUUUUGAUUUGUUAACUGAGCUUUGAGCUCACCAAUCUCCAUAACGUUAUACAUUCUCUCUCCAGUUACUUUGGCCAACUCCGCUGACAACCUCUCCAUCUCCUGCUGUGGUUGGGAGCGGCUACUACUAGCUUGAUCAUUUCUUGGGGCCAACUGAUGUCGAAGCACCCCCUUGGGACCUGUUCUCUUGCGAGGAGUUUGCUUCCAACGGCCCAUCCUGUAGAGGGUAAGUUUGGAUUAGUAAGGGAGACCUUAAAGUUUAGCAAGAAUGGGAUUGAUCCUAUACAACCCAACCCGAAUAAAGAGGAAGGUAAUUAACCAAGUGACAUAUCAUGAUGCAUGCAUGUACUUACGAUUCGCAAUAGAAAUUCAUAACUAUAACACUUAAAAUUUUACAACAUAGGGCUAUACUUUACGUUGCUCCUCCACAUGACCUCAAAAAUUCUAAUAAAGCCUACAGACAAGGGUAAGGUAGAGCUAAAGCACUUGGACUCAAAAUAGGCAAUUUUAUAUUAUUGGAUCCAAAUAGGUUUGAAGUUUUUCAAAGGAUACAGUAGUCAUCUUAGCAACGAAUGCUCUGAUACCAGCUGUGACAGAACCUCCUAGGUAGUUGGGCCCACCAACACCUGUCAUUGUUCUAAGGACCUCUGACGGUGAUGCCAGGGAUCCUUCUACUCUAGAAGCCCGAUGAGCAUCCCAGGACGCCCAUCCCACUGCUACCUGUGGCGUAACAACCGAGCUCGUCCUGACCACCAGUGAUGGUCAAUUAACGAGAACUUCUUCUUCUCGCCCUUUCAGGAUAGCAAGUGGUCGCCUUAACACCAGGAUCAUUCGUUGCGAAGACAUUGCAGUAUCACAAACGAUAUAUAACCAAAAUAGCAUUUUAGAGUAAAACAACGAAAGCAUUAAAUAACUUAGUUUACAAAAAUAGUUCUUCAAAGUAGGACUUAGAUAAAGUGUUAUUACAAGCCAGGUUCAGCGGAGCAACUUAAACCAUAGUACAAAGAUUACAAAUUUACAGACCCUACCCAUGGGUCACGCUUACUCCUCCUCCUCGUCAACCUCGACGACGGUCACACAACAGGGUCCGAAACAAGUCGGCUCCUGAGCUUCACCUGCAACAGGGGUUAUAAAACCCUGAGUACGGGAGUACGCAACAAGACUUACCUGGCUAAAAAAGAGAACUUAGGAAUGUCGGCUUAGGAUAGACAAGGAGUGGCUGAGCAAGGAGCCAAAUUGUUUUGCUAAAAGCUUACUAAUAGUGCAUCCUUACUUUCAAGUUUUACCCACGAAUUGCUCACCUUGAGAGGCCGAGGAAUUCGAGGACAGUCUAUCUAGUUGCUUUUCACAGACAAGUCUGUAGAUUCCUAGUCCUUAAUAAAAGUAUUGUCCAUCCAACGACCAUAGCUUCAUGUCACUCUGAGUCCAGGAAUUGGGAUCCGAUCCUCAUGAGACAUUUCACCCUUUCUCAUUUCAUAGUUUAGUUGCAUAUUUAACUACGAUGAGAGUUAGUGGAUUGAGUCUCCCAAUCGGGGAGCAACGAUGAUUCGAACCGCUUAACAAUCUAGCUAGAGUUUCUAACCACCCGACAUAUGUAGAACCGAAUCUUGCAUAUGUCAAACCAAAUCUAGCUCUCCCAAGAUCUGACCGGUUUCGCGGCACCCGAGAGCACAGUACUCCACCGUCCAGCCCAUUUGCCAGGAGGGUACACGCUACUCUUGCCAUUGCUCCAUGCCCAGUGCGCGAGUAGCCGUUCUCGUCGAGGAAUCAUAAGACCGAGCUUACCGAGGGCAAGUGGCUAGUACUAUAAAUUCUCAACCCAGCAGGCCAUCAAACGGACCGGUCCUUAAUACACACAGUUGGAGACACUACUUUAAGACUCCAUUCUUAAAGCAAGUCCACCGACCGGUCUCAAGUUGAAACAUCAUUGACCAUAAAAGUAUUCCACAACAACCCUUCAAACUUUUCUUAUUUGAAAACCUAUCUAGUAGCAGGGCUAAGCAUCACUACGCAGUCUCGGAUCAAGUUAACAAAUAAAACAGGUGCCAAGGACAAGAUAACAAAUAUCAAGUUAGUAAAUGCAACAGGAAGGUUAUACCCAAUUCUUGUAUACGUAAUGCAGCAUGUUUAGUUCAUAAGUGAUAAAAGAUUUAAAACAUUCAAGGAAGGGUUAAAUGCAUCCAGGGCUUGCCUUGGUUGCAGAGCUGAGUGGGUUCCUCGGAGACUUCCGAAGUCUCGGUUCCUACUUCCUCGAACAACACACCAACCUCGGGGUUCGGUUCAACGGUCGCUCCUUCGGUCACGUGCACUAUACGUAAAAUGAUGUAUGCUCAUGAUAUGCUUAUGACAAACAUAUAAGAAGGACCGAAUCGGGUACCACUUUUCUUCUCGGUGCAAGGACCGACAAAACAGUAAUUAAAGUUGUUUAUCAUUUUAGUGUUUUUACCCAAAAGGUUGCGUCAGUAAGCUAAGACUUCCCUUAAUUUACAAUUAUUCUUAAUUAACUAAUUAUUAAACAUUUUUAUCUUAAUUAAUUAUUAAUUAAGUAUUAAUGACAGUAAUUAAGCAUUAGUACCAAACAAUAAUUAAAUGCCAAAGGUCAUUAAGGUUAAUGACCUUAGGUCAUCAUACAAUCCCAAAAACACUCAAAUCCUAAUUUGAGAGAUUAAGCUAAUUAUUACUUAAUUAUUUUAAGAUUAUUACUAAAUUACUAAUUAAGGGUAUAUUAAUAUUUUAUUCAAACGUUAUCCAAAUGCCACCAAAUUUUGUGUACAUCAAGAGAAUAAUAUUCAGAGACAUCCCACAAAUUUUGGUGAUUUUUGGGCAUAUCAAUAAAUUACUAAAAUUCAUUGAAUUUUUGUUUACUAAAUAAGGAUACAAUUUUUAUAUAUAUGUAAAUUACCAGAAAAUGUAACCUAGCAUUUUUCCUAUGUUCUACUCAUCUUACAGAGCCUACACAAAAAUUUUCACUAUUUUUGGAUCAGCACAUAAUUUUCUAUACAAAUUCAAACACAAAUUAAUUUUAUUUCUAGAAGGAAAAAGAAAAACAGUACUGUUUCUAAGGUCGGCCCACUCAGGCUCGGCCUAGGCCGGCCCACACGCUGUGCGUGCUCGCCCCCUCCUCGCGACGUCGCUGACAGUGGACCCCCACGCUCAGCUUCGUCCAUCACCUCGCCGGUGGCUCUGUUGAGCUCCCGGCCGUCGCUGGCGGGGUUCCAACCCUUGCGACGAAGCGCAGCGGCUUUUGCCUCGCCUUUGCAACUCCGCUGACCCUACCUGCAGGCAUGCUAUCCCCCUCUCCCUACCCUGACCACACACAUGGCGGAUGGCGGCACUAGCCGCACAUAGACCGACCGUGAGAGCUCAGUAGAGCGUGAGCUAGCGCGCUAGGGAGCGCCCAAGAGGGAUAAGGAGUGUGGUGCUCACGUUGCGGGGCUCGGAGAGGUGGCCUAAAGCGCUGGCGACGGUAGCAGGUCCUCCAGUUCGCGUCCGAAGAAGAAGGGCAAGCGCAUGAGCUUCUGGGGAAUGAGAGGAACCGUAAACAACUGCUGACAAGGCGUGUUACCCUCUGGAACGGCGUGUCCACGGAGAAGGCGCACGGCGGCGGUCCCGGCCGGAGUUGAGGAAGAAAGACGGUGCCCGGGCGAUUGAGAGGGGCAGGGAGGGUUCCUAGGCGUACAUUGGGUUUGCAAGGAUAUGGCGAAGGUGUUGGAGAACUUGAAUUGGUCAGAGGGGUUGCGUGUAGAGUGUAAUGGAUGGUGGAGCUUCACUGGGUACUUUUGGUCGCCGGAGUGAGUGAGCUCGAGGUCGGCCGCGCGGGCGCUCAAGAGGUCGAGGCGCAGAGGUCGCGGGCGUCCACGUCGCACGGUGACGCAGAUGGCAAGCAGCUGCGGGGCGGCGAGAACGCGCGCACGGCGCUGCACGGCCUGCGGCCACGCGGGACUAGAGCUCGUGAUCCAUAUAGGGACAGUGUAGCAAGCUCUAUCCCUCACUUUCCAAUCUUUUGCAAAUUACUCUUACAAGUUGAACUGAAGUCAAAAAUCUGUUAAAACAAAAGUCGUGCAGCAUACAAUUUCCUACAACAUUCCUUUAAGGCUCAAAUUCAAAUUCUGAAAGGAACCAAGUGAAUUUAACCAAAAUAGUUUGAAAUUUAAAUUCCCAUUUGGGGAAAAUUCCAAUUUUGAAUUUGACCAGAACAGAAAUUCCAAAAUUACUUUUGAUUUUCCAUAAUAACUUGAAAAAAUCCCAGAAUAAAAGUUGUUCAAUUUGUUGAGCUCUACAACUUUCAUGUUGGUCACUUUUCAAGAUUCCAAACAGAUUUUGAAUUAGGGAUUCAAUUUGGAAAAGGGGACAAUUUUUGGAAAUCUGUAUUUUCAAAAUUACUUUGAAUUUUGUAUUUAAACUUCAAAAACUCAAAACACCAAAGUUGUACAUCUUGACAAGAUCUACAACUUUGCUUUUGAACUCAACCUCAAAUUUUGCUUAGUUUUUAAAUUGCACAAAAGGGGGCAAAACUAGGGUUUUAAAAUCAGGGUUCCCCCCCCCAUUUUCUCGAAAUCCUCCAACACAAGGGAUUUCACAACCACGCUAUCAUCAUUGCACUAUAUAAGCACACUUUAGUUCCCUAAGCACAAGCAACCAAUGUAAACUUGUUUUAAGUUGAUGCAUCAGGUGGUGCUUAAUCAAUAUGCUAUGCAAUUCUUAUGAUGACAUGAUCCAGUUUUAGUAACCAUAACAUCAGGGAUGUUACAGAGAUGCUGUGAGUAAAGCAUGCUAUCGAUGAGAAACACAAAAGCAUCAGCGUUCUGCAGUCCUCUGGGGAUGAGUUGAAGCAAAAGAUCUCCGAUUUAUCGGCUAGAAGGGAAGCCUUGUUAGCUGAACUCAAGCAAGUGGAAGAGGCCCUGACUCAAGCUCAGCAAGAAGAAAGCCAGCUGCCCGAAGUGCUCAAAACUCUUCAGCAAGAGAGAGAUGCCCAAGCCCGCAAGGCGCUGCACAUGAGGAAGAAGCUGAAGCCAGUUGAGGGUUCUGCCGAUGAAGAUACUCAAGAAAUAGAAGAGGCCAACCAGGUUCAUCUGCGCGCCAUAUCAGCCAUCCAAGCUCUGCUGAAUCUGUGAAUUCUUCAUCGACAACUUGCUUAAUUCUGCUAUCAAAAACUCUAAUCAUUUUGGUCUAGCCGAUAGGGCUGUUAUCGGCACUUAAACACUUAUGCAUGAUCCUAGAUACAUUUUAUCCAGCCGAUAGGAUUAUUAUCGGCAUUUGAACUUCUAUGCAUCAAUCUAGAUACUAGGAUAGUAUCUCUUUAAAUAUUUUCCAUUUAAUGCUCUGGGAAAUUCAACUCCUUCAAGAGUUUCUAAAAUAUAAGCAUUACCAGGAGCAGAUCGACUUAUCCGAUAAGGACCCUCCCAAUUAGGAGACCAUUUUCCAAACUUUGAACUUUUAGUCCCAAUCGGUAGAAUCAGUUUCCACACUAAAUCUCCAUCAGCAAACUCCUUGGCCUUUACUUUCUUAUCGUACCAUUUAGCAACUCUCUUUUUAUUUUCUUCUAUGCUAAUUAAAGCCCUCAACCGAUGCCCUACUAAAUCAUCCAACUCAUCUUUCAUCAAGGUGGCAUAGUCAUCGGCAUUUAGCUGAUCCUGAGAAAAGAUCCGCCUAGAACCAAUUUUUAUCUCCCAUGGUAGUACCGCAUCAUGCCCAUACACCAAUUGACAAGGUGAGACUUUGGUCGAGCCAUGACACGCCAUCCGAUACGACCAUAAAGCUUCAUUUAACACCGUGUGCCAUCUCCUAGGAUUUUCUUCAAUUUUUCGCUUGAUGAGCUUAAUAAUCCCCUUGUUAGAAGCUUCAGCCUAUCCGUUAGCUUGAGCAUAGUAAGGAGAAGAAUUCAACACUUUAAUCCUCAUACCGAUUGCAAAUUCAUCAAACUCUCCCGAUGUAAACAUGGUACCUUGAUCGGUGGUGAUUGUUUGAGGUAUGCCAAAUUGGUAAACAAUGUGCUCUUUUACAAAAUCAAUCAUGAUAGCUGAUGUUACUUUCUUUAAAGGAAUAACCUCAACCCAUUUGGUGAAAUAAUCAGUGGCAACUAAGAUAAAUUUAUGCCCUUUGCUUGAUGGUGGAUAAAUCUGGCCGAUGAGAUCAAUAGCCCAACCUCGGAACGGCCAAGGUUUAAUAAUGGGAUUCAUGGCCGAUGUGGGUGCCCUUUGAAUAUUGCCAAAUUUCUAACAUCCUUGACAUCAUUUGAAAUAUUUAAAGCAAUAAUCAAGUAUAGUCGGCCAAUAAUAUCCGUUUCUCCUAAUCAUCCACUUCAUUUUGAAAGCCGAUUGAUGUGCCCCACACACUCCUUCAUGAAUUUCACCCAUCAAGCUUCUAGAUUCAUCAUUACCCAAACACUUAAGGAAGACUCCAUCUAUCGUUCGAUAAUACAACUCUUCCUCAAGGAGUACAUACUUUGUAGCUUGAAACCUAACACGCCUUUCAACUUUCUUGGAUGGAUCCUUUAAAUAAUCAAUAAUCUCCUUUCUCCAAUCAUCAGCACUGACUGCCGAUAAUAUGUCUAAGAUGGGUUGAUAUCCCAAGGGAUGUUGAGCCAGUCGGUUGGCUUCUUCAUUAUGUAACCAAGGAAUAUGCUCUCAUCGGAAAUCCUUGAAUUCCUUUAACAGUUGUACACAUAUUUCAUAAUAGGCUAUCAAAACCUCAUUUCGGCAUUCAUAAAUUCCAGCCAACUGGUUUAUAACAAGCAUGGAAUCACUGAAAAUUUUAACAGCAUCGGCAUGAACCUCCUUUAAUAAUUCUAAUCCUUUGAUCAAAGCUUGGUACUCAGCUUGAUUAUUUGUUGACGUGACAACAAUUGGCAAAGAAAACUCAUACUUCUUUCCCCGAAGAGAAAUUAGCACUAUAUUGAUUCCUGCCCCCGGUCACAUGUAGAUCCAUCAAAGAAAAGCGUCCAAGGAACGAUUUCCAAAGCAUCCACCACACCACAAUGCUGAGUUACAAAAUUGGCCAUAAUCUACCCUUUAACCGCUUUAGCCGAUUCGUAGCGUAGAUCAAAUUUCGACAAUGCUAAUAUCCACUUGCCAAUUCUACCACUCAUAAUCGGCAUUGAUAACAUGUAUCGGACUACAUCAUCUUUGCAUAUGAUAGUGCAUUCGGCCGAUAGCAAGUAAUGUCUCAAUUUAAUGCAAGAAAAGUAUAAGCACAAGCACAACUUCUCAAUUGCCGAAUACCUUGUUUCAGCAUCCACCAAUCUUCUACAUAAAUAAUAAAUCACACGCUCCUUCCUCUCAAAUUCCUGAAUGAGAGCCGAGCUGAUGACAAUACCAUUGGUAGACAAAUAUAAUCUGAAGGGUUUUCCUUGUUGCGGUGGAACCAAAACUGGAGAGUUUAUCAAAUAGUUCUUGAUUUCAUCCAAGGCUAACUGUUGCUCUUUUCCCCAUACAAAUUCUUGAUCGGCUCUUAACUUAAGCAAAGGACUAAAAGCAUGAAUUUUACCUGACAAAGUAGAAAUAAAUCGUCUGAGAAAAUUAAUCUUGUUGAUCAAUGAUUGAAGUUCGGUUUUAUUGGUAGGAGCAACUAUUUUGUUGAUGGCAUCAAUAGAUCUCCCACUAAUUUCAAUCCCUCUUUGAUGCACCAUGAAACCAAGAAAUUGUCCUGCUGAUACACCAAAUGCACAUUUAUUAGGGUUCAUUUUUAAACCAUGCUUCCUUGUGCACUCCAACACCUUUCGUAGAUCGGCCAGAUGUUUUACAAAAUCCCCAAAUUUAAUGUUGGCGAUGCUUAUUAUAUAAAAAUAAAUAUCUUUUUAUAUAUAAAAAUAAACAGAAAAUAGGGCUUUGAUCUAAUCUUUCCACGAGUUUUGGUAUAUAUGCUAUUUUCAGGUAUGACACGUGGAAAAGUGCAAAACAUACAAGAAAUGCGCAAUGCAAGAAUUCGUAUUUAGAAAAGACACAAACCAACUCCAAUAGAGAAAAGCCCACAAAAGAUGAACUGGACCCAUCCGUAACCACGAGGAGGAUCAGGGCCCAGAGCACAACCGACCACGUGAAGGUGGUGGCUAGGGGGGCCCACCCAGGUUGCGGGCGCAACCCUGGUGGAGGUUCCCUGGCCCCACCUUCUUCUGGCGGUUGCAUGGCAGCAUGCAUAGGACGGUUUCACCUACUACUAUAUUUAGAUCCCGCAAUACGUCCUAGUUGAGCUAUAAAUAGAUGGCUCCCCUCUCAUUUGUAAGACACACCACCAUUUGGAGCAACACACCUCACAUUCUACACUUGUUCUCCUUAAUUUAGUACAAGUAGUAGAGCAAGGCAAAGCUAGCAAGGAGAUCUUGUCUCCUUGGAGGAUCAAGAGUGUCUUGGUAUGAAUACAAUUAUGCCUUCCUCCAUGAUCAAGUUCUUAUAUUCUUUAUACAGUUAUGCUUUUGAUCUAGAGUAUAGUCUUGUUCGUAUCAUGAUCAUAGUUUAUGAGCUAGUUCAUAGUUCUAGCUCUAUGUUCUUGAUAUGUUCAUAUAGUUCUUCAUCGUUCAUCAAGUUAAUAUGAAUAGAGGAAGAACUAGGGAUGAGAUAAUGGUUCUCUGGGCUGUAAUGGUCACCCUUAGCCGAUCCUGUCAAUCCGAAGGGUUGGUGUCCCGGGAGGCUAGGGGGUGUUUCCAAGUACACGGGCAUGGUGCCCGGGUAUGCUGAGACCCGAGGAUAUGAGGGUAUCCCACGUGCAGAGGGGUAGGUGGUAGGGUGGUGACAGCCCUGUCAUCCUUCGUAUUCCCCCACGUUCAGAUAUUCGGUAGGAGUCAUGUAAAGUCCCUAUUUUCUGGCAGACCAGCUAUGGAGAUCUCCCUAGUAUCUCAGACUUAGCUCUAACUUGUUCUUAUUAGCUAGAUGACCUGCUAACAGAUCUGUUGUAUAACGUGUAUACGACCAUGCCUGCUCGCGUAGUUGUUCUUUUAUUCUUUGUUUUCCCUUUAUUCCUUGCGGUUGCUCCGAUGUGUGUCCGCUAUCAAAUCAACUACAUACUUACCCCUGUUUAUACUAUGUCUACCAUGCAUUUCAAUAAGUAAUCAUGUUUAUAACCAAAGCUAGAUGCAUUCACAAUGCCUUCCUAUGGGAAAUUAUAAAUACGACACCCCUGAAUACUCACGGGUUGAAAUGCUACAAUGAUAGUUCUGUGCGCUUGCAGAGUAAUUUAUUCCUAUAACUGAGCUAUCGAUUGGCGUAACUAAGUACCUUUACUUAAGAAUGUAAUCCUUGUGCACCCACACGGCGCCGGGCCACAGCUUUGCAUAUCGUAAGUAAGGAUGGUUAGGAAGGCCAAACUGGCAAUUCUAAUCAUCAGUACCAGACUGCACUGCCUAGGCCAGCGCCGUAAAAGGCCUUGGUUUAUCUUUCUGAAGUGAUGGUGGUUAGGAUAUGCCAAGAACGUUUCUAGUGUUAUUAUUAAGGAUGGACUAAAACUCUAUCUUUAAUAGUUUCGCUAAGAAACGCCAACAUUUAACUACCACAUCAUUAAUAUAGAUUUCCACCAACUUGCCGAUGAACUCGUGGAAGAUAAAAUUCAUGGCUCUCUGAUAAGUAGCACCAGCAUUUUUCAAUGCAAAAGUCAUGACUAUCCAUUCAAACAUUCCAACAUGACCACGGCAUCUAAAUGCAGUCUUGGGAAUAUCUUCUUCAGCUAUGAAUAUUUGAUUGUACCCUGCAUUGCCAUGCAUAAAGCUAAUGAUCCGAUGUCCAGCUGCAGCAUCAACCAACAGAUCGGCAACUGGCAUUGGAUAACCAUCCAUCAGCGUAGCCUUAUUGAGAUUCCUAAAGUCAAUGCAGACACAAAGCUUUCCAUUCUUCUUAUAAACAGGGACAACAUUAGAAAUCCAUUUGGCAUACCGACAUUGCCGAAUAAACUUAGCUUCAAUAAGGUUGGUUAUUUUGGCUUUAAUUUCAGGAAGAAUAUUAGGAUUGCAUCGGCGUGCUGGCUGCUGAUGCGGCCGAAAUCCAGACUUAAUAGGCAACCGAUGUUCAACAAUUGAUCGUUCUAAACUAGGCAUCUCGGUAUAAUCCCAAGCAAAGCAAUCUUUAUAUUCCUUUAACAAAAUGGUUAAUUGUUGCUUACACUCAGAAUCUAACUUAGCACUAAUAAAAGUAGGUCUUGGUCUAUCACCAUUACCUAUAUCUACUUCUACUAGAUCAUCAGCCGAUGUAAACCCCUGACCUAACUUUCCAUCAUCGGCAAACCUAUCCAUUAAAACUCUUUAUUAGAACCGACUGCUUGGAUCGGUGGAAUUUCAUAAUCAGCAACCCUGAGAAAAUCCUUCUCCCAAACUUCCCCUGAAAUACAUCUGGUCCUCUCAUAAGUAUCUGACUCUGCCGAUGCAAUGACAUAUGAAGAAUCUCCCGGGACAAAUUUCAAUCUUGUCACCUACCCACUGAACCAGGCAUUGGUGCAUUGUAGAAGGAAUACAACAAUUGGCCUAGUCUCAACCUAAUAGCAAAUUGUAUGCACCUUUUCCACUGAUGAUAAAGAAAGUUGUCAGCAAAGUUUUGCUGCCGAUGGUCAAUUCAACACAUAUAGCCCCCUUGACUGGAGACACAUUCCCUUCAAAAUCUUUCAACAUCAUAUCAGUCUUGGUCAAAUCCUGAUCCCCUUUGCCAAGCUUCCGAUAGACUGUAUAUGACAUAAUGUUGAUAGCAGCUCCACCGUCAACAAGUAUUUUGGACAUCGGCUGUCCAUCAACCCUGCCUUUAACAAACAAAGCUUUGAGAUGCUGUAUUUCAUCAUCAGAAGGCUUUUCAAACAUAGCUGUCAUCGGAUCAAGAGCCAACUGAGCUAUCUGAUCAAGAAAAUCUAUCUCUUCAUCAUCAUGGAAAGGCGCAAGAAACUCCAUCGGUAACAUAAACACCAUAUUAAUAUCUGCUGAUGGUCCUUUUCCCCUAGGAUCUGACUGCUGCCGAUCUCCAGACUUAGCAGAAUUUUCUUCCCUACUUAAUUCUUCAUGCCACUCUCACUGCAUCAUCCUUUUCUGUGUCCUUGUCAAUCCUUGUGGACACCAUUGGGGAAGUUGUGUCCUCCGCACUUGUUGAUCGUGAGCCUCCCUUGAUUCCACCCGAUAAGUAUUAGCAUCCCUGCAAAAUAUAAACUCAUCGAGAACUCGUGCAUUUGCCAUCUCCUCAAGCUCCUAUUGGUUUCUUGGAAAAUAGCCAACACGUUCACCAAGCCUGUCAUGCACACUGAGCCUGCCCCCCAGCCGAUUAUGAACUGACAUCCUUCCCCUAGUCGGCCCAUUAAAUUGCCGAUCAUCGUUCUGAUGUCGCCGACUUGAUCGAUCAUACUGAUUAUAACGAUUGCACUCAGGGCAGUCUCUGACAGAUAGUUUGAUGUUUUGCUCCCAACAGUGGAUGAAGAACGUGCAAUUCCAAUGAUCUUUAUGCCGAUUCCACUCUUGUCGGCGUCUUUCUUCUUCUCGGCGAAGAUCCUCUUGUUGGCGGCGAUACCGAUCUUCACGCUGCUGCCAUGUUUCCCGAUGCCGCCUAUGAGUGAUCACAAUGCCAUUGAGGAGGUCUCCUAGAACUGGUGCCUUCUUGGAUUAAUCCUUUACCCUUGGCGUCAUCGGCAGUGAUCUGAUGCUGGGGGUCUACCGAUGCGCUCUUCUCAGCUGCUUUCGAUGUUAAGACUUUGGUCUUUCCUUUGGCAUCCAUCAUGUUUGUAGGGAAAGGAUGCUGAUCAAUCUUCAUCGGCUUCUAAGCUUUGGAGUUAUCAAAUUUAAUUCUCCCAGAUUCUAUAGCCGAUUGCAAUUGUUGCCUGAACACCUUGCACUCAUUUGUACUACGAGACAUUGCAUUAUGCCACUUGCAAUACUUGAUCUUCUUCAACUCUUCUGCCGAUGGGAUCACAUGAUUUGGUGACAAUUUAAUCUGCCCCUCCUAAAGCAGAAAGUCAAAUAUCAUAUCGGCUUUUGUAAUAUCAAAAGCAAACUUUUUCGGCUCUUUAUGGCCGAAAGAACAGGACAUCAUCUUUUUGUUUUUCACCCAUUCUGUUAAGCCGAUGACUGGUUCUUCAUCAGAAUCUGAACUUGUUGCCUCAUCAACAAAUGACACCUUCUUGUUCCAAGCCUUCCUAGGUUCAAAAGUUUUGAUAUCUAGAUUGAAAAUCCUCUGCACCAAAUGACUUAGACUUUCAAACUCUUGAGAAGCAUACUUGUCAUUAAUGUGUGGCAACAAUCGUUGGAAAGCCAAAUCGGCUAGCUACCGAUCAUCCAGAACCAGACUAUAGCAUUUGUUUUUGACAUCCCACAACCUCUGCACAAAACUUUCAACCGAUUCAUCAUUGCGUUGCCUCAGCCUGACUAAAUUGGUAAUUUUCUUCUCAUGAACCCCAGAAAAGAAGUACUUAAGGAACUGCUUCUCUAGAUCGGCCCAAGUAAUUACUGAAUUUGGAGGUAAUGAAAUGAACCAAGUAAACGCCGAUCCCGAUAAAGAUGAUGAAAACAAUCGAACUCUCAAUUCAUCUCUGUUAGGAGCCUCUCCACAGUGGACGAUGAACCUAUUGACAUGUUCCAUAGUUGACGUGUUAUCUUGUCCAGAGAAUUUAGUGAAAUCUGGUACCUUAUACCGAUUUGGAAGUGGGAUCAAAUCAUAUGCAGGAGUGUAUGGUGUCCGAUAAGAAUAAGUAUUGACUUUGGGUUUUAUCCCAAACUGAUCUCUCAUUACUUCAGCUAUCUUAUCGGCCCAAUAGGCAUCGGCAUCCUGCCGAUGUGCGGGUUGAGGUUCUGGCACCUGCUGAUAAGCUUCCACGUGUCUCUAAGGUGCACGAUCUCCAGGGAACAUAGCAUUUGCCAUAGCCUGUUGACCACCCAUCUGCUGAGCAAGAUUCAUUGGCUGAUUGGCUGGUCCUUGAUUCUGAAAACCAACCUGCAUUUGUCCUUGCUGGAAUCCUGCAGCCUGAUGAUUCUGUUGUGUCAUUUGUGGAAUGUCAAACUGCCUAGUCCACCCAUUGUUGGCAUUCAUCAGCACCGGACCUGCCGAUGGCUGAUAAUUGGGUGUCAUCAUUGCGUUGACAUACCCUGUCUGAGUCAUAAACCUUUGGUGCGUCGGUAGUGGAUCCGCCUAUGCAUUAGGCAUUUGGAAUGUUGGCAUUUGAAAAUUCCCAGUAACAGGCCUUAUAGUAGUAGUUGUAGAAUAUUGAGGAAUCUGAGUCAUCGGCGAUACUGGAGGUGUCAAUGUCAUAGGGGCCUUGCCUGUCAAAUCAACCACCUGUGAUGUUCCAGAGCUAUUUGUAAGAAAAUCCAGAGGAAUAACAUAUCCCCACCAAUUGGGAGGAACUUGACAAUUCUGGAACAUAGACCAUGACAUUGCUGAUGUCGAUAGAUCUGUAUUGAGUUGAAUCCGCCCAUCUGAUGCUGCUGGAUUAGUCCUCAUCGGUGUAGAUUGCCCAUUAGUCAUCCCUAAUGUGCCUGGAGGGGAUGUAACUUUUGUACCCACAACGGCCGGAGGCGCCGAUGGAGCUGUAACCGAUGACAACCUAGGCUGGUGAUAGGUUGGGCCAACAUAUAAUGGUGGUGCCUGUCCCUCUUUGAAAGUUCUAGCCACAUCAUUGAAUACAGUAUCAGACAACACACUGGAUUGAUUGAUCAAAGCACGAUUAAUAGCAUUGUCAACCAUACCUUGCAAUUUACCAGGGUUGGCUUCAAAAGUGAUUUGCCGAGGCAUCGGCAAUGCUUCCUUCUGGAUCACUUCGCUGCUCCUGUUGACACUGAAGGACUUCAAACAUAGCUACUUGUACUCCUCCAUAGCUUUUGCCAUAGCUUGCUUUUGCUCAUCCGUGAGAUCAGCCUCCGUCACAAUAAUGAUGAUCUCUGUGUCGAACUCAGUAUUAGACAUGUUGAUCCUAUUGAUAGAUCUGUCCCUCCAGGCGUGCCAAAAGAUGUGUUGAUGCAAAAGUGGAUCUGCAAACACAAAGGGAUAAUAUCCAAUUCAACGUUAAGGCGUGCCAACCGAUUUGACCUUACAACCGACAAAGGUGAUAACUCGAAUACUUUGGUCCCGAAAAUAGCGAUGCGCCCGGAUGCCAUGGCCAAGAGGUAUUCAAGUGAAACUUGAGAACCCAUUGAGUUUGACUCGAUGGAUUCCUAAGAACUCGUAAGUAAAAAAGAAAAUAUGCAAAUUGACGAAGUCGUCGAAAGUAGAUGUGAGAAUAGAUGUAAAAACUUUGUGUAUGAUUGAUUGGAUUGUUUCUUACAUCGCUACUAGGUCUAUAUUUAUACCCUGUCUUAAAGAGUUACAAUCAGGUAUGACUAGGAUUUUAAUUCCAACCUAAACGAAAUCUGUAUACAAAACAAACUCUAAUAAUUAUGGAAAACAAUAAUUUAUCAAUCCUAGGUGAUCGACACACCAUCAUCAUCUUCCCGAUGAUUCCCACGCCUUCCUCCACCAUCAUCGGCAUAUCAUCCUCCAUCGGCAUCGGCAACCGUCAAUAUCAACCAUCGGCAAAAGAUCAACCACCAUCCCUGGACUUGGUCAUAUCAUGUUGCUUUAUCAUUGGCAUCAUAAUCCAUCAGCAAUUCCUUUGUCACCAGUCAUUACUUUUUCGCCUGCCGAUCCAAGUUCCAUUAACUUUCCAGAUACGUGUGCAAAAACGGUGUCAACAUAGAAUUAACUUAUGAAUUUUUUUACUAUGGUUGAGGGGAAUUUCAAUGGCAGAUGACAAACAAUCUGACAGUUAGGAAGGCAGAGGCAUCUACGAGGGAGGCAUCGAGGCGUAACAUGUGUGUAUGAUUGGCGGACCCAUAUGCACCAUAACGCCUCCCGACGCCUCCAAAAUUGAGGUAAUUAGAACCCAAAAAAGGAGUGGUAAUUUCUUUUUCCAAAUUGUUAAUCAAGGAUAAAAUUGUAAAUUUAGAAUAAAAUCAUAAUGUUUUGAGUAGUUGUUGACACCGUUUUUUGGACACGUGCACAGAAACCGAUAGAGUACAAGAUCGGCAGGUGGAGCAAUGGUAACUAGACUAUGGAAGCGUUGCCGACGAGGAAAGUUGCCGAUGAAGGGGCGGUUGGAUAUGGCUAAGUCCGAGAGUGAUAAUGCAUUCCUAACCGAUGACUAGUAUCAAUGUUUGCCGAUGGCGACAGCAGGGAGGUUGCCGAUGGCUCUGCAGGAGUUGCCGAUUGACCCGUGGUGGUGUCCUGAUCGGUUACGGGAAGAUAAUUUUGUAUACGGGCUCUGUUUAAUUUGGAAUUCGAAUCCUAGUCGUGUCUGAUUGUAGCUCUUUGAUCAGGGUAUAAAUGUAGACCCUAGGGCCUUGUAAUGAAUAAUCUAUCAAUCAAUCAAACACAAGUUUUUACUCAUAUUCCAGCAUCUACUUUUUCGACGACUUCGUCAUAUUUUCCUUUUACUACGAGUUCUUAGGAGUUCGUCGACUUAAGCUCGGCGUAUUCUCAAGUUCUGUGUGAAUACCUCUUGGCCGUGACAUCCGGGCGCAUCGCUGUUGUCAGGACCAAAGUAUUCAAGUUAUCACCUUUGCCGAUAGUAAGGUCAAAUCGGCUGGCACGCCUUGACGUUUGAAUCGGGUAUUAGCCCUUUGUGUUUGCAGAUCCGUUUUUGCAUCUGUUGGGUAUUCUUAAUAUCAUUACCAAAAGUAGACUAAGUUCUCUAAAUCUAGUAACGGUGCCUGUUGACGGUCCUUAAGUAUCAAAUUUAAUUAUCAAAUAAAUAAAGAAAAGGAUCCAAAUGAAAUCAAGAUCUAGACUUAGGGUUUUAUCUGACAGAAUUCCACGAGUUUUGGUGUUUGUCUAUUUCUACAGGGGGUUAUCAGGAAAUACGGAAGAAAGGCCCACAUGUCAGGAUUACGUAAAGAUAUUAACGUGCUGCGCAAUUAUCUUACAUCUAGAAGACUCCAGAAGCCACGAGACCGAAGCGGAGGCUAAACGGGGCCAGAGACAGGGCGCCCGCCCUGUCCUACUAGGCGCCCGCCCUGCCCCUGAGUCCAAUCAGGACUCUGCUUUGCGGGAGAUUUCCACCGACCUAAAGGAUGAAUCUAAACCAUACAAUCUAUGUCGGUUUGAUCCAAGGGCCCAUAUUCACUUGAAGGGACUAUAAAACCAGACCCCCUGGCCCCUGGAGGAGAGAGCCUCUCAACCCUAAUUCAUUGUUCCAUCAAGGGAGAAGAAGCCUCUGAUCAAGAUUAGAGCCACCACAUCAAUUAGACAUCUAGAUUAGCAUAGCUACAUUGGAUUAGAACUAGAAGGAGUCAAUCUUCGAUUGGUUUCCGGAUCUGUCAACAGGAUUCUUGGUAAUUCUCUAAUUGUGCUUCUAAUUGCUUUCUAAUUAUCUUUGUUCUUCAAUAUUAUGAAUAUGACUUUGUUCUACUUCAAUAUAUUGCUUAUGACUUUGCUCUACUUGCUUAUAUUCAAGAUUAUAUUGUUCUUAGUUUAUCAUAGUUAUGUACUUGCCUUAGUUAGAUUCGAUCUAUAUACAUGCUUAGGAUCGUAUAGCGUUUAUCCAUCAGAUCCAUGGGUAAAUGAUAGAUAUUGUGUAGGCGUGGUGCUUAUACCGUAUUUAUCUGCGAUUGUACCCAAUAUACCAGAUCGUGGGGUGGUUCGUGAUAGUGACAGCUUCAUUGAUUCUUAUAUAGUCCCCCUCUCGUGUAUUGGGCUGGCAGAGCAACAUUAUUACAGGGGAGUGAUUGCUAUGUUUCUCAUAUUCCUUGCUAAUAUCACUAUGCAUGGGCGUAGUCUUGUCUCGCGAUGAUUGCUAAGUAUGCUUGCACUAAUUAUGAUAAUGCUAGACUAUAUAGUUGAGAAUAACUUAGGGAAUAUUCUUGUAGUUCGUUCUAAUACCAUGCUAAUGACUUUCUAGAGUAUCUAAUUGAGGUGCUUAUCAUAUUUAUUAUGUGGCUAGAUCAGAUUAGUUAUCCUUGUCACCAUUAUUAUUUCAUAUAUCUUUUAUGUGACACUUAUCCCUGUAUGAAGAGUUAGAUAUAAUGUUCUCAAUUAUACAUGCAAUGAUAGAUGCUCAAUUUCAUAUUCUAUUCUGUAAUCAAUAUUGAUGAUUUCUAAUCCCUUCCCAGUGGUAAAAAUAUAAAUAACGAUACCUGGAAUACUUUUCGGUUAAAAUGCUGCAUCGGUAUUAAUCUGUGCGCUUGCAGAUCCCAUUCAUUAUUUAUUUAGAAGAGCAAUUGCAUAUUUCAAUACGGCGUCUCUUAUAUCAUGCUGGGGAUGACAACUUGGCUUAAGUGGUGUGAGGGAUAGGUUUGGCAUUUUUGGCACCGUUACUAGAUUUAGAGAACUUAGUCUACUUUUGGUAAUGAUGUUAAGAAUACCCAACAAGCAUUUUUGACGCCGUUGCCGGGGAAGGUUGAUUACCAAUCAGGAAUGGAAUAAAAGAUUUUGAGUUAUCAUUCGCAUCACUAAUAUGAUUGAGCUUAUCUAUUCUCUCAUACAGUUUUACCCCGAUAUUUUUCUAUUUUAUCUUAUGCAGGGGAAUGUAUGAAUAGAAGACAUCUUCCAGGGAAUUUUGUUGACAAUCCUGAAGCAUUAUUCAAGAAGAUGAGAGCCAAGCUAAAGAGAUCAUCAACACUUCACGAAGAUGCUUCAUCCAAUCAAGAAGAUCACCGGAACUUGUCUUCAGAAUUCGAAGCCAUGGCGAACAAAUCAAUCCGCGAGUUCUCAGCUCCCACUACGGACAACAUCCGCACUGGACCUGCUGCAGAGAUCGAUGGCAACUUUGAGCUCAUGCCUGGACUUAUCAACAUGGUGCAAUCCAACCAGUUCUGUGGGAAGGCACACGAAGAUGCUAGUGCUCAUUUACAACACUUCCUAGAGAUUUGCAACACAUUCACCAUAGCAGGAGUUUCCAAAGACGCUAUACUACUUCGCCUCUUCCCAUUCUCACUGUUAGGAAGAGCGAAGCAGUGGUUCUACGCUACAAAGGAGAAGAAUACUACGUGGGCACUCUGCUCAACAAACUUCCUGGCUAAGUUCUUUCCCAUGGGCAAGACCAAUGCUCUCCGUGUGAAGAUUACAAGUUUUCAGCAACAAAAUGAUGAAUCUGUUCCAGAAGCAUGGGAGCGCUUUCAAGACUACAUCCUAGAAUGUCCCCAUCAUGGAAUGGAGAGUUGGCUAUUGAUGCAGACGUUUUAUCAUGGGCUCAGCAACAGUGCCCGAGAGACCAUGGAUGCUGCAGCUGGAGGAGCAUUCUUAUCACUUACUAUACCACAAGCCACAGCUCUUGUGGAGAAGAUGGCGUCCAAUCUAAGCUAGAAUGAAGAGAGGACCCAGACACGCAAGAGAGGUGGAGGUAUACAUCAGCUGAAGGAGGUAGACAUGCUGUCUCCAAAGCUAGACCUGCUCAUGAAGAAGCUCGACGAUAGAGCUGGAGAUAAGAAAGAAGUUAUGCACAUCUACGAGUCUCACAUGACUUGUGAGGAGUGUGGAGACACUGGACACUCAGGCAACCACUGCCCUGAGAUACUUGAGGAUGUGAACUACAUCAACAACAACAACAACAAUAACUACUACAACCGUCCUCAACAAAAUCAAGGUUGGAAUCAACAGAGGCCUAACUACUCAGGUAAUUAUCAAGGUAACAAUUCUUACAACAAUAAUAAUAAUUUUCCACCUUUGAGAGAGUUAGUGUCUAAUCAAGAAAAGCUAAUGGAUAAUCUAUCUAAGAAAUUGGCAUCUAAUGAUAAAAUGCUAGAAAAUAUAAAUAAUAGAAUGGAUAAUUUUUCUACUGCCAUCAAGAAUCAAAUUAGCUUUAAUAAAAUGAUUGAAUCUCAGUUAAAUCAAAUAGCUGCUGCUGUUCCUACUACUAACCCCGGUAUACCAUCACAACCGGAAGGAUUAGAAUCUGCAAAUCUUGUAGACAUGUUUGAUGCAGGAAAUUGGAGUAACGCCAUCACUGAAUUCUCUACUGACCUUAUGCCGGUCAAGAGAGGCGAUCCAGGACGCCCCGUCAUCCCGAUCUCCAUCGGCAUGGUCGACUUCCCAGAAGCACUCUGUGACUUUGGCUCUAGCGUCAACAUUAUACCCAGGGUACUCUAUGAAAAAUUCUUUACAUAUCCUUUAUUAGAGACAACCAUGUGUUUGCAGUUUGCAGAUCAGACGAUAACUUUUCCAAAAGGAAUAGUGUGGAACCUUUGUGUCCGUGUUGGUACCUUGUAUGCCCCAGCAGACUUCGUAGUGGUAGAGACCGGAAAUGAUGAGAGAGCACCUAUCAUCCUAGGAAGGCCAUUCUUGAACACCACGGGAGCUAUCAUCUACGCUAGUGCUGCCAAGAUCAGUUUCUACGUCAAAGGGAAGAAGGAGACAUUUUUCUUCAAGAACAAGACUACGCAAAUUCCAGAUCAAUCCAGACGUAAAUCAAGGAAGAGGACCAACAGGAGGAACAGGAACAAGCAAGUGUGGACCGAGUCAGCUAAGAUGGUCACUGUAGUUCAUGAAGGCCAAGAUCAUCAACUUAAGUCACCGUUUUUGACCAAGAAGGACGACCCAGGAAUGCCAAGCAUUUACUGCUCCAUAAAUGGAUACAACUUCUACAAGACGAUUUGCGACACCGGAUCGGGCGUCAACAUAAUGGCCGCAGUCACCUAUCGGCUCUUGUUCGGAACCAUGCCACUAAGACCAACAUACAUUCAGCUCCAGAUGGCAGAUCAGACAUUUCGAGAAGUUCAAGGAAUAGUAUCUGAUGUCCCAGUCAAAAUAGACGAUCACUUUGUCUACACAGACUAUCAAGUUGUUGACAUGGGAGAAGACGAGUAUGAUCCACCCAUCAUCCUUGGAAGACCGUUCCUCAGCACUGUUAAAGCAAUUAUCUACAUUGGAACCGGAGAAGUCCAUAUGCACUUCUCCUCAGAGAAGGUACGCCGUUAUUUUACUGACCCUAACUAUAUUGUUGAAGAAUCUAAGCAGGUAAGGAAAAGACGCAACCGCAACCAGAGGAGGCAGAUCAUCAAGGACGGAUGGGCAGACUACGAAGGAGAAGUUGUAAGAUCAGAAGACGUUGAGUUUAAACAAAAUUAUCCAGAGGAGAUUGAAGCACCGAGUCAGGUAUGGAAAAUGAAGAUAACUAUACAAGAAGAAGAGGCGCUGCCGGAAGUACCGACUACGCCACCCAACGAACCUCAGGACGAUUAAAGAAAAUGGAGAGUCCCGUUCGGAGGACUUAAAAACACCGAACGCCUUGCCAAGAGGUAAACUUGGUAGUUACCCUUUCCUUUUCAAUUAUUUUACUUAGUUAAUCAUAUUCAUACUAUCCUAAAAAGAAAAUAAAAAUUUGAAAAACAGUAAGCCCCAUGUGAGUAGACGAGUGACAUAAAACCCAUAAGUACAUUCACUGUGAUGGCAUAAAAAUAAAUAUUUUUCUGCUUUAUAAAAUAAAAAUAUAAAAACAGGGAGUAAUAAUUAUUAAGGAGUCUCAUGAUAAUAAAGGCUAGAUAUUUAUGCUAACACUUAAUCAGUUCCACAAGCUUUGUUGUCUAUUUGAGCUCCGCAGAAUUUAAGAAUCAAGAAGACUAGCAGACGGAGGACAUUCUAAUCGCUGUCAGAAUGCUGCUGACUUUCAAAUACACCUCUGCCACCUGCCAGCUACAUCAAGAGAAAUUACGUCAAAAUUCAGCUUGGGGGAGAGCACCCCCAUUUAUCCCAAUAAGUAUUUCUAUCUAUCUAUCUAUCUUUAUACUUAUAUUAUUUUAGAAUAUUAAAAUACAUAUAAACUAUGGAAAACCAAAUAAAGUUUUUAUGCUUAUAUAUAUAUAUCUUUUGCUUAGUGUGUUUAAUAAAUAAAUAAAGUGGCUAUGCUAAUCUGUAUCUAAAUAAAACUUAAGCAUGGAUAUGAUGAAUAGUUGCUCUGCCUAAUUUGCACAUUUUAAGUUCCCUCUCAAGUUUAGACAUAACUGUUAUAAUUUAAAGCUUGCUCCAGACCUAAACUUGUGGGAUGAAAACUUGAUCUGAAGUCUAAGUUGUUAACGCAUACGAUAUGGGAAGGUUGAGCUGCUGUUUAUCUGUUCCUAGAGAUGCUAGAAUUCUGGAGAAUUUUAUCUUUGAAAAUCUUUAAAAUGUUGCAUGAUGAGUUCCUGUAUGAUGAGAGUUUAAAUUCCUACCACAGCCAUAUAUACAUGCUUUUUAGACUUUGAGCCACACAUUUAUUAUUUACUGCUUAUGAGCAUUGAGUGUGGUCAAGCUGUGUUGACCCUUAGGAGCUUGUCAUGUGGUUAAAUCAAGAUUUCACUUGCACGUUCACUCAUAUAUGCUACUUUUACCCCGGAAGUACCAUCCACAUAUAUCCACCCAUUCCAUCUCCGGAAUCACCAAAAAAUAUUCUACUCCUAAUCCGGGAGAGAAUAACCAAAAAUAUUUCUGUUUUCCCCUUGUGAAAUAAAUGCUCAAGUUAUCUUGUUACUACCACUUGCUAUAUUAUCUCAAGAGAUGAAUGCUCUGAAAAAAAAGAGAUACGAGGAAAUAAAAAGGAGCAAGUGCUCGGAACCUCGAAAGAAAAGAAAAAAAAAGUGAGAUGAGAGGUAAAAAUGGACAAGUGUCCGACAGUAGAAUUAGGGGUGCAAGAUACCCACCUGAGAGGAAAGAAAAAGAUAGAGCAUCUCAUUCUCAUCAUAAAGUUUCAAAAGCAAGGAAGGUAUGUAUCCCCUCAAAGAGCAAAAGUAGAAUUAGACUUCCACCUCCAUUGUUUUCACCAUUGUUUCCACCAUUGUUAUCACCAUCAUCACCAUACACCAUUCAUUCACCACACAUGCACAUCUUGAUUAAACUUAUUGACUUGUUACUUUGGAUCCAUGGUUUGACUAUGCAAUAAAUGUCUUGUAAGUAUGUAUACUUUAUUUCCCACCUAUGAGCUUCAGAUAUUAAAGCCUUAUUAGAGUAGGGUGAGAGAGAAGGCAAUGUCACUAUGCCUCAUACCACAAAUACCACAUAUCUUGAGAGAAGGCAUAUACCAUCACUGCCUUGGUAAGGAUCCAGAAAUACCACAAAAGAGAGACCUGAGAGAAUCAUACAAGGAAUCUCUGAGUUUUAUUUGAAAAUCUGCAAAAACCCCAGAGCUAUAGCUGAUCAAGAAUAAGAGACAUGGCACUUGGCUAGACUGUUCUAUCUUUUAACCACUCAAGACAGAAGUGACAGUUACAAGUCCCAUGGUGAAGGUAAAAUAAGUAAGUUUGAAGUCUUGACAGUUUAUUCUAAAUCAGAGAUG
rnacentral:lncRNA from 1 species